AAAUAUACCCCAUAGAUUCACACGAGUGUUUUGUUUUGUGUUGUGCAUUUGCCCUCCCGUUUGAAUAGAAACUACGAACUUGCCAUUAACGUUUUUAUAUCAAUUUGCAACGUUUUUCUUGUUUCUGCUAAUUAAGAAAGCAGUUUUUUUUUUUUUUUUAAAGUAAUCAAUUAAGAAAGCAGUUAUGUUCACCACAUUAAUUACCUGAACAUGAAAUUAAGAACCAAUAUUUAUUAUAAUUUCUUUUUCUUUUUUUUGGGGUAAAAAUUGAAAUGCGUGAUGAGACGUUUUGGUGUGUUCUAGUUUAGAAUCGAUUGUCAACAAAGGAAUGAUGUUUUUUCUAUUUUUAGAAGAGCAAAUAAAUUAUGUUAGAGAAGAUAAUCCUACCUGAUUGGUGUUGGAAGGGAAAAGGUGAUCUCAAGAACUAUUGUAGGGCAACUAAUCUCAUCACCGUAACGAGGACACAAACAAAUAUCAACAUUGUCUAGAUAACAAUAACACCAUUCUACUUAGAUACAAGAUUUUAUCCUAAAAGACGACAAGUAGUGAUAUACUGAUAAGUAGCGUUCAUUUAUAUAUAUUAAUUGUUGAGUUUAACUUAGGGGCUGUUGUUGAAUUUUAUUUUAUUUUUGUUGAUUUAUUUUCUUUAAAAGUAUGAGUAGUAGUAAUGAUCUUAACUAUUAGUGAUGAGGUACUUUUACGUAUUACCGUUGUUGGCAAAUGCGGUUGCAAACUAUCUAUUCCCAUUGCUCAAAGUAAGCAUGGAUGAUUGAAUGAGGAUUAUUGCCAUUUCUUAUGUUGGUGUGUGUUUCAUUUUCUGUUGAUCGGGACUUGCUCCCCUGCCAACCCUCUACGUGACUUGCAAUUAUUAUACAGUCAAUCCGGUUUAAACAUUUCAUUUUUGAUCGGUCAUAGCACUAUUGGUUUCUUGAGCCAACCCACUCAUUCGAAAGUAGAGAAAUGAAGACUUGCCAAACACCCCCAACUUUGGUACUCCACAUUACACCUAUAUCUCCAAGCUUACUCUCUAGUCUUAACACAUGUCGGUUUGUAUCAUGUUUUAAUUUCUAUUUAUUCUAACAUUUGGACAUAGUAUAUUCAAGAAUCAAGAUAAAUAGAUAAUCUUUGUUUUCGGGUCAUGAAAGGUAGUCAACUUUCAGCUCCUACAAUAUUUCAGCUCUGUCAAGACGAUUAUACAACUGCCAAUCAGGCAUAUAUAUAUCCUUUCUCUAAUUAUACAACUCAUACUAUCAAUAUGCUAGUGGACGCCGUGACGUCUAUUCGUUUUGACUUUGAAGUUUUAACACUAGAUUACAUUAGCUACUCUAUCAAAUUCUUACACUCAAUCACGAGAGAUAUAAAAAAAUAAAAAGUUCUCCGUUUUGUAAGUUAAAAAGUUCUUAAAUAUUACUGCAGUCGAUAACUAGUUAUUAUGUAUUCAUAAUAAAACAAUAAAUUAUGACAGAGACACAAAAUGUAUUUUUAAUGUUAGAAAAAGCUAAGAAAAUGACAUAUUCGUCCUAAAUUCGGCUAAACUAGCUAUUAUGCGUCCAUAAUAUAGAAACAUAUAAAUGUGACAAGAAAAUAUUUUAAAAAUAUUAAAUAAAAAUGUCAUAUUAUUCAAAAGCAUGUGAAAUUGACAAGUUCUUAUCAAAAAUUAAAACAUAAAACAUACGACAAUGACCAUUCUCUUUUGUAAAAUGCACAAUUAAUCCAUAAAUUUCCCACAUAUUAGAAAUUGUAACGGUCCUAUGAAUCAUCAAUUUUAAAGUGAAAGGUAUGUUUGUAAUAUCCUUCAAAACAUUGAACUUCUCUUCCAUUAUGUAAUUUAUGAUCAAUGAGACUUUCAUCUUCUGACAUCGCGUUCUUAUUAGGUUUGAGUCCAACAAGCUAAAUCGUAAGCAUUUUCAUUUAGCUAGUGGCCUAGUAAACAAAUUAAUAUGCCUAAAAGCUAGAACUCGAUAGAUAAAUCUACAGAGACUCAAAUAUCUACUUAGAACUUAUAAUAGAGAAAGAUAAAUCUAUAUAAAUAACAAAAAUGAACAAACGAAAAACUUUCUACUCACGAUAUCAUUUGGUUUAGUGGCAUUAGUCUCUUUCUAUAAGUGGGAAGUUAUGAGUUCGACUCACGAUAAACUCGUUGUAGCAUUUUAGUUGUUUGUAUAAUUAAAAAAAAAACAACUUUCUACUCAAAUCGAUGAACAAGCUAAUUUUUGUAGUAAGAUAGUAGAAAUAGAUAAUGGAGUAACUUCUCGGUAAUUAUUGAUUCAGAACUCAAAAUCGCACAUACCUACGAUAAAUCUGGAUAGAAGUGAGAUCAUCACUCAUGGAAAUUCUACUACUCAUACAUUGUGAGACUUUACAUAUGUUUAUUGUACGUGCAUAUAUACAAAUUAACUAGACAAUCGAUUACUCUAUUUCUCUGGUUCAUCUCAAAAUCUAAAAGUCAGCCUUGUUCAAAACUUUGGCCAUGAGAUAACCAAAGCUUUCACAAAUGAUAUAUACAUUAAUUAUACACAUUUCUUGCUCGUCUUUGCAUAGAUAUUUACGUCAUAGCCAACCAUGUCACACUAGGUCUCCCACUCAUUUAUACCACUAAAUAAGUAAGAAUGACAAUUUUGACUCGAUCCAAGUAUGCCUAGCUAGCACGUAUGUGGUUGAUAUAUAUCCCUCUACUUGUUUUUCAUGAAUUGAAUUCCCAAUUGGUGUUCCCUCGAUCAUUUAGUCGACCCUCUCUUGAAUUUUAUAUAUUUCAACUAGUGUAGUUCACAUCUACAUAUGUUUGUUUUGUUUUCUUGUUUAUACAAACACUACUAUAUAGCUAGUGUGAUAUUAUACUAUUUGCAGCCCCUCAGGAUUGACCAGACUUGUAUACACAUGGAGUUUGGACUCAUGUCAUUUCCUCACCGAUCAUCUGUAAAGCAUUUCAAUUUCAAUAAUCAACAAUAUAUAUUUGAGAAAAGAAAAAGGUUUACUUGAUCUUUGCUAGGGUACAAAAAUCACUAAUCGACAACCGCCAGAGUAUAUUAUACGCUAUUUGCUAAUUUUCUAAUGCAUCAAUAUAUAUAUAUAUAUAUAUAUAUAUAUAUAUAUUAAGCCUGUAGUCAUGUUAAAAAAAAAAAAAAAAAGUCUGCAGUCAUCAUAAUUAGUUAUUGACCAAUAGAUCCAUAAUCAACCACCGUUAGAUAUAAAUAAAAAAGUUAAAAACAAAACAACUUAAUUUUAAAAUAAUACUUCUCAUAAUUGUAUUUACAUCCAAAUGGUGAUUGACUAUGAUUCUCUUAAUCAGGUGAAUGAUAACGUUUAAGCCUGACAGUCUUUAAUAGCGUCUAUAUUGUUAAAGGAUGGUUGGUAUUAUAAUUUUGUUUGUAUUAUUAUUUAUCUUUUCCCCAGAUCUUUAACAUUGUUUUCCUCACAACACCAACGGACAUGCCACAUAUACAAAUUGUAUAUAAUUGACCGACCAUAUUAUCUGAGAGAAUUACUAUAAUAGUAAUCUUCUUUGUACUGAUUUUAUUCAUAUUAGUACGAUACAACAAAUCGAGCAGAAUUAAUAGUAAUCCUCUUUGUCAAUCACGAUCUAAUCAUUUUAAUGCGCAAUAUAACAGAUACUGACAUACUAUAUACAAAGAUGGCGUGCUCAAAAUGGCCUAAAUGCAAAUCGACCCUACAUUAUAGUCUGUAUAUCACUGAAAUUGUAACUCGUAACGACAAUAGGAAAUUGUCAACACCAUUAGAUAUGUAUAUAUAGUGGGAGACCAAAACAUACCCGAUCACUUCCUUUUGCUUUUGUUUUUGUUUUCCAAGAGCAACAUGCAUGGUUGGCCACCUUUUCGAUCAGUUCACUUCCUCUGCGAUUCUAGCAGGCCCGGACCUGAGAUUUUCAGGUCUGAGUCGAAAUUUCAAAAUUGGGCCUUUAAAUUGUAGUUUAAUUCUAGAUUAUAUAUAUAUAAAUAUAUUUCAGAAAUUAAAACUAUGAAUUCAUAUUCUAAUUAUAAAACAUCCAAAAUGUUCUGCUGAUUAUAUUUUAGGAAUUCUAUUUACAUUAUGAAACUUAUUUUAAACUCUUACCUUUUCUUUUCUUUUCUAUUUUUUCAAAAAACUUACCUUAUUUUGUUUUGGGUACAAUUUCGAGUAGAAAUUAAAUUAAAUGUUAACACUAAUUUCGAGAAGAACAUAUUUGUUCCCCUUGUUUUGGCCCCUUAAUUACAGUCAGUAUCAUUCUCUUCCUGUGUUUAAAAGUGGAGCUGUGACAUUAAUUGUCCAUUUCAUUAAUUAUUUAAUUGUAUUUGAUCAUAGAAUAAGCUUUAUUUUUUUCUUUUUUUCUAGGCCCCAAGAUCUUUGAGCCCUGAGUCAAUGGGCUCUUAGGACUCCUAUCAAGUUCGGGUUUGGAUUCUAGCUAGGGAUAACAAAGGAAAAAGAAAUCAGAUCCCAUUCCAAAACGUUCAAGAACUGAAAACCAUUUCCUCCUAGAACUAGGACUCUUUCUGUUCAGACUUCAAACCAAGCUAUGGAGUAGAACAGCCAAACCCCUGGGCAAAGGUCCUAUGGGACUGAGCAUGAAGGAUUAUCUAUGGUAGUUUCAUUUUUUUGUUUUGUUUUGUUUUUUUUUUCAUCUGUUGCUUAUGUUUUCUUCUUUGAAUGUUGGCACAAAAGGAAGUUUAGAAAAUUCGUUGAUUAUUAUUUAUCUAGUAAAGGUCAUAUGGAGUUGAUCAUAACGAUAUAGUAGGGGAUAAAUCAGAUGAUUAUAUUGAAGUAGUUUGAAGAAGUAGAUAUUAUGGUUUAAUGCUGCCGAAGUGAUAGGCGCAAUGCAUCCCACAUCAAUAUUGAGAGCAAGAGCUGUCAAGUGUGGGUGACAUAAAAUAAACUAACCAGGUAUUGUUUUAAACACGGAGUCAUGCGUUAAGCACAUAACGAACUAUUCUUUCGCCUUUUACUAAAGAAUACCGUGUGCAUGAUGUUUUAAGUAACAUGCGCCUAUUUUUGAAAGGGAGUACCUCUGUGGGUGCCCCUCAAAUUAGUUUCUUAAAUUUUAAUUACUACCAACUUUUUAAAAAAGAAGUAAAUAGUCUAAAAAUAUUACAAACGAUGAUACUCUAGUCUCUACGUUGUUUAGCUUUGUGGUGGAAAUUGAAAUGAUUUUCUUUAAUUAGUAAACUUUCAUGUUUUUUUUAUCUCUAUUUUGUGGCUGGGUGGUUGGUUAGAUAGGCUAAUCAACGACGUUGAAGUCAUGAGUUCAAAUCUCACUUAUUUAAUAAAAAGUUUUUUAGCAAAAUGAUUUUUUUUGACUGAAUUAAAUUGUUGUAAUAUAUUUUUCGUUUUCAAAAAGAAACUUUCUUGGUUUUUGUUUUUUGGUCUAUGAAUAUUAAUGAUGUAUGCUUGUUUAAUGAUGUUUGUUUGUUGUGUUUUUUUUUUAAGGAAGAAUGAUGUUUGUUGUUUGAGGUUAAGAAAAAAAUAAAAUAAAAUAUUAAUCUUGUCCCACAUCGCUAACUUGACAUAAGAAUGAGAAGGGAGUUGGUAUAAAAAAAGGCGAACCAAAAAUGAUAAAAUCAUAUCUUUCUCGGCCUUUUGGCUAAGAUCAAGUGUAGUAUUUGUUCUUAUGAGUUUAAUAUCUGAUAUGUGAGCUAUCGGUUUAUAUGAUAUUAAAUUAAUUUUUUAAAAGAUGAGUCUACCACAAUAACUUGUUAUUAGGGCUCACACGUGUGUGUUGCACUAUUGCAAGGUUUGGGGCACCCUACCAAAUGCAGUGAAAUUUUACUUAUGUAAUCCGAUUGUAAUAAUAGGAACAAGUAUUUGAGUUGGCUGAAGAAGUAACCACCGGUUAUUUUGAUGGUUUACAUGAAUGAUAUUCGCUACCUUCCCUAUAAGAAGCCAUCGUUCAAGACAUGAUUGUUCUAACAAUGUACAAUCGAUGGGUUUGGUGAAGCUAUACUGUCCGAUGGGAGAUCCCCUUUGCUUGGUAGUAGUUUGAGCUCUGAAGGACCAGAAACUAUGUGAGAUUGGCAAGAUCACCGGUGGCUUUUGCUCAGGAUUCCUCCAAAGAAUGGAGUUGUGAAGGUAGAUUCGUUCUUUUUAUCUAUAUCUAGUCUCAAAGGAGGGUUAUGAAAAGCCAGUUAUAACGCUGUUCAUGGUCGUACGUAAAUUACGGCUAAGACUCCUAAGUCCUAAGACCAGGUUCGCUGCCAGUCCCACAUCAGAGAAGAGCAACAUAUAUCUAUCUCGAGGGUUACAAAAGAGAGAAACUCAAGUCUGUAAAACUCACGGAGCCAUGUGUUGAGCACAAAGCGAACUAUUCUUUCGCCUUUUACUAAAGAAUACCGUGUGCGCGGCGCUUUAAAUGGCAUACGCCUAUUUUUGAAAGGGCGCACCUCUGUGGGUGCCCCUCAAAUUUUAGUUUACAAAUUUUUGUUAACAGGUUCUCCAUAAUAAUCUAUAAUCUUCCAUUUUCCAGUUGUUUCAUUAUGUUCUUAAUCGCACCAGGUUCUUCUGUUGCAUUAAAUCUUACAACCACUAUGCGCACCUUGCUGCAGCACAAGUGGGCAGUACAUGAAGUUUGAAGAUCUCUGAGAAACUUCCAUCAGCCGAAGGUAGUGUCACAACAUCAGAGACAAUCCCAGUUCAAGAGCUCCAUAAUAAGGUCCAGGGCUCCAUGUUCUUCGGCUAAGGUCCUGCUGCUACCACUCUUGGUGGAUAUGGCUGAUGUUUUUAACUAAUUGACUCUCGUAGACGUAGGACAACAACCCCAGCUUUCAUGUGAAAUAGAGCGGUUUAGACAUUUAGGGGUAUUUGUGAAAUAGAGCUGCUUAUGAGAAGCAAAUAGUUUUCUUUUGUAUCAUGCAUACAGCAGGUUGCAGAAUCAAAACCCAGUUUAAAGUAUGGAUCAUGUAAAGUAUGAAAACCUCUAGGCCAUAAUCGAUAGAGGUUUUUGAAUGUGUAGAGUAUGAAGUUGAAGGCUUGAAGCACAGGAAGUUUGUUCCAGAAUGUCCAAGUGCAAACAAUAGAAUUUAACUGGGAACUGAUAGGAUUCUUCUGUAUAUACACCCACCUUGUAAAUAAAAUGGCCUAGGUGGAAACUCAACUCCUCCCGAGUGAUGAAAGAAUUGAAGUUGAAUGAAACUGCCGUGACGUCUUUCACUAUUCGUCGACGAGCUGAAAACCUUCAACACCCAUGAGAUUUGCUAAUGACAUAUCAACUCCUCCCACGUGAAGUAAGAAUUGAAGUUGAAUGAAACUGCCGUGACGGCUUUCACUAUUUGUAGACCAGCUGCCAACUUUCAACACCCAUGAAAUUUGCUAAUGUUCUUUAACUAUGACAUGCUAACGUUCCUGCAUAUAUAAAACCUGCACUACAGCAUCUUUCAUUAGUUCAGGGCCACUCGUAAGAAACUUGUGUUAGUGAAGUCCUUUACAAAUCCAAUAGACCUGGCUAAGAAGGGCAAUACUACUGGUUGAUUCAAUGCUAUGACUUGGGUUAGUUUGGAGUUAAUACAAAUCACAAAUACAUUUUAGAAAGGUGUUCCAAGUUCAGCACUCCUAGACUUUGCUGUUUGUGUAAUGUGAACAGUACCACAUCGGUUAUUGGCAGAAGCAGGAAUUUGAAUGGUUCUAUAAAAAGAGAAGAGUUUGGUUGAACAAAUCAUACCUUUCUCGGCCUUUUGGCUAAGAUCAAGUGUAGUAUCUGUUCUUAUCAGUUUAAUAUCUGAUAUGUGAACCAAGUGUUCACACGAUAUUAAAUUAAUUUUUUAAAAGGGUGAGUCCACCACAAUAGCUUGCUAUUGGGGCUCACACGAGUCAUCCUUGUGUUGCACUACAACAAGGUUUGGCGCACCCUACCAAAUAUAUGUACAAUGUUCAUGGUUGAAUCCUAAUACCAAAAAGGUUUGGCGCACCCUACCAAAUAUAUGUACAAUGUUCAUGGUUGAAUCCUAAUACCAAAUGCAAAAGCUUUUUUGGCGGUUUGUUGAAAAAUCCUGUUCAUAAUCUAAAAGUAUGUUAAUGAAACAGUUGCAUACCUGGUUUUUGAAGAUAGUUCUACUUGUAUUAUCUAGAACGACUGGUAACAUUUGAGUUUUCCAACUAAAGCUAGGGCCUCUCUAAGCGCCUGAAGGAGAUGCUCUGGAUAAUCCUCAAUCCCAGUAAUGCCGUGCUGUGAUUGCAUUGAACUCAGGAUUCUUCCAACAAUCUGAAUAUAUAUACAAACCAAUUUACGCCUAAGCCUUCAAACAUGAGUGAAAGACACAUUGUAUGAUGCUAAUAAAGGGGAAUGACCUUUCGUGCAUAGCCACCAUAAGCAACACCACCAAUCAUAGCUGUUGAGUUUUCAUCCCUCGAGUUCUCUAUCAGAAGUUAAGAAGAUAUGAGGAAUAUAAGACCAAUGGUGAAGAAUGAGUACUUGAACCUAAAAAGUGGGAGAAUGUUACUUGUAAAGGAUGUCGCUUGAAAAAGUCCAACUUUCCUCAACCCAUCAACUGUGUGAGCAUUGGUGCCACCGGCCAGUUGAAGAAAACCUGCCAUAUUAAUCACCAGUGGAUUAACAAAAAGAAAAAAGAAAACCUUGUGUGUCCGAGGCUGGAAAACAACAAUGAUAUUCUCAAAAAAGCAUGGAGAAUCGUCUGCACAAACCAUGAGGCCUUUCUUUUAUAGCAGCUAAACGAAGAGCAAAAGCGAUUGAUUCUCUUGUGGCACCUCGACCAAUAUCUCCGCUCAUGGGGCGCCCAUCCAACUUCAGAUUCAUAAAGGUAGAAUGCCAGAAAAGAGAAAAUCAAUUUAUGUUGAUGAUAUCGUGUGAUAAUACUUGGAGCAUUCAUAUUUACAUGUAAGUACAGUGAUAGGAAGCACACCUGCCAUAAAUUGAAGCAAGAUAAAUCCGGUUCCAUAAUGGAGUACAUAGCCUUCAUUGUUGAUACAGUUGACUCUCCAUGAUCAGGUAAACUAACCUGAAAAUGAUAACAACUAUAUCAGAUCUCCCAAGAUAUUCUACUAGGUUCCCAUUUAGUUGUGCACAUCAGCACAUGACAAUCAUAGUGACUUAGUAAACAGCAGAGAUGGAUAAAACACCUACUGCUGCUAGUUUAAGAUGUUUGAUUGAACCUCCCAAACCAUCCCAAAGUUCUUUAAAUGGAGCAAUCUGCCUACAGAAACUGAGGCUUAGUACAGACUACAGAGUGAUAGCCAAACAUUUGUAUUCUCCAAUGAAAAUUGUAAAAGUUCUUCGAUAUUAUUACUUUAAUGAUCAAGGUACUGUACCUUCCACUUGUAUGAAUCUCUAUAGCAUGAACAUCAUUUCUUUUGAGAAGUUCAGAGGUUGCCGCAGUAUCUCUUAUGUAUGUGCUCACACCUACAUCAAUUUUGUAGUUUUGUUAAAAGGGACCAAUCUAGACAUGAUAAAGGCCAGCUACAAUGUAUAUAUUAGACAUAUGUAUAUACUUAUUUUAUCGUAUGGGCAAACUGGAAGGCAGCGGCCACAGCCAUAGCAGCGUUCAGUUAAUACUCCAGCCUGCAUGUUUAACUAACAGUUUCAGAAAGGGAUCUUUGAUAAAAAAAAAGUCAACACUACCUAUAGAAGUUUCACAUCAAAAAUAUGCUCCAAAAAGAAAAACAAAACCUUUACUGAGGUCGGUGUUUUGUUGCCAUACGAGAAUUUUGUUGUUGACCAUCCAGACUCAAAAGAUAUUGCAUCAGCAGGACAUACUCUCUCACAAGGCCUUGAACAGUCAAGUGGACACUCCUCUGGAUCAAAUUCUGUUCACAAUUAUGAUGUUACUCAAUUCAGUUAUAGUUAGCCAUCACCAAAUAUUGGUAACUGAAAAGAACCAAAGAAAUCAUUGUUUUCAAGCUGAAUUACUGAAGCACCUAACCUUGAGAUAUCAGAUCACAACCUUAUGUUGACAAUAAUGUUAAAACAUGAGCCACAUAAAGCUGAUGCAAAUUUCACCUAGAGAAAUGGAAUAAUGCAACUCAUUUCAAUGCUUAUCAUGCUAUACAAAGUAAACAAGGAGGUACUUAAUCACCAGCUUUUCGAAAGUGAAGAUCCUCAUCAUCAUUUACACUGAUCAUCACCCAAGGCCUUCGAAAAGGGAAAAUCUCCAAUGCUGCAUCAAUCCCCUCAUUUACCGCGCUCACCACCGAUACAUCUGCCGCACAGUCUAUGCAAUCCACUGCAACAACACCAUUCAAUAAAUUCAGUUUCUCACUCAACCAAAAGUGACUAGUUCAAUAAACAAAGUUUCUAAAUUAAGAGUUCUCAAUUACCUCCAGCAAGAGUGUAAACCAAAGAAAGAUUCCGUAUAUCAACCACAUCCUAGAGAAGAACAUAUAGCAGAGUUAGUGUCAGGGAGUUGGCAACUUGGCAUAUAAGCUUAAGGGUCAUUGUUGUUGUUACCAAUUACCUCGAAGCUUGCGCCGCAUAUGAGCUUGACCCAGUUGCCAUUCUGAAGAGAUUUUACUGGAGAGGACACAACUGAUGGAACCCCAACAGUUUUGAUGAGGCUCUUCACAUCUUCAAGGGCUUUGUUGCCUCUAAGGUUCAGUUUUGCUGACAGAAGAUGAAGAAUGGGAAUUUGAAGUAGUUAAAGGUAAAGCUUUUUGAUCAGACAGAAGGCAGAGAGAGAAGUGAGGAGAAAAAGAAGAAACCUUGAUGCUGUUGAGGAGCAAUUGAAGCACAACAGGAGAAGAAGCUCAGUGCCAUCUCAAACUGAGAUUCUGAGUGAACCUGGCUCAGUGAUAUCCAUUAACAACAGAAUUUGGCGGUUCUGUAAAUUAUCCACUAUUACUUCCAGCAAGUAAUAACUGGGGUUUUCCUGAUAAUGAACCGCAAACUAAAUACAAAGGGUCCAAAAUCUAGUAAUCUACCCGGUCCAAUAAACGAGAGUGAGACACAUUUUUUUCUUUUUCUAUUUCAUAUCAAACGACGCCUCAUAAUUGAUAACUUACCUGAGUUACCUCGCUUUUUCUUCAGCGCUCUCUCAGCUUUUCUAAUAUACGGUACAUGUGUCUCCUUUCCAUCGUUUAUCUUCACGGAAAAUAGGAUUUUUGUUUAAAAUUGUUUGGAGAUUCUAAACCGAUGCUCCACAAAUCCCACAUUUGCUUGUGCAGGAAGAUAUUGUCGCAUUCAUGUACAUAUGUACCCUAUAAACAUCCUAGCCUGUACGUACGUACAUCACAGGGAUUAUUGGGCAUGAAUGACUACAGGAAACAAUAUGGAUUUACUAUGCCAAAAAUAGCAUCAGACGACAGUUGAGCACUAUCGUCUGAAGAAAAAACAUAUGUCGUCUGAGGUUCUGCCGUCUGAUAGGCUAUCAGACGACAGUUCUCCACUGUCAUGUAAGUGCAAGUCAGACGACAUAUAAUAUGUCGUCUGAAAUUUGACAAGUCUGGAAUGUUUCCGAACUUUAUGUCGUCUCGAUAAAAGACCAACAACAUUUAAAUGUCGAGUGAAAGAAGAAAAAAUGAAAGAUUUGUCGAAAUAGAUGUAGUGUGAUACAACCUUAUACUACAUAUAAUCGUCGACCUACAUAACCUACAACGACAAAUACAUUCACAUGAUGUGGUUAGAUGAGGUUUCUAAUGACAAUUUAAUGUCGUCUGAUGUUAUCAAAUUUAGAAAAUUAUUAGACUUUAUAUCGUCUGAAUGGAAAACCAACAACAUAUAUAUGUCGUCUGAUGAGGCACUUUAUAUCAUUUAUAUCACAUGAUAAUUCGUUUAACUUCACUUUUAUGUUGUUUGAUUGUUUAUUGGACUUCAUAUUUUUGUUGCUUAUUUAUUAGAAGGGCUUAUGUCGUUUGAUUGUCUAUUAAACUACACAUUCUUGUUGCUUGUUAUACGCACUUAUGUCGUUUGAUUGUGAAUUAAACUUCAGAUAUAACAAGAAAAGUAACUCUUCAUUAAAUGUCAAUAAUCCACAUCAAUUACAAAAUCAAUUUAAGUGUAAGAAUAAAAAUAUAUAAUAACAAUACAUAUUACUCCUAAUCUACAUAUAGAACUACUACUACAUUCUCAUUUCUCCUUUACCAUGAGCGCAGAGUUCUCGAAACUUCAACAAGAUGAGAAUCAUGUCAUGUACAUCCUCUAAUCUUUUCCAUGCUAUGUGCAGCCGCAACAAACCUUAUUGCAUUCAGAAAUUAUAAAGAGAAUAACUACAACAUUGUUAAAUCAGUUACAACAGAGAUAGAAAGAUGGACAUUGAAUUAUUUACAAAUUCAGCAGUCAGCAGCUAAAGAUGCCAAGUGCAAACAAAUGUGUAUGCAGAGUAUAUCACCACAUGUGUAUGCAUAUAUGCAUGUAUAUAUAUAGCUAUAGAGUAUAUAACAAUCGAUUGUGAGAAUACUAGAAGCAAUUGCUACUAAGAUCAAAAUCAAAUUUGUGUUGCCUCCCUUAAAUUUCUUCAAGUUAAAUAUUGAUGGUACUAGAGCUACUGCUUCUGGGAAGAUUGGUGCAAAUGGAGUGAUUAGAAAUCAUGCUGGUACUUGGAUUAUUGGUUUUCAGAUUAAUUUGGGAGUUGGUGAAAUCCUUACUGUUGAAGCUUGGGGCUUAUUUUAUGGUUUGAAGCUUGUUGUUAAGUUGCAGAUUUCAAACUUAGAAGUUGAAUCAGAUUCUGCAAUUUUGGUUAAUUUGAUGCACAGUUCAAAUCUGGCUCUCCAUCCUUUAGGCUCCCUCCUUGAUGGUUGUUGCAAGCUCAUGUCUAGAAUGGAAAAUGCUAAGCUCAGCCAUAUUUUUCGUGAAUCUAAUGACUGCUGAUGCUUUGGCAAAGAGUAGUAUCUCCCAUGAUUUGGGCUUCAUAAGCUUUGAAGACCCCCCUGUGCAUGCUGCACAAGCCUUUCUUGAUGAUUUGAGUUCUACUGUUAGAGCUAGAAGAUCUGCUUCAUGCUUUAAUAUUUAGUUGUUUUUUGUUUGAGCUCGUUUGAGCUCCGUUUGUAAACCAAAAAAAAAAAAAAAAUCAAAUUUGUGUUCACAUGUCACUAGUCAUCAACUUGUCAUCCAGUAAAGACAAUGUAUAAUAAAUUCAACAAGGCAUCAAUGCACUGACGAGUUUGUAAUAUCUUAAUUCCCUAACAAGAGACUCUGAAACAAUCAUCGCCUCUAGAGCCUCAGCUGCAGCUGUGGCAGCAAGUGUCUUCCUUUGAAAUAGGUGUCAUCAAUAAUGUAAGAAAUGAGAGACUAUAACUUUUAUAAAUGAUACUAAUCUAGUAAAAACAAAAGGUUCAAGCAGUUGACAUGAUACAACAAGGAAUAAACCUUAAGGGAAAGGAGAUAUGCUACAGAAAAACAUGAAAAGCUUUUUAGAAAACCAUUAACCAGUGAAGACCCCUAUUGGAUUAAAAACAUAAUUCCAAUACAUGUAUAUCCAACAAGUUUAUAAUAUGAAUGUUGUAUGCAUAUUUAUUUGAUACAGAUUAACACAUAAGAGGGUGGUUUCUAUAUAAUUUUGCAGCUGAUACACAUCUAUAUUUAAUCAAUCACCAUAUAAACUACCAAACUAGCAAUAGACAAACAAGAACAAACAGUAGCUAUGCAACUUAACAGAAUCAAUAGAAAUCAUCAUCUAUCAUGCUCAUCAACUCAAAACACCACAGGCAUACCACAUACAACCAUAAAACAUCGAACAUAAUCAACCCUCUUAGUCUUAGAGCUUAGACCUCAACUGAAAAUAUUUCACAGCAAUCAAUAUCGAACUCUUAAACUUGAAGACCAAUAUUUACGAGAAAACAAAACAAAGUUAGCACAUAAACACAAACCAUAAUGCACAUAGUAUUCUAUUCAAAUUCUAAAUAUUCCCUGAAUCAUCAAGGCCAAUGCAUAUUCAGCUUACCUAACAAGCUCUCUAAAGGAACACCUCCUUUUUGCUAUAGAGUCUGUGCACUAUCAAAUCCAUUAGCCGACUGACCUGUAAUAAGUUCAAAGUCCUAAAUUUUCAAUUCACAAACCAAAACCCAAUUCUGAAAAUGAAAACCACAAACACUCCAAAGCUACUAACAAAGUAAAAGCCCGUAACUCAGAAACCCAAAAACACAAAUCAUAUAAUAGCCUUGACAUUUAAGAUCAAAAAGACUAUAAACAAACCCAACUAUGACUAAAUCCCCACACUUUAAACAACCCAGUCAUGGUGAAGAUGUAGAAGCAAAUACGACAUCGUUCGAUUAUGGAUCAAAAUAAGGGUUUUAAGAUUCAAGAGAGAUAGAGAUGGAUGUUUACCUUGAAAAACCCUAAGGCUCUCCUCCGACCGGCCACUCUUGACAGUCUAAUUAGCUGGAAUGGACGCCCUCCUCGACUCAAUCAACAUUCAAGAGCUCCUCUCGACGCAGGACCUGAGCGACCCCACCACAUCGCUCUCAGCAUAGGAUCUCCACCUCCUCAUCCAACGCCUCGACUCCCACUCCCUCAAAAUCAAGUCCAAAAUCCAAUCCUACCUCCUCUCUCACCACCACUACUUCGCCGACCUCUUCUCCCUCUGCAGUGAAGCCGUUUCCCACUCCCACACGCUCUCCGACAACGUCACUCAUCUUCUCGCCUCGCUCUCCGAUCGCCCCAUCAAGGCCGAGAUCGGCGUAGAUGAGCGCCGCGACCAAGGAGGCCAGGGAGAAGCAGGAGCUGCUGGAGCUAGUGAGGGCGAUUCUAGAAAUCAGCGAGAAAUUGAAGGCAACCAUGGAGGCAGUGAGGAACGGGCGGAGCAAGUGAGAGGGCUGAAGGAGGAGCUUAGGGUCUCUCUUUCCCUCUUGAACCGAAAUGGAGAGGCUAGGGUUUCUUAUCCUGUUAAGGGUUGAACCAACGGUUUAGAAGAGAAAAGAAAAGAUGGACGGUUUGGAUUAAUUGGUGUUUUUAAAAAUCAUAAAUAGUUGACCAGCACCCUUCCUAUACCUUAACCCCUAAUUAACACCUAAACCUAGCUUUUCUAUCAUUUAUUUUAGGUCAAUCGUUUUGACUUUUUAAAUUGUUCAUUAGACAAUAUAUAUAUAUAGUCUAAGUUUAUUAGAAAAAAAAAGUUUAUUGAAAAAUGACCGAUUUAACGUUGACCACAUCGACUGAGACCUGAACAUUAUCGAAAACGUCUGAAUUUUGUACCAUAGCUAUAUUUCACUACCAUGAUCAUAUCCAAUACUCAAACUUCAAUUAUUCUUUAAAUUUAGUCAUUUGAAUCACAACGUGCCUACUAUGUGCUACAACAUGUUUACAAGGUUAUAUCUAAGCGUAUAUCUUUAUAAACCAACUAUAUGAAGGAAAUAAAAUUUACAAAAUUUGACUGCACGAUAUAAUCACAAUAGUUGAAUAUGAAUACGGUAGAAAAAUUCGCUAUUUUUGAUAACGUAUGGGUCUCGAUCGCAUGGAACAACUAUAUUUAUGCUUAUGCUUCCCUAUGAGGAACUACAUGAUCGGGAGAUAAACGUGCCCGACUUUUCACAUUGAUUCAUUGUGCUAGUCUUUAUGAGAGUGUGAGUGUUUACGAAUCAAAAAAAUAAGUUCAAAUGGAGUAGAUAAAAGCGUUUUCGUUUUAUAAUUAAUAAAUCAUAUUUUCAAUUUAGAGACAAUUGACCUUGUAGACAACAUAUUUAUGUGGUCUGAAUAUACAAACAAAAUUCGCGCCAAGUUUUCAAUUUUUGACAAGUGUGGGAAAACUCUCGGGCUAGCUAGCUAGGUUAGUAAAGGGUCAAAAUUUAAGUUUUGUUAUAUGACGUAAAUCUGUUGACUGAAAAAUGCAAAAUAUAAGCUUCAUCAAAUGACAUAAAUAUGUCUUAUGAAGAAUGGAAAUCAGACGACAUAAACUUGUCGUCUGAAAAUAAAAAUUUUAGCUUUCUCAGAAUGAUUAGACGACAUAAACCUAUUGUUUGGAACCUUAUAUAUUUCACAAAUUCAGCCGGAUGAGAUAAGAGCGUUUCCGUAUGGAUAAUAGGCAUAUCGUUUGUUGACCAAUUUCAGACCUCUUACAACAACAUAGUUAUGUCGUUUGAGUCACACAAAGAAGUGACACCCUAUUUUGUAAAGAGCGAGAAAAUUUCACUAAGGGUGGGAAAACUUCCGUGUGCCAAUUGAAAAUUUAAGGUUCUUGUUGGACAACAUAAAUAUGUCGUCUGAAAGAUAAGCACAUUAAAACUCAUACAGGGAAGUUCGAAUUGAAAAUUUCAGUUUCUUUCAAACGACAUAUAUUUGUCGUCUCUAGAAGUACAUUGAAAAAGCUGAAAACCCGAUUUGGAUAGCCUUUCUCACAUAACAUAUAUAUGAGGUCUCAAUUUUCAGCUGAAAAUGAGAAUUUCUAGGUUUGUUGACACCACACAUAUAUGUCGUAUGAUUUUUCCAAACCUAGAAAAAAUGAAGGAGCAUCUAAAAGUAUUGAAAUAACAUGUCAUUGAGAUGACUUUUACAUUUUAUAUGUCGUCUAAAAAACCAUAAAAACCAUCAGACGACACUGUUUUGAAAUACAGUUUUAUAUGUCGUGCCUCUUGUGUCGUCUGAUGAUGUUAUUAGCAUAGUAAUUAACUGACCUUGAUGAUUUAUAGUGAUCGUUUCGUUGUUUCGUAGUGAAUUUGUUUUCUUCCUUUUUAAGUAUAAGUUUAUAUUUGCCGACGACAUAUAUGGUUCAUGUUAGCAUUCUAGUGCUGAAACGACAUCAAGAUCUUUGUCGGUAAUUUCAUGUUGCCAACAUCGGAAAAAAAAAGAAGCCUUGGUGACGGCACCUAAGGUGAAGACGACUAUGGUUGCAAACAUCAUCGUUGAAUUAUUAUUGAUUAUUUCCUCAUAAAAAUAAAAUAUUAUUGUGUGUUCACGUUUAUAUAUAUAUAUAUAUAUAUAUAUACNNNNNNNNNNNNNNNNNNNNUUCGUGCGGACGUCCGCACCUGAGAAUUCCUGUAUAUAUAUAUAUAUAUAUAUAAAUCUUUUCCCCACUGGUUAUUAUUCUUCAAGGUCGGAGUCUAUCAUGAAGCUGCUAAUUAAGGUUUAUAGAGAUGACAGUGGGGAAAAGAUUAUCAAUUUGGUUGAUAAUCGGUACAAUGAACGGUUAAGAUUAUCGUUAAGCUGAUAAUCGUUAAACUGGCAGUGAUUGGAUAUUUUGUUGGCUUUACAUCGAUUAGGAGUCUUUAGGGCUAGUUUGGUAUUGCUGUGACUUUUAAAAAAAAACAAUUGCUGCUGUAUUGUGAAAAUAAUCAGCUAUGAAUUAAAACAGUUUUGUGUUUGGUAAAUAUUAGUUUUAAAAGUGCUGCCAAGAUAAAAUUUAUUAAUUUCUAGUGUUUUUAGUGAUAGCUGCUUUUAAAAGUAACGUACCUUGAGGUUGCUUCUAUAAAGCUGCAGCCAGUGAUCUGUAAUUUUUUUUAAAAACUGUUUUUCUUUCAUAUACCAAACACUAUAAAAUCUAAAAGUUCGGAUAGAAACUGAUAUUUUUAAAAGGGAAGCUGUACCAAACUAGGCCUAAAAAGGGGAAGACUAAUAGUUAAUUCAAUGUUAUGGCUUGGGUUAGUUUGGAGUUAAUACAAAUCACAAAUACAUUUUAGAAAGGUGUUCCAAGUUCAGCACUCCUAGACUUUGCUGUUUGUAUAAUGUGAACAGUACCACAUCGGUUAUUGGCAGAAGCAGGAAUUUGAAUGGUUCUAUAAAAAGAGAAGAGCUUGGUUGAACAAAUCAUACCUUUCUCGGCCUUUUGGCUAAGAUCAAGUGUAGUAUUUGUUCUUAUCAGUUUAAUAUUAAAUUAAUUUUUUAAAAUGGUGAGUCCACCACAAUAGCUUGCUAUUGGGGCUCACACGAGUCAUCUUUGUGUUGCACUACAACAAGGUUUGGCGCACCCUCCCAAAUAUGUGUACAAUGUUUAUGGUUGAGCCAUCCUUAUGUUAAGCAUUUGUGGUUGUUUGGUCUUCAUUUGUCUCCAGGUUUGUGAAGAUUUAUAUUAUACUCCAUAAUUAUCUAAAACGACCGGUAACAUUCGAGUUUUCCAACUAAAGCUAGGGCCUCUCUAAGUGCCUGAAGGAGAUGCUCUGGAUAAUCCUCAAUCCCAGUAAUGCCGUGUUGCGAUUGCAUAGAACGCAUAGAACUCAGGAUUCUUCCAACAAUCUGAAUAAAUAUACGAACAAGCAUGCUGUUCCUCUUAGUCAAACAAAUUUACCCCUAAGCCUUCAAACAUAAGUGAGAGAGACAUUGUACGAUGCUAAUAAAGUAGAUAGUUGGAGAAUGACCUUUCGACGCUUUCGUGCAUAGCCACCACAAGCAACACCACCAAUCAUAGCUGAGGUUUCAUCCCUUGAGUUCUCUAUCAGAAUUCAAGAUCAGUCUCCUGUCUAUGUGAAUUCAAGAGAUUCAAGAGUCCGGACAUCAUGUUAUUUCGAAAUGAAGAGGAUAAAAGGGAAGAGAGGGGGAGAGGUUAUCAUGUGUAUAUAUUAAUUACUAGCUAUUUGAAUCGUUCAUUAGUCGAACACAACAUCCCGGUUAUAAAUGAAAGACUAAGAGCAUCUUUAGGAAUGCUGGCAAUUUUUGUGUUAAAUUUUAGUCAAAUUAGUUAAAAUGUCAUUUUGACUAACCACUUUAGAAAUGCAGCUGCAUUGCUCUCUAUUUUAGCUAACAUUACAUCAACAUUAUUCUUCAAAUAAAGAUUAAAUAGUUAAAAUAUAUUUAUAUAUCACGUAAAAUAUCUUGCAAGGAAUGUAUUAAAUUAUAGCUAGCCUCAUCUGAGUCAUCUUGCUCUCUAUAUUUAGCUAGUGAGAUAGCUAAAAGUUAUAAUAACGAAACUUUAGUUAGCCUGAUGGAGCUCUAAAAAAAUAUAUAUAUAUAUAUAUAUAUAUAUAUAUAAUAAACUAAAACACGCUCUCUAAAAUAGCUAAAAGGUAAAAUAGAGAGUCUGUUAAAGUUACUCUAAUAUAAGUAGACUAGAUAAAAAUGAGUAUAUGAGUAUAUCCUUCCAAAAAAAAUGAGUAUAUAGAAAAAUAAUAUUAAUGUUUCCAAUGUAUAUAACUAGUGAUUACUGAUUAGUUACCGGCUACAAAGACUGGUUCUUCACUAGAGCUUCAAUGGAUUGCCUGAAGAUACGCCGAGCCAGAAAGCAUUUACCUUUUUUUUCUCUAUCUUGCCGUUUUUCUCUAACUAAACAGUAACUACCUCCUGUCCUAACGGUCUUCCUGAACAAAGAAAAACACUCAUGAAAACAUAGCAUGAUUUGGCUUCUGAUUCCUUUCACCAUUUAGUUCCUAUACAAAAAUCCUGGAAAUCAAGUUUUACCACCUUCACUAUUUUUCAAAGCACAACACUAUGUACUGAUUCAUUGAUUUGCAAGUCUCAUUUUUUCUAGCUUCUUUCCCUAGCCUGCUUAGGGUUUCUGUCUUCAACUAUGAUCUCCAGAAAGAUCUUAUGUAUUCUGAUUCUGUUAUCGUUGUCACUAAACACCAUCCAUGUUCUUGCCGAUGACUCAGACGACAAGGACUCUAAGAAGGACUCAAACUCAGACAAAAAAGACUCGGGCUCGGACGAGCCUGAAUCCUUUUUAGUAUCUUGUGGCUCCGAAAAUGAGGUAGAAGAUUCCUCAGGCCGGAAAUGGUCCCCCGAUUCCAAGUUCCUAAACUCUUCCGACUUCUCAUCGACGGAACAGCUCAACAAAACUGACCCGACUCUCCCCUCCGAAGAUCCCUACAAGUCGGCACGAAUCUUCAACGCCACAUCCUCUUACAUUUUCUCAGUCACGACCACAAAACGCCUCUGGAUCAGACUCCACUUUUAUCCAUUCGAAUACUCCAAGAUCGAUCCAGCCAAGGCCUAUUUCUCCGUCGCCGCAAACGAGUUCACUCUCCUCAAAAACUACAGCGCUUUCACAAAUGCCGCAGCUCUCACCAUGGCCUACAUUGUCAAAGAGUUCUCACUCACUCCUAGCACAUGCGGGAACCUCAACAUCACAAUCACACCGUCUCCGCAACCGGAGGGCGCAAUCGGUUUCCUCAACGGCAUCGAGGUGAUUCCGAUGCCGGAUGUUUUCAAGACAACUCCCUUGGUCGGCUUCCAUGACCAGACUAUCGAGGUCCAAAACUCCUCCGUACAAACCAUGUACAGAGUCAACGUCGGCGGAGAUUAUGUUCCGCCAACGGAGGACGCUGGUGGGAACCGAACAUGGUACGAAGACGGUGGCUACUUAAUCGGUUCCCCCAACACUAAAUACGGCGUCAUCAGCGACGCCGAUAGCAACAACGUCACCAUUAAGUACGACGGAGAUGAAUACAUGGCCCCAGAAGCUGUUUACAAUACCGCGAGAUCAAUGGGGCCGAGUCCAAACGUGAACCUCAAUACCAACCUGACGUGGGUUUUCGACGUCGAUGCCAACUUCACGUACGUCGUGAGAUUGCAUUUCUGCGACUUUGAGCUGGAACUGACGAACCAGAGAGCGUUUGAUAUCUAUCUCAACAACCACACGGCGCAGGAAGGCGCCGACGUGAUAGCGUGGGCCGGCGGGGGCGGCUCCUCCGGGAAAGGGAUCACUGUUUUUAAGGACUACGCGAUUUAUUUGAAUGAUCGCAAUAAUGGGAAUGAGCAGAUUUGGGUGGCGUUGCACCCUAAUGAGAAAUCAAAGCCUGAAUACUAUGAUGCGUUGCUUAAUGGAUUAGAGGUCUUCAAGAUCAACGACACAUGUGGGAAUUUUGGAAGCGAAUAUCCGGUGCCGGUAAGACAUUACAGCUACAGCGAGGAGUUUCUGGAGAAGACAAAAGAUGAAUGCAAGCUGAUAGGAGAUCAAGACACUGACGAUAACUGAAGUAAGAAAAUCAAGGCCUAGCUAAUACUUGUAUUUUGUGCAUGCUUUUUGACAAACCAAGUGUAUUUGAGUAUUAUUACAUUAAAAAAUGUAGGGAAAAUGUUCAUUUAGUACUAAUUUAAACCUCUCAUUCCCCAUUCCAAUGACAAUCUUUUUCAUUAGCCAAUAUGCCCAAAUGCACAAAUCUUUACUAAAGUCUUAAUAAACCAUAUUAUUUUAAGACUAUUUUGCCCUCACCCUUUAAACAUGCAUAGAGAGAGAAAAUGGAAGAGAUAAUACUUGGCCGGAAUCUCACCGGACUCCGGUAACCGGUCGUCGGAUUUCUCUGGUCGCCAGAUUCCGGUCACCGGUGAUUCAGUUACUGACCCCUAAUAAUUAGUUACUGACCCCCAACAAUCGGGUACUGACCCCCAAUAAUCGGGUACUGACCCUAAUAACUUGGUUACUGACCCCCAAUAAUCAGUUAUUGACCCCUAAUAAGUGGGUUCCUAACCCCAAUAAUCGAGUUUCUGACCCCCAAUAACUUGGUUACUGAUCCCCAAUAAUCAGUUACUGACCCCAAUAAUUUGGUUACUGACACCUAAUAAUCAGUUACUGACCCCCAAUAAUCAGUUACUGAUCUCUAGUAACUUAGUUACUGACCUCCAGUGACUCAAUUACGAGACAACAAUUUAACAAUAUAACCACUUUACAUGCAUUUUAAACCAAAACAUAACAUAUGCAUCAUCCUCUCCAUCCUAUCAUUUUGAUUACAUUAACAUAAAGCCUUUCGAUUCCAAAUGCCAUUCCCCAUUACUCUAGCUUAAAGCCUUGCUCUUAACAAUAACGAUAAUAAACCGAGAACACAAAAUAGAUAUGUAACUAAAAUGCUGACCAACUUUGACAAGAAACCACAAAGUUUACGAUCAUUUACUCCUCAGCCUUCUCAAUCGGAUCUUCUUCUAUACAGGUACAAACUGAACGGUAGAGAUGUGAUUUAGUGAUCCGGAAGUUUGUCAAAUACUGUAUCCCUAGAAAUGAACAAAAAAAGGGAUCCCUCAUGAACUUGAACCGUUCAUGUUUAUAACAGAAAAACGCAGUUUUGAGUGCCUUAAUGAUAACCAAAUUGGUUGAAAUUUUGCAAAGAUGAUCUAUACAUUAGUAUCUAAAUACUAGACGGUGGAGAUAUGAAAAUUCGAUUGAAAAGUGAGUGUAAAGUGGAAAUCCGCACUGUAAAAAUAAAUGCGGACAUCGGCACCUGAGAAAAUCUAUAUAUAUAUAUAUAUAUAUAUAUAUAUAUAUAUAUACUAUAUAUNNNNNNNNNNNNNNNNNNNNUCUUACUCUUUCUGUUUUGAUCGUAUUGGAGACUCAUGCUCUUUGUUACUAGCUUUUCAGCCUUGCGUUGUAGGGUUUGUAAUUCGGGCUUGCCCAUUAAUUAAUGAAUUAUUCAUUUACUACACAAAAAAAAAAAAAAACAUAAGACACUAGUUAUGUCAAUUCGUAAUCCGAGUGAGGAACCGAUCCCUGCACCCAAGGACACAAUAAUGUGAUCUUUUUCUUUUCCUGAUUGUAAUUAAAUCCCGGCCACAUCGAAAUUACUAACCAUCCGUUUAACUGAUGAAAAUCAAUUUGCAGCGAAACAGCUUUCAAAUUUUAAUUCGUUGGUACUAAUGAAUGUAGGCCCUGUCAAAUAACUGAAAUAAGUCUUAAGGAUUUGAAAGUCGACAUUUUGAUUCUCUUGUAGACCAAGUUUGAAAAUCUGAGAUACUAAACGCACGCAGCACAUAAGCUUUGCAAGUUAACAAGAAAAAAUUGAUUAACAGAAGAUUCUUAUUAUUAUAGUUGAAAAUAAACACAACAAUCAAUUCAUAUAUAUUCCAAGUGGAAUAAGAUGAUGAUGGAAUGAAGUUGGAAGAUCAUGAAAAACUGAACAGCAAGCUGAGGACAUGCAAUUAAGUUUAACAGUAUUCAUUAGGAUUGGCCAGGAGGUAGUCUUCAACAAGCUUGAAGAGGUGGGAUGCCUUCUCUUUGCCAGCCUUAACAUGCUCCUCUUUGAUCUCCACAUCACCUUUGGUGUGGUAGUUGCUUGUGCUCUUGAUGACGGAGCCUCCAUCGGAAGAUGCCACCAAUUUGGUCUCGUAUGAGAUCUUCUCAAUCUUGUCCGACAAGGCAUCUCCUUCGACCAAACUGUAGCUGUACGCAAAGUUGUCUUUGUCAAUCCCAUCGAUCUUGUGGGUCACUGAGCCGAACUGGCUGCCCUCACCGAAGGUGAUCUUCUUGAUGGUUCCUACGCCUCCAUCUCCUUCAAUGAUUUCAGCACACUUCACUGCUUGUGGAGCAAUCUUUGGGAUGAGGUUAUCGGCAUCAAGGAUAAAAGCCUUGAACAAUCUAGGUGGUGGGAUGACUGAGGUGAACUCGGUUUCAUAUGUGAAGACACCCAUUAUCAGUUUAUGGAAGUGACACAAGAAAAGAAGAGCUAUAAGAGAAUUGGUGUUUGGGUUGUGAGAGAAGAGAAUGAUAUGGGUGGUAUUUAUAGAAUAGUACUCGACCAUGAGUUGAGAUAGUAGCUGGUUGAGUGUCCCUGCUGCAUGUGGAUGCUAGUAUAAUUCUCUUGGAUGGUCAAAGAAAGCACCCCAGCCCCAAUUAAUUGGCUUGAUUGAAUCGGUCGGUGUGCUAGUACUAGACGACCAAAAACUACAGAAAGAGAAUGGGGCUGUGUUCUAGAUGUUCUUAUUUCAACUUAGCUUUGAGUUUUCAAUAGUUUCCUUAAGUGUCCGCACAAAUUAAUGUAGGGCAGUCAACAUUGGCUAUCCCAUAUUAUUUUUUCUUUGGUUCAAGACUUUACAAUCAAAUGAAUGCUCAUUUUUCUUUCACAUCAGACUUACACAACAUUGCAAUGAAAAGUCUAUUUUCACGUUCUUUGUAAAUUCCAUAGCCUAAAGCUCAAACUUUGAUCUACAGGGUGAGCUAUUUCACCCCUUUAACCUAUAAAUACCACCUUCAGGGCUUACACUUUCUCACACCAAUACCAAUACUCUCUUUGCUUCCUCCACAUUUCAGUCUUCUCAUCUUAAGCUUGCAAACGAUUAUCAUGGGCGUGUUCACUUAUGAAACCGAGUUCACCUCUGUCAUCCCACCCCCAAGACUCUACAAGGCCUUUGUUCUUGAUACUGAUAACCUCAUCCCCAAGAUUGCCCCACAGGCUGUGAAGAGCACAGAACUCGUUCAAGGUGAUGGAGGUGUUGGAACCAUCAAGAAGAUCCACCUUGGUGAAGGAAGCGAAUACAGCUAUGUGAAGCAUCAGAUUGAUGGACUUGACAAAGACAACUUUGUUUACAACUACAGCAUCAUUGAAGGUGAUGCUAUCGGAGACAAGGUCGAGAAGAUCUCGUACGAGAUUAAGUUGGUGGCGUCUCCAAGUGGAGGUUCCAUCAUCAAGAGCACAAGCCACUACCAUUGCAAAGGAGAGGUUGAGAUCAAGGAAGAGCAUGUCAAGGCCGGAAAAGAAAGAGCUGCUGGUUUGUUCAAGAUCAUUGAAAACUACCUUUUGGGAAACCCUGAUGCAUACAACUAAAUCGAACCAUGAUAGCGCUACUGCAUUAUAGUCUCCUUUUGUCAUUGGUGUGGCUUUGAUAUCACUUUCCUUUCUUUUCAACCAAGACGUUUGUUUUGGCUUUGCAUUUUGGUUUAUGGCGAAUUGUAAUAAUAUUGGAUUUGAUUUAGCCAAAUAAAGAAUAGAAUUGAAACUUGUUUAGUCCUUGUGGUUUAAAGUCGACAUCUGUUUAGCCCUUGUGGUUUUAUUUUAAUCUGAAUAGUCUUUAAAGUCACAAUUUUUCAUCUAAAUAGUCCUUAUGGUUUUAUUUUAAUCUGAAUAGUUCUUAAAGUCAUGAUUUUUCAUCCAAAUAGUCAUUUCAACAAUUUCUCAGUUAAAGGCCAUAAGGACUAUUUGGAUGAAAAAAUUAUGACUUUAAAGACUAUUCAGAUUAAAAUAAAACCAUAAAGACUAUUUAGAUGAAAAAUCGUGACUUUAAGGACUAUUUAGAUUAAAAUAAAACCAUAAAGACUAUUUAAAUGAAAAAUCAUGACUUUAAAGACUAUUUAGAUUAAAAUAAAACCAUAAGGACUAAACAAAUGUCGACUUCAAACCACAAGAACUAUACAAUAUUUUACCUAAAGAAUAAAUUGAUGGUACUCUGAACUUUGGCGAGUGAUUAUGUACUGUUCUUAAUCACAUCUGCAAAAUAUACCUGUCACUUCAACUUCAAUUCGGAUUUAUGAUUUAUAAGGGCAUUCGCAAAAUAUACCUAUCACUUCAACUUCAAUUCGGAUUUAUGAUUUAUAAGGGCAUUCGCAAAAUAUACCUGUCACUUCAACUUCAAUUCGGAUUUAUGAUUUAUAAGGGCAUUCGGAUUUAUGAUUUAUAAGAACGCAAACCCCUUGGCAACAAAUUAUGACAUAGGCUAUCCCCUCUUGAGGAGACCUUAAGCAAGCACCCCUCCAAAGUGCAAUGGAGGUCACUAGCCUAGGCCAUGAGUCUUCUUAUCGCCCAUUGACCCCAUCCAGGUAAGUAUGUUCCACCGUUGUUACUCCUUUUCGUUUAUACCUCUUACCCUUGUCUCUUUUCUCUUGUUCUCGAUGUGGGAUGCAUGCGGAACCGUAUCUACCAGUUGCUACAACUCUGAUAAUGAAUAAAAAUCUCACACGGCCACAUCUCUGAUAUAUGAAUAAUGAUUCAAACCUCGAGUCCCUAUCUACCCAUAAAACUAAGAGUUUGAAUUUACAUAACAAGCUCAACCCGUUUGUUUUAUGUCCAAUCAUCAUUACUAGUUACAAAUGGCUCUUCUCCAAUGUGUUAUACAUAUGCCUCCAUUUUGCAGCUUGAUGAUCAACUCGAAACAUCAAUACAUACUAGUUAAUAAUGGCUCUUCUCUAAGUGUGUUACAUAUCCCUCCAUUUUGCGGCUUGAUGAUCAACUCAUCUGUCUUUUAAAGAUGAUCAGUGUGAUUGUCACAUGAAGCAAAAGAAUUGGUAUUUGUUCAUCUCAUCUGUCUUUUAAAGAUGAUCAGUGUGAUUGUCACAUGAAGCAAAAGAAUUGGUAUUUGUUUUGGUAGGAUGCGCCAAGCUUUGCUGUAAUGCAACGUUUACAGCAACGCUAAGAUGACACGUGUGAAUCCUAAUAGUAAGCUAUUGUGAUAGAUUCACCUCUUACAAAAAGUAAUUUAAUAUCAUGUGAACACUUAGUCCACAUAUCAGAUAUUAAACUGAUAAAAACAGAUACUUCACUUGAUCUUAACCAAAAGGACGAGAAAAAUAUGAUUUUGUAGGUCUUCGACCGUCUUUUUUAUACCCAACACUAGUCUCCUACUGCUUUCAAGUAACCGAUGUGGGAUUGUGAGUGCUUUUUUAUUUUAUUUUAAUUUUUUUUUUCUUUUUGAUGUACGUGCUUCUGCAGUUUGUACUUCUCCACAACCUCAUAACAACCACAAAUCAAUGAAUAGUACAUCAAAUGUAGAAGUGCUUUGGUUAGAAUCUUCUGGUCCUUCUUAUCGCUGCAUACAUAGUUUUGGUACUUUUUUUAUUUUCCAUAGCUUAGUUCGACCAGAAAGACUCCUAGUAAGACAAGGAUUGCUCUCUUAAUCUCUUAACCGGGAAUUUAAAAGGCAAAGCAAAUCAAUCAACCAUGCUGCUCACCAAAAAACAACUCAAACAACAAGAAUAAUCAGCAGGUAAUGGUACUUCAUUAGGUGCAUCGCAUUAGUAAUUCUUGUUUUGGUCGAGCUUUCAGAGUCAACUAUUUGAUGUAAGAUGAAUCAUAUUACUGAUACAAGUAUGACGUCUACCUACCUCUAACAAGGCGAUGAAGUUGCUCAAAUAAUGCAGCUUUUCUGUUGAACCUCAAAGUUGGUCUGAUAUGAGUGAUUUAGGAGGGUAUAUUGUAUAUGAAAUUAGUGAAACUUUAUAAAAAAGUCUAUGGAAUUUAAAUUAACUCUUAUUAUUUAUUAAUACAAUUAUACAAAACUGACGUCUACCCGACCUCCCAAAAAAGAAAAUUAAAUUAAAUUGAAGAAGAAGAUGAAUGUUACAAUAAUUUGGAAAGGUAAGGUAAAUGUAGGACCACUCCCUUGCAUGAAACCUAAAGAAACGCCAAGGCACUCGAUUCUGAUCUUUAAAAGAGCAUUGUGGCGUUUCUCUCUCUCUGAAUUACUCCAUCGAGUAACUACCUCCUAUCCUAACGUUAGUCCAUGUCGAACCAAAAACGCAGGCACAAGAAAACCAAACCAGAAAGAAAGAAAAAUGUUACACAGAAAAUGAGAAACAAACCACCGUCUAGUUUGUGAUCUUGAAUCACUUCCUACAUUUUAAUUUCCAGGUAAAUCUUUAAUCUAUUACUUCCUAUGAAACCAAACUACGUACUUUGUUUUUGAUUCAGAGCCAUUGUGAUCAAACUUCACCAAGUACAGGAAAACAUACUUUGUUCUUGUUCCUCCUUGUUUUCCUGUACUCUGUUUCAUAUCCUCUCUAUUUUUCAAUUCCAUCACAAAAGGGUUUCUCAUUUCAGCUAUGAUCUCCAACACCCGGGUCUUAUUUUCUCUGAUCUUAUUAUCUCUAAGCACAAUUCAAGUUCUUAGCGCAGACUCAAAUUCUUCCAAUCCUUACAUUCUUUCUUGUGGCUCUUCAAAAGGUGGCACCGAUUCCGAUGGCCGGAAAUGGUCAUCGGAUUCCCAGUUUAUUUCCGGGAAUUCCACAACGGCAAAGGCCCAAUACCAAGACCCUUCUCUUCCUUCCGAAAUCCCCUACAUGUCUGCAAGAAUCUUCAGCUCUUCUUGCUCAUUCAAAUUCUCUGUUUCACCAAAGCAACGCCAUUGGCUCAGACUCCAUUUCUACCCUUCUUCCUAUAACAACCUCGACAAAUCCAACUCGUAUUUUGAUGUAACUGCAAAUGGAUUUACUCUCCUCAAGAACUUCAGCGCCUCCAUCACAGCUCAGGCUCUCACGCAGGCCUACAUUGUCAAAGAAUUCUCACUCAUUCCUAUUGAGUCCGGGAAUCUCAACAUCACCUUCACCCCCUCUUCAUCUCAUAAUAACUCAUAUGCUUUCGUCAACGGUAUUGAGGUCAUACCUAUGCCGGAGUUAUUCCAAACCGCCAACUUGGUUGGAUUCAAUGACAAAACAAUCGAUGUACAAAGCUCUACCCUUCAAACCAUGUUUCGGCUCAAUGUGGGUGGACAGUAUGUUGGGCCAGCAAACGACUCUGCUGGGCUUAGCCGGACAUGGUAUGACGAUUCGCCUUACUUGUUUGGUGCUGCAUUUGGUGUCACAUCUCAGGCUGAGAAGAAUGUCACGAUUCAAUACUCUAAAAAUGUGUCAGAUUCUUUUGCACCUGUUGAUGUUUACAAAACAGCUAGAUCAAUGGGACCUGACUCGAAGGUGAAUUCGAAUUACAAUCUCACAUGGGUUUUCCAAGUGGAUGCUAAUUUCACCUAUGUUGUGAGGUUUCAUUUCUGUGAGCUUUAUCUCACCAAGGUCAAUCAGAGAGUGUUUGAUAUAUAUGUGAACAACCAAACUGCCCAGCAGGAUGCAGAUGUUAUCAUAUGGGCCGGGAAGAUUGGAGUUCCUGUUUAUAAAGAUUAUGCAGCUUAUGUGAAAGAUCAAACUGGUGAUGAUGAACUGUGGGUGGCAUUGCACCCAACUGUGUCAAUGAAGCCUCAGUACUAUGAUGCAAUACUUAAUGGAUUGGAGAUAUUUAAGAUCAAUGAUACUCGUGGCAACUUGGGUGGCCUCAACCCUGUGCCGUCUCAGAUGCUUCAGGAUGCUGAGGCAGCCGCGGCUGGGGCCAAUGAUCCCACCCCACGGGCAGCAGGAUCAAAGAAUAAGGGUUUGGUAAUUGGUGGAGUCACUGGUGGGGCUGCUGGUGUUGUUGUAGCUGCUGCGGUCUGCUUUUUUGUAUACCAUAGGAAGAAGAAAUCACAUGAGUCCGGAGCUGGGGCUUGGUUGCCGCUGUAUGGUACCUCUACCACAAUAACUUCUCGAAAGAGUGGUACUAAUAGCGGUAGUACUAGCCAUGUUUCGAGUCUGGCUGCUGGUCUGUGUAGGCAUUUCUCAUUAUCCGAGAUCAAACAUGGUACCAAGAACUUUGAUGAGUCUGAAGUUAUUGGGGUUGGAGGGUUUGGGAAGGUUUACAAAGGGUUGAUUGAUGGCUCAACGAAAGUGGCUAUAAAGAGAUCCAAUCCAUCUUCUGAACAAGGAGUUAAUGAGUUCCAAACUGAAAUCGAGAUGCUUUCAAAGCUUAGGCACAGGCAUUUGGUUUCAUUGAUUGGUUAUUGUGAAGAAGAUGGCGAGAUGAUUUUGGUUUACGAUUACAUGGCUAAUGGGACUCUUAGGGAGCACCUUUACGAGCAUGACAAGCCUCCCUUGUCGUGGAAGCAAAGGUUGGAAAUUUGUAUAGGAGCUGCAAGGGGACUGCAUUAUCUUCAUACUGGUGCAAGGUACACAAUUAUUCACAGAGAUGUUAAAACCACAAAUAUUCUCUUGGAUGAGAAUUGGGUUGCUAAAGUGUCUGAUUUCGGGUUAUCCAAAACGGGGCCUAAUCUCCAGCAAACCCAUGUUAGUACAAUGGUGAAGGGUAGCUUUGGAUACUUGGACCCUGAAUACUUCCGCAGGCAACAACUGACUGAAAAAUCAGAUGUUUACUCAUUUGGGGUAGUUCUAUUCGAAGUCUUGUGUGCAAGGCCAGCACUCAAUGCUACAUUGCCUAAGGAGCAAGUUAGUCUUGCAGAUUGGGCGUUACACUGUCGAAAACGGGGAACUCUUCAUGAAAUCAUUGAUCCACGUCUUAAGGAGACACUAAUGAAUCCUGAAUGUCUUAAAAAGUUCACAGAGACAGCUGAGAAGUGUUUAUCUGAUCAUGGACUAGAACGUCCUUCCAUGGGUGAUGUGCUUUGGAACCUCGAGUUUGCUCUUCAAUUGCUUGGACAUCCUGGUGAGGAAAGUGUUGUAACUGAAGUUAAAGCAAAUGAUGCUUAUGCUGUGCAAAAUGCCGCUGUCGCCAUUGAAGAAGAGAGCAGUACUGCAGGUGUGCCUGUCGAUGGGUUGACCAAUAGUACUGUUGUUUUUUCACAGUUUAUGAAUCAACAAGGAAGAUGAUGAGCAGGACAAUAAUCAAUCAUGUGAUUAGUGUUAUGCCUGAGUUUAUUUACUUUUUUUGUAUGCUUAGGAGUUUUGUCUUGUAGAUUGUGUAUACAGACAACUGAAGCUAUUAGAAAAGCUUUGGGGGAUACACAUGCCAUUGUGUAUACAUACAACUGAAACUAUUAGAGGUUGAAGAACUAACUUGUCGCUUUUUCGUUCAUUUCGCUUUCUUUCUUUCAGCUUUCAUUUGAUACAUUGAUAUAUGUACCAUAUGGACACUAUCAUUUUUGGGAGCUGAUCCAUCUGUAUGGAUAUAUGUUAACUGCACCGGAGCAUAUUUCCUUUUCUUUUUAGUUUUUCAUGUUUUCCUUAAAGAAAAAAAAAAAACUAUGAUGGAGCAUAGAUUGCAGCUUUUGUUUUCAAAACACAGCAAUGUAAGUAGGCUACAUACUAAGCUAAGCUUUGAAAAGACUUAUAAGUACUCUAUUUUCUGGACUAUUAAUAAUCAGAAGUUUGGCUUUUCAAUUAGCAAAACUUGGCAGAUUUGAAAGAAAGGGGGUACAUGAAGGAGUUAGAAUAAGUGAAACUGAUGCUCUGGCUGGUCUUCAAAGGCUUGCCUCCAUUGACCAAGCAAUCAUCAAAUGAGAGCCUCUUGAACAUGGUCGGGUUUAUGACUUUUGUCGAGGCAAACCAACCACAGUGGAGAUGAAUAUUUGAAGGAGCACAUGACACAGGAUUAACACAGGUGUUCACAAUCUGUACUAUGUACCUUGGAAUCCCAGAUGUGGUGUCUAUGCUUUGUAAGAUGCUUAUGUCUCUAUUUGCACAGCUUCCUGUUCACAAAAAUUAGUUAGCUCUAAACGAGAUCGAGGAAAGUACACAAAUUUUUGAGGAUAAGUACUAAUCAGAUCAUGGGUACGUAUGUGUUAUAGGAAAAUGAAAAAGAUGGGAUCUUCACCAUGAUACAAAAGCUUUCUGUGACUUGAUGAGUCACCCUUUUCUGAACAAUUCAUUCUUGCUGAGUGGUUGCAAGAAUCUCCAUGAAAUGAAAACAAGAGCUUGUUUAAAGGACCUGUAGAAAGGAAAUGUAUUCAUGUCGAUUACACAUAAUGUGCAUAUGUACUAGGAACUUUGUAUGAGAAUUUAUAUACAUGGAAUUAUGGAUAAAGAUUAAUUGGGAGGUACCAGAAUGUGUUCCAAGAUUGCAGAACAUAAUGAUGGAAAUGAGGAGCAAGUAGAUGAGGAAAAACACAUGAAAAGAGCGCAUGAUGAUGGCCUAUUGGCCUAGCCUCUUUGGUUACAACUUACAAGGUCCAACUGCAGUGUGUUUUGUGGCUGGAUCCCCUACUUAUUAGUGUUGGAUAGAAUCUGAUUUGUAAUUAUGCAGUGGAGGUCAAAUUAAGUAAGAAAUGAGAGGAUAGGGUACGCAGAAAAGAUUUUGUAGGGUGGCUGACUCUACUUGUCUUCUGGGUUUGAACAGUUGAGUACAGUAGUACACUACUAUUAAGUCUGCAGGUUAAGCACCAAAGAAGAGUGAAUGAGUAUUUCACAUUUCACUUUUUCAUUUGCGAAGACAAGGAAAGGUAGCAGCAAGUUUUUAUAUACAGAAUGACAAAUUUCUAUUUCCCAGUUAUUUUUACUAUGCCGUUGUUUUUGUGUCAGAUGACUCAGAUCAAUGCCUUUUAGUAAUUAAAUUUUAGUAAGAAAGAAUACAAAUACUACUCAAAUAGUGACAAGAACUAAUCUAGUUACUGUUAACCUCAUAUAUAAUUGGCAGGAAUAUAAUGCACAAGCGGCUUCAAAGGAAAAGGAAUUUCAAUCCAGCAAUGCUUUGGACAAAACACCAUGGAAAUUAAUGGUGUGUGUCUAUAUAUAUAUAUAUAUAUAUAUAUAUAUAUAUAUAUAUAUAUANNNNNNNNNNNNNNNNNNNNGGUGGAGGCGCGCCGUCGUUGGCGCUGGACGGUGGAGAACGGAGGGACGUCCGCACUAACGUUCACCUCUGAUCCGGACUAUAUAUAUAUAUAUACACACACACUUUCUUGGCUAAGUAUGUCCUUAUUUAUUCUUACGGUGUGGAUUUCCACUUUAGACUCAUUUUUCAAUCGAAUUUUCACAUCUCCACCAUCUAGUCUUUAGAUACUAAUGUAUAGAUUAUCUCUGUAAAAUUUCAGCCAAUUUGGUUAUCAUUAAGGCACUCAAAACUGUAUUUUCUGUUAUAAACAUGAACGGUUCAAGUUCGACAAAAUUAUAUUCAUUUAUUAGUUUAAUCGAAUUUGAGUGCCUUAAUGAUAACAAUUGACUGAAAUUUUGUAGAGAUAAUCUAUAUAUUAGUAUCUAAAGACUAGACGGUAGAGAUGUGAAAAUUCGAUUGAAAAGUGAGUCUAAAGUGGAAAUCUGCACCGUAAGAAUAAAUAAGGACAUCAUUAGCCAAGAAAGCCUAUAUAUAUAUAUAUAUAUAUAUAUAUAUAUAUAUAUAUAUAUAUAUAUAUAUACUAGUAGUANNNNNNNNNNNNNNNNNNNNUGUCCGGUUGUGUUCAUACCAGAAAAACUCGAGUUUGAGGGCCUUCACGAUCACCAAAUUGGCUGAAAUUUUGUAGAGAUGAUCUACACAAUAUUAUCUAGAUAUUAGACAGUGGAGAUGAGGAAAUUCGAUCGGAAAGUAGUGCAAAAAUGGAAAUCUGCACCGAAACUUUCGGUGCGGACGUCCGCAGCCAAGAAGAGCCGUGUAUAUAUAUAUAUAUAUAUAUUGUUUUUCCAUUGUUUUGAGUCUUUCAACUACUUAUUGGUCACCUUCAGUUUUGGUUCUGAUGUGCCUUCAUCAAAUUUGUGGAGUCUCAAUCAAUAAGAAGGUAUUAUAUAGGCUUCAUCAUCAACCUUGUUAUUAAGAAUAGUAGACUCCUCUUUUUCAAAGAGCAAUAUUACACAUUGUCAUAACAUUAUCAUACACGUACUGUUUCUGUAAGUGCAUCUGAUUUUGAAGUGAAAAUGUGUGAGAAGGUGAGGAAAGCACUACCCUGAAUAUAUUCAGUAUACAGUUCUUCUUCAUCUUCAAUUUUUAUUUUUUUUAUUUUUAAAUUUUUUAAAUUUAAACUGAAUUCAGUAGGACAGUUGCGCCAUACAGUUGCAUGUAUAAGAUGUUUUGACCCCUUUUGGGGCAUGUGUGUUGCAUCAUAUCAAAGCCUGUUUCUGCAUGCACCUCAGCUCCUGCGCUAAUGUCGCCACUUCAUUAGUCAAAAAAAGCAGAUCCUUCUCUCUUCAUUCCACAGUAUUUCAUCUUUGUUUUUACCCCAUUGCAAAUCUUAAUAAAUAUAUUAUAUAUCAUUCUCUUUUGUUUUGUUUAAGCAUGCGGCAUCUUUCUUAUUCCUGUCUUGAGAUGACCUCUGUGACUGUCUGAAGCAUCAGUAUGUACAGAAAAGACAAAACUAAGGCUUGCUUAUAUCUAGAAAAGUUGCACAAUAUUCCAGUGGCAUGGCCAGAAAAAGCAGUAACCUAAAAUAGGAACUUGCAGGAACAGCUAGGUUUUCACAUGGCAGCUAAGGUGGUAUGUCUACUGAUAAAUUAGUUUGAGGUUCACAUAUAAAAUUAAUUAGCAAUGGCUGAUGUGGUAUGCCUACUAAUAAUUUAGUUUGAGAUUCAUAUCCAAAAUCAAUUGGUAAUAGCUAGAGUGACACAAACUCUUAUUAACCCACAUGCUCUUAUUAACCCACAUGCAAGGUCUCAUAUUCCCGAUGUGGGAUUGAUAUCUCAACACGCCCCCGCACGUGUAUCGAAUUUUCAAGCCUAACACGUGGACAACAUUUGGGGUUGACGUGGAGUUCGUGCGGCCAUUGGGCUUCACACGUGGACGUGGGUAACCCGCUCUGAUACCAUGAUAAAGUAGUCUGAGGUUCACAUCCAAAACUAAUUGGCAAUGGGUGGAGUGACACAAACCCUUAUUAACCCACAGACAAAGUCUUAUAUUCCCAAUGUGGGAUUGAUAUCUCAACAUCUAUAUCAUCAAUUAUGUGUCAUUUCUAGUAUUUUUUAAUUUUUUAAUUAAUUACUAAAUUUCUUUUCAUUUGUACUUUCUUAUUUUAUUUUUUAAACCAUAUCUUUUAUCUUUUUAAUCGUUAAUACACAACAAUAUGUCUUCAACAGACGUAGUUCUGCCCUAAUUCCAAUCCUCCUCUUAUCUCACCCCUCCUCCCAUCUCCUCGUUAAUUUAAUUGAUUAAGGAAUUCUUAGUUUGAUUUCGACCUCUUCUAAAAUGCAGCAGGGCUGAUGGUAGAAUUAAGACAACAAGUGUCGAAGAUGAUACAUUGAAAAAUAAACUUUGCCGUCGAUUGGAAUUAGUAGAUGCAUGGUGAAAUUGCCAAUGGAGUAGUCUCUGUCUCAAAUAAGUGGUCUUAUCAUCUUUCUGAUGACUUCAUUGAGAUGUUGGUGAAGUAGUUAUCACUGUUAUCACUCAUUGGUUCACUAAAGUUCUCUGCUGUGUGUACAUCUUGGAGAGGAACAUCGUCAAAAUGGUGUCAACAAUCAACCAUUUUCCAUGGAUCUUGAGAAUUCCUUAAUCGACUAAAUUGAAGAGGGAUGUGGGAGCGGAUGAGUGAGACGAGAGAAGGCUAGGGUUUAUAUCAGAAAGAUUUUUUUAAGGAUUAAUAAGAUAAAGGAUAGGGUUUAAAAAAUAAAUAUAAGAAAGCAAAAAUGAAAAGAAAAUUUCGUAAUUAACAACAAAAAACUGAAAUUUAAAAAUAUUAGAAAUGACACAUAUUUGAUGAUGUAGACAUACCACGUCUGUAAGGUGAUCUCUUGAUGGUUCACCUAGCAUUACUCUUUUUAUAUAUCAAUAGCUUGUGAAAGUUCCCAGUUUCACUAAGGUUUUCUAUAUAUACUUAGCUAUUGCUCGCAUAUGAGGCUUGAAAUCAUGAAUGAAAUACCCUCCAUUGUUUCAUGUCCCACGUUAAGAAAGUAACAAAAAAAACACUACAAUUUCCAAUCCCACAUCGUCGACUGCUCAUGCAUUCGUCGUUAAGUUGUGGGAAGUUCACUUCUACUUUAAAGACCUCUUCGAUGUGGUCGCACAUGUAACAAAUUUUCACAUCGAUCAAAAACUUGGUGUUCAAGCUAGCAUGAAUACUUCUAAUUAGUUUCAUGCAUAUGCAAAUGAUAUUACCCUCCGUUUUAUUUUGACAUAUUGUGAUCUAGCUACUGUUUUUUUUAUCAAAUUAACAUUUUAGUUUGAACUUUGAACUUGGACUAAUAUCCUACAAGCAUCUCUACUGUGCAAAAUAUCAUAGCACACACAAUCAAAACUAAAAACUACAUUCGUGUUGAUAAACUCUCCUACGUGCUCAUGUGAUUCUUUUGGCCAGCACGUUGGGGAUUCACCUUUCACAUGCACAUUGCAUUUUGCGGCUACUUCCACCUUGACAUAUAUGAUAUAGCAUUUCGUGGCAGAUCUUUACGAUCUAUGGCAGACUUAGGAUUUUAGGUUAGGGUGGGCUAAAAAAAUUUCUUAAAGUUCUUUAAUUUUUGUUUCUAUAUUUUAUAUAUCACAUAUUAGAUUAAAAACAUAUCAAAUAAUCAUGUAGUUAACUGAUAGUAAGAAUUCAAUAUUAUACAUUUUAUAUUUUAUAGAAAUUCGAUAACAAAAGUUAAAGACAAAAAAAUAUACUUAAUCAAAUUGAACCAUACGCUCUUGAAUAGAAGCAAAAUCUAAUAACUAAGUUGUCUAACCACACAAAUGCCGCUCUAAUAAUACAGUAAACGAGUGUAUAAUAUUAAAACCUAAUUGGACGGAAAAACACAAUCUAAUAACUAUGAAUCAAGCGUUGAUACUAUUACAACUACACACACACAUCAUUAGCAUUAGUCAUCUACAAUAAAGUACACAAGUAAUUGAAAUUAGAAUUAAAAUAUUAAUAGAAAUACAGUGCGAUGGGAUGAUAAGAUAUUGAGAUUAUCAAGGCAUUAAUCAAUUGAGAUUUGAGAUGAUGGGAUAUUGAGACUAAAUUUGAUCAAGACAUUAAUCAACUGAGAUUUGAGAACUGAGUCAUAUGACACGUAUAAGACUCCAAGAGGAUGAUCGAUAUAGCUAAGAAUCAUUCUUAAAGAUUAAAGAGAGAAAACUUGGCACUUAGCUUAGCUGCUUCGGCAGAAAAGAAUGGAGACGUAUACAAUGACAAAGAAAAAGAAAUAAAGAAAUGAAAGUUGACCUAAGAUAUACUAAAUGAGCAACUAUUUUUAAUAAAAUAAACAAUAUAUAUGUAAUUCGAAAAAAAGAAGAAAAAAGAGUCAUAUGGACUAAGUUCAAUUACAUAUAAGCUAAGUAUAGAAAUUUGGGGUGGGCUGGUUUUCAUAAUUUAACUUUUUUUUUAACUAUAAUUAUGCAACAAAGCAAUGUUUUUUCAAAAUCUGGAGUGUGUUGUAGCCCAUUGUAGCCUGUGUGUAGGUACACAUUUGUUUACGACAAGCUGGUUUGUGUUAAUUAAUUAAUCGAACUAGGUAAUAUUCACACACACAAAAAACACAUAAAAAUACUAGCACUCUCUUAGUAUGAUAAGUAUUGUCAUUCCUAUACAAAACAAAUAAACGUUGAUUGAGAAAGAUUAUUAGAAUUUAUUGUUGCCUAGUUUGAAUAGGAUUUAAUUGAUUAGGUUUCCUUCCUUUCACGUGUCAAUCUAGUUUAAUAAGCAAAUCAGAUAUCAAAGGAAUUAAAUCCUAUUCAAACUAGGCAACAAUAAAUUCCAAUAAUCUUUCUCAAUCAACGUUUAUUUGUUUUGUAUAGGAAUGUCUAUUGGUGCGUGGAAGGAAUGAAACUUAAUAUGAUUAGUUUUUCUAUGCCUUUAAUUAUCAGAUUUGGUAUUAUUUGAUAUAUGAGAUAUAUUUGAUUGAUUUGGUGAUUGUGCAGUUUAAAAGAUUUAUUUUUAAGAAACCAAAUGGGUAUAUGACAUUGAUGAUGAGAAGAUGUCUUGCAUAAGAGUUUUGGACGUCUAUAAAAGAGACGUAGCAGCUUGUUUGAAGACUACCUUUUGCACGUAUUCUUUGGAAACUAUCUUUGCACGUUUGAAAGACAGCUUUUUAUUUCGUUGCUCAUAUGAGUGCACAAGUUCAACUGUUCCUUGUUGUGUGUGUGAUUGUGAUUCUCUUGUGUGUUGAGAGAAGAUCAUUGAAGAAAGAAGAAGAAGAAGAUCGACGUUCUGCCUAGAGAUAGGAAUUUGUAAUAGUAUAGGGUUUAUAAAGAAGUUGUAAGACUCUACACAAAUUCAUCUAGUUGAGUUCGUUUUCUAAGCUUGUGCUCCGUUGUGAUUUUUCCUCUAUUUUGAGAUUUUUACACAUCGUCAAAAAUUUGGUGUUCUUGUUAACUUUCUGUCAGUUCGUUGAAGUUGUUUCAAUCCUUGCUUCACGUUUCAGUACCUUUAAGUGGUAUCAGAGCGGGUGCUGGAAGAGUCUAGUAGAUCCAAGGGAAGAUGGAACGUGACUCACAUAGCUCGGCAGUUAACACCCCUCAUUGGUUUGAUGGUGAAAAUUAUUUGGAUUGGAAGAUUAUGAUGCAAUCAUUCUUGUAUGCUCAAGAUGAUCUCUGUUGGUAUGUUAUUGAAGUGGGAUGGACUCACCCCACAAAAGAAACAAAAGGCAAGGAAUCAGAAGGAUCAUAAUCAAAGACAGGAAUCGUGAUGAAAGCUCAUGAGCAUUUUGAAAAGUUUGAGGAAAGUUCUGACAAAGUAUCAAAAAUGAUUAGCUUUGGAAAAAGUCAUAACAACAAAGAGGGGCUAGGUUUUGGCGGAAAAUCAAGCAAGCAGACAAUCUUUGUAAAAGAAAUUAAGUAGUACGAAGGAUUGCAAUGAAGUUUCAAUCCCGAAAAGAGAUCCAAACAGAAGUCAAACAUCUGCAGAGGUAGUUCCUCAAAGGUUAAUCUCAUUCCACCCUCAGGCUGCUCAGGUAAGAUCUGAUGACCUUAUACUAAAACAUCAGCCCAGGUAUGGCUACAACUCCUCAAACUUUGUUCCUACUUGUUAUCAAUGUGGGAAAGUGGGUCAUAUUCGGCCAAGGUGUAAUAUGUAUUGGAAGGAAAAAAAUAUGUUUAUUGACAAAUGAACUCUUAAAUGUAAAAAUGGAUCAACAAAUGAAUUUGAUGAACAUGAUUGCAGAAAUGAUUUCAAUCCCAGAAAAACUGGAAAGAAAAUCAAAACUUACUUGGGUUGAAAAGGACAAAAAUUGUCACAUUCCGAUCCUUAAUUUUUACCCUAAUUAUUUACGUUGUAUUACCCUGAGCUUUUACCGCCUUUGUUAGGGGUCUCAUAGUUCAAAGGACCAGAGACGACUUUUAUAUGACGACUAUUACGGGGUUUGUUCCUUAAAGGAAAGUCGUUAAGGACGAUAAAAUGAAGUAGCAGACAUGAGUUACUUGUGUUUUGGAAAGUAGGUAAAAAGCUGAAAAUUAAAAGGGGGUAAUUUUAUUUUGUGGUUGGGUUUAAAAUGGGAAACUUCCAUUUUAGAAGCUUCCAGAUCAGGAAACUGGUUGGGAAAAAGAAAAAGGUCCAAACUCUCUCUUUUCUCUACUCUCCCCCGAGCUUCUCUCUCCCUCUCCCUCUGCCCAGUGACUUGCCGCCUCCGAGCUCCACCGUUCGACCAACUCAGACCGCUGCACCGGUCCCGAACGAUCCACCGUCGUUCCUUCUCCUUUUUUGGGUUGGUAAUCGGGUCUCCAACUCGAUCAUGUGAGAGAAAUCCUCUCUAGAAGCUCAACUACCCUCUCACCGAAACUCCCUCUUCCGGCCGCCAUAAUCGGAGAUUCUUGUCUCAUCUUCAAGCUCUCAUCUUGUAUAGCAAAACCCCAAAAGGAUUCGAUCCAAUUCAGCUUGGGACCUGAGGAGGCUCGAGCUAAAGAGACCUUGGAUCAACAUCAAGCUUAGGCCUAAAUCUAUGAGUGGACAUUUGUUUUGAAUUAAAUGCAUGCAGUGAUUUUAUAUUAAAUGAAUGAUGUUAUUUUACUGAAUCUAAAUUUGUGGAAUUGGUUUCAUUUUCAUGAGUUAUUUCCGCGAAGUUAUUUUCAGAAGUAAAUGCUCUUAUUUUUAAUUGUUAACUUCACUAUUUAGAAAUUUACCGAAAAUGAGAUUUUCGGUGGAGUCGUAUGCAUAAUGCUUUCUUUUAUAUUUGGCAAUUUUCUUUAAUUUGGAGAGUUACCGAAAAUGGGAUUUUCGGUGGACAUAUAUAUGUAUAUUUAUGAGAAAAGUAUAUGUAUAUAAAUGCUAGCUAGCCAUACGUGUCUGUCCACCAUAAUGGUGUAGCAAUUAGCCGCCAUUAUGGUGUGAUGUGAGCGUGGGACGCACGCGUCGUAGCUCUAUAUGGAUGUUCAUAUAAAGGGUAUGAGCACGUAUAUACACCCGUCUAUCCACCUUAAUGGUGCAGCGAAUAACCGCCACCAUUAUGGUAUGACGUGAGCGUGGGACGCUAACGUCGUAGCACUAUAUUAAUUCUUAAAUUCAUAAAAAAUUCAUAUAGAGGGUAUAGACGUGUGCAAAUACAUACUUUUAUACUAGAGCCUAGGAGGCUCAAUAUCAUAAAGUUUUGGAGACUAGCGGGGCUAGUCGCGUAUUUCAGUGUUUGCCAAUUUCUGAGUUAAGAGUUUUAUUAUUUAUUACAUGCAGCGUAGUUAUCCUAAAGAGAUUAAUUUAGGAAAGCAUAAAGACUUUUUAAUUAUUAGUUUCUUUUAAACUUUAUUUUUGUCCACCCACUCUAACGUUUUCAAAUGUUUCUCCCCUGGGCCCUUCGGUUUUAAAUGUCUAGUUUGCAGGUUAGCAUAGUUGAGGUCGAGCGUACAUGAAGUCGAGGCAUAGUCCAUGAUAUAACUUCCGUUUAUUUGUAUAUUAUGUUUCCUUUCUUCCCUAUUAGAGUUGCUCUGAACCUAUGAAUUAUUGGUUGUGGGAGUAUUUUUUAGAUUAGUGAAUAAAUUGGGAGGUGUUGUGACUUUGGAGAGCACGAAGGCUCAAGGAGUAUAAGGUUAGAUUUAGAUUUUUAAAAGUGUUUGCAGGUGUUUUAUAAGAAAGGGUUGUCCAUUUUCAGGGGAGGUUAUAUAUGCCGAAUUUUCGGUAAAUUUUCCUUGGAAGUGGUCCUCACAGGAUUUACUUUGGGUUUCAGGGUGAAAUUCAAGGUGGGUCCUGACAAAAAUAAAUGUGCUUCUGAAAAUUCUAGUAAUUGUUGAGAUAUCAAUCCCACAUCGGGAAUAUGAGACUUUGCAUGUGGGUUUAUAAGGGUUUGGGCCACUCCAUUCAUUACCAAUUGGUUUUUGAUGUGAACCUCAGACUACUUUAUCAGUAAUAUCAGUAAUGAAUUACUGGAGACUAUUGACGAAAUUUGCUUGUUUUCAACUUACAAGAUCUUUGAAGAUGAUGAUUUAUCAGAAAAACCUAUGUGUGAUCCUCCACUAAUCAUGAGAACCGGGUUUAAACAAGUUCAGAAAUACCACUCAAUUGAAGACAUCAUUGGUGAAGUAAAUACGGGUAUUAGAACUCGACGUCAGGUUUCAUCCAAAGUUAGUAAUGAUUCAGCUCUUAUGUGCCUUGUUGUUGAAAAUGUGUUGAACAAAAGCAUAGUUUGUCAUUGUGAUUCUGUGUCACUUAUUGAGCCACAAACUGUUAAAGAAACUUUGUUUGAUGAUAAAUGGAUACAUGUCAUGCAUGUUGAUGAAUCACUUAGAAGCAUCAUUGGUGUGUGCUCUAAGUAUUAAUGGUCUCCCUUAGUUUGAUAUAUUUUGCGUGCAUUCAUACUGUAUGAUAUCAUGAUAGUUUUAGGUUCAUUUGUUUCUUUUUUUUAUUUUUCUGCAUUAAAAAAAUAAUAAUAAUAAAAAUAAUGGAACAAAUAAAUUCCAUAUUUCGUGAGGAUUGUAUACUGGGUUUCAAUCCUGAACUAUCUGAAAGAGUGAGUUGAACUGAGAUUACCAAGUUAGUUGUCAUGGCUUUAUCUAUAUAAGAUUGAUAAACUUGUUUGCAGGUUUUGAUAUUGGUUGACAUCUUGUAAUCUUGAGCAUGCUAGAAUAAUCAUUGUUGCUUUGAAAAACUUCACAUACACAGUCUCUUUUUUGCUGUGGUGGUACGAGAAUUUCUUGAUGUGUUUGUGUGAUAUAUUGCUUGAUUGCUCCAAGAAACGAAUAAUUGUUGUGAUUAUAUGGAGCUAGUUAAGACUAUUUCCAAAAAUAAACAUGUCUUGGUCGUGACGAACGAUAUAAGGUAAUGAGAGAGAAACGGGAAUGGUUUGAAGAUAGGCCAGCUAUUUCCAAAGUAAACAUGUCUUGGUCAUGAUGAACGAUAUAAGGUUAUGGGAGAGAAAUAGGAAUGGCUUGGUCAACAUGGUGGUUCAUAGAAUUUGACUCGAGUACAUGUCCUUAAGGGUGUCCUUGUUACACCUAGUACCCCAAAGCCAACUGGCUUAGGAGCUAAUGAUAUUGUACUUGCUACAUGGGUUAAAAAUUUACAAAUUAAAGAUUGUGUGAAAGAUCAAAAAGUAAAAUGAAAUAUGUGGAGUGCCCACACAAGAGUUAUAAGGGGGUUGUGUAACAAUGUUUCUUAUGGUAAGUUGUUGACAUCUCAAGGUAUUUCUCACCCCAUAACAAAGACUGUUCAUUUUUCACUCAAGGUACAUGAUUGAUCAACAUAUGCUUCUUGCUUACAGGUUUGUGUCGAUUAAGUCAAGCAUGAAAAUUGAGUUUGUCUAUUUUAUGUGUAAAGUUAUGAUUUGUAUCUUGGUUGAAUGCUUUGUUUCUCCUCUUCAGAUUUUUUAUGGAAGACAACCCAGUUCAUUAUGCAUGUUUGCAUUUCAUUCUUGCAUUCUUCAUAUCAUGAUUAUUCUUAGGGGGAGUAUUAAUACUUGGAGUAUAUUCAAAUGCAUGGUCGAUCAAGAUAUUGCAACAGUUGUUGUUCUUCAAACAUUUGGCUAUCGAUCGAUUGAGCUAACUCUUAAAUUCAGAUAUCUAUAUGAAAUCAAGCAUGGGACAUUCUUAAUAAGAACUCGAUCCUAGGCUGCUCUAAUCGUCUUUCGCUUGAGUUUCAACUAGCCAAUAAAUCAAUAUAUAGCUCAUUUAAGAUGCACUGUCAACAUGAAAUCUGUUGUAAAGAAAAUGAAGUCAUUUGCAGAAUAAAGUAGUUUACUCACUUAUGAACAUCAAACUUUAUCAUCUUAGUUUCCAUAAUGCACAUUCCAGUACAUGUGUUUUAUGAGUGUUUUAUUUAUCUAAACACUAUAAAGAGAAAACAUAGAGAUUCAUUCAUGGAGUCAUUAAGAUCAAAGUUAAUUUCCAUCCUUCAUCAAAUUCCUCAACUACCUUCAAGUUAAACAAAUGGCCUCCCUGUUGGAGGCAUUGUUAGACUUGUGUUCGAGAUGUCGAGGACGGGAACGUUAACAAGACUCGGGGGACGGCACCAGUGAGGAACCUGUUACCAUUGAGACGCAGAAUCCGAAGUGAUUUCAAAUUCUCCAAUGAAGAAGGUAAGAACCCCGAGAGGAUGUUUUCAAACAAGUCCAAGCCUAUGAGGUUCGUCAGCUUACCAAGCUCUUCUGGAAUAACUCCUUCAAUGUUGUUUCUAUACAUCACUAGAAAUUGAAGCUGCGUUAGGUUUCCAAGUUUGGGUACCAGUUUGCUAGCGAGGUUCGCUAUGGCUAGGUCCACUCGGAUAACGUGGCUCUAAUCGUUGCAGAUGAUGUGAGACCAAGUGCAAGGGUCAUCGACAAAUUCUGGAACCCACGACUUGAGCUCAUUGUCUGGAUCAGAUAAGCUACUCUUCAGUGCGGACAAAGCGGCUAUUUCAGGGUUAGUGUAGACCAUGGUAGGCUUAAGGUUUAGGGCAGUCAGGAGGUCAAAACUCAGGCAUAGGGUUCAGGCGAACAAUAAGAAAGUGCUUGGUAUCACCAUGGUUGAAGUGAAAGCUUCAGAUCUUAAAAGAGAGCGGAAAUGGAGAAGAAUGUGUGUAUGUGAUUUGCCUAAUUUGGGAAAAAAGUCCAAACAGUGUCCGACCUUUUAGAGAAGCAAAGUUUUAGUAUCUCAACUUUCGAAAACUUUAUAACGGUAUCUCACGUUUUUAACCCAACCUAAAAUUCGUAUCUGGAGCCAUUAGCUCCGUUAGAAAAACUGACAUAUGAAGGCUACUUUUGUCUUUUUAUAUGUAAACAUAUUUUUNNNNNNNNNNNNNNNNNNNNCUCUCUCUCUCUCUCUCUCUCUUCCCAUUGAAACUCAUAUUCAAUCCCGUCAAAGAGAAAGAGAGAAUAUAGGCAAAAUUAUCACGUUUUUAAUAUUUAUCCUUUUUUUUUUUCAAACUUAAAACAGUAUUUUUUUUUUGCUUUCUUAUUAUAUAUAAAAAAAUAAAGAUUAUUUUGGUCAUUUUAUGACAAAAAUAUGACUUCAGAUACGUAUCUUAAAUUAGGUUAAAAACGUGAGAUACCGUUUUGAAGUUUUUCAAAGUUGAGAUACCAAACCUUUGUUUUUCUAAAAGGUCGGACACUGUUUAGACAUUUUUUCCGCCUAAUUAAGGUGGCAGAGCACCAAAUUUAUAGCUGCGCACAGAGAUUGCACUACAAUUGAAUACAUUAAAUCAGCGUUGUUGAUGAUGAUCGAGUCAUGCAAAAAGGAUUUCAUCUAGUUCUAACACAUGUUUUGGUGAAAUUGUGAUUUAUGAGUCAACAUUAUGGGUACGUGGGGAUUAUGUUGAGAGAAAAGUUGGUCAGAUUAGGUUGUUAUAAGAGGGAGUUUACGGGAAGAGAAGCAGCAAGGCAAGUUUUCUCGGCCCUUUUGGUGAGUUUGAUGUGAGAACGAUUCUUAUAAUCAUGCAUGAAAGGAAUAAAGUUGGCUAAUCAUAGUCAUUGACUCAGCCAGUUUGGUGGGAUGUGCCUCAUUUUAUUUUGUAAUAUUGUAAUUGUGAUUCUUUUGGGUUUCCUCAAUUUCGACUUUCUUAGUUUUAUCUCAUUGUUAAUUUGCUUGGAGAGAUUCACUUUGAUCAUUUUUUUGUCGUUCAUUUUUCUUUAUUAAUCCAACGGAAUGUUAGGGAUGGUACUCUUCUCUUUCCCUCAUCUUUUCGCCAAAAUAAAACAAAUAAUGGCUCGAUCGUUUUGAUUUAUUUAUUUUUAAUAAAAAGCUGGUGCGGCUACCCUCAAGCAUUCAUUAAUAAAACUGUCGAAUACAAAAAGAGGGGGAGGGGGGAGGGGGAGGGGAAGAAGCCUAAAUAUUACAAUAAGCAUCUGGAAGUUCUAAAAUAAUAACUAGAAUUUCUACAAACUACAUGUAUUCUAACAAGCACCAAACUAGCAAAUAGUACUACUCUAAUGACAACUAUAUUGCUUUGUCACAAAGGUGACAUAAUGGAAAGAUUAGUAGACAUGUAACCCGAUUACAUAUCCUAGUAUCCAAUAAUGCAGCUUCACUACUAUGUUGCCGCAGCAGAAUAAGCCCGAUGUCAUAUAGUUUCAUCCUACCACUAAGAGGUUACAACCAUUUGACCAAAUAAAAGACAUGCCGCCUACCUAGAGCAGAUGAGACACACAAGACGUAUCGACCGACACAAGGUCCUUCGCGCCCUAUCGUAUUGUGAUAAAGAAUUAUUUGUGACAUAAAGCCACUUAGAACUAGAAUUAAAAAAAAAUAAUUACAUAAUAAUAAAAUAGAAUGGACCCAGAGUAAAAACCCAGGCCCAUGACACACUUGGACUAGAACAAGCUCAUAACUAGACUGAGGCCCAUCAAGUCAAGCCCUUGGUCCCUUGGUCUCAGCCUAAGCCAGCUUUUGGCCAGGCAGCCCAAUCGUCUCCAGCAAGCAAGCCUCCAAUCUAGUCACAUCACCGCUGCCGUUGCCUCUUUCGGGUCUCGACCACUGUCCCUAGCUUGGAUUCGUCGUAAUAUCACCACCACCGCAACCCCCAACCACCACCCGUUUCGCAUCCGGGUGGCUAAACUGGGGAGAAUAUCAGCAUUUUUUGACCCGUGUGUGUGGGACUCGUGCGGGCCGUCGGCUGUUUCCGCAUAACAAAUGGUAUCAGAGCCUAGGUGACACUCGGGACUUGGUGUCUCAUGCGAUCGAGUUGCAAUUUGGUGAAGCUCCCGUUUGGAUUGGGAUCACAAGAUUUGGAAUUGGAUGCUUGUGGUUAGGGUUGAGCUAUUGAGACUUGGAUCUUAAGAUUUAAAGAUGGUUCAAAUCACGCCAGGUGGAGAUUGUUAAAAAAAUGUGGCUUAGAUUAGAGCCAUUUGGAAUCUCACUUCAGAAAUGUGAAGAGUUAUCCUUGGGUUAUAAGGAAUUGUACCACACACACUAAUGCCGAGGUCUUUUGUCGUUAAACCCCCCCCCCCCCCCCCCCCCCUAACCUAUUUGUUUCACAUCCGGGUGGUUAAAUUAGGGAGAAUAUCGACAUCUUUUGACCCGUGUGUGUGGGACUCGUGGGGCCCGUCGUCCACUUCCGCAUAACAACCAGAAGUUCUUUGGCUACUCAAGUUGACGAUGACGAUGAAAAGGUAACUUUCUACUUUAAUGGGUUUUUUUGUCUUCUUCCUCGCGAUUUACUCUUUUACCAAAACUUUUUCUCAAACUUAGUUCAUAUUAAUGUCAUAAUUUUAAUUAUUGAAAUAUACAAUAAUCCUACUCGCAUUCGGAGAUUAACGGUUUAUCUCAACUACAUCACACACCAUGUACAGAAAACUCAUAUCCUAGCACACGACCCCGCAUGUUACAUUUCUCUAUUAUUAUGUGAUUCUUUUGUUUACUUUCAGUAACUUUCUGCUUUGAGGCUUAGGUUUUGAAGUUUUUUGGGGAAUUUAUGUAUCUAUGUAUGUUUACUUUGUACUUUAGAUGCAUUUGGUAAAUUUUAGACACCUUGGAUCACUAGGUGGUCAUAUGUUGUUAUUUGAUGUAAACGUGUUGAAUUUUCAUAAAGAUACAUCUUAGCCUCCCCCGAGUAAUCUAGAAUUAGUACCUUUUGUGGUUAACCCAUCACUUGCACCCCCACGACCAGUAAUCGCCGGUUGUACACUCCCGUGAUGGAAGAGAGGAGAACAACCCCAACCUUUCUCCAUCAACCACCAAAAUCCAGUUCCUCGGCUUGUUUUUGUGGGAACCUAAUACACUUGAGCAUGAAACUAAUGAUGAUAAUGAGGACUAUAUGAUCGAGGACUUAUUUAUCCACUCUAGUUAGAGUUUCACUGCAAUGGUUUCGUAUCACCAAGGUUGAGCGACUAUGUUUAAGAGUUUUAGGAAUCCUUGCCGUUUUAGUGUUUUUUUCUUCUUCUUUCUUUUUUUUUUUUGUUUUUUUUAGUAAGGUGUUUCUUUCAACUUUAGGGAUUUCAGUAAUUUAUUUUAUGUUGCAUAUCAUAAGGAUAGUUAUGAGAAAUGUUGGUAUUAAUGUGGAUGUGAAUGUUAAUCUCAUGACUAAUACUAGGUGAACUUCUUGAGGAGCCACCUAGAACCCACAUCUUAUGUGGCAUAACCACAUCAUCAAAUCAUAAUUUCAUAUUUUUCUUACUUUCGUUUUCUCUUAAUUAUAAAAAUUCCUUUUUGAAAUUUCACGUUCAAUAAAUUUUAGAAGUUCAUCGUCUUUGAACAAGGUACAAUCAUGUGUAUCUUUUUUUCUUCCUUCUGAUAGAAUAUUUUAUCCACCACUGAUCGUUAUUUCAUCAAUUUUUCAUCAAGAGAUCCAGGGUAGAACUUGACUCCUAACAUGUGUUCAAAUUUCUCCUCCAGAUAUCACACCUUUAGUAUUAAUCUUACAGCCCCUAGACAAGAUCACACAUACAUGAUUUUCUUAUGUACUUUCUUGAUUUUAUAUGUUAAACCCUAUUCCACCAAUUGCUAUAAGAAAGGAGCACACCUUCCAGCAAAUUAAGAAACAUGUAAAAUAGACAUGACAGUAUGCAUAAGGAUGUCGUAACUCGAAAUCGAAUGCCUUCACGAGUCCCCCAUCUUUGCCACGAUAACGAUGAAACCAGGGUCAGAUAUACAAUACAAGGCAAGCCUCAUACAUGAUUCACAUACUUCACUCACAAACCACCAAGGCUACCAAAGCAGACCACUUUAUCCCCAACUCUGCCACCAGACUGUAUGAAGGGUGUGGACCGUGUGGUAAGCUUGAAUUCUAUAUACGACUCAGACUCGAAUGCUGUACUGUUAUCUAUACUGGAGCACUCUAAAGCUAGCUCCAUCCCCUUUAACAUUACAGAUUUCCAUCACCAAAUCAUUAUAAGACUUUCUCUCUAGAUCUCUUUACUGGUGGAGGCGGUGAGAAUUCCAUCUGAACUUGUAGCUUAGAUGGAUCCAAAGAUAGUCUUUCUAUACAGAAAGCAUCUACAUCAAAGCCAGUGUCACUUUCCAUGUCAUUGCUAACUGACUCUUCAUCAACGUUCUUUCCACUUUCUCCUUCUAGUAUUGUUCUGAGAGAAUCUAGUCGACUUUGUUGCGAGGCCUGAUCCAACUUCAAGACACUCCUGAUUCUGUCAAGUGCUGGAUCUAUGAUGUCUAACAAUCCCAUAACCCAUGAAGCAUCAUCCACAACUUCAGUGCGCUAUUGCAAGAAACCAAAAACGGUACACUAUUAGCUUCCAAAAGUUGCAUUUGCAAUAUCAUUACUAAUAUUACUCAUAUGUAUAUAUAAGAUGCAGUAGCUAUGCUAAUUACUAACCUGCUGGAAAUAGAGAUCGCGAAUUUCCUCUGCACGGACAGAGUUCCCUUGAUUUUCUUCCAAUGAUGCCCAUGUCAUCCAUGUGACAUAACUCUGAGAAUUUAUAUUGAGAGAGGACCUGAAUAAUCUUCGGGCUGCGGAUAGGUUACCAUUUCUCUGUUCUAGAACUCCCCAAGCCUGCAAAACAUGGUCACUCGAAUGAAACCUUGACAAGAUGUAGUUCAUGUUGCUAACGCUAUGUGUUCAUUAAUACUUCCAUUGUCUUUUUAAUAAAAGACUUAACUGUUAGAAGUUUCAUGUUCGCAUAACACUAAGAGAAAAUGAGAUACUAUCUGGCUACUAUCGUUACCUGUAGGCAGCGAGCAGCAGUUUCACUAGUUGAGUUAAUAGACAAUGCCUUUUGGUAUAAUUUCCUUGCUGUGGCAAUGUUUCCUUCUUUCCAUUCCAUCCACCCCCAAGCCUAAAAACUCCAACAUUUUGGUAUCAACCAAUUAGUUUUCUGUUCAAUUAACAGUGAUGCAUGUAUGAAUAAUUAAGUCAUGUAAUCAAGGCCAUAAAUCUUAAGCUUAUUAAGGCCAAGAAUCAUUUUACCUAAAAAUUAAAUGACAUGAUUUAUUAAAUUGAUGAUGUGUCUAUGUGACAUGACAUGCCACAUAGGAUUAAGGCCAUAAAUCUUAGGCCUUAUUAAGGCCCUCUAGCACUAUCCAUCAAAAGAUAUAUCUAUCAGCUUAAUAUUGUCAACAGGCCAAUGCAUAAAUGAUGGAAAAUUCUGUUCCUUUUCAGUGAGAAACAAUGACUUGGCAGGAGAAAACCGUAGACAAAACGAUUAUCAAGGGUAGCCAGGGUAACAAAGGAAUGUAAUAGUUUGUAAUCCAUCCGAAGGAUCAAAUCCCCUCACCAUGGUGGACUAUUAUUUCUGAAAAAGCAAAAUAAUUCAUACGGGACUUAAACCAAUGAUCAUUGGGCAGUAGGAUAGUCACAGAUCAGAUUUGCAUCAUUCUCACAAUUAAUGAGGUAGUAAUCCCAAACAAAUAAGAUGUGCAUCAAUUUAUCUCAGCACUGAGAAGACUUCCUUACCGUCCACACUGGUUGAUGCCUCGGAUCCAACUCAGAUGCUCGCCUGAACAACUGUCGAGCAAGAUUUGCAGUAGAGUGUUCGUAUUCCAAUAAAGCAAGAGACUGAAGGAGGACUGGAUCCCUUGGAUUGAGCGCGUGGCCAAUCUUUAAUAAUUUUCUCCCCUUCUCAACAUUUCCCAUUUUAGCUUCAAAAAGUCCCCAAAUAUGCCAUGCAAACCUAUUCUUUGGGCUUGCCUGUAUUGAUUUCUGCAAAAAGAGGAGAACACCAAGUUGCCAUGUAGAAAGAAUCAAAAAACUGAGCUAGAGCUAAACAGAACACAACUUGGUUAUUGAAGCAUUCUAAGGAAAAGAUUGGUGAGAAUGUCUAAUGGAUUCAGAACACAUGCUGAUGCAUGACCAUAUAUUGUUAUGACCAAUCACCUCAAAAAGUUGCCUAGCAGCACGAUUAUUUUCCUGUUGCAUCUCCAUCUGAGCCCACGCCUGCAUCAUGAUUAUUCGACAAAUACAAUAAGAAAAGCAUCUCAACAUACCACAAACCACAAAAGACAUGGAAACUAACAUAACAGAGAGGCCUACAUGCAGGAAACUGAUGACUUACAAGCCAACUGGCACAGCUUUUAGGAUUGCAUCUAGUGGCCUGCCUGAACAAGUACCGAGCCUGCUCAUAGCGACUUGCUUUAGCUUCCAAUCGUGCCAAUGUCUGGUAUAUGUACUCAUUCCCACCACAAAAUUUCAAACCUUUAGCAAGCAGAUGCCUCGCCUUACUAAUAUUCCCUUGCUUCAGCUCUAAAACUCCCCAUCCAUGCCAGGCAGCAAUGUGCUUCUUAUCAGCAACCGUCGCCGCAUCAAAUAACUCCCUUGCUCUCCUUGUAUUCCCCAUCUUAUCUUCCAAAACAGCCCAACACUAUAACCAAAACACAACCACCUCAAUCUAUCAAUCCUACCAAAAGCAAAUUGCACAAAGAUCAAAAUCUCGAAAGCAAAGAGAACCACCGAACCUGCCAAAUGUAUGGAUUCUCUCCCUGCGUGGCUUGGCAACCUUUCUCAUACACAGCCCUCGCUUCGCCCCAUUUCGACUGCUUGCUUAACGCCUUCCCCAAUGCCACAUAACCUCUCCCAUCUUCCGGCCAGUAAUAUAUACACUUAAACCAACAAAUUAACCAAUUUCAGUUUCAGCUACUCACAACAAAUUAGCAAGUAAAAUGGUAAGUAUACCUUUUCGAGUAACUGCUGAGCUUCAGCAUAGCGGUAAUUUCUGGUCAAGAUCUUAGCUCUGUACAAGGCCAAGUCCAGGUUGACCUUCAACGGCUUCUCUUUGGGCUCCGACGCGGCGUCGCCGUCGUCGGGCUCGAAAAUCGCAAUCUUCUUGGCGAACUCGGCGAGGCCGACGUCGAGAGGGGAAGGGGCGGCAUCGGCGUCGGUCUCGGCGUCCAUGGAGGGGCGGCGAACGACGAGGACUGGUUUGGUGUCCGGCACGGCGGCAUUGGUUCGAGCGCGGUCGUCGGAGAGGGAGUCGUGGUCGAGGAGCUGGGUGGAGGAGGAGUCGAGGGAGGAGCAGCGGGGAGGGGAGGGGAGGGGUAGAACGGGGAUUUUGAAGGAGAAUUUGGAGAGGUGGUUAGGGUUUGAGAAGAGAGUGAAGUUGGGGUUUGAGGAUGAAGAAGAAGAAGAGAGGAGUUGCUGCAUUUCUCUCUUAACGGAUUAAACUGUGUUUGUAUGAUCUAAAAGUUGAAUCAAAUGUGAGGCGGGUAGGAGAAGAACGAUGCGGGUACAAUUACCGUUAUAGCCUUGUGCACUCUCUUUUCAAUCAUUUUCACCAAAACGUCUCGGACGUGUACACUUUUGCACCUACAAUGUUUCUUUUUAUUUUCUUCUAACAUCAUAGAGAGGGAAUCCAACAUCUGAUCUAGCCUAGUUUCAAUACGAGAUAUUUAAUCACAUAGUGCGGUGAGGUUGGCUGAGCAGCAUAGAUGGAACGUCAUGUUUAUUGUUCAAAGUCUCAUCUCUCACUAUUUUGUGGUUAGUAUGUUUGAUUUGUAUUUGAUUUCGUGUAUUUACGGUGAGAAAUUAGAUAAAAUUUAUUUGUCUACCAUGUCGUGAACCUUAAUUUAAAUAUUAGUAAGUAUGUUACUAACUUGAUAACGCAUAAAAAGUAAUUUCUUACCGAACAUCAAGUUACUAGAGAUCGUUUCUUUAAACAUAUACACAAGGGUACGUAUUUUUUUUUUUUUUCGAUUUCGUUGAGACACAAGGGAUGAUGAACGGGGGAUUACUUGUAUUUGUGAGAAUGGAACGGGUUUUGUGUAGGGUUAUUUUAGUCAAUCGGGAAAGACCGCGCGCAUUACCAACGGUUGCUGGUGGGCAUUUUGCCACGUUUUCACUUUCUGGUAUGGUUCUGGAAAAAGCAGAUUUUUACGACACGUGGGCGACUAUUAUUGGGCAAUUCCAGAAAGAUCAGAUUGUGUGUCGUCAAACUAUUUAAUAUAAAAUAAAAAGACAAAGAGGAUCGAAAGGAAGUAUGGGCUCGUAUCUACUGUGAUGCAUUUUUGCUCCAUUCAUCACUCUAAACUCUAAAUACAAUGAGUGAAUGACUUCAGUUGGACCGUGGAAAAUAAACUUGUAAACUACAAGCAAUCUUUCUGAUAAAUAGUUCAUCCGCAAUAAGAUCACAUUCUAAUUUUCUCUCUUAAGUGAUGAGGAUAGUUUUACCGACUAUUUAUUUCGUAGGCGAAAGUCAUCACUUUUUAGUGUACACUUUCGGCUACAAUCAGUCAUCACAAAUGUCGUAUUUCGUUUGUGGAACAGCGACUUCCUCGUACCGUGUUAAAUUUCAAAGAAAUAACUCAAAUAAGAUGACAGAUUAUUGAGUAAAUAAAGCAUGUGAAUGUACAAGUGAUUAUUAGAAAUGGGGUUAUAAACCCAGCAAAGAUUAAUGUACAGAUUAUCAAAACUGAAUUUUGGAUUGGAGAAAUUUCGACCUCCAAAUACCAAGUAUUGAACAACAAAUGUCUCUCCAAUUUCUCUGACAAAAAGAAUGAAACUGUAACCGGAUUCCUUUAUCUGAAAUGCUGAGCUAUGCUGUAAUUUGUUUACCUGCUUCAACUAGGAGAAUGACGCUGAGGAACUUUCAGGCUGAGGCUGGGAAAGUUUCAGCCCCGACACCACAAAAGAAAAAUAUAUAUGGCAUUUAUACAUAGCAGCCUGCCUCAAUUGGCAGUACAUACUUGGAAUUAACUUUAUUGAUCUCAGCAAGUCAGCUGACAGUUUCCAAUGAACAGGUCAAAAGAUGCUUUUCAGAACCUAGCUUUCAAUGGAAUCCCCAACGUUAGAGAGUCAUUCUUUGAGAACCUACCACCCCACUGCCUCUUUCGAGCUGGCCUGUGUUGCUUUUCAUCAGCUGUUUCAACCGUGGGAUCAACCUCAGGCAUCAACUGCUUGUCUGGCUCCUUUUUCAAGGUGAUUGGCUCCUUAAAGCGCUCCCCACGUUGCUCCAUUUUUGCCAUUGUUUGCAGAAUCCUUUGCUUGUCAUAUCCUUCUACAACUUUAUUCCCUUUAGAGGCAUUACGACUAUCAAACACUCCCUUUAUCAAGCUGUCGGCUGGUUCUGUAUAAUCAGAAGCAUGUUUUCUCUGCAAAGGAUGUGUGGUAUUCUGUUCUUGUGUUACAAUCUGGCCCUCCUCUAUAUCCAAAUCAGCAUUUUGAGCCGUAACUGGAAAAAUAUCAUGCCCUUUCUUGUUGUUUUGGUUCCAUAUAAUAUUUUGGGUGAUUUUGACUGCCCUCGCCUUCUCAGAUUCACAAGCUUGCGAAAUCCCUGAAGUCAUCCACUCUCCACCAAUCUCUGCACCCAUAUUUUCUGGCCUGCCAUUGUGCAUCAAAUUUCUGGCUUUAGAGCAUCUUGUAAGGAUCUGCAGUGUAUCACAAGGAAAUGUCACAAGCAUGUAAUAUAUCAGUAAUUGCAUAGGUAAAAGAGAUGAUUGAUAUCAGCAGCAGCAGCAGCAGAAUGCAUGAUAAAUAAAAUUCAAAAACCACCCCCACCCUCUCCGGGUCUUAUAAUUGUCCCUGACUUCUAUUCCCAUCCUUCCAAAACUGAUUUAUAAACUGUGACUGUUAUUACAAAAUUCAAGAUAAAUUCAAGUUAAAUGAUUAGAAGAUGACCAUCAACAUCUCAAGAUAUCUGUAUGCAUGGGUAAGCUUAAUUAACAGUAGGCACUGUGUUAUAACAUCAAACAAUGGAGUUAUAUGUUCAUAAAGAAUGCGGGUACUGAUAAUGUAAGCAAUAAGUUCUAAGCUCCAACUCCUAGUCUUUAAACAGCUAAAAAUAAUCUAUUUUGUGGUCAGCAGUUGCCUAGCUGCCAAUCCCUCCACAAGAAAACAACAGUUACUUCCUAGUCCAAGAUAACAUCUAUAGCGCUGAUCACUGAGUCUUUGGUAGACAACUAGAUAUCACUUGGCAACAGUUUCAGAUUUAAACUAAAAGCAUAAAAUGCUUCAGACAUAUAGGCUGAUAUAUUUUGCAGCAAGGCAGAGAAAACUUCAAUCAUGAAGGAUGAAAGAUAAUAAUCAAAUGUCUUCCCAAAGUAUUCAAUCAUUAAUCUGUGUUCCCAAACGAGUCUGACAACUAUGGACGAGGAUAAUCAAUAUAAUUUGUAGUAACUUUCAAUAAUAUGAAUUCAAAAGAAGAUAGUUUCUAGUACCUAAAAAAAUGAAAAGAAGACGCAUGCUUUAGAUCAGAUGAACCCAAAAGUAGAACACAGAAACAGAUACAGAAUAAAGAACAUGAAGAGGAAAAGCACAAAAGAAAAUAGAUUGUCUUCUUUAUAAUCUAUAGAAAAGUCAUUCAUAUGAGAAUAAAAAAAAACCAAAAACAAAAGGGAUGUCGGAUUCAUGCAAUUUGCAACCUUAAAUAGUAUAUAUAUUUGCCAACUUGAAGAGUGAGAUUCAAGCAACAUCUAAACGCCUCUCUUACUUAAAUAUUAGCAUAUAUUAACCCCAUCAUUUGAUUUGCAAUUUCUGGAAGAAGCUUCUUGCAUGAAAUCAACAUGCAUGGCAAAGCCUACUUUACAUUGAAAUGCCUGAGUAAUACUGAUCAGCACCAAAAUGAAAAAAAAAAAAACAAAAACAAAAAAAACAUUGAAAAUGAAUGAACUAACUACACAACUGGAAGGUCCUGCUACAAGUCAUUGCCUUGAUGAUUGCGGGAACCUUUUUCCCUCUCAUUUCCAGUUAUCAAGAACAAAUCAAAAAAGUAGAAGUCAUUAAAAGGUUCAUAAAACACAUUACUUGGCCAAGGGAAACUAAACACAUGACAUAGGAAACCAAAAAAAAUAAAACAAGAAAGAUGCAACGUGAUAUCAUUGACCAGAAUAAGUAAGGCUUGCUCAACUGAAUUGGAGCACUCAUAUAUACAAGUAAAGCCCUUGGUUUCUCCAACUUUACCUUUCGUUCCCUAACAGCCAAGUCCAUCGAAUUCCUGCACCUCACUGACUGCUCAUGCUUACCUCUAUACAUCUUAACGCUUCUAUUAACAAAGUUAGCACCAAUUUCUUUUCUGGGCAUUUUCAAUCUACGCUGCUCUGGCUGCAUAUUAUCAUAACGCAUUCCAUCACUUAAAGGACCAUAUUUAGCAUGAAAUUUUUCAUGCCGCACAUAUUUUCGAUAAGAACAGGAUGCUUUCUCAGAAUACAAUUUGUCAGCAUGAUGUCUGACAGUAAACUGAUCUUCAGUCCAGUGCAUAACUUCAGAACCCCAGUUCGAUCUUCUCCACCUUAAAUGAUCAUUAGCAUACACGUUAUCUUCAAUUUCAUAACCAUCAUAGUGAUCAUCAAACCAAUCAAUCUCAUUGGCUUCUUCAACAUCUAUUUUUCUCACAUGUCUCCAAUAUCUUUCGUCUGUUGUUCUUGGGCAAAAAACAUCAAUUCUUGGUGAUAUGGAGUGUUUCCAGCUUCCAUCAUCAGCUUUAUCUCUGUAAGACUGAUGGCGCAAGUGUCGAUUUUCUUUGGGUUUGCAAUGUACAUCUUCAAAAUUCUCAGAGUGUAAAUCAUCCAAAUACAUGGGACUGCCCACAUAUCCACCCCUUCGUCCCCAGUUAUUCAGUUGUCUCCUGACUGGUGGGAACUUCCUUUCAUCAAAAUCAUCAAAAUUAUUCCUUUUUCGACUAGUGAAUGAUGUGCAUCUCCCAGCUUUUUCUCCCAGAAAAUCGUCUUCAUGCCACUUAGAAUUGGGUAUUUUCUUAAACAGCAAUUUGUUGCUGUUCCUUCUCCACUGAGCAUCCCUUUUUCCAACAGUGUAGGAAUACCUAGCAUGCAACCCCCUGGACUCCCUGCUGGUAAGAGGACUCCUCUCCUCAGUGAACCGAGUAAUUCCAAAGUGGUUCCAAUCUGUAUCCGUAUCUUCACAACAAUUCUGCCUCUCAUUAAAAGUUCUAUUCACAUAUCGAUCUAGUUUCCGUUGGAGCUGGUGACUACCUUUUCUACUCGAAUACUUUCUCUGUUUUCUUUUAUUCUGAUCAUGGUUAUCAGCAUUUCUAAUGCCAUAAUGGCAGGAAAAUUUUGGUUCUUUAUAUUCUGAAAUAUCUGCUCUAUUAAUAUCACCAGAACCUCGCAGCCUCUCCUCCUGUCCGCGAGGAUUCUCUGAGCCAUUCCAGUCAUUUGGGUCCUCAGUAUCUGAGGUGAGAGACAUAUCAUUGUCAUUGUUUCUGUGAUUACUUGGUCCAUCAAUACUGUUGAGCCUCCCACCCUGAUGAUUAUGCUUCUUUUGAGAAGAACUUCUACACAUAGAAUAAUCUUGGAUAUCAACUCUUUUUCUCUUGAUGCAAUUGCCUUUUGAGUUCUUAAAAGAAGAUGUGGCAGACUUGCUUGGUUCAGUUUGUGAAUUCACCACAGACCUUACAGGAGUAUGAAUAUCUUCUGGAUCAAAAUGAGCACUGUUCCUGGAAGCUUCAGAAUCAGAUUCAAAACAUGAUGAAAUGAGACUAACUUCAUCAUCAUCAUCACUCAGCGAUAAUUGUGUUUCCAUCAUGUAUUGAUCAGCAGAGGAAGUAUUCCUGUCAGGACUUUCUGUCACUUUAUUAGCAAGUUCAAUAGCCUCCAAUGAGAUACCAUUCACCUCCUUAUGCCUAUUCCCAUCCACAUCAAUGACCUUGUUAUUUCUGUGAUCAUCAGAGUCUAUCGUCAUUGGAUGGGACACACUGAUCUUCUGGGAACACCUGAUGACAUACCAGGAAAAAUUACUACAUGUACAUACAGUAUCUGCAUAUAUAUUGUGUAUAUAUAUAAUAAUAAUUGAACCCACUAACACAGUAACAGUAGUUGUCACAUAACCAUACUGGCAUCAGACAGAAUACGAACCCAUCUAAUGUUCUCACGUCUACUUCUGGACUUCCUAAUGAUGAAUCAUCAUCAUAUGAGAUAUAAUCUUGGUUUCCAUUUGCAUCAAACUCCCCAUUUUCAGAUUUCUCAUGGGCCCUGCUAUUUGUAUGCCCAUGUUCCGCGCUAGAAUUAGGGGUUUCCUGGGUGGGAUCCUGCACAGAAAUCUACCCAGACACUUCAUUAGUGAUAAGAUAAUUACAGGUAACUUCAAAAUAUCCGCAAGACAAAUCAAAGUAAUAGCACACCUGUAUCACAACAUCAGAAUUCCAACUACGUGGAUGCCUGCUAUCAAAAGAUGGUUGGCGUUCAACAAUACUAUCUUCUAUCUGAAUUGUGUUUCCUAUGGGCUGAAACAAUCAAAAGCCAACAUAUUAUCUCACACCAAGUAUCUGAAUACACUACUGUGUGGGAAUAAUAUAAAAGUAUAUCGUAUUACAAAAGAGGAGAAAGGUAGAUCAACUAAAUCUGAUAUACCAGUUGUAACUGUCUUACUCUGCAAUCAGAAACUGUUGAUGAUGGAGGAGCAUAUGUCCAUGAUCCAGCAUAAUUCACUCCUGUAGACAUAAUUUCCUGGGCGAAUAUGCCAUGCUCAGAUCCAGCUUCAUUAGCCUAUUUAUACAGGAAUGACACAAUUGGAGAUGUCAAUACCAAAAACAUACAAUGGUUGUGGUUAUAUGAUAAGACUCCAAAAAGAAUCAAACAGACCUGAUAAAAUUUUGAAGAGCCAGGCGUGCCAUACUGCAUGGAUUUGACCCGCCGAAGUUGUUGCUGCUAUCAUUUAAGCAUUAGGGUUCAAUUCAAUGAAGUGCAGUAUUGCAGAAAAGCAGUAACAACGAGUUGCCAUAAGGCCAGAGCAUUUAUAGCAUACCCACAAGUUUCUCUCUAUAAAAAGUUUAGGAAUUUUUUAUUUUUCAACCUGCCAGAAUACCCAAACGUGAGAUUUAAGCAUCAAAUCAGCACUACUUCACUUACCAGGGAUUUACAGUACUCUUUCCAGCUGUCCUCAUUCAAAUCAAAAUUGAAGUAAUCUGUUAAAUCAACUCCAGGAUACCUCCAUGACUUCUCCUCAAACGAUUCAAUAUCCACGUCCAGUAUUGUCCUGUAAGAAAUGUCAUGCCUUUGGUCAAACUUUAACACAGUACUAUUCAAAAUCAUUUUAUGCUCUACAGGGGGCUAAUAUUUUUUGGUUGAGUUAAUGUCUAUUUUGAUACAUACUUCCAUGGAACUCAACAAAUUGAAAGUGAACAACUGAAGAAAUUGGGCCUUGUGCAGAAUUAAAAUUUCAGACGCAUGUACUAACCUAUACCAAGGAAGUCGAAAACCAAAUCUGUUUCGAGUCACCACUGGAUUAGGUGUAUCACGAACACAACUGAUCUGAGAGUGGUCUCCUCCGAACGGCAUGGAAGACACCAAAUCCACAGAUUCAUUGCCUCUUCCAUUGCUUGCACAAGCCGAUCCUUGAGUCCAUACAUACUACACAAAACCACCAUACCAUCUCUCAUUUAGGAACUUAGCAAAGCUAAAAACAAAAAAAACACAACAAGGUAGUCCUUCACAUGAAAAUCACCAAUUCGAAAUUGAAAUGCUUAAAACACCAAGAAUACUAAUAUAAUCCAAAUUCAGUUCUAUCAUCAUAAAAGUCUCUAAAACCACACAUUGAAAACUACAGCCUCCAAAUUCAUUAACAAAAAAAACUAAUACAAUACCUUGGAAUCUUUGAUAGCCACAAAAGCAUCAUCAUCCUCAUCAUCACAAUCAUCAAUCCUCAUGCUCCCACCACCCGAAAUCGGAAAGGGAAUACCUUUACAGCCCUCAUCAUUCAAAACUAUAUUGAGAUCAUCCUCACUGUCACUAUCACUGUACUCCUCAUUCGAUUCGGAACCCGAAACUUUACCGCCCAAUUCCUCAGACACAGAACUGAGUUGCUUAGAAUCGGAGACCAAACCCUCGCCGCCGUUCUUUUUAUCGUUAUUACUAUCAUUUCUAUCUUCUCCUUCUUCUUCUUCGGGUUGAGUAUAGAACUGAGUGAAGUUGGAGACGCCAUUGAUGGCUGAAGAGGCCUGGGUAUCAACUUCAGUGUAGAUGUCUCCGAAAUCGUCGUCCAAAUCUGCCAUGGAUAAUUAAACCCAGGAAUUGAAGAUGGGGAAUUUUUUUUUGUAGGGUUGAGGGUUUAGGGGUGAGAGAAAAGCUCCAUGGAUAGGAAUGAGAGCGCUGCGGAAAUGCUAACCCCCCUUAAACCCCUUUCGACUGUUCUAAAGGGCCUAAAACCCUACUCCACUGCCACAGUGACCAUAACGGCGUUAACUACGGAGCUUUCUUUAACGGAUUUUUCUUUUUUUUAUAAAGGGUAAAAUGUGAGGAAGCAAAUAGAUAUAUAUAUUUUUUUUUUAUCACGCGAGCCAGUGACAUAGCAAGUUUUCUCGUUUAUGUUAGUAAAUUAAUAACACACCCAUCUAUAGACUGAGAUUCAUAAGAGUAUCUCAACAAAGUCAAACUAAUCUUCUGUUGUGAAAUGUGAAGACAUGAACCCAAAUGUUUUUUAAAUAAAUUAACAUUUUGUCUUUUAUUGCAGAGGACAAACCUAAAGACCCUUUUAAUCCGUCGCAAGAGAGAAACCUAAAGAGUAAAGACCCUUUUAAUCCGUCGCAAUUGUAAGUGAAGAAUUAGACUUAUUGGUUUUGACAACUAUUCAUGGGACUUGAUCAACGUGAAUUAUUCACACAAUUCAUAACUCAAGUACUCAACUGAUAUUCACACAACCAUUCAUGCAUGAAUUGGAGGGCGUUUUUUUUCUUCUUCUUUUGUUACACUUUUUCUUAAAGUGUGCCACUUCAUGGAAUUAUGGUUUAACAAUAUCACUGAGCUGCUUAAUCUAUGGUCUGACGAGUGUUUGCUCUAACAUUUGAUCUAAUAGAAAGCUAUUCUUCGUAGAGGUUGCGAAGUUCAACUCCUCACUCUCCGGUUUGCCCGUGAAACAUUAAUCACACUUCAAUGCACGAGUAAUCUCCCAUGAGGUUCCCUCAGUUUCUAGCACAAGAGCAUCGCCAGAUCCAGAACCUUCUCUAUUGCAAUUAACAAUUGCCACCUUGAACCUCUCAUUAUGUAAUGAAGAGGGAUACAUAAAUUGUUCUUCCUGCAUUAAAAACGAAAAACGCAAGUAAGAAUGAGAACCAGUUGACCAAAAACAGAAGCUAAAAUCAUCAGUAUAAUGUUGGUGACUUGUAACAUAACCUGUUAGGACAAUUCUCAAGUUGCACACUGUCAACAUUCAGUUCAACCUUACAGAAACAGUAAAUGUCAUUUUGGGUUAUAGUAUAUUACCUCAGGUAGUUUGAAGAAUUCGUCAGGAGAGAUUUGCAGGAUCUCUGUAGCAGUAUGGCCAGUACACCAUGCUAAAACUUUCCCACUCUUAUCAGCAAGGGUCACUUUCAGGUGGAAAGUGCGAACUACUUCAUCACAAUUCUCAUUACAGAAGCUGCAUUCAGAAACUCCCAUGGGUUGCUCAGUAACCAAAUGACCACAUACAGCAUGUGAAAACCUUGUACUGAGAUGAAAUUGAGCCAUUUCUAGCCGAAUGUGAACUAUCUGCCCACAUGAUAAAAGAUAAUCUAUGUCUUAAUAGAGAAUAGAAAGCAUACUACCUUUUGCAACAAACAGAAAACACCCCUUCAUGCAGGACAAAAUUUGAUGACAAACUCAUACCUGAGUACAGGUAGUCUGGCUGGAGAGAUCAGAGAGCUUUGUUAGUUUAUGAAGACAGGAUGAGUUUAGCAACGCUGGCAAGCAACUGAGGUUGAAGAAAGAAGCUCCACCAGUAUUCUCGGACCAUAUUGCUUCUAGACUGUUGUGGCAUCUGUUUAGCUGGAACCUAAACAUAACAAGAAUAAAUUCAAAAUCAUGGUUGCAAAACUAUUUAGGAACAACUGGAAAGUGUGUAAACUAUAACUGAGAGUGACUAAUUGCAAAGUUUGGAGCUAGUUUUAACCAGCCUGUAUAUUCACUACUGAUGACAAUUGUAACUGAGCUUACCCCUUCCGCUUCGUCAUAGAGCAUGUCAGACCUGAUAUGUAGACUGUGUGGCCAAGGCUUAAUCUUCCCAGUGACCUAUAUAAUACAUGUUUUGAAGUGAAAAGCACAUCAAAAUGUGGAAAAAAUUGGGGAGGGGGCUGUAAAACCAGUAAUAUCAAUAUAACUAACUUAUAAGAUCCAUACCAGUAUUUCACAAAAUGUAAUCUAGUCCAAAUUGCUCCACUGGUAUCUUCGAUUUUCAAUGAGAAGAUAGCUUCUGUGGUACAUCUUUCUUUGAUGAUACUUGUAACAACACCAUAAAGGCUGACGCCUGUCAUCUUGUCACGAAGAUCGGAAACAUAGGACUGCAAAACUUCACACAGGUAAGAUAUGUUAAUAACAAAUUAGAUUAGAAGACUGAGCAAUGCCAAUUUCAAGUAUAAAGCAUUUGGGCAGUUAAUUUCAAACAACUUGCCCACAUAGCAUGGCAAGUAAACAAGCACAUGGAGAGAAUAAUUGAAAGAGAAAAAUGAUGAUUUUUGAAGAAAAACAACAAUAAUAACCCACCCACCAUACCCAACUUGAAUAGAGUACAAGUUGAAAAGGUUCAAGCAACUGCGGUUUCAUGAAUUAGUAAUAAUGCAUCCUUUUAGCAGCAUUGUGCUCAUAGCUUCUAAGAGCAAUUUGAUUGGACAUAAUGGAAUUCAAUUAAGAUGAGGAAACGUAAAGGAAGUAAACUCACUUGAAAAGGAUAACUACUGAAAUCAAUAGACCCAUGUGAAUCACAGGGCAAGGAAACUUGAGAAACUUGUGUACUCUGACUAGGAUCUAUUGUGCUUAGCAGUCUUGAUCCUUGACGGCGAUUUGGUCUCAGUGCUAUACAUAACUGAGUAAUACAAAAUUUUAGCAUCCACCUUAAAUGAUAGCUCAUUAUACAGAUGACUGAGCAUUACUUACUUGUUCCUUGUGUUGAACAACAGGGACCAAAAACAAUUGUGUUGCACUACCGAAUUCAAGGGAAACUUCAGCACUUGUUCCAGCAGCAUUGUCUGCUGAACUUGCAAUAUAUGGUUUAUCCAGUGCAAGCAUACUUCCCAAGCUGGGGAAACUCAAUCAUGAGCAUAUAUAGGAUGAAAGCAUCAGAAAAUGUCAUUGGAUGCAAGAGUUUACCUCAAAAGAUUUGUCAGGACAACCUGUUCACCCCACAGCACAAACUGUAACUUGGUACCAUCGUCAUCUACCAGAGUGAUUUGUUUCCUUUGUAAAGUUCCAGACUCUCCUAGAACUUCCAGGGGGCCAAUGUGCUCAAUUCUGCACAGAAAUAGGAAAGCAUGUUACACGAUUGCUGACUAGUAACAUGUCAACAGAUCAAUUAGAAAUGGUCUAGGUCAUGAGAUUAUAAUUUCAGUAUAGCAUUAGCUCAUAUUUAUAAAGGCUAUUUGAUUAUAAGUCCCAAGUCCUCAUUAGAAUAUCUGAUACUCAAAUCUACUCAAAAUUGAUUAUUAAAUCAAAGCCUAGAUAGCAUAAGGCUGAGCUUAUGGAUAUAUAUCAGCAAUUUUAGCUUACCUUGCGUACAAUGAAUAAUAAACAUUUUUACUAAAUGCAUCAAGAGAAACUGAAGAGAAUGUAUCUGAACAAAACUGAGCUGCUAGCAGCAUUGCAUCAGCAUCAUCAUCCUACAUUGAUGAAAGCAGCUAAAUGUAAGACGACGAAAAAAAAAAUUCCAAACACAAGUCGUUGUCUCAAGCUUCCCAGGUCGUCAAAGUUGAAUAUUACCUCAUCUAACAAUACUACAAGAUAUUCUGUUGGCAACAACCGCGGACAGCGAGACCCUCCUCCAGAAGCACGAAGAUAGCACCCUGUGAGGAAGAUCUGCCUUCCUUUGUUGAGAAUCCCAUUAGUGGGAUUUAUCAAGUCAUAGUACCUGUACAGACAAAUACCAAUCAUAAAAUCUCCAACGACUAUGUAUAUGCACAUGUAAAAGUAACACAAGCCUAUAAUAACAACACCCUACAUAUACAUCUGCUUAUUUGUUUGAGCAGCGCUCAUCGGGUUCCUUAAAAUCAGAAAUAUAAAAGGCAUACCGACUCAUACGCAAUACAUCAUUAAAGUAAAAAUAUUUUACUUUUGGUGGAGAUAAAGAUCAAUGGUAUUGGUGCUCCAAAAAUCCCCCAGGGAAAGCAUAUAAAUCUUGGUGCCUAAAACAAAACGAGUAGCAAUGUCAAUGAAACAACAUAUCAACAUCACAUUAAAGACUAAAGCAAAAACUUCAGAAACUAACAAAUUACCGGGGAGAACAUAAACGUCGACAAUAACCGCCUCCAAAACACUUUUCAAUGACAAGAAAUUCUUCUCAUAAAUGGAAUCAAUAGUCACAGUAUUCGGAAGCUUCCUCCGCUUAUGCUUCUUUCGCAACUCCCUCACGCAUUCUGGCAUCUUCUUCAUCGGCCGGUCCCUAUUUUGCUCAUGCCAUGCCUAAUCAAAUCAAACACAAUCCCAAUCAUUCCAAAUCCCUAACAUCUCAUCACCAACCAAAACACAAACCGAAAACCAAAACCCAAUCCGGCUAAAAACCCAUACCUGGGAGAGAUCGGAGAGCAGAAUCGCGGCCGUAACGCCGCUAGAGUAGGCGCUGCAGGUCUUGAGAAUCCGAGAAACGAUCCAAUUCCAGCUGGGCCGGGCGGUCUCCGAUCCGUUUCCGUUCGGAUCCGGAUCUUCGUCGGCUUCAGGGGAGAGAGCAGACCUGGCAUAGUCGAUGAAUUUGAGGAGUGAGUCAUCUUGUGGUUGCGGAUCGACUGAGUUCAUUUUCCGCCGAGCUUACUGUAAAACCCUACUGAACUCAACUCGGGGUUAUGUAAGGGAGGGAAGAGACACUCGUUCGGCGUUUUGGCGCGGGUUUUGAAAAUUGUGCUGGGCCGGCCCAUACAUGGUUUCGGGUCGACAAAAAGAACCGGCCCACAUAUAACGACCAAUGGGCUGAACUUUUCGAUUAUUUAUUUUAUUAUUAGCAUUUUUCAGUUCAAUUCAUAAAAAUUAGAAGCACCUCGUUGCUGAAUUUAAAGCGAAAAAAUUGGGGGCAAUAGUAGAUUUGAUGUACUGUAGGGCGUAGGCUAUGCCUUGAUUUAGUUUUCAAUUACCAUGAAAAGAAUGAAUCAGAGAAAAUCAAAAAAGAACACAACAAUUACUACAAUAGAUGUGUACAUAUCAAAUUAGCUGCAUUGUCGUAUUUUUGUCCACCGCUGAUAUGGUGCCUAUGCACCAUAGUAGAUUUGAUGUACUGUAGGGCGUAGGCUAUGCCUUGAUUUAGUUUUCAAUUACCAUGAAAAGAAUGAAUCAGAGAAAAUCAAAAAAGAACACAACAAUUACUACAAUAGAUGUGUACAUAUCAAAUUAGCUGCAUUGUCGUAUUUUUGUCCACCGCUGAUAUGGUGCCUAUGCCUAAAGAAGUUAUCUCCCCUUCCCCACUGCAAAUCACAAACAAAACUCGGAAGGAGAAGUAGAGAAAAUUUCAAGGGGAUCACUGAGAAAGAGAAAUCUAAAAGAUAUACUGUAGCAGUGUCACAAAAGUAAGUCUCAGCUAGAAGAUACUUGAACCAGCACUCUGUCGUGCAGGAAAGGACCACAUUAGACUUGAAUUGUCCUUAUAUCUCGCGUUUUAGAGUCACGCUGGUGAUCCCUACUGGAGAUUUAGGCCGAUAAUGUUCAUCUGUAUCAACCUCUUCAAUUUCCUGAUGGGCACACCGUAUCAAAAGGUUAAACAUGAGAAAACCAAGCCUAGACGUGAUAAAAGGUUACUCAAGAAGCUCAAAUUUUUUACCUGCACCACAUCCUCUCCUUUGACGACACGUCCAAACACAAUAAGCUUGUCAUUUAAAUCAGGUAUAGGUGCCGUCGUGAUAACAAGCUCAAAUCCUUUGUUCUCUAGUUUAUUCUUUGUAGUUCCAAGCAUAAAUGCUUCAUGCUUUGGACUGUGUGUUCACAGGGUAAGAUUACGCCAUCAGCUUGGGACAAAGAGCAACAUACCAGCCAAACAAAGAUCAUUCAAAAAACAAACCUUGUCACAAGUUGACUACGAAGCUUCCCUUUUGAUAUCCAAUCUUCAGCUACUCCAAGUCCUUGGGAAUCUCCUCCCUUAAUUACGUAGUGUUUAAUGACAUGACUGAAGAGCAUCCCUUUGAAGUGUCCCUUUUGACUGAAUACUAAGGUGUUAGAAGUGUCUUGAAGGUGUACUAUAUAUCAUAACAUUAUUAUUACAACACAGAAAUCAAACAAGCUUAGUAAUAAAACAAUGCUAAAUGAUUCAGUUAAUGAAGUUAUGAUUUUACUUAUAUUUAAUAUUUGAGACCUAAGGUAGCCUAGAAUUAAGUCAAUUUGGUAUCUGCACCAGUAACUUUUCAGAUAAAGCAGAAUACUCUAAGCAACAGUGUACGUUUCACGAUUCACAANNNNNNNNNNNNNNNNNNNNAUUUUUUUUUUUUUUUUCUAUUUUUUGUUUUGUUCAAGGAGUCUUUUGCUUCACCAGGAAAUUCAAGAAUAAAGUAAAUAUAAGUAUGAAUGUUUAUAGGUCAAGUAGUUCCAGACAUUGUUAAGGCUAUGCACUAAGUUCCACUCUCUGUUAUUUUCAAGUUACAUACACUCACUCUAUUGGCAAACUACUAGGAAGAUUUUUGAUAGCUAAAUUGCACAUGAUCCAAAUAAAGAUGAACUUUAAUAGGUUCAAGUAGUUCCAGAUAUUGUUGAGGCAAUGCACCAAGUUCCACUCUCCGUUAUUUUGAACUCACAUACUCUCACUCUAUUGGUAAACUAAGCCUCAAACAGGUUUGUUUGUGAUAACUAAACUGCAUAUGUAUCAAAGUAAAGAUUAAGGGUCUAUGCAUUAUUGGAUACUUACCAUAAGUCAAGAAAUCUAUCCACAACCUCUGGAGAACCAUCCUUGUAAAGUUCCACUGUGAUAUAACCUUUUGAUGUGUUUAAAAUCUGAAACAAAAUGAGGUAUGAAAAGGGAGGAAGUUAGUGACAACAUCCAAAAGCAGAUACACUUGUCUAUGUUACACCAAAUCAAACAGCCAAACCUAAUAUAUCAGCAGCAGAACCGGAAAUGAAAUGCUCUAAAGAAAUCAAUCCAGAAAUCGCCUGUGUCUUAAAGUUUUGCACUUUCCUACAAAACUAUAACUGAAUGUAUCUUAUCUUUCCACUUUCCUGUAAGUCUAUAACUGAAUGAGUAACGUUGCAUUGUAGCACACAUGUCAACAACAUUGAAAUUGGCAUUCAAAACUUGCUUGUUAUUACAUUCACUGAUUUCAAUACUAAUUGCUUAGUUACCAUUUCAUCCAAACUUCCAAAUACAAUAAAUUUUGUUUACACGUGACGAGCAAUCCUAAAAUAUUCAUCUAGAACUGAAAAUCAAUAGAGAAGCACUGAUAUAACACAAAAAAACAGCGAGUAGGGGAAUCAAAUGUGUAGAAAACUUACAGCGUAACCAGGAAGAUCAUCCUUCUUGGCAAACGCAUCCAUUUCCUGGGCGGAACACAAAUCAAUAAAACUCAGUCAAAAGCACAAAUCUAGCAGUAACAAUAGCAACAAGAGAAAGGUAAUUACCCCUGAAGCAGAAAAGUCCGACCCGGAAUGGUCCAGUGACCUAAAAAUCAGUAAGCACAAACCAAUUGUCAGUAGCUGAAACUAUCAAUCUCAACAAAAUCAAAUCACGCAGAAAUCGGAAGUGAUUUGACCUUCUGGACCAGUAGCGGUAAGUGGCGACCAAGGACAAGGCGAUCAAAGCGAUUAUAAGAUUGCACAUAACUAUGGUAGCGACACUGAUUCGAGUCGGCCCCUUCUUCUUCUUGCUCUGAAGUAGCAGCGCCUGCGGCUUUAUCCGAGCCAUCAACUUUGACUUUAACUCUACACAACAAUUAUCAAAUCCAAAUGAGUUCAACCCUAGAAUUUCAGAAGAGUGGAAAUUGGAGAAGGAAUUUUACCUGGGGGAUUUGGGUGUUUCGGAGAUGGAUGGGUUUGGGUUUGGCGUUUGGGUUUGGUGGGUGAUUUCAGAUUCCUCACCCGGUUUUAUCUAUUCGAUCUUCUUCUUUUUUAGCUUCUUGUUUGUCAUGUAUUUCAAAUUUGACGAAAUGGUGGAGCCCACCACCACCUCAGAUUGUUCUUUUCUCGGGGCUCCGGUUCGUUUUGGGGUACCAGUUCUGGGUUUGGAUCUGUCAAUUUUUCGGUUUCUUUUUUUAAAUUUCUUUUCUUGGGGUUGGACCAAAGAAAUUUCUUUUUUUAGAUUUUUCUAAGACAAUCUAGAAAAUAAGAAGACAUUAAGAAGCAUAGCACGCGACAUUAUGAGGUGGAUACGACAUAGAUGAUAGAUUAUUAUAUAUUUUAUUUUGUAGUCGUAACUCAGAGUUAAACUGACUGUAUUAUAUUAAAACCAAUGACGGAAUCAGAAUUUACAUUUUAAGGGGGUCUAAAGUUAAAAGGAAAAAUAACUUGGUGUUAAAAAGAAAAAAUUAAUCAAAAGCAUCAACAAUAGACUUAGCAAUAAAGCCCUACGUUCAAAAGUUUUAGCCAUUUUUCUUUAAACUAAUUACUUGUCAAAUGCAUUUGCCAUUAUCAUGAUGAUUUUUUUCAUGUACAAAUCGAACAAAACAUUAAAAAUUGAUACAAGUUCAAUCGAAAAUACAAUAAGAUCAAAGAAAUCUGAUUAUAGCUUUAAUUAGAUAUUGCAGGAAGAGAAGUGUUGAAGAAAUCUUGAUAGAAGCUACUGAGGGUUUCAACAAUAAUUUGUUAUCCCUUCAGUAUUUUGACUUUUGUUAAUUGUUAUUUGAUUGAUAUACUUAUUUUAAUUAAUUAGUUAUUUGUUUUACAUGUAUUCUUAUUUCUAUACAGCUCUUACUAUACAACUUUUUAUAAUCAGUUUAUGCAUCAAAAUAGGUAAUCAUGUGGGUUUGGGAUGGGCUGGGGAGGUCCAAUACAAGAAUGGAAGGUAUUUCGUUGAGUUUAUGGGUGGUUUAUGAACAACAUGCAUGUAAAUUAGCGUGUCAGUCAGAUUGCUGGCAGGGGUUCGAACCCCACCAGACCGUAACACUCCGCCCCUGAAUUUAGAACCAUUCAUUUGGUUACCAAUAUAAAAGUUGAGAUUAGAUGAAAGUGAUAGUAUUUUGAUUGUUUAAGUAAAAUCAUUGAGUUCCAACUUAAUGGUAGGUGUCUAGGUGAUCAUAAAUUUCUUAAUCAGCAUACGAUUAAAGGAACAUUACUCAAUGACAACGAUGUUAUGUACAGUAACAUUACUCAAGCUGCCAUUCACUUAUUUGGGUGUUCCGAUUUUCAUUGGUCGACCGAAGAGACGUUAUUUUCAGGGGCUUGCUGAUAGAGUCAAAAGUCGAUUCUCACAAUGGCGUGAAAGCUCCCUUUUUAUGGCUGGUCGAGUGGUUCUGGUUAACUCGGUGAUUACUAGUAUGCUCUCUCAUAGUUUUUUUGUCUAUUCUUGGCCUCAAACAGUGUUAUCUGAUUUACGAAGGUGGGUAAAGAAUUUUGUCUGGACAGGAAAUCUACUUUCUUGUGGAUAUUCUACUGUUGCAUGGGCGAAAUGUUGUUCCCCAAUCAGUAAAGGGGGGCUUGGUCUCAAAAAUUUUCCAGUUCUUAAUAGAGCGUUUCUUCUGAAAAUUUUUUAGGAUAUUCUUACUUCUUCUUCCAUGGCUUCUACCUUCUUUCGACGACGUUUUUUAAAUAAGUUUGAACAGCCAUGCACUUACUACAAGCGUUCUUCUAUCUGCCUGGUUUUCGUCCUCUCUUCCAAGAUAUUUUGGAUGGUUCACAAUGGAUUAUAGGCUCUAAUACAACCCUUGACUUCUGGCAUCAUAAUUGGUUGGGUUCUUCAGUCAUUGAGCGCUUGAAUAUUCCAGUUUCAGUAGCUAAUACUCUACAAUUGAAGUUGUCGAAUUUUCUUAAUAAUAGUUGCUGGGUUUGUCCCAUUAACUUACAUUCAUUGUGUGCGCCUUUUUGGGAAGAUAUCAUCAAGAUUACUCUCCUUUUCAAAGAUGGUUGCAUAGACAGGUUGGUUUGGAAGUCUGCAAAGGAUGGUAAGCUAGCAGUAGCUCUUGCUUAUGAUUUACAAACGUCCUCAUCUUCCUAGAGUUCCUUGGGCUCGGUUUGUUUGGCAUUUAUGUUUUCGUGCUAGGAACUCAGUAGUUUUGUGGAAAUACAUGCAUGGAAAGUUACUUACUGAUGAUAUUCGACAACUUCGUGGCUGCCAUUUGUCUUCAGUUUGCUCCCUUUGUCAUAAUAAUGUUAAGACUGCAGAGCACCUCUUUUUGCAUUGUUCUUUUGCAACUAAUAUCUGGGGGAAUCUUCUAGAUUUGUUUCAGGUUUAGGGUGUCUUCAAUGAUAUUAUUUCUUUCUUUACCUACCAAGUACGUCAUGGUUAUAGCUCUCAGUUGACUUUGUUAUGGUGGGGAAUGAUUGGAGCUGGUUUUUAUGCUAUUUGGCAUGCAAGGAAUGCUCUUCGCUUUCAAGAGUUAUUCAUAUUGUCACGUUCCUUACUCUAUUCUAUUAAGAUGCAACUUCAUGAGAUUAAUUUUUUGAGUAAGGGCACAAUGAAGAAUAUUGUAGGUGAGCUUUGCAUUUUACAUCGCAUUGGUAUUAAGGGUAGGCCAUCUAAAGCUUCGAAAAUUGUUGAAGUUAUGUGGCAUGUUCCCUCUAUUUAUCAAGUCAAGCUUAACACUGAUGGUGCGGCUCGUGGCUCUCCUGGUAUGGCAGGUUUUGGUGGCAUUUUUCGAGAUCAUUUGGGUCAGGUUUUAGGUUGUUUUUCAGGAAAUCUUGGCAUUGCUACUGCAUUAGAAGCUGAGCUGCAGGCGGUCAUUCACGCCAUUCAAAUGGCUUCGCAGAGAGGUUGGCAUUCUCUUUGGAUUGAAAGUGAUUCUACUUUAGUGAUUCAUUUUCUUUCUUCAUUUCAAGUAGAUGUUCCUUGGCAUUUCACUACUAAAUGGUUUAACUGUCGGACUAUUCUUACUACUAUGACUGUUAAAGUAUCUCAUAUUUAUCGGGAGGGUAACAGCGUUAUCGACUGCUUAGCAAAUUUUGGUGCGGAUAAUGCGGGAGUUCAUUGGUGGGAUUCAUGUCCAUCUUGUGCAAUUACAACUUAUUCACGUGAUUUAGCAGGCUUUCCCAACUAUCGUUUUAGUUUCUGAUCUUAUAUUGGUUUUUUUAUUUAUAAUUCUUUAGGCAACAGCAUCAACGAAUUUGUUCUUCGUUGUUCUUUGUCCUUAGUAGAUCACGUACAGGUUUUUGUGUUGUUCUUCUUUUUUCGGGAGGGGUUUUGGUCUAUGUCCCCCUCUCCUUUUAUGUACUCUUUUGUUUCUUUUUUUUUAAUAAAAUAACUGAAACCGGGCGUAGGGCUGAGCCUCCCAGCUUGACUGGUUCCAAACCCUUAUAAAAAAAUAAAAUAAAAACAUACUCUUAUGAUUAGCAGAUACAUGUACUCCCUCGUCUUGCCUCCUCGCAUGUGAAGACUACAUAUUCUUAUAGCCCUUGGCAUGCAUGUUGCCAACAACUUCAAUGGUUUGGAACAUGUAUUUGAUCUAGUUCAUCAUCUGACACUCAAACCAUAUCAAAAUCCAUUUAUUACACACAGAGAGGCAUGCUGGUGGUUCUUGAAGUCGUUGACCUGCUCGAUCUCGUGGCGCUGAUAGUUCCAGAACAUCUGGAGCUGCUGCUGCUGGGCUGGAGGAGGUGGUGGAAGGGCAGCGCCACGACGGAGGACUGCGGCGGAGGGGGCUGGGUGGGUGGGUAGGUGGCGGUCUAGGCGGUGGUGGCGGCGACGACGGCGUUGGAGUUGGAGUUGUUGGUGUUGUUUUUCAUUGAUAGUGUUGAAGAUAGGUCUGCUGCAGUGUGGAAUGCUUUGGGACUUGAUUAAGAUGAAGGUGUUCUUCCAGUGACUUGGUCCAUGGCAUAGUUAGCUAGCUAUAGCUACUUUAGUAGCGUAUGAGUAUGAGAUGAGAUGGAGGAGGAGGAAGAAGAUAUGGAUUUGGUAUGAGAUGAGACGGCGGAGGAGGAAGAAGACGGAGACAAGAUUGGGUAAGGAAUAGCAGGAUACUUGCUUUAAUUGAUUUGGUACACUAUCCAUUGGAUCAACUCACUUAAGAUGUAACGGUCAUCACAAUUUCAUCCUGUUUUGUCCCUUAAAAAUUGGUCCGCAGGUGAGCAGCCCUGCAGAGAGAGGUCCAGCCUCCUCUUGUAAAGUAUGGUCUGGGUGGCACCAUCACCAGGUGUGCCCUGCUGGAGGAGCAGGAGGAUCCUAUGAUUUACGUCACCACCCCAAUCAGUGGCUCAUAUAUGGAAAAGAACUCCUGUUGCUUAUCUUCCGCGAACCAAAACGAAUCCUUUAGUCAAAUGUGUGAUUUUGCUUUCCUUUCUGUUUUUUACAAGCAUGAUCAGUAUAUCAAAGACUACAUCAAUCAAAAACUAUUUUAAACCAAAUCACAAGUUCAUUUAGAAAACAAUGGGGGACUCAAGUCAUCAAAAUCAAAUAGGACAUACAGAAAAAUAGAAGUGGGAUAGCCUGGAUCAUGAUACCUUCCAUUUUUAAUGGGAGAAGAUGACUAGGAGAAAGAAAAUUCACCAAUAAUCAAGUACUUAGGGUCUUUAUUUAUUAAAUUGCUACAACACCACUGGUCAAAGGAGAAUCAGUGAAUCACAGUCACUCUCCAUAUCAACCUUUACAACUGGAAAAGGAAGCCAUGCUCGUACAAGAGCAGCAAACACAAUCAGAUUAUUAUUAGCCAAUUCAAACACAUCCAAAACCCAAACAUCAAUCCCUCUCUUAAAGUUCACAAACAGAAAAACUUGGAUCCUGAAAUCAAUUUGGUAUCCUUAGAGAAACCACUGGUGUACAGCAACUCCUAUAUCCCUUAGCCUUCCAUGUAGAGCAACACACUCCCAAUAAGCUCUCUUGCUCUUAUCACUAUUUCCAUUCUGCCACCAUUCAUUGUUACACUCCAAAAACAACUCAUCCACCAGACAGAUUGUACUCUUCUGCAUCAUAUCCACAACUACUUCUGCUUCUGCUUUCAUCACAACAUAGUCCUCUUCCUUCACAUUCUCCUUUAGCCAACCCGAAACAUCCUUCUGCGGCUUGCUUGAGGCUUCUUCUGCUUCAGCUUCUACUUCAAGGUUGUGUACUUCAAAUUCCGUAUUCAUUUUCGGAUAGUUUUGAUGAAACCAUUCAACUGUGCCACUAUUUUGCUCAUUCAAGUCCACAUUAACAAACAGACGGCGCUCGUAAUUUUCAAGAGAAUUCCCCAACAGGUCAGGAAGGAACUUCAUCUUCUUCAAGUACUGGCUUGAUUUUGCCAAUGCACGUCUUGGCGGCUCAAGCAAAACAUCUUCAAGACCCUGUAGGACGGCCUCCUUGGCCUCACUUCCGAAUUGGCAAAGCCGCCGGCGGUCUGGACUCUCCAGCUGCUGCUCACCAGCCGCACCGGUCUUCCUCAUUGCCACAAAAGUUGAACUGUAUCGGCGAAGAUACACAAUCUUGUAAUUGGAUUUUUUGCUAAAAGCAUUUGAAGGGUCAUUGCUUAGAGGAACAGCAACAAUGCCACCAACUUUCAAGACGCGAUCCACAAAUUUAGCGUCAACUAAAUCAAACGCGAACACAAAAUCCACCGACUGGUUCUCGAACGAGCUCUUCCUCUCCGAAUCCAUAACAACUUCAAAUCCAUUAUCAACAACAUUCAAAAUAUCAAGAGCAUGAAUGAUACCAACACUGCCAGGACUCACAAUGAGAGACCUGUCACUCUCUCCGCGGAGGCCUUCGCCAGCCAAGUCAUUGAAAAGCAAACCCAAUUGCUCAAAUUUGAAAGUUUCAUACCCAUGACUGGUUUCCAAUUCAGAAACACUCACACCCUUUAUAAUAGACUUAAUACAGGGCAGUGUGAGCAUAACCAAAGCAAGAAAAACUGACCGAGAAACAACACGCAUUACCUUCUUAUCAGGCAGCUUGAUCACCAAAAUCUCGCCGGAACCCAAUCCGCCGGCCCUGAAAUGUCCGUGGUGCUUGGCCUUGAAACCACCGCCCAAUUCCAUCUUUAUACUACUCAAAACAGCGAGAUCAAUCGGAUCUGCAGAAGAAAACUAGCUCGAACAGAGCAAGCUUUUCGAACAAACGCAAAAAAGGGCUUUGUAGAUUGCAAAUGUGAUGCAAUGUGUUACAGAAAAUCGAGAGGGAAAACAGCAACGGAGGACAUGAUUUGGUUUAGCGGGCACAAAAUCUGGCGGAGGUGUGAUUUGCACCCACGAGAGCUACGAAUUUGGUUGCGCUCCAAAGAAGAGAUAACUGCCUAAUCCUCUCAACCUCCAUUAUCACCCUAUGCUUGACAAUCAUGCAAAAUCGCUCUCAAUCUAUCUCCCUUUCAAUGAAAUAGUCUAUCUCUCACAAGAUUGACGCUUCAGAGUCGUCAGCCGGCUACAGGGCCGUAACGGGUGGUCAUCUGAAACGCAACCACCGGAGAGAGAGAGAGAGAGAGGAGGGACUUUGGAGGAGGAAAGAGAGGGACUUUGAAAUGUGGGGAAGAAAGGGCGAGAGAGAGGAGGAGAGUUUUAUACGGAGGAGAGAGAGAGAGUCCGAGAUUUGCGAGAGGCACGUGAAAGCGCGUGAAGGAGGAGGAGGACAAAGCAUUGGCUGGGGUUUGCUUCCGGUUGGCUUCGGUGGGAGUUGGGCUUUUUGGGCCUAACAACUACGUAACAGAAAGAAGCGUGGAGAUAAAGAUUGCCAGAAAUGGAGCUGGUUGGGGAAGCUAUAUAUAGGUUUGGUUUGUUUUUUUUUAAUUCAGAGGAGUUUGGUACCUUUCACUUUCUUCCUCCCUCAGAUUGGUCGGAAUGACUUAAAAAGGUCGGUAAUCAAAGAUUCGGAGUUGACCUUCCGGUGGUGGGUACGGCUGCAUGAAUGCAGGUGAAAGCUGGGGUACAUAGAUAAGUAUGUUCCUCAUUGAUUUGGGGUGAAUACACUUUGGAAAACAGAGGAAAUCAUCUUGUUACUACUGCACCCUUUUUCUUUUUCUUUUUUCCUGCUAGCUGCACAUAGAUUCAGUAAAUUUUGAAUCUUCUGCACUAUUUAACACAAACCCUAAGAACAAUGCUGUAAUCCCAAAGAAACAAGAGAGUAAAGUGGACAACUAAGUUAACUAGUUAAGUAAAGCAAGUGACAAUUUGUUAUGAAGGUUCAUUCACUCAUAAGUCAUAACAACGGAAAUGAGUAAGAAUAUGUGUUGUACAUGGUGUUGUGAUAUGAAUUGGUCAUUUCAAUGCGUUGUAAUCUUUUUUGGUGUGAAGCCUUCGUUCAAGUUGAUGUCUUGAUCUUACAUAUGUAAGGUACCAGCAUAACAACAUGAUCAAAAUUCUAUUUAAUAAAAUAGGACAGUACUUACAAUUAACCAGCUGGUUGGAACUCUCAAAUUAUGAAUAAAAUAGAACCAGGGAGGUUUUACUGUUUCUGGCUAGCACCGGUGAAAACGGUGCUGUGUUCCAUAUAUAAAAGCCAUGAAGUCCUUCAUAUUCACCACAGACUCACUGAGAGCUCCGAUGUACGAUUUGCCCUUCCAAAUGUUGAAUGUGUCGAACGCGACCCCUUUCACCUCAAGAUAUUUGACCGAUUGCUUCUGUAAAUUAGCCAAGUACCUGUGAAAAUAAAUAUAUAAGAUCACAUAAUCAAAUUCUAAACAUGAAGAAUGAAGCUUUCACGUUCUUACUUGCCGCGGGUUUUGGUGACAUGAUCACGGUUGGAAUGCCCUGGUUUUUUAUUGAAAAGUGGUAGACCCGAAUCUCAUUGUCCUCAGUUACAUGCAAGUCCAAGUCCAGUUGUUGUCAGUGGAAAAUGCUCACUUUCAAUCGAAUACCAGAGUAUUUAUCAUUUUUAUACUUAAGAUCGUACACAGUUCUGAUUCGGGUAAUUUCAUCAUCAAGUUCUCUUUUAAGAUCAGUAUCGACGUUUGUACUGUCUCUGUCUAUGAUAUGAAAAUAAGAAAACUCUUUUGAACCGUCCACUGGCUAUAAAAUAAAAUGUGAAAUUAAAAUGAUCAAUACCAUUUGGAAAAACAUAAAAAGAAACAAAAAUAGAAACAAUUGGAUACUCACAAGAUGACAAGAUCAGAUGAUUCUAUGUACUCCUGAAUAGCUGUGAUCUCAGACUUGAGCCCUUUAAUGAGAUCCUGUGUGGCAUUGAGUUUUGGAGAUGAUGGAGAUGUCAACUUAGCACACACCCUUCACACUUGCGGAGGAUCUGAUGGAGCAGAGCACGGGAAGGGAAACUAUGGAUGCCGCCGGCAGCUUGCGAGACCCGGAAGAAGAAGAAGAGAACAAAGCAUCCAUCUGCUACUGAGCGUGGCGCGCAGCAGCGUAACCAUUUUCUCCAUUUCUAGCUUAAUGAAUUAGGGUUUUGAUGGAGACAGCUUCAGAUAGGGUUCUGGGGAUUACGAAAUGAUCAAACGUUUAGUUGACCAAAUGUUCCCUGGUCAACAAACGGGACUGUUGACAUUUAAAUAGGAUAUUAAUUUUGAGAUCAAAUUACAAAGAUCAAGAUUAAUAUCCUUUAUACUGCACUGCAGUAUCAAUAUUGACACAAGAAAUGAAUAUGAAAAUGCUUUAUUCAUGUCAUUCCCAACAAAAAUAGGAAAUAAAACCAUCCAUAUAAGAAGCUCGUGUUAUAGACUUAUAGUAGAGACGGUAUGAUUUUUCUGAGUACCUGUUGAAUUGGUGCUGAGCAUUGUAAUUUGCACAUAACUCUUUAUCAGAGAAUGAAGAUUAAUUCAUGCAAUAUAUGAGGAAAAUCGACGAAAUGAGAAGUGCUCAAUUUGAACUGAGUGUGUACUCACUCAAGUUGCCAAAACGAACAAGUUCAAUGACCUCUAGUGAGACGAAUAUAUGUUUGUGGGUGUUGUGAUACCAAUUUGUCAUUUCAAUGCAUUUUGUUAUCUUGUUUGGUUUUCAAUGAAAAGAAGUCUUGGUUAUUAGCAAUCUACAACAGUAUUUCUAUUUCGAAAGAAAAAUUCUAAAAUUAGCUACUUUUGAUGUAAAUAAGCUUUAACUUUCUAUUGGGUUCGAUAUUAGCAUUUAGCAAUGCUUUUGGGUUUCCUACUAUAUAUCUUUUCCAUCACUGCAAAUACUGAAAUACACCUCAGUAUAAAAUGGGGUUCGUCAUGCAUUAUCUUGCUCUGAAACUCCAUUUUGCUAGUUUGAUCUGAAGUGCAUGCAAUGGACCAAUUUUGGAGCGUGAGGCUUUUACCCUUUCAAAUUCAAUGGAUGACCCAGUGAAGCUACGCUCUCACUCCCAGGAUAACCGAAGUUUUCAGCCCAUAGAAACCCAAGAACAGUUGUAAGAGCUAAAGUUUUGAUCUUCCUUUUCAAUCAGACUAUGUCAGUAUGUCUUGUUUCUUUUUUCCUUCUUGUUCCUUUCUUUUUGGCUAACUGAAGCAUUAUAUUCAUAUGAGAACCAUUUAAAUCGUUGAUGUGAACAUGAAUAGAUUCUCUGAUUCUGUAUAUAUUCCUGUCAGGCUAUUAUUUUGUGCUGGAGCUAAUGGGUUAGCGAAGGUAGGGUAGUAGUAGUACUAGCAUAUGAUAUCAUUGCUGUAUAUUCAAUUAGGGGAAUCACCUGAAUGUGAAUUUGUGAGGUUUGGGAUUGUACAGAUGUGCUCAAAAUAACCUGAUUCACAAAUUGAAAAUAACUCUCUAGAAUUCUCUGGCAGUGAUUUAAAUUUUUGGUCUUCGAUUUGUGGCUACAGUUCAAGGCAGUGUGUCAGUGUGUGAUUUAUACUCAUUAUCUUGUUGAAAUCUUGAGUAAUAAUUCUCGCGGUUUCAGUUCAUAGUACCACACAAUUCAGAAAAUAAUUACACGAUCAAUAAUAGCAUUGGCAGUUUCCGUAGCAGUAGUUUCUUUCUAGUCUGUUAACAGACAGUUAAUCUUGAGUAUGAACAUUCCUUCUUUUCUUGUCAACAUGAAUUUUUCUCUUUUUAUUAGGCAACUAAGGUUAAUGUUAGCAGCUAAGGUAAAAGGACAUUGAGUGACAUUGAUUGCACAGGACAAUAUGUAACAUCAUUUGUGUGAAGACUAGUUUCCAAGAACAGCUAGGAUCUGAUCUCUGAAGGACUGAAAGUAGCAAAUUAGCACAGACAAGUAUACGGUAUACCUCAAUGAUUGUUGGUAUUUUGUUCCUGACCACCAGUUCACAUGGCCGGUCUGAUCUACAUAGGCUUGCUUUUUUGGUUCACCAAAUAAAUUGGUACGAAAGAAAUGGUAGCCGAGAAUAAUUUCUAUAACAGAAAAAAUUACAGAAUCAGUAACAUAUAUGGAUGAGUCAGUUGAUGGUUCUUUUCUUUCUUGAUGGUAUACAGCAAGGUGUGCAUAAUGUUCUUGCAGGAACAGGUUCUUCAGUUUUACUCCGUUAGCCUUCAAAGAUACCAAACUUCAUCAUCUUGCUUUCGGUACCUCCAACAAACUAGUAUUAUACCUUCAACAUCAGUUUUCAUUAUCAAUUUUGUGUUCUCUCAUGCAUUUUUCAAAUUCAGUGACAUAAAAACACCAAAUAUAGAAAUGAUUGCAAAUACCAUGGAUUACAUGCUAUUAAUAUAUGCCGACUUUUAUUGAGUUGAUACGGUCCUUAUGAGGCAUUAGACUACUAAGAGUUAUCUUUCUCUUUAUAUAUUAUAUUCAAUGCAUGAGCUACACAACACCAUUUCAAGGAUAAGAAAGAGCAAAACCAUAUGAUCCAUAGAGGGUCAGGGACCUAUUACAUUCAAUUCAUGCAUCUAGUUCUGGUCUGAUUCUGAUAAUGUUGUACUGAAGUAACAAACAAAACAAGGGGUAGUGAUAGAUCAAAUCAAAAGGAAACAAGCACAAAAAUAAAUAAAAAGGGUCGUUAUAGUAUAAAAGAAUGCAAUAGAGGCACUUGUGGCAGCUCCCCCAUUAUUUGAAUUUUUUCGCUUCAUACCUGUUAAUCAAUUCACUUCUUUUAGAAGAGAAAUAAUAUGGUUGACAAGGCAGUGAACAAGGUUCUUAUAAGGGAGUUCAAUGCAGACACUGAUAUUGAAGUGGUGGGGAAGCUCGAGAGGAACUGUGAGCUAGAGUCUAAAAGGGGGGUCUCCAUUUUCACUAACAUGAUGUGUGACCCUUUAUGUAGGAUUAGGUUCUACCCCCUUCAUAUUAUGCUGGUGGGUUCAUUGCUGUGACUUCUUCCCUCUUAUCUUGCGAUUAAAAGCAAACAGGGAAAUAUUUUUCAUGAUUCAUACCUCAUAAUCAUUUUUGUGUCUCCUCUAAUAAGCAUUUGCAUGAUUUACUGCUUUUAUAAUAUGGAAGUCAUUGCCCCUCCAAGACCUUAUAGAUGUGAAUCAUUGCAUUGCUCGAACACUAAUAUGUUUGGAAAUUGCCAGCAGGUAGCACAGCUGCUCGAAAAUGAGGAGCUUGUCGGAGUGGUUAGAGGAUGCAUCAAGCAUGUGGGGACUGGUUUUGGGGGACAUGUUAUCGGUUGCAUACUAGGCCUUCGAGUCUCUCCCACACACAGGUAUCAUCCACUUUUUCUUCUUAUUGAGUUCUACUUCUAAGAGUCUUCUUCUCUAAACAAUACAUUGUUAGUUCUCAAUCAGCCAUACAGUCUCUUGAUAUUCAAUAUUGAAUCUCCAGCUUUUCCGUUACUGAGGUACAGCAUAUUGAAAAGCUAGAUCACCUAGAAGCCUCUUUUGGAAUCAUCCAUAUAUGCUUGAUAACUUGUCAUGUUAUAGAGGUGGUGUACUAAAGUGUUUGAUUGAUAUUUAAGUUUGUGUGUUGCUUGAUUUAGGCGGAUGGGAAUUGGAUUCCAAUUGAUGAACUCCGUGGAGGAGUGGCUACUGAGACAUGGAGUGCAGUACACAUUCCUGGCCACCGAGAAGAGCAAUACUGCCUCUACAAAUCUCUUCACUUCCAAAUGCAAUUACAUGAACAUCAGCUCACUAGUCAUAUUCGCGCAACCAAUUUGUUCCUCUGAAAAAUAUAUGCUUCCCCAGAACAUUAAAAUAGAGAAGUUGCAUGUAGACCAGGCAAUUUCUUUGUAUGAAAACAAGCUAACAGGCAAAGACAUGUUUCCUACAGACAUGGAUGUGAUCUUAAAGGAAAAGCUCAGCCUGGGAACAUGGGUGUGUUAUUUUGAAGAACAGGGUUGGAUCAACUUGGACAGUGAGGAAAACAACCACGGAACAAUCACCAAAACUCAUGGCUCUUGGGUCAUCUUUAGCAUAUGGAAUACUUGUGAAGCUUACAAGCUUCAUAUACAAAAGUCACAACCUCUCAGGUAUUUUCAUGAUACCCUGAUCCAUGCAAAAGAGAAAAUCUUCUCCUGGUUGAAAAUGCCUCAGAGUAAUGUCUCAGUUGAAAGCUCCUUCGGCUUUCUCUUCCUCUAUGGGAUUCAUGGGGAGGGAGAGCAGCUUGGUGAGCUCAUGAAACCUGUUUGGAACUUUGCAUUAGGGUUGGGGCAGAAUGCGAAGGGCAGUAAGAUUAUAACUGAGAUGGGGCUAUGUGAUCCUCUCCUUAAGCAUGUCCCAGACAAUCCCAGCAUUUCACGUAUCCAUGAUAUCUGGUAUGCAAAAAGUCUGAGCAGCCACCACCCUGAUGAACAAGAUGCUCUGCUAAUGGAGGGACAUCUGGGAAAUGUGUUUGUUGAUCCAAGGGAAUUCUAGGCUUAGCUAGUUUUCCUUCCCCUCAUCUUCCCGAACACCCAGAACUAGUCACAGAUGGUAAUGUAUUUCUUCCUUCUAUUUGGUUGCUUGAUAUUGUUGGAUACAAAAAAUGGCCAUCAUAACGCAAUGGUGUAAUGUAAUGUAGUAGUCGUUUGUAUGAUAUAUUUGUUAUGUAAUUCAUGAACGAAAUAUUUGGGGAGUCAUCAUGUAAUUCGUUUUGGUUUCCAGAGUAAUGUAGGAUCUGUCAUCAAAUUCCAAAGUCGCGUUACCAAAUAAGCAUAACUGUUAACAUUGAAACAUCAAGGAUUGAUUCAGCUGUGCCAAACUACAAGGACAAUUAUCGGAUUACCUCCCGCUAGGGUUAGUUGUUAGGAAACUACAGAGAUCAGUAUAACUGUAGGCAAAUGAAACUUUUCUGUUUUCUACAUUUCCAAUCAUAACUUCCUUCAAAUGACAAGAUGUUUGUAGGGAAUGUAUUCUGAUUAUGCAACUCAAACAAAAUAGUGGACCAAGAAAAAGGAAAAGGAAGCAAUUCCCAAAAAUAUCCCCGACUUCUGAGAUAUCAUAAGGGGAACUCAAAAUCCAAAAUAUCUCUAUGUUAACCCAUGUAAAUGCUCCAACCAUCACGACCUGCUCAGUCAUCUUUUCUCUUGCCGGUGGUGCCAGCAUGAUUGUUUUGAUCAGUAAGGAUCUUUAGAACAGUGACCAAUGCUCGCAACCGGUCCCAAAUGUUCAGGCCAUAGAGUGCUUCAACAAGUGACUCCUGGAACUCGAAACCAUUCUCUCCAAUAGGAUACUACAGUUGGCCAAGAAAGAAAGCCAGUCAGAUUUUAGUUUUAAUUUCGCUGAGAAGAAGAUAGGGGAGAAGUUCAACCCAUUAUAUUUUAGAUUGACAUCUGACCUGAAUAGGCUUUGGUAUCUUGGUUUUGAUAUAGGGCCACCAUCUAUCCUCGACAACUGAUUUUACAAGACAACAUGCUCGCAAUCCUUCAACACCAGCAAAUCUUCCAAAUCCACUGUCUUUUACACCACCAAAUGGCAGGGACUGGAAAUCCAGGAGACAACAUUAGUUCAUUGGAUUAACAAUCAUGAAUAGUAUAUAAAUCUUCUUAUUAGUAGGACACUUGCACCCCAAUUGUCCAAUCUAAUAUAUGAUAGCCCUACAUUUGAAUAUAAGUACAAAGCCUGGCUUUAUGCUAUCUUAUAAAGCAGGAAACCAUAUCUAGGCAAUUAUUGAAAGAAGAAAAGCACUGCCAGAUAUUGUACUCAGUAAAGUCUCUAGCUCGAGUAAAAAAAAUAAUAAAACACAAGACAUGUUACUAUACUAACAACUUGAAUAUAUAUUACCUGACACAUGUAAUUUGAUGCAAAAUCAUUAAUUGCAGCAACUCCACAUUGUAUCUGGGAAGUUAUCUCUCUAGCGCGACGCUGGCUGCCGGAAAAAACAGCACAACCAAGACCGUAUUUUGAGUCAUUGGCUAGUUUGACAGCCUCUUCAUCGGUGCUAAACUUCAUUAUUGGCAUGAUUGGUCCAAAUGCCUACAAAAAUGUAAAAAAGCAUUUAGCUAUAUUAACUAAACUAAAGAUUAAAAGAAUGUAUCAAAAUGCUAUUUACAACACAGUAUGACUUUGGAUACCUCCUCUUGCAUCAACUUCAUCGUGUGAUUUACAUUUUCAAUCACAGUGGGCGGAAAAAAGUGAUCAACUGCAUCUUCACCUAUGUGGCCAAAACUUCCCCUCACAACAAGUUUUGCACCUUUGUCUAAGGCAUCAUUUACAAGGUUUUGAAGCCUUUCAGAGUGCUCUUGCAUACAUAUAGCACCCAUAUCAUACUUUCCAGCAAGUGGUGGGCCCUAGACAAGAUCAAUCAACAGAAUCAUGAGUUUUAACUUCUAACAUAAAGCACUUCAACUCGACAGUUUUUGUAAAAUACAUGUAUCAAGCACAAAUUGUACAACAGCUGAAACAGAUUUCGGCUUGGAAACUUCAUUCAGAGGGACAUACUUACAGAUGAAACAGAUUUCACAAUCUUAGACACUUGAUUGACGAAUGAAGAGUAAAUGUCCUUGUGAACAUAGAAUCUCUCAGCCCCAGCACAGUUCUGUCCACUUGACUGAAGAACAGCUCUCACAGCAAUUUGGGCAACCUAAAUAGAGUAAUUUACUCCAAUUAGGACACAUAGUACUUGAAAAUAAAAGGACCAAAUAGAUGAAGCAGAAAUUCAGAAUGCCACUGUAAUGUCCAAGCUUAAUAGACAUAUAAAUACCAGUAAAGGUCGGAAAUUUCAUACAUGUUCCACAUCUACAUCUUCACAUACGAUAAAAGCAUCUUUUCCACCCAGUUCAAGUGUAACUGGUGUAAGUGUAUCAGCAGCAUUUCUCAUUAUCUGCAGAAAUAGCAGAAGCAAAAAUCAAUAAGCAUUCCAGUAGAUUGCAGUGAUUUCUUCAUUAUAACAGCAGCAACAAACCUUAGGGCAAGACAAGUACAAUUAACUAUGUCAAGUCCUUGGGUUCUCUUAAUAUACAACAAUUGCAAUAACCAGACUACGUAUUAGAAUUUACUAUGUAUCAAAGCUACUGGGUUACUGGCUAAUUGAUCAGAUAAAGAAAAUUCAAAUAAAAUCAUCUCUGAUGUAUCAGUUGACCUGUUUACUAUACACUUAACAAAACUUCAUAAAGUAAAAAAUUUAUAUGCUUCCAGAAAAGUUAAGUUCUGCUGAGGUUAGAACACUGUUAAGAAGCCACUGAUGAAUGCUUAAUUUUUUUUUUUUUUUACCAAAGACGCAUAAUAACGAUUUGACGACUUUCAAAAAAAAAAAACCAUUUGAGGUCAUGAAAGGAUUGAAAAUUUGUAGCCGAGAAGCCUGUUUCAGAAAUUAAACUUGAAAUCAAUAAGUUAUUCAACUAACCAAAAGAAGAACAUACCAUCUUACCCACACCCGGUGAUCCAACAAAAAUUAACUUGUCAACAGAAGACACAAGUGCUUCGCCAGUUUCAGAAAACCUAGUGGGGCAAAUAAAAAAGUUUGAUUAUAGAUAGAUAAAUUCAUGAGCCUAGAAAGAAAGUCCUCCUUCCCACCCAAUCCAAAAAACUACAGUACCCUGUUAUGACGUCAACUAGAUUUUCAGGAGCUCCUACGGCAGCAAGGGCAGAUUGGAUUAUGCGAAAGUAGAAGCAUCCAGACCAGCUUGCAUGUUCUGAAACCUACAAUGACAAGCAUGAUAACCAGUAACUGCAAAUACUUUGAAGAUUUCUAUAUGUGAAGUGAAAAAAAGAUUUAGUGAUGUCUAGUUUGAAAACCAUGAAACCAACAAUUAUCGAUACUGACACAGGAAAUUAUAGAUCCUCUGAAUUGCUUGCUAUAUAUGGAAACAGAGACAACUGCAGCAGUGUUCCAGUGAAUAUUUAAAGGUGCACAGAGUGAUUAAAGAAAUUACGAGCAUUCCACAAUUAAUUACCUUAAUCACAAUGCCAUUUCCCGAAAAAACUGCUGCCAGCAUUGGAUUAAAGAUAUUGUGAAAAGGGUAAUUCCAUGAUACAAUGGCACCAACAACUCCAAGAGGGUGGAAUUCAACUUUAGAUCUCUUGUGAAUCAUUGAUCUUCCACAAGAUCUGCAAUUUUUUCAUGAAUAACAAAUUAUAAUACAGAACAUAGAUAUGGCUACAGAUGGAAGUAAAUGUUUAGUCUACAAAAGUAAGGAAAAAAUAAAGAUAAAGAAUGACAAACACUCUUUGCAAACAAAUACCAAAUAAUUCGACUAGAUAGUGGAAACCGAAGUAGAAUGAGGCAAAUCUUAAAUCAUUAAAGUAGAGGAUCCCAUGCAACAUAUAAUAUCUAAAUUACCAGUGACUGAGGUAAUAUAUCAUUCAGUUCCAAUAACCAAAAAGAGUUAAAAUUUGUGAAAUAUACAUCCUUGAUAAUUGCACCAAACAUUGUUGGAAUAUUACACAGCACGUUAGUAAAAUGAUAUAGAACAUUGGAUGCAGACAAUGUAAUGAGAAGAAAGGUAUACCGGUAUUCAGGCUUUAGCCACCGUUCACCCUCUGAAAGAAGCCAAGUGAUCUUCUCACAUGUUGUCAUUAUCUCCCCUAAAGACGCAUCCACCAUUGUCUUCCCCGUAUCACGUGAAGAUAUCCUGAUCAAAGUGAUAUAUGAUAUGAGUCGGUAUAUAUGGAGUAAAGUCAACCGCAGGAGAAACAGUAACUGUGAUGCUUGUAGAUUACCAAAAAUAAUAACAACAUCCCGGGAACAAAACAUGGCUUGGGAUUUAAGUAUGCCUACCUAAUACAUUUUCUUUUUCUGGCAAUACCUACGUAGUAACUCAGACAACGAUGCACACAGAGAGAGGGAGAGUUUGAAUAGGGCACUUACUCACAUAUAAGAUCUUGGUGCUCUAUUAUAUACUUGAGAAGAAUCCGAAGAAACAGACGUCUUUGCUUGAAGCUACUCUUCGCCCAUGUUUUCUGCGCCUUCCUUGCUAGCGAUACCCGCUCCUUGACCUGAAAUGAAGAUUUACACCAUGAAUUCCCCAAUAAUUGUGAUAUUCUGAGUUCCCUCUCUUCUACCAUCUAAACUCGUGUGUAUGAAAUCAAUUUGAGCGAACAAGCACUCCAUUUUCAUUUAAAAUAUAUAGCAAAGACAUCUUUAAAGUAGACAACAAGCUAACCUCAUCAGUUGUCAAUGCAGGGUAAUAUCCCAAGUACUUCAUGGUUGCGGGUUCAUAGCACUGAACCUUGGUCUCCGACUGCGCUGUCCUUCCCCUUGGAGGUACCUGAGCAGCAAACAUCAUAAACACCAUCAGAAGCGAACGAAUUCGAAACAUUUUCUUCAUCUCCUAUCUCUCUCUCUCUUUUUAUUUCUUUUCUCUUUCUCAUUUACACUAACAACAUUUAGCAUGUAUAAACAAUUUUCCAAGUCCUUCCAAACGCAAUCAAUUCAGUUUCAUUCCGUUGUGAUUAGCCAAAGAUCUCAACAUAAGAAAUCAAAACUCACAUAGAUGAAGCUGUUCUCCUGCGUCUGAUUCCCGUCGUCCAACACUGACAUUCAUCAAACCGCGCAAAUCAAUCAACCAAACCAAAACAAAGCACGAGAAACGAUGAGGUCUAAGAGAGAGCGGUUACCGUCAGAAGCGUCGACUUCAAUGGAAGGGACAUUGGGAGGGAUGAGCAUCAAGAGGAACCUACAAAUGGCGUAUGCAAAAGCGAGGACGAUCAGAGGCCACCAAAACGCCAUCGUUUUCGUCUGCGGAAGAACUAGAAGAGUUUGUUUGUUUUUGUUUCACUGAAAACAAAAACUGAUUCCCGGAGUUGGCGUCGGAUCGACGGCUACGAUGGCAUCUCGGUCUGUGACUCUGAGAUGAGGUGUAAAGUGGACAGUGAAGACUGAGAGAGAGUGUCAGAGACUCAAAGGACUGAGAGAAGAUGGACAUGUAGUUUUUCUUGAUGUUGUUUAAUUUUUCUUAAAAAAGAAAAAAAAAAUAGUGGGUAGCUAUUUAGCCUAUUUUUCUGUUUUAUGGCUAAUUCCCGUUUUACCCUCAAUCGUUAAAUAUCUUGUGUUUAUGUGUGAUUCAACGUUAUGGGUAAAAUCAGGAAUUUAAUUUUUUGGUGAACCUUUUGACACCAAAACUUGACUUCCCAUUAUAGCAGUGAGUGGAGAUGAGGAAUAGAUAACGACCAAGUGUUUACAAACAUGAGAUGAGUUCGAGUUUCUGAGUUAGAAAUACGUGAUUCAGAUUAUCUAACAUAAGUUGUACACACGGUUAACUUAACUUUUGUCACAUGUGAGGGGACAUUUUCGCCCAUAAAAUUAGAAAUUUUGACUAUUUUGAUUGAUAAGAUAUAAGAGUCUGUUAUCAUUUUCAAUCACAUCUUAUACAUGACUUAUUACGAUUGAAUUUACUUAUCAAGGUAAUCAAAAUUUCAUCAAUUGCACAAACUUUUAGAAGUCCUUGGCGGAUAUGCUGAAAAAGGAGUUUACUUAAGUAUUGAACAACAACUAACCACCUGCGGUCAAUUUGUUAAAAGUUUAGAUGUGGAACCCACAUACCCAAGUUCAAAACUCGCCAACGUUGAUUGGAGUUUAAAUCUCAAUCUAUUUUUGGUGGCUAGAGGAGAGGAAGCGUUUUGACAUGACCUCUCAUGCGCGGAUUAGUCUCUGAGCCCAUAAAAUCUUUGAAAAUACCGUCAUUGAAUAUUCAAAAAAUAAUAAUAAUAAUAAUAAUAAUAAUAUUGAACAACAACUCUCCAUCCUACUUGUAAUGGAGCAAAGAAUAAGAUGUCUUUCAAUAUGUUCACAACUGCAGCCUGAUAUCUGAAACUCACAUGACCACCAGAGGCUUUAUCAUAUUCUUAUUGCAACUAUAUGAAGAAAAGCCAAAACCAAACAGCUAGCAACGAAGUGUAGAUCAAGAUAACAGUGAACUUACUAUAUCUAGUACCUAAACUCACUUCAAAGCAAAAAAUAUCCUUAAGCUUUUCUUUUGGCACAGCCUUGCUUGUCACUGCAGGUUCUAGCUGAUUUUAAUACUGUUUGCCAAACUCUCCAAGUAAACAUUGAUUCCUAUCAGUUUUGGUCAUCUUCAAGUGUUCUCUUUGGUUCAUAACCAUUCAGAGAUCAUAUAAAUAGCUUGCUUGCUACAGAAAGAUGAUCAUCAAUUAUUUGGGUGGUUUCGACCUCCAUAUAUACAGCAAGGUACAUUCUGCUUGUACUUACUUUCCUUAGAAAUUUAUGCCAUGAAUUAGAACUCUUUCUAAGUGAAAACUGAUAAGCACAAGGCACAGAAACUCUAGCUGUGGUCUCAAUUAGCAGUUUAGCGCUAGUACUUUUACACACUUUUGUAAUGAUGGCUUGUAGCAUCUUAAUCUGCUAUUCUCACUGCUCAAGUUUUUUAUAUGAACACAAUAUUCUCAUGCUUGUCUAAAGCAUUUCUGAAAAGAUUUCAGUUAUACGUUUACCUCGUAAGCUUAGAAGGCAGGGGAAAAACAGACGAUUACCAGAUAAAUUAGAGCCUUGAUUAAGUCUAACUUUCUGAUUUCUUAUUUUUGUCUCAGCUAAUCUGUUAACAAUGCCGUACUGAGAAGUACUCCUUUUCCAUUUUUCACUGAAACUUAUGAAAUAGGAAACUCAGUCAAGCUAAGCUGUUUAGGGUCUUUAUCAAACAAAGUGAAAUCCAAAGAUAAUGGAUUUAUGAAAAGCAUGCCAUUUGCUCCUUGGUGAAGGGCUCGAAUUUUUUUUUAUCAUGAAUUUCAUUCAUAUAUGAAACUUCUGUUCAGUAGUGUUAUGUUCAUAAUAAUCUAGAGAUUAUGCAACUAAUUAAAUCCAUUGCAGGUUUUGUUGACAACUCCGAAAUGGAUCAAAUUGAGGAUUUUAAAAAGAUGGAAGACAUUAGCAGAUCAGAGGGACAGUCACAAACCAGAGACCACAUCUCUCUUGAAAUCACUUCUGAAAGUGGUGGACUUGUAUCUCAGAUCAAAGAAAAAAUGGAAAACAUUGCUGUAUCAGUAUCUAUCUUCAGAGUCCCUAACGAAAAAAAAUGUGCCCCGGAUUAUGUCUCCAUUGGCCCUUUGCACUAUAAACAGUUACGUGAUAGCAAAGUCUCGGAGGAUGAUAAGUGGCGCUACUGCUAUGCACUCCUCAAUCGAAAGCCAAAUCUAGAAGCAAGCCUCGACACCUGCGUGAAAGCCCUGAAACAAAUGGAGAACAAGGCACGAAGAUGUUACAAUGAAGACAUCAGUCUCACUAGUGAUGAAUUUGUGCAGUUGAUGCUAAUUGACACCUGCUUCAUCAUUGAGCUAUUUCUCAAGUAUUCAUACAAGAGCCUUAGGUCUCGCCGUGAUCCCAUCUUCAAUAGCCCUGGUAUGCUCAUAGAAUUGAGAUGUAACAUGGUGGUACUCGAAAACCAAAUCCCCUUCUUUGUUGUUCAAAGGUUGUUCCAAUUAGUACCACUUCCAACACAAUGUACCGAGUCCCUCAGCGAACUUGCUACACGUUUCUUCAAGUACCUUCUACCAGGAGAGUAUCGUCGUGAGCAAGAAGGGCAUCAUUUACUCGAUCUAAUUCGACACUGCAUCCUCCCAACACAUCAUAAGCUACAAUCGACAGGCAAGAAAACUCCGGACUACUUGGAUUGCGUAAAGAAGCUAAAAAGAGCAGGGGUUAAAUUCCAAUGUGCUACCGUGGUACACAGUUUCUUGGAUGUCAAGUUUACUAAUGGUGUGUUCAAAAUGCCACCUCUUUUAGUCCAUCACUGCACUGAAACACUCCUCAAGAACCUCAUUGCACUCGAGCAGCGACACAUUGGGGAUGAUCCGGUGCAGCAUAUCACAUCUUAUGCAUACUUAAUGGGGUGCCUGAUCCAGUCCGAGAAAGAUGUGAAAUUGCUGCGGAAAAAACAGAUUCUUGUGCAUGAGGAGAAGAAUGACAAGGAGGUUUUUGAAGUGUUGAAGAAGUUGUGCGAGCAGAUCGAUUUGAAGGAUUUUUACUAUGUGAGGCUUUUUGAUGAGGUGGGUGAAUUUAUGAAGAGAAAGAGCUGGCACACGAAGAAGCAAAAGUUGAAGAGUACAUACCAUCCCAAGACUCCUUCGGCCGUUGCGGUGCUUGUUGUUGCCGUUUUGGCUCUUCUUCUCACAUUUGUUGGAGCUUUCUUUUCUAUACUCACAUUCGCUCGCCACCAUAUUUAGGGAAACGGUCGAGCUAUGAGAUUGGUAAUUGCUUGCUGAACCACUUUAAUAGUCAUCUGUUUGGUUACUUGUUCAAUCUCUCAUUAUGCUUCAUUUUCUUCAUUAUCUGAUUGUAAAGGUCAGUACUUUGGUAGAUUUUCCAGCUGGGUUUGGUGAAAUUGGGUCUUUUGGGACUGUAGGAUUUUACUGCUGUUUCGUUGUAUCACAACCGUUUAGUUUUUAGAUCUGAGUGAGUGAGUUGGUCACUUUUAUACCUAUAUUGAUUCUAAUUUGAGUGUUAUAUUACAUCAAAUCAAUUUACGAAUCAAAUUUGUUCAACUUGAAUAUUACGUGUUCAUUGUUAAUAUAUUAUGAUUACUAGUACCAAACGAGGAACAAAUAAAUAAUCAAAUAAACACGUGUCAAUCAAAAUCUACAAAAGAAUCCUAGUACGAAGGUUAUUCUUUUUUUGUUUUAGCAGAUGAAGAUGAAGGUUACUUCAUUUGUACUUGAGAUCACACUCAAGAAUCACCGAGAGUGCCAUGGCAAGUUGGCAACGGCAGGUCGUCUUGAUCAAACUGGUCAGAAAUGUGAUCCAAACCCGACACAGUGACAGUACCGACGUCUGUCUCCAUUUCACUGUCUUUAUUCGGUCGUGUCUUAUUCCCUCACCUCCAGGCAAAGACAACCCUCUUCUCCCUCAACACCGUCAGAUUCUAAUCACACGUGUCCCAUAUAUCUAGUGGACAUCCCACUUGUCACUCAGUCUCAUCAUUCCAUAAAAGACCUCAACUUCCGGUGCUCCUUCCUCAUUCACUCUUUCGGAUCAAAGCACACGUCUCUCUUUCUUCCUUCCUUUCUUUCUUUCUCCAAACCAAGAAAUCCAAACACAGCUACAAAAGAUGGACGCAGAAAGAAGAAUCGGAGUAGCUGUGGAUUUCUCGCCGUGCAGCAAAAAAGCACUGAAAUGGGCCAUCGACAACGUCGCCCGCAAAGGGGAUCACCUCAUCCUCGUCAUCGUACGCCCCGCUGACGUAUACGAGCACGGCGAGAUGCAGCUCUGGGGUGUCACCGGUUCUCGUACGUCUCUCUAAUCUUCUUGUGGGGUCAAUUUUGGAUUUUGAUGAUGAGUGAUAUUGUAACAAUUUAUUUUGCAGCUUUGAUUCCUCUGCCGGAGUUUUCCGAUGCUCAUAUUAUGAACAAGUACGAAGUGAAGCCUGACGCGGAGACCGUGGACAUAGUCACCACUGCGGCUAGCCAGAAAGAGGUAAGAGUAAUUAAUUGGGAUAUUUUGGGUUAAAUUAGUGUUGUUUUGUAUUGAUUAUUAGUGUGAUUGAGAUGCUGUAUCUGGGUGUGGUGAUUUAGAUCACAGUGCUGGUGAAGAUCUACUGGGGUGAUGCCCGUGAGAAGAUUAUCGAGGCUAUUGACAAGAUUCCCUUGAGCUUCCUUGUGAUGGGGAACAGAGGGCUUGGCACGCUUAAGAGGUAGAGAUGAGAUCUAACAUGCAUUGCUUGAAUAUUUCUGAAUUUGAAUCUGUGUUUGUAGGUUAUGAUUUAAUGUGUAUGUAUGUAUGUAUUUGAGUUUGGUUGGGGCUUUUGUCAAACUUCCAUGUUUGAAAUGAAGCUAUUAUUUACUUCUUGAGAGCUAGCAUAGACUUUCUUGACAUUAUGCUGUUAGGAUUUAGUAGCUCAAAUAGAUAAGACUUGCAUAUCAUCGUGAUCUUUUGAGAUGAGAGGGGAUAUAUGAUCACCUGAAGGUCAAUAAGUUUGUGGGUUUAUAAAUACAAAGAGGGGGGGUUUGGUGACCAUGUGAACUUGAACAUGAACCUGAAUACUUUAUGCAGACUUAAUAAUUUCUGCAACCAUCAUAUGGAAAGUUUUCUAAUUAGGAACAUGUGAAGGGAAGUAAAAUAAUAUCCGAGGCACCUGUUGUUGACUGGGUUGUUUUGUUGGAUUUUGAUUGCAUUUGUUGUUGUUUUCUUCAGGGUUAUUAUGGGCAGUGUGAGCAAUUUUGUGGUAAACAAUGCGCGUUGUCCAGUUACUGUAGUCAAGAGUGAGACCUAAACCUUUUGGCGUGAUGACCGCUAGGUAAAUAAGUGCAAAUGCUGCCUCUGGUAUGAUUGCUUCCUUUCGCAACCACCUUUUAGUCUGUAUAAGAACUACUGGUCUUCUCCUUUGUUUGAAGUAAUAGAAUUUUGUUUUCAACUCUUUGUUGUAUGUUGAAGUCGGGUAGAUUUCAUGGAUGUAGAUGUUGGAAUUUGUUUGUGCAACAUUGUAUCAUGUGAGUUUAACUUGUAGCUGAUUCUGUUGAUUUUCAUUCCAGAAUUCAGUAGUUAAUAAAAUUGUAUAGAUGUUUAUUCAUCUUGGUGCUUGUUAUCUUUUUUCUUUUCUUUUUUUUAAAGCAAAGUACUUUUAGUUGAUAUAAGAGAAGCCUGGGAUAGUAUAACAUAACUUAUUGCACAUCUUGGAUUUUAAUUAACAUUGUAAUAGUCUCUUCUCCAUGCUUGUUCACCUAGGUUUUUUUUUUUACUCUGUUGUGCACAACUAUUAUUGGAUAUAAAUUUAAUGGGAGAAUAAUUCUGUAGUUGAAAUGUGUUUAUUUAGUUCAUUAUUUUGCACCACUGGAUUUACAUUUAAAGAUAGUUUUAGCACAACUGAGUAAACAAUUAAACUGAGCAGGUGAACGGAACUGCUCUCUUCUAAUCUUCAUUUGUCGAGACUUGAAAUGGAUUGGAAGAAGGUGAUAAACAAGACUCCUUUGCCUGGUGUUAUUUGUCAUGAGAAAAUACAUUUUAUGUCAUACACCGAAUUCAGUUAGCCCCAUGUAUAGGAAGAAAGAAGUGGAUGAUAAAAGAAAAUCGAUCAACUAUUUUACAGUUGAAGCUAAAUACCAAAAAUAGCUACAAAAUCCACAAUUUAAGGCUGGUUCAUGAUCUAGGGCGGCUAGCAUUGCAUGAAUUACCAACCAAACGAACUCCUCAAUCAUUACUUUACCAUGCUCCUUCAGCUUUCUUCUUCUUCUUUGAUUUUUCCCAUUCUGCAAACAAUUCUAAGGAAGGAAUGGAUCCCCUCAAUAACUAUGGUCAAAUACCUCUCAUCAUUAUUUUGUUCUUCCUCUUUUGCUUCCGGUAUGCAGAAGUUGAAUGCCUGCCAAAUGGUCCAUACUUGACUCAUCCUACGGCGUCCCUAUGGCUCCGGCAACUCUUUCCUUCAACUCUUAAACAACCUGUGGCCUCCCAUCAGCCUCAAAACUCUGCCCCUACAGCCGAUUCUCCCUCACCAUCAUCCUUGUCAUCAUCAUUUUUCCCUCCUCUUUUAACUGGUUCCUCCAGAACAAACCCACAGAGAAACCUCUUUAUGCAAUCACUCCAGCCGACUGCAGCCCCAUCGCCACCACCAGCUGCCGUGGAUCCAGUUGUUAAACAGCUAUGUAACAACACCAACCACUCGGAUCUUUGCAUUUCAUCCCUCAUCCCUUUCCUUUCAGCACAAGGAAAGACAUCUCUAGAUGCCGUAACCGUACUCAAAAUGUUGAUAAAGGCUUGUUCCAUACAGGCAGAGCUGGCCCUGGCAGUGGCAUCAAAACUCUCCACAGAGCCGAAGAAUGCGCACCCGACGGCCAUGGCCAUCAUGGAUUGCAAGGAUAUGUAUAGCGAUGUGUUGGACGGCCUUCAAACCGCAACGGAUGCAAUUGCGAAAAAAGACAUGAGCACUGUUAAGAGUAUGCUUACCGGGGUAAUUAGUGAUGCUGUGACAUGUGAGGAUGGUUUUGCAGGACAAAAAUCACCACUUGGUGAUUUUGAUGAUAAACUUCGUAAGAUGGGCGACAAUUGCCUUGCCGUUGCUUUUUGGAUAAAGUGGUGAUCAUAUUAAGCUCCUUCAAUUUUGCUUUGUGCCGCAAAGGAAAAUGAAAAAAGAGUAGAUGUACAUGUAGCUAUUAUAUAAGGAGAUUUUCUUUGUAACAUAGCUUUGUUUGUUUGACUUGAGAAACUUGGUAAUAGGAAUUACUUGUGAUUCUAACAAUUCCGGUGUAUAAAUUUCCGAUUUUAUGAACACUUGGAUAUUGGGUUUGGAACACUAAUAUGGAAUUAAACUUUACAGUAGAAUUUUCUUAAGAUUUGGGGUCAAAAUGUGAGCUAAGGUGGAUUUCAAGGAGAGAGAUAAGGAGAAGGAAAUGGUGUGUGAGUUCCAUAUGAACAAAGACCUAUGUGCACAUUAUGAGCCAUUUCAAGUUAACAGAAUGAUUUUCCAUGAUUUUGUUCAAUACAAUUCAUGAGCCACUUAGAACAAGUCCACUCGUUGGGUCUUUGUUAGAAAUGUUGGGUCUUUGUUAGGAAUGUCUGGGUCGUGGUUGAGACUUAAGUCGUCACAUGACAGUGAAAUUAGACUGCAGUUUCCACCCACGGUUUCUGUUUCUGGGUCGUCACGUAAUAAUGACUGUUUAUUAAAUUUUAUAAUAAGUAUUUUGAGUGUGAAUAAUGAUUUUAUAUGUUAAUAAAAUUAUGAUUAAAUAAACAAAAUGACAUAUUGAAAUUAAAAUAUUUAUUCCAUGACAUUAAUUAACAAAAAAUGCCUAGAAAAAGAUAUAUACAACGAUUUAAAAUCUAAUUAAAACACACAAACAUAAUAAAUUAGGAAAUUUUUUGCGUCGGAUGAUGCAAAAACAUGCUGGUAACAUGUUUUUAUUGCAUACAUUUUAAAAUAGUUUUCCUUAACCUUAUUUUGUUUUCCUAUUAUAGGUCUUAUUAAUUUCUUUCCAAUUAAUACUAUUGCCAUUAAAUGGUAACAAACUAGCUAAUAUACAAGCCGUUGGAUCCUGUUGACCAAUUAUAUAUAAGUCGUUGAAUGAGUUUUCCAAUUUACUUCAGACGCGUGUGAGCCCAUCAUCCUUGCACAAGAUGACAAAAGCGUGGUAUCACGCUAUAAUGGGUGGACGAUGUCCUUUCGUGUCUUACACACGAUACGCAAACGCGUUAUCUCUCCUCUCUCUGCGUCAACGCAUGUGGCAGGCCCCAUACCUAGGGUUGAGUUGGCACGGGAAGGUCCGGGCCUUUAAAAUUGUGACUUAGGUCAUGGGUCUGACCUAAAUGAAGACCAAAUGAAGACCUAAGUGAAGACUCAACGAAGGCCUGGGGUUAAAAAAAAAAUUGUGGGUGGACUUGCUUUUUUUUGCUGUGUCUUCUUUUGACAUGAAUGAAGGCCUCAGUCAUGCUUUUAAACUAUGGGUGGAUUUGCUUUGCUCUUAGACCAUUUCUGUAGCCAAAAAAAAACAGAGCAAAUUGACUAUAAUGGAUGAUACAUUAAUGUACGUUGUAUGAACAACGAUACUAUACUUACAUGAUUAAUAGGUUUCUUCGCUAAUUAUACUUUUCAUUUAUUAAUAAGUAACAUUACUUCAUGACAAUCGAAUCAACAUAUUAUAAUCAAUUAUGAAAACCGAAUAUCACAUGUUUCUUAUCUAACAAUAGUCUUUACUCUUUACUAACUAAAAAUCAUUUAUAAUUACGAACAACACCAGGAAUACUAAAUUUGGGGAUUACAUAACUCUUUUAUUUUAGACAAUAUCUAAUUGUCAAGAGAAAUUUUAAAUACACACUCUUAAUCUCUUAAUACACACAUCUAUUAUAUUAUGUUUCUAUUAAGAUUUUAUAGAUAAGUUAAAUGUACAAAACAAACAUCUCUUAUUAAAAAAAAAAAAUCGCGCUAGAAGUAUUCUUUUCAACAUCUUCUACUCUAAAAUCAUUGAAAAUACGUCUUCUCCCAUAACCCCAACUCUUCUCCACAAUUCAUUUGAGUCGUCUUUUCUUUCUUUUCUUUUUCUUCUUCUUCUUUUUUUUUAUCUGUAUCAGCUUUAGUUUGAUCUUGCAUAUCAUAUUCUCAAGUACUGCAUCUUUAUCAUGACAUGUUUUAUCGAAUAACUAGAUAUCUAUGUUUAAUAGCUACUGUAUUUCUACACUUCUACUAUCUUGUGAAUUUUGAAAACUUGUAUUGAUGAUUUAGAGUUGGGAUAUAACAAUAAUCAUUUGAUUAUAAAUUGAACAAUGAUAAUAAAAAAUUUCUAACAAAAAUUAGACCAAAUAAUAUGUAAAAAGAAGUACAAAAUAGUAAAUAUAGAUUAAUUAUAUUAAAUAAUGAAAUAUUUCAUAAAUUAAGGGUAUUUUAGGCAGUUUGGGAUGUGUAUUAAGAGCAUCUCCAACAGUUUCCCCAUUUUCUUGAAAUUCUCCAUUUUGGGAAAUAUAAAGCUAUUUUUAGGUCCAACAGCUUCCUCAUCAUAUUCCCCAAAAUGGGGAUGAAGAAGAAAAAGAAGCCUCCAUUCCUCAAAUUUGCAGCAAAGUUUUCCUUCCCUAAAAUUAAAUUCUUCACGUGCUCCAACGAAUUUAAGACAACAAUAAAAUAUUUUAUUGGGUAGUUUAUUGUUACAAUGAAAUAUUUAAUAUUUUUUUGUUAUAAUUAAUGAUGAUAUAUUAUAUUUUAUUGUUAUAUUAAAUGCUGCAAUCUCCAAAAUGGAGAAGCUGCUGGAUUUUGAUCAUAAUUUUUUUGGAGAUUUUAGUUUUUGUUUUCCUAUUUUAGAGAAAUUUUGAGGAAGCUGUUGGAGAUGCUCUAAGUAUAAUACUGAAAUGAAAAACUUGAUACGUGGUGUAUUAAGUAAGGGGUGUGUAUUAAGAUAUUAAGGAUGUGUAUUUAAAAUUUCUGAAUUGUCAAAUACUACAUUCUAAUCAAUGUAAGAAAAAAAAAAAAAAAAAAAAAAGACAGGUGAGGGGUCUUUCUCCCUCGUUGGGCUUGGGCUCUGUAGGUCAGAGGUCCAUGCCCUGGUUUCAUGCACAUCAAUAAUGGCUGUCGCAUAAAAAGCUGUGCUAAAUGAAGGAACAGAAUAAAGUCUGGAGGAAAAUGUAGCAGAUAAUAGAGAGCUCCAUUCCCAUGCUUUACCCAAAACUAGUCCAAACUUCCCCAAACCCCUCUCACCAGCAUUUACUUCAGCUACCCUCUUCACCCACCUAGUAACCCUAGCUCCCUCCACCUCCAGGCUUCACAGCCCGUCUCCAGCUUCAUCAAGGUAAACCACUUUCUGAUUUCUGAUGUUAUAAUGCUCUGUUUGUCUCUCAUAAUAUGAUUCCAAAGUAAAAUCUGACACACCCAACUGAAGAGAAUAAGCUUAAUGUAGAGAGAGACAGGUCUUUUCAUUUCUUUAAGCUUUUAAGGAAUAGUCAGUGAGUUCAAGAAAAUGAAAGGACAAGAGAAGAUUGGUUUCUUUCAGUUCGUUUUCAUUGUAGUUUAUUGCUUGUACGUAUAUUUAGUAUUGUUUGGUGGCUGCUUUGUUUCAAUAAUGUUGGUAUAUAGAGCUUGGUAGUGUCUUUAAUGCCCUUGAUUUUGCAUUGUCGUAUAGAAAUUCUCCUAAAAGUAUGGGUUUUCUUUUGUUUUUCUUGAUUUCUUACCGACCCGAAAGUGGGCAUCUAUUUCUUUCCUGUAAUUCAGAAAUUUCAAAGUGAUCAUACUCAUAUAGGUUAUUAGUUGGCUUGAAUUCUUGCAUACAGCUUGUAGUGGGAUUACAUUUAUGGGAUCACAUUAGCUUAGUUUUUAUCUUCAGGAGCAAUGCGGUGUUCUUAAUGACUUGUAUUGGACUUCAUCCCUUUGUUUAUUGAAAUUGGAGGUUGGAUCAGAGACCUGCGGUCGUUUUAGUAUUAAUGGAAAGCUUAGGUGGCUGUGGGUUUUCUGUUGGAGGAUGUGUUGUGAGGAAGAAAAGGAGUGUUGUAUCGCAUAAGCCUCGCUUGGAUCCACUCACAUUUUCUGAGAGGUCGAAUAUCUUGCUACCAAUUGUACAUCCCAUUGGCAAUGAAAGCCCUGAUAAGAAGCAUAAUAGCAAAGAGAAACUAUUACAUUCUGAUGGACUGCAAAGUGAGAAAAAGCCGAAGAAGUUAAAGCUUAAGCUUCGAGGUGUUACUCAUACAAUCCAAACAAAGUAUACAGUUGAUUCAUGCCCGUCCAAUGACCUCAUACCCCAACCGAAGCCACUUCUCCAGGUACCUACAGUGAUGGAAUAACUAAUAGGUCAUAUUUGUACCACCACUGCAGAUUAAAUUUAUUUUGUCUACCUGCCUGAUUAAAACCAAAGGUUUUAAAUAGUUUUCUCCAUGUGCAAUCACAACUGCAAUGACAAAAACAACAAGUUACCUUACACUCUUACAGGAUGAAAUACUCUCUGUUUUUGGAAAAAAUUGUGUACUUGUUACGUUAAAGAAGUUGUGUGUUUGACUUGUUAGUUUUUCAUUAACCAUGUCGUCAGAUAAUGAUGUUUUGCUGUUUAAAUUUGUUGAUCCAUGUGAGUUUUUAUUUAUUAAAUUACUGUUGCAGGAUGGCAAACCCAUAUGUUCUUCUGAUCAGGGUAAAGGCAUUGGAGUUAAACGAAAAUACUCCUUGAAAUUUGACUCUGCUUUGAGAAAGGAGUAUCCUUCGAAAGGUGAAAUCUCUGGGGAAAGUGUUCCUGAGGAUGGAAAACCAGCUCGUAAGAGCAAGCGGAUUCAUGAGAGACGUGUCUUGGAUGUGGGACUUAGUGAAGAUGGUAAUGAAGAUGAUGAAAUUCGAUUUCUUGAAAGACUAAAUGCUUCAAAGGUUGCUCUUUCAAAGAGAAGUCAAAUGGAUGGCGCUCAUGGAGGUGAUAUUGGAAACAGAAAAUUACCAAGGCUGCAGAAACAUGGUGGAAAAAAGUUAAGAUCAGAAAAAAAGUAUGAGGAUAAAGACUAUUUGGGAGAAGAAGAAGACGAAGAAGAAGAAGAAGAACUGACAUCUGAUGAUGAACUUCAAUCUAAUAGGAAGACGCUGAAAAGAGGAUCUCUUAGUUUACUUCUUGAAGGGCCACAAAAGUCCACGCCCACCACACGUAAUCGGGCCCUUCAGUCUGGGAUAGAUGUCUUAACUGGCUCCGGUUCAAGCGUUGUUAACCUUGCAAAUCAUUUGCUUCCUGCCUCAUCUAAAAGUGCGCAUCCUCUUCUUCCAUAUUUGCAUUGUGAUUGUGUUUCUACACGUCAAAGAUAUGUUUGUAUAUGCAUACUAACUUGUUUGCAGUUGUUUUACUGGCUGGUUGACCACAGAAAAGGAGAAAAUCUCUGAAGAGGAUAAGCAAUCAAAGAAAGCCGAGGCUGCACAGAGACGUAAAAUACAAACAGAAAAGAUAGCUAGAGAAGCUGAGGUUUGGUCUUUUUUAUCAUGUUUUAUAUUAUGUUCUCAGCUGGUAGUCAUAGGAAACGGUCUCACUUGGUAUAUUCUAGGCUGAGGCAAUCAGAAAGAUACUUGGUCAAGAUUCGAAGAAGAAGAAGCGGGAAGAAGAACUAAAGCAGAAGAGGGAUGAAUUGUCACAGGUCCUUUAAGCUAGAGCAUUGGUUAUUCUUAUAUUUCUCAUGGUUAUUCGCAUCGUUCUGAUUCAGUAUCUACUGAUAUUAUGCAGGGGAGGAAUGCCAGUGCUGUCACACUGGCACCAAACACUGUCCGAUGGGUGAAUGGCCCCAAUGGGACGGUCGUUACAUUCUCUGGCGACAUCGGUCUUCCUAACAUUUUCAGUCCAGUGCCGUGCAGGUAAAGCAUUUGCUUUCUUUUUCCAACCCAGUUUCUCCUUUGAUCUCAAAUUCUUGUAAUCUCAUAUGGCUUUCUGGUCUUGUGGGCUGUUAUUUAGCUAUCCUCCCCCACGUGAAAAAUGUGCUGGUCCAAAUUGUACAAAUGCAUACAAGUAUCGGGAUUCUAAGUCCAAGCUCCCCCUUUGCAGUCUCCAUUGCUACAGGGCGUUGAACGGAAAGACACAGCCUCUAACUGCUUGUUGAUACAGUCCUAAUGGGCACACCAAUUUAGUAGAGCCAAUUGACUGAUUUUGUUGGAAUGUGGAAAGACUAUCUUGUAGUCAUGCAUCCUGAACUGAUCACGGAAUAGUGAAUUCUGACCCCUGAUAUUGUCAGUAUUUUGUAGAACAAUCAAGUAUAAUGAUCGGCGUAAUUGUAAAAGCGAUGUUUUGCAAUGUCACUGUGCCACUUUCAAACAUUGCAAACUUGUCUGUAAAGAAUUUUAGAGAACUUGCUAACUUGGGAUGAAAUGCCAUUUAUGUCUUCCACAAUCCUACAUUCCUACUCGAGGGAAAGUCUGCAUCAGUUUUUCUUGGUACUUCUCAAACUGCUUAGUCUCACAGACUAGACAACUUUCAAUUUAGCUUGUGUGGUUACAUGUAUUGUCCAAAAAAAUCUGUAACCAAUUAGGUUGCUGGAUAACCAGAUUGAUCGGAUGCAGCAGAAAAAUCAAAAACUGUUACUUACAAUUGUGUACAUUAAGCGGUAAGAUUGUCAAAUAGAUUACAGAUUCUUCAAAUAUAUUAUAUAUAUGGAAAACUUUAAACAGACGUUUCUCACUACAACAGACAAUAAGCCAAGGCAUCUUGAACUUCCAUGCUAGUAGGAAAUCAUUGCUAAGUCUAAGACUCGUCCAUAAACACGGCACCAUAUCCGCUAGAUUUCAUGAACUUCUUCAAUAGAAGAACAAAAAUGGCAAUGGUUAGUCCAACGGCAGCCAAUGUGAACAACCGAUCUUCAUUUGGUUUUUGAACUCUCAUUUCUGGCUUUUGUACAACCCGAGUUGAUCCGCCGGAAGGAGCUUCAUUCAACACCCUUGGUAUUUCGGGGGUGGGGUUAGCAUUCUGAGGGGCUUCCUGUACUUCUUCAACAAUCCUAUCAUCUGCUCCCGGGUUUGGGAGCUCUUCCCCAGUGAGUGUGGCUCCAGCAUUUUGUGUAGUCCCAUCAACUUCACCUUCCCUGCUUGAAGGAUGCUCUUUGGAGGCUGGUGUGGGGUUUAUUUCAGGAACAGUUGGUGCCUUGCUUAGCAUAUAUUCAUGAAUCUGCAAAAUUAUUAUACAUGAAAAGUUGUAAUCGAAAAAAACUGUAAAAGUACAAUGUUGAUACAAGACUCUCAGUAGCUAUGUACCUCAUCAAUGAUCUUCUGACGUUCAGGAGUUCCGAAUCUUGGGGCUGUCUCACGAGAUUUGACAGCCAAAGUACGCCUUUCUUCCUUUUUGUAUUCCAGUGAACCCAAUGCACCAUUUGGGUGGGUGGGCAUGAAUGCAAUAAGAGCAACUAGAGCAGUCCGCACUGCAAGCAGCAAUAGCAUACAGGCAAGAUGAGAAGCGUGUGGUGGCCUAAAGAUGUCUGAGAACAUGUAUGCAUGUGAUAUAAGCGAAUUCCCUUACAAGUAAGGACAAUAACAAUGCAGAAAGCUAUUGCUAGACAAGUCACUUCCUAAACCAGAACUAUUUUAGGUUCGCAAAAUUUCCCCACAUGAUUCGACAUGCACCAAGUUAGUCCAUCUGUCGUUUUCAAACCACAUUCUCAAUACCAUAUUGUAAAUAACUGAAAACCAAAAACCAAAAAAACAGAACCUUGGAUAAAUCAGUCUAGGUGAUCAAACUAAGAAACAUGGAUGCUCCUCACAAAAUGCAUAUAGGAAUAUAAGCAAAACCACAAUGACACUAGAAUUUUCGGCUGUCUUUUUCUAACAGACAUUUUCAAUCCCAUGUAGAUAUCAAACACCAAAUUAAUAUACAGUAGCAAUGUGAGCAACUCGAAAACAAGCACUUGACCAAGAACCUUGGCAUAGCAAUGCGGCCAUUGAACUAAGAUGUUCAGUUCCAAGUAACCUCCAAUUCAACCUCACCAUGCUUUAGUAUAUAUGAUCACAACGAAUGAAUAAGCUCCUUCCACAUUCGAGCAACCUAGUAAAUCUUUCAACACAUUUCAAUCCCUAACUCUCACGAAAAACAAAAACUCACCGCUCCAGGACGGCUGCCAGUGCUCAGGAUGAUGAUUUGAAAUGCUCAAGCAAAUCUUGGUUUGCGUCUCGAACCGGCCAUUCGGCUGGAAAAAGCAACACAAAUCAGUCAUAAACCAAAACGAAAACCUAACGCGACCAUAACAAAACAGCCAGCAAGGCAAGAGCAAACUACCGUCAACAGCAUGAACGACGGAGGCUUAAACGGAUACUCCGCCGGCAACUGAAUCCUGCCGUGGUAAAUGCCGCCCUCGAAUUCCGUAUCCCGAGGGCCGCGAAUCGCAAAUUGCCAGUCAAAUAUAUUCUCCUGUUCAAAAUCCCCAAUUUUCAACAUCUCAACACAAAACACAAUUCAUUCAAAAUUAACCAUAAAAUCAAAGCUAAUUAGGUUAAGAUUGAAGCUAAUACAAAUCGGAAAGGUGUUAACCUCGAGAGGGAGGCUCAUGAAAUCGUCGGAGGGAUUGGAUUGCAUCUCCUUGACCUCCUGCAGGAUUCGCUUCACGGCCGGGUUCUUCCGGUUGUACUUGUCCUCCGCCAUGGCCGUGAUUCUUCCGAUUCGAAUAAUUCCCGUCUGGAGCGACCCGAUCCGAUCCGAUCCGAUUCAGAUGAGCUUCGUUUUUCCGAUAUUCAAGAUAUGAAUCCGAAAUGGAAGAAAGCUCGGUGGUUUUAUAGGUCAGUGGGUUUGAUCUGUUGGUUGCUUGCCACGUCAUUUUAUUUGGGAUUGAUCACGUGGCAAGUGCUCAUUCGGGACUGUGACUUCAACUCCUCAAGAGUGAAAUAUCUGUUUGGUAAACGGAUGGCUCAUGGGCUAAAAUGGCCUUAACAAACUUUAUAAUAUCGAAAAAAAAAUACAACAAACCGCAUAUUUGACUACUAACAUUAAGAGUUUAAGACUAUUUAGUUGAAAAGCAGGAAAACAUGAGCUAGGCAAGCAGUUGAGCCAUUUCUUGAGAGUAACAAGGCCGUGACCAAUGGAGGCAACGACGUCAACAAGGACGUUGGCCUCUCGGAAGACAUGGAUGAAGAAAAUACUCUCAAACUGUCUUGCAUCAAACAAUAUGUCUAAUGAGGGACUCAAUGUGCAAGGGUGGGUAACUAUUUUCAUUGAUGCGGUUGAUAUUUAGACUUGAGUCACCUUCCACUUCAAGCUUAAGAAGAUUGAAAUUGUGAGCUGCAUGAAUGCAUCUUUAAGCAUAGCACACUCAGCCACAGGAACAAAAACAUCACUAAGACUUCUAGCACUUGCCACCAACGGAAGGAUCAAACGAACUAGAUCCAGUAUAGGAUCAAAGGUUUAAGCUAAGCUUCAUCGAUAUAUUUACAAAGAACAAAUGUUUCAUAAUUUUAUUGCGGAUGAUACUAUGUUGAUUGAUCGACGUUUUUCAUGUGUCCUCGAACUAAUAAUUUGUUUUAGAUGAUCAAUUAAUUAUAUGAGCUACCAUUCUAGUUUACAUACAAUGAUAAAAACAUAAGACAUUUAGAAUAUUCGUUGCUUUCCAACUGAUUAACUGACCACCAAAACAAAUUCCACAAUUUAAAUAUCUUUAAUAUAGUCCAAGUUAGAACCGAAAAUUAAAUGUUACUUUUCUAAGAUUAAAAGAAGAGUAAUGAUAAUUAGAAUUUCUACCAGGCUCAAUAUGAUUUGUAAGGUUCAUGACUGUGUAGGAGAUGCAACGGAUUAUCAACCAUGACAGUAAAUAUCGCUUUGUAAUUGGGUGCAUGACUGACAUCACACGUAUUCAGCUUAAAUUGGUAAGACCCAAUGUAUGAAACAUUCUAUGUUCGAAUCUCGCAAUGUUGAUCGGAGAUAAAUCUUGAUUUAUUCUCGCUUGUUAAACAGGAGACGGCGUGCGUUCUGACAUAAAAACUAAGUGAUUUUGAUAUUAAAAAAAAUAAAAAAUAAAAUUCAAGUUUACAUCAUUACGCGGUCUAGCUAUACUGGUGUAAGCACACGUCGAUGUUCCUUUUAUCGACACGGAUAGUGCCGUAGUGGUGCUUGUACAUCUAAAGCCUGCCUGCAUGAUUCCCACGUGUUGGUGUCAACAAGAACAAUGCCAUUUUUGGGUCUACUGGCCAGUCCAACACAAGUGACAAUCACCUCCAAGUCUCCCACCAACUCUGCGAGCUUGAGAUCGAAGCUGACCAACAAAAAUGGACGUAGUCCCACCCAAGCCCGGGAUGAUCGACACGUGGCUCAAGAAGCACACUCUGAUCCACACCGGCGCCACCCGGCACCCUUUCAUCCUCGCCAUCCGCGACGGCACCGUCGACAUCUCCGCCUUCAAGCGCUGGCUGGUACCAAACGCCGUCGUUUAUGUCCUCACCAAAUUCUUUACCUUUUUUCUACAGUAGUUAUAAUUGGAUUAUGGAUUGGUUUGCAGAGCCAGGAUUAUAUAUUUGUUCGAGCGUUUGUGCCGUUUGCGGCGAGUUUGGUGGUGAAAGGUUGGAAGAAUUCUGAUGAUAGUGACGGUGACGUGGAAGUCAUACUGAGUGGGCUUGCUGCUUUGAACGAUGAGAUUGACUGGUUCAAGAAACAAGCCUCCAAAUGGGGUGUUGAUCUUUCUGUUGUUGCUCCUCAGCAGCCUGCUCUAGAUUACUGCAGGUACCCAAUAUUACAUGCCAAUCAUUCAUUUUUUCGAUUGAAAUUUGGGUGUGAUUGGACCAAAGAAAUAGAAUUUUGUGUUGGUACCUCUAGGAUUACUCCAUGGCAGUAGUGCUUGGAGUGGUAUAGCAGGUUGAUGUUGAUAUACUUACACAAUGUGUAUAGAGUUCCAAGAUAGUAUUCUUAAUCUUAAGACUUCAAACAUCUGGUGUAAGCCAUUGGAAGUAAAAGGGUUUAAAAGGAUACGGCUGCAAUAAAAACUAGAUAUGCGGAGGAGUUUGAUUAAAGAUUUAGGAUUUUGGUUUGAUUUGGUUUGGUGCUUGUAGCCAUGGUGUAAUUGGUUAAACCCCAAGUGGAAACAAUUAUAUAGUCACCAAAGAUUUGCUGAAGUUUAUACACCAGUUUGUGUAAAAAGUUGAUGAGAAUGGAUAAGAAGUUUACAAGUUAUGUUGGUACCUUCAGCAUUACUUUCAUGAUAAUCAAGUACUAAUUGGAAUGGUGUUACAGAUUUCUGGAGAAUUUGACAAGUCCUGAGGUCGAGUACACAGUGGCCAUGACGGCCUAUUGGGCCAUUGAAGCUGUGUACCAGGAGAGCUUUGCCCAUUGCUUGGAGGAGGGAUUCAAAACCCGACCGGAACUACAGGAGGUUUGUCACAGAUGGGGCAAUGAUGGCUUUGGUAGCUACUGUUCUGCUAUCCGAAGCAUUGCUGACCGGCUAUUGUUGAAGGCUUCAGAUGAUGAGGUGCGAAAAGCAGAAGUGACAUUCCUGCGUGUUCUUGAAUAUGAGGUUGAAUUCUGGAACAUGAGCCGGGGGAUUCCUAGGUACUAAGUCAUGAGGUUGAAUUGAUCACCACUCUCCUUAUAAAUACUUAAAAGUAUCAUGUCAUGUUCAAGUUGCACCUUUGGACAAGCAAGCUAAUGUUAAUAGAGUAUUGAAAGUUCAAACUAAUAUGCGUAGCAAAGUUGAUCUUGCAGUAAUUUGUAACCAUAUGGUUGUAUGAGGUCGUUGAAUUCGAUUAGCUUUAUGGGGAUGAAUUUGGUGACGAUAAACACUGGACAUCAAGAGCUGUAUAGCAACAGUUGCCAAAGGUGCAUGAAUUGUUGUGUCUCAGACUGAAGUGUCUCUGUUACUGUUCAUGGUUGCUCACAGAUCAGCUAGGUUUGCUCUGCCACUUCUCAAUAUGGUAUUCUGCUGAUUUGCUGGGCUUUUCAAAGCCAUAACAUGUUCGAGUUGGGGUUCUUUCUGUGGCAUUGAGCCUUCCUUGUAACAAAGGGAAUGAGAAGAAAAAGAAACACAAUUCACAUCAAUCCUUCUGUAACUUCAAAAGACGAGGGAAUAACUUUUUUCUUUUUGUCUUUUCUUUCCUCUCCGUGGAUUCAAAGAGCUUAGCAUCUUCUUGAGGUUUGAUUGUGCAGAUAUAUGGAUGAGAAGAAUCAUAUUCUAUCCAUGUAUCCUAAGAACAACAUACUUUGAUGCUCCAUUCCGCCACUUAGGUUCCUUUUCCCUUGGAUUAUAUAUACAGGGACAAAGUUCAUCAGAACGUAUCAAAACUGGAAAAUGGCAUCAGGCCAGCUCUUUCUUAAGCCUCAGAAGCAAGAAGAUUAUAAUAAAUCUAAAGUCAUGAACAUCGAGCAUGAAAAUGUCAAGGCCUCGGCACCACCACAGCCUGCUUCUAAGAACGGCAGAGGUGAACAAAAGAAGAAGGGCAAUAAGAAAAAGAAAGGCAGAGGGAGCGGUGAUGUUUUCAGGGUUCAGGGCAACACCAUCAAUGGAGGCAAAGCCGACAAGUGUGGAGUUUUCGGAUUUGGUAACAAGUAUGUUGGCCGCAAGAAACCAAAAGAAGACGAGUCCGAAGAAAGUGACUCCAGUGAUGAAGACGAAGAGUGAAACUUAUGCAUAUGUAUAUGGCAUGGUUUUAGGACCUUAAGUUAAAUAAAGCCUUGUUGUGCUGGCUGCCUCAACCUUAGAACUGGAUUAAUAAAAGGUCCCUAAAUAAAUCGUUAUGUUGGUCUCUUUCUUAUUUUAUACAUACGUAAUUACGUAUUAACAACAAGAGAAAUUGUCUUGUUUUUUUUUUCUUUUCUGUUUCUAACAAGGAUUGACAAUGGGGGAAUCGCAGUUGGGACUUCUACCAACAUUUGUUUCAGACAUAAUUGGCUAGAACUGGUAUUUUCCUUCAGAUAAAUGCUAUAUGAUCCGAAUACAUGUCCUGCCGUGCCUUUGACUAUGGCUUGGUGUGGUUUGCCUUGCAUUCCCCUUCUUUCUUUCCACAUUGAAUUGCAUGAGCUGCUUUGCCUUGCAGUAGUCGUGCUGGUAAUUACCACUGGUGACAUACAUCUUUCUAUGUGUCAAAGAGACUAAGAGCUAUAGAGGCUAUAUGUGCAGCCAUUCAGGUGCGACAAUAUAAAGAUUUUCUAACGAAUUUGGGGUGAUGGUUCUAAGCUAGGUUGGACGUGCCUUGCCUUCUCCCAUAUGGCUGUAAACCUAGCUAAACCUAAAUGAAUUGUUGGAGGCUUGGUGCCUGAAAUGAAAAUAAGUAUAUAAUUCCACAAAACUAUUUUGACAAGCAACGGCUAGGUGCUAAAAUAGCAUAUACUUCAGAAAAAGAAAAAAAGAAAAAAAUUAAUGGUAUUGAAUGUUUCCCAGGCUUACCCCUAAUGUAAAUCCAUCUCCUUUGCAUAUAUAUAGCAGCAGUUAGCAUUCAUCAACAUUUUGCCUUUGCAUAUAUAUGAUAAAAUUUUCACAAGGAUAUCAACCUCAAAUUAAAAAGAGUUACAGUGACAUGAAUUAAGGUAACAAAUCUAAAGACAGAAGCAUGAUAAUAAAGAUUUAACAAGAAUUUUAAAACGUCCACCUGGUAUGUGAGACUUGGAAGAUGCUAUACAACUCGAUCUUGGGAUAAAAUUGGAUGCUUAUAUCUAUCAUGAUAAUAAUUCCAUUCUUUUUCUUUGUGAAUCCAUUCGCCUCUCCACUUAUAGUGGAGAACAGAAUAUUUAUCUUCUUCUACAUGAACGCCUAAUUAACCAUUUCAUAUCACGAAUUCAGGAUCCUUGUAUAUAUAGACGCACUUGAUGAAUACCCUUUAUAUCUAGACACUCGAUUACUCAUAUAGCUUCCUCAAGCUAUUAUUUUUCUGAGCGUCUUUGCCAUAAUAAUACAUCAAUCCAUUCUACCUUCGAUCACUGAUUAAGUGAUUAUUCGAACACAGUGAGUGCUUAUUGCAUGCAGCAUAUGGAAACNUNNNNNNNNNNNNNNNNNNNNUUUUUUUUUUCUGUUUUGUUUUCCAUAUAGAAUUUUCAAUCGAUAGUAUACAACUCGAACCCUACGUUCUUUAACAUCAAUAUGAACCGCAGAGUUCUAUGGAAGCAGAGAAGAAACCGUUGAAGGUUGGGCCGUUUGGUUCAGACAGUGGAGGAGAUCGUUUUGAUGAUGGAGUUCACUCCUCUGUGAGGCAACUAGUGAUAUGUUAUAGUCCAUCGUCAAUUCGCUACAUCCAGAUUGAAUAUGAUGACAACGGAAAAUCAUAUUGGUCGCAGAAGCACGGUUAUAGCAGCUCCCUGAGUCUUGACAAAAUAGAGUCGGUACGUAAUAAUCUCUGCAUAUAUAUUUAAGUUAAGAGUUAGAAUAAUCCCAAGGACUGUACUUCUGUUUCAAUUGAUGCAGAUCAAGCUUGAUUAUCCAGAAGAAUAUUUGACUUCAAUUCACGGAUAUUACAAAAGUACUUGGUACUUACCUACCUACAUUAGCUCACUCACUUUCACUAGCAACAGAAAAGUGUACGGACCAUUUGGAGAUUAUGAAAAUGAGGGAAGAAAAUACUUCACAAUCCAAGUCUCUGGAAGUAAGAUCGUUGGGUUCCAUGGCAAGUCAGAUGAGUGGUUUGAUCUUCGUGCAUUAGGAGCUUACCUUAAGCCUCUGGUUCAUACACCACAAUAUUCCAACAAUAAUAUUAGUCUUGCACCAGUUGCUCAUAUUGGUUAUCCAGCUGCGCAUGAUUAUACGCCGCCUCUUCAGGCUCGUCCUCCUCCUCCAUAUUAUGGUAGUUACUAUACUAACCCUAACCACCCACCACAGGCUGCUCCGACUCCAUAUCCAUAUGGCUAUUAUGUUCCUCCUCCAGGUCCUCCUCCAUAUAAUAAUGGAUACUAUGACUAUCAAAUGUCACAGGCACCACCGCUGCCGCAGCCUGCUGCUCUUGGACGUCCUCGUAAGCCGAAAAGUGCUCCUGGUAAGCCCAAGGCUGCUAAAAAUAAUGACCCUAAAAACGUAUCUUAUAGGGUUUUGGGGAAUGAAGUCAGUGGAAACACAGGAGAUCAUAAUGGAGUUUUCAGCGUUGGCAACAAGAAUACUGGUCUCCACAAGGAAGAUGAUGAAGAAGACGAAGAAUGGUGAAUGAAGGACCUAGAUUUGGAAACUGCGUACCGGUACCCUGCAGUUUGUAAUAGUUCCGAAUUUCUGAAGGCCAUAAUAAGUUUAUACGUACCAAUUGUUAUUAGUCUCUCUGCUGCUCUUCUUAUAGCUAAGAUAUAUGUACUACAACGUUUCAAAUGAAACUCUGAUGAAUGUACGUACUGAAUAUAUGAGGAAAUAGAAGGCAUGAAAUCCACGCUCUUGUCUGAGACUUUCGAAGAAGAAAAGACCACCUGCUACAAGGGGAAAAAAAAAACUACUAAUGGAAAUUGAAACUAAAAGCUUAGAGAAGAAGAAAGCGAUACAGAAGAUAAGGAAACUGUGAUUCUGAUUAAUUGAAGAAAGAGAGAAGCUACAGCAAAUAUAUGAUGUCUUAAGACAUCACAGAGACCAACCACGUGUCCCUUAUUUACAGCUCAGUAUGAGCUUAAGCUAGCUAAUUAACUAACAGCUAAACACUCUUACUUACUACUAAUUGGAUACAAUUAGUACUUAAUAUCCUAACAUCCUCCCUCAGCUUGAUGGUGAUUGUGAAGCAUCAAGCUGGAACAUAAGAACUGAUGUUGUGGAGAGCACAAGCCUUUGGUAAACAAAUCUGCAAGUUGAUGUUUAGAAGGAACAAACUGCAGCUUAAGAAAACCAGCCUUCACCUGAUUGCGAGUGAAAUGCACAUCCACUUCAAUGUGCUUUAACUUUGAAUGAUAUACUGGAUUAGUAGCCAAUGCUAAAGCUGAAAUGUUGUCACAAUGAAGAACUGGAACUUCAGAAAGUUGAACAUGUAAAUCCUUCAGUAAGAGCAGAAGUCACAUGAGUUCAGAAGUUGUAUCUGCCAUACUUCUAUACUCAGCUUCAGUGGAGGAUCUAGACACUGCACGUUGCUUUUUACUACACCAGGACACAGGAGUAUCAUUGAGUAAAAUCACAAAACCAGUAGUAGAUUUCCUAUCAUCAGGAUCACCUGCCCAGUCUGCAUCACAAAAGGCUUUAAGAGCAAGAGCUGAUGUGGAAAAAUUGGUUGCAGAAUAACCUCUCUUGAAGAAAACACCUUGAGACAUUGUGCCUCUAAUGUAUUUUAGAAUCCUUUGAGUAGCAAGGAGAUGAACAUGUGUUGGAGCAUGAAGGNNNNNNNNNNNNNNNNNNNNNNNNNNNNNNNNNNNNNNNNNNNNNNNNNNNNNNNNNNNNNNNNNNNNNNNNNNNNNNNNNNNNNNNNNNNNNNNNNNNNNNNNNNNNNNNNNNNNNNNNNNNNNNNNNNNNNNNNNNNNNNNNNNNNNNNNNNNNNNNNNNNNNNNNNNNNNNNNNNNNNNNNNNNNNNNNNNNNNNNNNNNNNNNNNNNNNNNNNNNNNNNNNNNNNNNNNNNNNNNNNNNNNNNNNNNNNNNNNNNNNNNNNNNNNNNNNNNNNNNNNNNNNNNNNNNNNNNNNNNNNNNNNNNNNNNNNNNNNNNNNNNNNNNNNNNNNNNNNNNNNNNNNNNNNNNNNNNNNNNNNNNNNNNNNNNNNNNNNNNNNNNNNNNNNNNNNNNNNNNNNNNNNNNNNNNNNNNNNNNNNNNNNNNNNNNNNNNNNNNNNNNNNNNNNNNNNNNNNNNNNNNNNNNNNNNNNNNNNNNNNNNNNNNNNNNNNNNNNNNNNNNNNNNNNNNNNNNNNNNNNNNNNNNNNNNNNNNNNNNNNNNNNNNNNNNNNNNNNNNNNNNNNNNNNNNNNNNNNNNNNNNNNNNNNNNNNNNNNNNNNNNNNNNNNNNNNNNNNNNNNNNNNNNNNNNNNNNNNNNNNNNNNNNNNNNNNNNNNNNNNNNNNNNNNNNNNNNNNNNNNNNNNNNNNNNNNNNNNNNNNNNNNNNNNNNNNNNNNNNNNNNNNNNNNNNNNNNNNNNNNNNNNNNNNNNNNNNNNNNNNNNNNNNNNNNNNNNNNNNNNNNNNNNNNNNNNNNNNNNNNNNNNNNNNNNNNNNNNNNNNNNNNNNNNNNNNNNNNNNNNNNNNNNNNNNNNNNNNNNNNNNNNNNNNNNNNNNNNNNNNNNNNNNNNNNNNNNNNNNNNNNNNNNNNNNNNNNNNNNNNNNNNNNNNNNNNNNNNNNNNNNNNNNNNNNNNNNNNNNNNNNNNNNNNNNNNNNNNNNNNNNNNNNNNNNNNNNNNNNNNNNNNNNNNNNNNNNNNNNNNNNNNNNNNNNNNNNNNNNNNNNNNNNNNNNNNNNNNNNNNNNNNNNNNNNNNNNNNNNNNNNNNNNNNNNNNNNNNNNNNNNNNNNNNNNNNNNNNNNNNNNNNNNNNNNNNNNNNNNNNNNNNNNNNNNNNNNNNNNNNNNNNNNNNNNNNNNNNNNNNNNNNNNNNNNNNNNNNNNNNNNNNNNNNNNNNNNNNNNNNNNNNNNNNNNNNNNNNNNNNNNNNNNNNNNNNNNNNNNNNNNNNNNNNNNNNNNNNNNNNNNNNNNNNNNNNNNNNNNNNNNNNNNNNNNNNNNNNNNNNNNNNNNNNNNNNNNNNNNNNNNNNNNNNNNNNNNNNNNNNNNNNNNNNNNNNNNNNNNNNNNNNNNNNNNNNNNNNNNNNNNNNNNNNNNNNNNNNNNNNNNNNNNNNNNNNNNNNNNNNNNNNNNNNNNNNNNNNNNNNNNNNNNNNNNNNNNNNNNNNNNNNNNNNNNNNNNNNNNNNNNNNNNNNNNNNNNNNNNNNNNNNNNNNNNNNNNNNNNNNNNNNNNNNNNNNNNNNNNNNNNNNNNNNNNNNNNNNNNNNNNNNNNNNNNNNNNNNNNNNNNNNNNNNNNNNNNNNNNNNNNNNNNNNNNNNNNNNNNNNNNNNNNNNNNNNNNNNNNNNNNNNNNNNNNNNNNNNNNNNNNNNNNNNNNNNNNNNNNNNNNNNNNNNNNNNNNNNNNNNNNNNNNNNNNNNNNNNNNNNNNNNNNNNNNNNNNNNNNNNNNNNNNNNNNNNNNNNNNNNNNNNNNNNNNNNNNNNNNNNNNNNNNNNNNNNNNNNNNNNNNNNNNNNNNNNNNNNNNNNNNNNNNNNNNNNNNNNNNNNNNNNNNNNNNNNNNNNNNNNNNNNNNNNNNNNNNNNNNNNNNNNNNNNNNNNNNNNNNNNNNNNNNNNNNNNNNNNNNNNNNNNNNNNNNNNNNNNNNNNNNNNNNNNNNNNNNNNNNNNNNNNNNNNNNNNNNNNNNNNNNNNNNNNNNNNNNNNNNNNNNNNNNNNNNNNNNNNNNNNNNNNNNNNNNNNNNNNNNNNNNNNNNNNNNNNNNNNNNNNNNNNNNNNNNNNNNNNNNNNNNNNNNNNNNNNNNNNNNNNNNNNNNNNNNNNNNNNNNNNNNNNNNNNNNNNNNNNNNNNNNNNNNNNNNNNNNNNNNNNNNNNNNNNNNNNNNNNNNNNNNNNNNNNNNNNNNNNNNNNNNNNNNNNNNNNNNNNNNNNNNNNNNNNNNNNNNNNNNNNNNNNNNNNNNNNNNNNNNNNNNNNNNNNNNNNNNNNNNNNNNNNNNNNNNNNNNNNNNNNNNNNNNNNNNNNNNNNNNNNNNNNNNNNNNNNNNNNNNNNNNNNNNNNNNNNNNNNNNNNNNNNNNNNNNNNNNNNNNNNNNNNNNNNNNNNNNNNNNNNNNNNNNNNNNNNNNNNNNNNNNNNNNNNNNNNNNNNNNNNNNNNNNNNNNNNNNNNNNNNNNNNNNNNNNNNNNNNNNNNNNNNNNNNNNNNNNNNNNNNNNNNNNNNNNNNNNNNNNNNNNNNNNNNNNNNNNNNNNNNNNNNNNNNNNNNNNNNNNNNNNNNNNNNNNNNNNNNNNNNNNNNNNNNNNNNNNNNNNNNNNNCCAAAUGAUCCUCUUCCACCAUUAUUACCACCAUUAUUCAUGCCAAAUUGACCUCUGCCAGCCCCGCUUCCAGCAUACAUCCCUGUCAUUGGCAUGUAUUGAGGAUACAUGGGAAAAGAAGGAGCUUGAAAAGCAAAUGACUGAGAGCCAUAAGGCACUGCUGAAUAUGAAGGAAAUGAAGUUUGAGUGGAAAUUGGAUAAGUGGGCUGAGCUGCAACAAUAGGUGACAUAGGAGGUUGGGAAACAACAGAAGAAGUUGUGAAACCAGGAGGUGCGGUAGGAGCAGAUGAAGUUCCUACAGAAGAGGAGACAAAAGGAUUUGUAGGAGCAAAGGGGUUUGUGGAGGCAAAAGGGUUUGUGGAUCCGGAAUUAUGUUGAAGAGGAACAACAUUGCUUGAUUGAGCAGGAGCACCAUUUUGAACCUGUGAAGUAGAGCUAAGAUUGCAAUUAGCAAGCAUUGCAGUCAGCAAGCUUUGAAUACUCUGAGUCUCACUAGUGAUUUCCAUUUCUGCAGCUUUAAGAAGAGAUUUCAAUUGACUCAAAGGACUACAAGUAAACUGAGCACGAAUCACAGUCUUGAUAGCAGCAUAUUCUGAUGGAAGACCAUUGAGUACAGCCAAAACAACAUCCUCAUCAUCAAUUGACACACCAACAGUGUCCAAUGCAUCCUUUGCAGCUUUAAUUCUAUCCAAGAAAGUCUCAAUAUCAUCAGAACCUUUCUUAACAUUCUGCAAAUUAGCCUUAAGUUGAAGAAUAUUCUGCUUGUUACAAUCUGCAAAUUUUGACUCGAGUCUAGUCCACAUUUCAUGAGCAGACUUACUUCCAACAGCACAGUUUCUAGCUACUGGACUAAGAGUUUGGCCAAUCAUGUUUACGAUGCUCUUAUCUUGAACUUUCCAAGCUAUGUACUCAGGAUUAGGCACAGUAGUAGUACCAUCAGAGGCACGCACAUACUGAUGUGGACAUGGAAUAGAACCAUCCACAAAACCAUACAGAUUGAGACCUCCAAGAAAGGAUUCCAUAAAGUAAAUCCAAGCAGGAUAGUUCAUCUCAUCAAGCAAGAGAUUAGGAAGGUAAACAUUGGUGGAUUUCGAAGAACUAGGGUUUAAGGAAUCAGAAUUUGAAGGCAAAGACAUGAUUUAAGGACUGAAAAGACUAUGGAAGCAAAGCUAGAGUAGCUAGGGUUUGAGCAACAAACGAAGAGAUCUAGAAUUUCAAACAAGAUUUCUGGAAACAAAAACAACAGGAAUCGAAUCACAGUAGAAAACCUAAGCUUCGAUCACAAAAUUGGAAUCAACAAGCAAGAUCUUUUGCUGCAACGAUAUCAAUGUUUUUCUUACGGAAAUACAAAGAUAACAAUGGAAAAUUAGUCAUCUUUCUUCUCCUAAAACGAUCGAGUUGAUUUGAAUAUGAGUCUGCCCGAAUUAGAACUCUUUAUUGUUUUACCAUCUGAAAUUUGAUUCAUGUCAAACAAAAAUUGAUAUAUUCUCUUGUCCUAUGGAUAUAUAUAGUUUGAGACUUUGAGUUCUCACAACACAAUGUUAGACUGCGUUUGCCGUAAAAUUCUACAAUGUAUUAAUGCAUAACAUGCAUCAACUUUGUUCUAAAAUUAUAAAAUAAUUCUUCAAAGUAGUAAUAUUAGUCUUCAAAACUAUAACAUGAGUCUUUAAAGUUGUAAAUUUUUUAUUACAUCAUUAGUCUUCAAGUGGUAAAAUAUGUGCUUAAAGUGGUACGUAAUUGAGUCCUCAAAGUGAUAUUUACAACUUUAUAGACUCAUAUUACCACUUUAAGGACUAAUGUGGUAGUUGAUAAUAUUUACAACUUUAACGACUCGUAUUACCACUUUGAGGACUCAAUUUACAACUUUAGGACAAAGUUGAUGCAUAGCAUGCAUCAACACACCCUACACUUCCGCGUUGUCCCGCAAACAAACUUAUAACUCAAAGUUUAAAUAUCACUCAUGCAAACUAACCGUGCAAACUUGAAAUGUGAUUAGCCUUCCAAUUCAUGGAAUGCUACUUGGUUCUGGAAACUAUCGUCAACCCUAGCAGAACACACGCGCGAUCGAUAUUGGAAAAACCAUAACGAUUUGCUAUAAAAUAAUUCUAACCAUGGUGAGCAAAAACGACGUACAUGGUUUGAGACGUGUGUAUCAACAAGAUAUGGUGCAAUACAUGCAGUAGUCCUUUGGAUCAACAUGAUGAAAAGGUCACCAGGUCAUAUGCUUCAUUGCUUAAGCUCUUUCAAAACUUUUAGGGUAACUCGCGCGAGAUCGUAAUCCAAAAGAGUUGAGAUAAGAUUGGCCGGCUCAACAAAGUGGAAAAGAUAAGAUACCGUUUCUAGAGUUCAAUCGAGAGAAUCUCGAUCAUAUAGGAUUUGGAUAUGUUAGAUGUUAGAAUAUUCUUGUUCCUUGAAUCCGUUCACUUCAUAUAUAGUGGAAUACAGAAUUAGCUUCUUCUAGAUACAUGAUCUUGGAAAGCUUUUACACGACGAAAAGAAUGGAUUCAAACAAAUAAGAAUCAAAUGUCCAAAUCAAUUAAGUAAGCAAAUAAGCUAGACUACCAAGUAGCAAUUAUAUAUAAAAGGAUUCAUUUCAACUUUUGCUAAAGUUUGCCAUACUUAUCCUUCAAUACUUCUAAAACUUGUUCCUCGCAGAUUAGUUUUUCUCUUGUAGUGAUUACUAUAAUUAAGAAUCAGCCGUACGUAGUAACCCUAGUUAAACUUAACCCAUGUUAAACUUGUAAUGCAUGCAGAACUUAACAUUAUGGAUAUAUAUAGACCGGAUAUACUUAAGCACUCCCCAUUUAGUAUGAGGAUUCAAUAUCGAACUGUCGCUAUAUAUACCAAUAGCUGAGCUAUCACACAGGAGGUGGAUCUGGAGCCAUUAUCGAAGGAAUAUUUGCUAAUUAAUUAGUAAUUAGUACUACAAGCAUAUCAUUAGCUUGGUAAUUAAGCUAUAGCUAGCUCAGGCCCCAUGUUAUUCCUUCAUAUCUCCCUUAUACGUAUACACUUAGCAGCUUAGCAUAUAUAGCAUCUGUGAAGGGACACAACGCAAACCAAAACCAAAGCCAAAGCCUUCCAUCACACAAAGGAACAAGAUGAAUCUCACGCAUCCAAUAUACGAGUCUGCUAUUCCAUCCCCUAAUAAUCCCUAUUUGGUUUAUCCUCAUUCUCCAGCUCCUGCUCAUCCUGCUACUCCAUGUGGAUCAUCAUCGUCCUCGUACUAUCGCGAUCCGUAUUAUGCAGCUCCAGCUCCUGUACAGCUUGCUCCUGCUCCACCUAGUAAAAGCAAGAUCAAGAGAAUCAAAAGUGUAGGCAAAAUAACGUCUUACACAGUCACCGGUAAUCGAGUUAACCAGAACUCAGGUGACAAUCAUCGGAUUUUCAAUAUUGGCGAUCGCACUAGUUAAGCAAUGGGGACUGGGGAGCAUGAAGAAGGGAAUCCGUUGAUGCAUGAAUCAAAAGCAACAAUGCAAGUUACGUAUGUAUUGGCAGUGAUUUCUGUAAAAGUUGAUGUGUGCUAAUUGAAUAAAAGUUGAAGCCUAAAUAAUUGUAUUUGUAUAUUAUUUUUCUAUCUAAAUCCAAUGCUUAAAUUUGUAUGAAUGCGCGAUAGUACGUAUAUAUUAAGAUAAAGUCGCCAAUUUCUCCAUGAUGCAUCUUUCAGGUUCAUGAUAUCUUCUUCUGAAAAAAACAAAAAAUAUGGCGAAAUAGCUUUCACUAUCUAUAAUGUUAACAGAAAAUUUAAUCUAAUCACUAAUUAAUUACCGGCCUUUGGGUCAUUAUGCAAAUUUUUUACUGAGGAAGAUAUGAGAAUUCGAAGGAAUCAAAUUCAGAGGUUUUGGGGUGCUAUAGGUUUCAAGCUAGCUAGCUAGCUCUAAGCAUGUCCUUUCUGAUUCUUAGCACCGGAUUGUCCCCCAUGGAGUCCAGGACAGCUACUAUUCUUCUUCCAUGCAUGGUUGUGUCACCAUCGUCGAAGAUUGCUCAUUUCUUUAGUAUUGUUUCUUUCGUUUCAGACUGUUUUCAAUUUAUGAAAUACAGUUUUCAUGGAAUUAUGCUUCAACUUGUAUUGCAUCUCAAUGUCUUAUUUGUGAUUUGUUACAAUAAAACCUUAGUGCAACUUGUUUGCUAGCCUAAUUACGAGUGAUUUGAAAUUUCAAUUACUCAUUAUGAUUUUGUUAAUUUAGGCAAAUUAAGAUAAUGGUUGAGAGCUUAAACAACAUUUAGAAGUAAGCAAUCAUUAUGGACAAAGCUUGUCAUGAGUAGAUGCAAGUUUUAAGGUAAUUGGUAUACAAAUUUCAUAACUUCCUGAUUACUUUAGGUUGGAUUAGGGAGAUCGAAGGAACAAUAGUAAAUAAAAUAAUUAUAAUAAAUAAAAUAAAAGAGAGGUUAAUUUGGGUUCUGGGAGCAGAACCUAGCCAGCUUAAUUCUGCAGAUGAGGCACUAACUAGCAUAUGAUGCGAUACAGAUCGACGUUGAUAGAAAGUUAGAAACGUCUAGGAAUUCGAAUAUUCCUAGCUAUUCUUAUCUCACUACGGCGAGGUUCUAUAAAUACUUGGUCUGUGCAAAGUGGAAGAAUUCAAACUUGCAAAACUAGCUAGUAUUCCUCCCAAUAUAUAUAGAUUAGUGUUUCACGAUUCCAGUCAAUCGAUAUCGAACACAAUAAUGUCACAUUAUCCCCAGAUGAUGAACCCUGGCGCCAUGUUCGCCAAUGGUUCGGAUCCGAAUAAGCCUUCAAACAAUCCCAACUUUGGGGCUCCUGCAUCAUUUGCUCAUAAUGGAUAUCCAAGUUAUAAUAAUUAUGCCCUUCCUCCUCAAUUUCAUGGUUACUAUAACAACCAAUACCCAUCACAGUCAGAUCCUGCUCAUCCAGCUGGUCAUGCUGAUCUCUAUGGUGGAUAUUGCAACCAUGUCGCUCCUCCUCCUCCUCCAUCUUACUAUGAUCCAGUGUCACAGGCACCUGUUGCCCCUCAGUAUCCUAGUAAGCCAAAGAGAGGCAAAGGUAGCAAAAGAACAUCUUACAAUGUUUCUGGGAAUCGAAUCAGCGGAAACAAAGGAGACCACAAUGGAGUUUUCAAUGUUGGCAACAAGAAUACUCGUUACAACGAUGAAGAAGAUUGAUCAAGUGAACGUAAAUUAGGCUGCAGUAUUUGUAGUCGAUCUAGAAGGCAUGCAUCAUGGAUAAUAUCUAGCUGUUAUAUACAAAUAAUACAAUAUAUAUAUAUAUAUAUAUAUAUAUAUAUAGUGUGUGUGUNNNNNNNNNNNNNNNNNNNNAAAAGUUAUAUUUUUUAUGGCACAUGAUAACCAUUCNUAAAAAGCAAUCACCCGACAUAAAAUUACUCGACAUAAAAACCUUUAACUUUAUUGAAUAGCAAAAGCAAAUGCACACCACACAACACAAUAAAGCAAAAGCAAAAGCAAAAGCAAAAGCAAAAGCAAAAGCUCUCUGCACACCACAUAACACAAGAAAGCAAAAGCAAAAGUAAAAGCUCUCUGCACACCACAGAACACAAGAAAGCAAAAGCAAAAGCAAAAGCAAAUGCACACCACACCACACAACAGAAGCAAAAACAAAGGCCAUGAGAAACCGGCAACUUAUUGAAAGCAAUAAAUUUAAAGCUCAUCAUUGGUCAUUCUCAUCAGCUUGCAGCUUCAUGCUCCACAGGUGAUCAACUAGAUCAUCCUGGAGGUUUUUAUUCAUCACUGGACAUCGUACCUCCCUAUAGCGACGCAUGAAUUGAUUUAGCCGGUUCGGAUUGCGAUCAACAGAGGUGUCUUGAUUAGGGAUUCUGUCAUAUAUGUGUGCCUUUUUUGGUAUGGUGGGAAUGUCAUUCGGAUCAAAUGGCUCAGCUGCAUCUUCAUCAUGCUCAUCUUCAACAAUCAUAUUAUGCAAGAUAAUGCACGUCAUCAUGAUGAACUGAAGAUUCUUCUUACUCCAUCCACGAGCUGGCCCUCUUAUGAUUGCCCAACGAGCUUGAAGAAUACCAGAAUCUCUCUCCACAUCUUUUCUGUAUGCUUCUUGCAUCCUUGUGAAAUGUUUUGUCUGCGACGUCCUCGGGUUUUUGAUUGCUUAAACAAAUGAGGCCCAUUUUGGGUAAAUGCCAUCAACAAGAUAAUAACAUUGCGCAUAAUGCCUAUUUUGUACUUCAUAGCUCACCUAAGGAGUUUCACCACGAGCCACAUCAUUAAACAAAGAUGAUUGUCCAAGGACAUUAAUAUCGUUUAGGGAACCUGGAAGGCCGAAGAAGGCGUGCCAAAUCCAAGUAUCGUAGGAUGCCACUGCCUCCAAGAUGAUUGUUGGUUUCCCCUUAUAGCCAGUAUUCUGGCCUCCCCAUCCGGUGGGACAAUUUUUUCACUGCCGGUGCAUACAAUCGAGGCUCCCGAUCAUUCUAGGAAAUCCUCUUUCUGCUGCCUUGUCGAGAAGUCGUCGCAGAUCAGCCGGUGUUGGUCGGCGGAGAUAAUGCUCAUGGUACACAUUCCAUAUUGCUCUGGUGAAGUGUUCCAAAAUCUCGAUGGCAGUGGAUUCUGCAAUAUCCAUGUAAUCAUCAAAGAAGUCGGCUAUGACCCCAUAUGCGAGUUGUCUCAUGGUGCAUGUAAGCUUUUGUUCAGUGGAUAGGCCGACUCUCCCAGUCGCAUCUCUUCCUUGAACAAAAUAUGGAUCGUAGUUGGCCACGUCGUGCAUCAUCCUGUCAAAUACCCAAGGUUGCAUUCUGUAUCGCCUACGAAAUAUAUUUGGUUCGUACCUGCAUGGAUCCGUGAAGUAUAAAGCUUUCAGACGUUGAUCCAUGAUCUCUCUGCUUCUGGCAGUAUACGAACGACCUUUCGAAGAACCACCCCAUUGUGAAUCCUCUUCUUCCAGAUCUUGGAUUUGCAAGGCAGCAGCAGACAUCAUCAUGGAUCUUCGUUGGUUUCUCGUAACGGUCUCUUCUUGAUCUUUCAUAAACCAUUUUGUCAAAUGAUUCAUUGUAGAAAAACAGUUUUUCACAAAAUCAAAAGGAAACAAUAUGAAGCUUUUGAGAUGAGAAGAGUGUUGUGAAUUUGUGAGGAAUGAGGAUGACAAUGACCUCAUAUUUAUGGACAAUUUGAGAUGAUAUCAACAGAUAAGAUAUGACAUGUGUCGGACAAAUAUAACUCGUAAUCUAGAAAGCCAAUUAGUGUUUGACAUGUGGAGACGAUAAUCACAUCCNNNNNNNNNNNNNNNNNNNNNNNNNNNNNNNNNNNNNNNNNNNNNNNNNNNNNNNNNNNNNNNNNNNNNNNNNNNNNNNNNNNNNNNNNNNNNNNNNNNNNNNNNNNNNNNNNNNNNNNNNNNNNNNNNNNNNNNNNNNNNNNNNNNNNNNNNNNNNNNNNNNNNNNNNNNNNNNNNNNNNNNNNNNNNNNNNNNNNNNNNNNNNNNNNNNNNNNNNNNNNNNNNNNNNNNNNNNNNNNNNNNNNNNNNNNNNNNNNNNNNNNNNNNNNNNNNNNNNNNNNNNNNNNNNNNNNNNNNNNNNNNNNNNNNNNNNNNNNNNNNNNNNNNNNNNNNNNNNNNNNNNNNNNNNNNNNNNNNNNNNNNNNNNNNNNNNNNNNNNNNNNNNNNNNNNNNNNNNNNNNNNNNNNNNNNNNNNNNNNNNNNNNNNNNNNNNNNNNNNNNNNNNNNNNNNNNNNNNNNNNNNNNNNNNNNNNNNNNNNNNNNNNNNNNNNNNNNNNNNNNNNNNNNNNNNNNNNNNNNNNNNNNCGUGUGUGUGUGUGUAUAUAUAUAUAUAUAUAUAUAUAUAUAUAAACUGAGAUCAAUACAGGCGCGGAUGUAGGUGCAAGCUUGGUAUGGCUCAAGCCCAACCAAGAUCUAUCGGAUAAAUAUUUUAGCACAUGAGAAGUAUGCACAUUAGGUGAUGUAGGAGGCUUGGUAUUCUUUUUUAGCUAACAUCAAGCCCAUCGUAGUUGGAUUCACCUCCACAACAGUCUUUUCAUUUUUGCAUUCCUAUUUUCUUCUAGAACAUAGUGGGCACAAAUUGGAUAAUGAGUUUCAUUUGUUCAAUCUGCUGGGUUAUUUAUUAUUCUAAUCUUCUUACAUCUCUAAAAAUCCUUAAGUAUAAUUCUUUUAAUCUUCUUCUUACUGCACUUGGCAUGGUUAGACUGGAAAAAUAAAAAAAUAAAAAAUAUUUUGCCUUCGGCCAAAGCUGAAGCCCACCCAGUGUUCAAAUCCUAGUUCCGUCACUGAAUUGAUAUAUACAUGAAUUUUUGUGAUAUGUAUUUUGAUACCUAAUUCAACAGUCCCCUUCAAGAGAGGGAUCCCUCUUUAAAAUUAAAGUGAGGGAUUCCUUAUUUCGCUCACCUUCAGGUCGUAUUUCCACAUCUCAACCGUACAAUGUCUAAAACACAGUGUGUAGAUCAUUCCUACAAAGUUUCAUCAAAUUUGAAAAUCAUUUAGGCUUCCGUAAUCAUAAUUUACACGAACGGUUCAGUUUGGACAACUUUUGUUCUGUUGAUUUAUUUAAACUAAUUCGGUACCCAAAUGAUCUUCAAAUUUGAUGAAACUUUGCAGGAAUGAUCUACACACUGUGUUUUAGACAUUGUACGGUUGAGAUGUGGAAAUACGACCUGAAAGUGAGCGAAAUAAGGAGUCUCUUACUUUAAUUUCAAAGAGGGAUCCCUCUCCGGAAGGGGACUGCCUAAUUCAAUUCAGAGGGACAGAGGAUAUAUUUGUUCACUUUAUAACGGAGAUUCUUCAGUCCACAUAGUGGGCUGUCACCAACGGUCAGCUAACGGAAGCGUGCAGUACACGCGCUGUUAGUCCAGUUUCAAACAAUAGACAGUAAAAACUGAAUUACCAUCCUUUCUUUCUCUUUGUUUAGUUGGGUCUUAUCCCUUCGACCUGCAAACCCAACAAACCUAUACCCCUUCUCCUUCAUUGGUUCAUUACAAAGCCUCGUCUAUUUCCCGAUUUCCAAGUCAAGCUCGGUGAGAGACUCCGGGAAGGAACCAUUGAGGAGAUUUAAGGACAAGUCGAGGUAGCGGAGGUUCUAGAGGAGUCGGAUCUGGGCCGGAGAGUGGGAGAGGUCGAGGGCAAUGAGGGUGGUGGCGUUGAAGAGGUGGGCGUAGAGAAGAGAGAAGAAGAAUGGUAUGGGUUCUUGAAAAUUCUCACUUAAUCAAUAUCUGGAAAACCCCAUAUAAACAAUGAAGCUUUGGGUUCAUCCUUCUGGUUUUAAACUGGAGAAUUGAGAAUUUGAGAUGAUUUUUUUGAAAAGAAAUUUGAGAUGAUUGUGAUGAUGGAAAGAUAAGAAUAUUAGAAUGUAAAACCGAUAAAAGAGGAGGGCGAGCAAUCGGUUACCAUUACUUGGGUCUCGAUCUAGUGGAUACUACUUUCGAAUGGAAUGAAGAAACUCAUACCCAGUGGUUGACAAAGUCAGUUAAAUGUGGCAGUGCUGUUCUUGGACGAGUGUGGAGGGGAGGCGGCCAAAUGGGUUGUUUCUAAGGUCAAACCCUUCCCACAAGUCCACAACCCAUCUCCUUCUAUUUUUCUUCUUCUUUUUUUCAAAAGGAAACGACACUGUUUGAAUAUUAUUAAUGUUGUCUUUUUCAACAUGAUAAAUUUUAGUAUUUGGUAUUUUUGUAAGAGGAACACCAUUGACGAGUGUGAAUUAGGAGAAUCCAACCGUUGGAUGAGAUGGGAGUGAUACCAUAAACUUAGGGUAAAAAAUUUAUGAAAUUUCCUGACUUUUCGACUUUAAUCUUUACGGUCAAACUGUUGAAUGUUUAUAAACUAAUAGGUUAACCAAAGUAGAAUAUAUUAGAUCGAGACCCAAACAAUGACAAAAAUAGGUGAAUUUUCUACCAUAACCGUGUUUCAGUAUGCCGAUCGCAUCAUACGGUGGAUCAAAAAAAAAUGUUGUUUUAUCGAUAUAGUUGGUUUACAAAGAUGUAGACUUACAUAUAACCCACCAAAUAAGAUAUAUCAUAUUAGUAAGCAUGUGUGGUUCCAACGAGUAGAAUUCACAAAAUUAAAAUUCGACCGUCUGAUGUGAUUAUUACACUUGAAUAUGUUUAUGAAAAAAAACACCUAUUUUUAGUAACGUAUGGGCCUCGAUCAACGCGGUCAACUAUAAAUUUACGUUACUUAUUACACGAAAACGCUCUUACCUAUCCUUCGUGAAUUAUUUUGGUCGAUUCUUCCACCUACUCACUCUCACAUAGAUGAGAAGUAGCAACCAAUAUAAAAAUUUAGAGAAAUUUGCAUCCCAACGAUAGGGUUUCCCAUAAAAAGCAUAAGCGUAGAAAGCGUUGACCGCCUUGAUCGGGGUUCAAAUAUUAUUGAAAAUGUUUGAAUCUUUCACCAUAGUCGUAUUUCACUAUACCUAUCACAUCCUAUGACCGAUUUUUCAAAAUUCUAUUAUCUAGAUAUAGUUGGUUUAUAAAGAUGUAAACUUACAUAUAAUCCACUAAACAAGUUAUACCACAUUAGUAGGGACGUUGUGGUUCCUAUGACUAAAUUCACGAAAUGAAAAUUCAACCGUCUGAUAUGAUAAGUAUACUUAAAUAUGGAUAUGAAAAAAAAUUCACUUAUUUUCGAUAACGUUUGGGUCUUGAUCGAGGCGGUCAACCAUAAAUUUAUGUCACUUAUUACACGAAAAUGCUCCUACAUAUCCUCUUGUGACUUAUUUUGGUUGAUUUUUCAACCUACAAACUCUCACAUAUAUGUGAUGUAGUAGCCCAUAUAAAAAUUUAGAGAAAUUUACCUCCCGACGAUAGGGUUCCUCAUAAGGAAGCAUAAACGUAGAAAGAGUUGACCGCCUUGAUCGGGAUCUAAAUAUUAUCGAAAAUAUUUGAAUUUUUCACCAUAUCUGUAUUUCACUAUAACGAUCACAUCCUACGGCCUAUUUUAUAAAAUUUUAUUCUCUAGAUAUAGUUGGUUUAUAAAGAUAUAGACUUACAUAUAACCCACUAAACAAGUUACACCAUAUUAGUAGGCAUGUUAUAGUUCUUAUGACUAAAUUCACGAAAUAAAAAUUUGGCCGUCCUGAUGUGAUAAGUAUACUUAAAUAUGGAUAUGAAAAAAAAUUCACUUAUUUUCGAUAAUGGUUGGGUCUCGAUCGAGGCGGUCAACCAUAAAUUUAUGUCACUUAUUACACGAAAAUGCUCCUACAUAUCCCCUUGUGACUUAUUUUGGUUGUUUUUUCAACCUACAAACUCUCACAUAUAUGUGAUGUAGUAUCCCAUAUAAUAAUUUAGGGAAAUUUACCUCCCGCUGAUAGGGUUCCUCAUAAGGAAGCAUAAACGUAGAAAGAGUUGACCGCCUUGAUCGGAGUCCAAAUAUUAUCGAAAAUAUUUGAAUUUUUCACCAUAGCCGUAUUUCACUAUAAGGAUCACAUCUUACAGCCUAUUUUACAAUUUUUUUUUCUCUAGAUAUAGUUGGUUUAUAAAGAUAUAGACUUGCAUAUAACCCACUAAAUAAGUUAUACUACAUUAGUAGGCAUGUUGUGGUUCCCAUGACUAAAUUCAUGAAAUAAAAAUUCAACCGUCUGAUGUGAUAAAUAUACUUAAAUAUGGAUAUAAAAAAAAUUCACUUAUUUUUGGUAAAGUUUGGGUCUUGAUCGAGGCGGUCAACCAUAAAUUUAUGUCACUUAUUACACGAAAAUGCUCCUACAUAUCCUCUUGUGACUUAUUUUGGUUAAUUUUUCAACCUAAAAACUCUCACAUAUAUGUGAUGUAGUAGCCCAUGUAAAAAUUUAAGGAAAUUUACCUCCCGACAAUAGGGUUUCUCAUAAGGAAGCAUAAACGUAGAAAGAGUUGACCGCCUUGAUCAGGGUCCAAAUAUUAUCUAAAAUAUUUGAAUUUUUCACCAUAGCCGUAUUUCACUAUACCGAUCACAUCCUACGGCCGAUUUUACAAAAUUUUGUACAUUUACAUAUAAUCCACUAAACAAGUUAUACUAGGAAUAUAGAAAAAAAUUCACUUAUUUUUAAUAACUUUUAUCCACUGUUUCUAUCCUAACCAUUGAGUUUCAAGUUGAGUUCCGAACUUAUUUCAAAACGUUAGUUAAGAUUGUAAUUAAAAAUAAAUUUACAUAUGAUAAACAAAAAAAGAACAAAGAACAAAUAGAUAACCCUAGUAGUAUAUUGUUUUGACGUAACUAUCCCUUAUAUAAACACUAGGAAAACCAUAUCAUCUGGAAUGGGUAAAGAAGUAAAAUUACAAUUAAGAGAAAUAGUCAUUUUCUCAUGUCGCCGGCCAGCUCCAAUACAUUCUCAUAUUCCAAACAUCUGCAGGAAGAAGUCCACCUCUUUCAAGUUCCAAAGUAAUUUUACAGUCAGAAUUACAAUUUUGAAAUUCGGAGGCAAAGAACCAAGCUCGUAGAUUUGCUUCUGAAGUUCGAGGGCUGAGUAGUUGAGUGGGCAGUCGAGGGCUGACCGGAUAGAGGUGGAGAUCAGCCCCGCCAUGUCGAACUGGAGAUCGUCGGAGACGCGGCGGCGGCGGCGGUCUUCUCCGGCGAGAAGAAGCUGGAGAGCAAGUCGUUGUGGGAGAAGGGCUCCCUCAGACGGCGAGCCGUCGCAGUAGAGAGACUCGGAUUAAAACAGAUGAUUUCCUCACCGGAGAGGAUUGAGGUUUUUGGUUUACAUUUAACCCAGCUAGGCAGAAGGAUUUUACCCCCUUCUUUCUACCUUUCACUCAUCAAUUUCAAAGUUCCAAAAAAACGUUAAGGGAGGAAUGCUAAGGUUAGUCAAAAGUCGGUCUAAACUAAAGCUUGUGCUUGUGCUUGUGCCACGUCAGUUGGUGAAUUAUAAUUCCAAAAAGCUGGUCCAAGAUAAAAGGCUCUUCUGCGGUCUGCGGAGAAUACUGAAAGAUAUUGGAAACUUUAUGUCUUUUUUUUUUAUAUUGUAAAGUAGAUCCAUAUUCCUCCAUAAUGUUCAAAAGAGAAAGAAUCAUUCCGCCGCAUACAGUGGAGCUAGCUAGAACAGAAUAUUUAGGCUUUCUUCAUCCAGUCACUUAGUACAGUAUCUCUUAGCAUAUAUCUGUCCAAAAGCUUCGUACAUAUAUACUCACUUGUUAGUGCGCAACAUACUGUAUUUCCUUCACUCAGUUGCUCAUGACUUAUUCUAACCUUACGUGCCUCUAUCUUUCAAGAAUCAAGAAGCUAAUAAUACAAGAAUCUAUUCUGGAUAAUAUCGAUCGUAUACUAUCAUGGGGAGAUUUCAAUAUUAUCAUUAUUAUUAUUCUUCUGAGCUUGCCUAUUAGUAUUUUAGCGCAAGACAGAGUACUUGGCUUCAUCCAAAUAACGUAUGAUACAGAAGUUUCUCUGACUACCUAGCUAGACUUUUGCUGAUAUAUAUUUGAAACAAAAUUAAUGUUCUACAGCCCUCUACCGGAUCCGGAUAUCCGGAUAUCCUUUACAUAAAUUAUAUUCAUAAAUUAGUAUGAUAUAUAGCACGUACUGUGUAUGAUAGCACGUAUUGUAUGAUAGUGUAUACAUAUCUUGGCGAAAAACCUCACCAAUAUACGAAUUUAUCGAUUUUGUUUAUUCUCCAAUAUGCAGAAUUUAGUUCUCAACAAACUGAAGACUGGAGAGAAUAUAUGUCACUGGAUAACAACGAAUAAUAACCCUAAGCCCCUCUUCGUAGCUAGCACAUGAUGCUACACAUUUUUUAGUUUUCAGCUAAGAUGCUAUACACACAUUGAUAGAAAUGUUUUACGAAUAUUCAAAUUACAUGUUUACCACAUUUUAAGUGACUGAACCGUCCAUCAAUAUCCUAGAAACAUAUUCAGUUAUCAUUCUGGCCAUGGUUGUUCUAUAUAUAUCUAUCUAACCUAGAAUGUUCUGCCUUGGAAAUUAAACCCAUAUUAGCUAAUUACGCUAGCAACAUAUCAAUUAAGAUUUUUGCUAGCCUUCAGCUAACACAAUGUCAUAUUAUAGCAAUCAGAUGAACCCAGGCGCCAUGUUCUCAAACGGUUCUGAUCCAAAUCAGCCUUCGUACAAUACCAACUCAGGCCCUCAAGCUCAAGCUCAACCUCCAGCUAAUAAUGGAUAUCCAGGUUAUGCUCCUCCUCCUCCUGCGUCUUAUGGAUACUAUAACCCUAACCAUCCACCACAGGGCGGUUCGGCUGCUCCGCCUCCUCAUGCCCCAUAUGGCUAUUACCCUCCUCCUCUUCCGUCUUAUAACAAUGGACACUAUGACCCUCGAUUCUAUCAGGCGCCAGUUCGACGUUCUGCCAAGCCGAAGACGCCUUCUAAGCCCAAGGCUGCAAGGAGCGGUCCUAAGAACGUGUCGUACAAAGUUGCAGGGAAUCGGGUCAGUGGCAACACCGGGGACCAUAAUGGGGUUUUCAACGUUGGCAACAAGAAUUCCGGUCGCUGCGUCGAUGACGACGACGAUGAAGAUGAAUACUAAACGAAGGAGUUACGGAUAUUACGAAUGCUAAGGUUGUGUUUUAGCACUAUAAAUAUUUACUAUAUACUAAAGCUGGGUUACUGUAGUUAAGGGCCGAGCAGUUACAACUUUGUCCCUUCUUUUUCCUUUUUGACCAGGCUGCCCCUAGCCUUAGUAUAUAGUGGUUCGAGAGUGCUGCUGCAGUCAUUUUUUCCAUUUUGUUUCUUCUACGGUCUCUCUCUACCUCUCUUCCGAUCUACCUGAAGAAGAUGUGCAUGCCAAGAUCGGCAGUUGCAUGUUGUUUUUUUGGUGAUCGAAGAUCAGCAACUUAUUGAUUGUGGAUAAACUGAGAGAAAAAUGUUGAUACAUGCAAUUAUUUUGUGGGCAUAUGAGUUUCGGAUCCUUAAAUUUGGUAGAUUUCGAUUUAGAUCGGGUCUUUUUCUCAAUCCCCCUCUUCCUUUGCAUUCUGGUUUCACGAAUUUGGGUAAUUUACUUUGUGCAUGUCGUGAUCAUGUUUGCUUUUCUUCGAUUUAGGAUUUAUUUGCUGGGUAUUCUGAAAGAGUUUCUUGAGUUUACUUUCAAUCUUUGUAUGUCAAUGAUUUGUGGUUUCAAUGAUGCAGGGGUUUAAGGUGUAAUAUUGGGUUUGUCAUCAGCAAGGACAAGGGAGGUGGUUCUGGGUUUUUGGGUUUUUGAUGUGAGGAGGAGGAGCAUCGGUCAUAAUCAGGGUUGGAAUUUACGCCAAACUUUUCGUCUUCCAGAAAUUCAACUUCAGGUGAGUUCCUGAUUCAAUCAAUUGAUGUUUCGGCCCUUAUCUCUAUGAGAAGCUUCUAUUUCACUUAGUAUUUGUAUGUAUAGGAAUUUCAGUAUUUUCAGUAUUUGGCUUUGCUAUUUCUGUAUUUGGGUUCUGAGGAAAUUUGGGAUGUUUNNNNNNNNNNNNNNNNNNNNNNNNNNNNNNNNNNNNNNNNNNNNNNNNNNNNNNNNNNNNNNNNNNNNNNNNNNNNNNNNNNNNNNNNNNNNNNNNNNNNNNNNNNNNNNNNNNNNNNNNNNNNNNNNNNNNNNNNNNNNNNNNNNNNNNNNNNNNNNNNNNNNNNNNNNNNNNNNNNNNNNNNNNNNNNNNNNNNNNNNNNNNNNNNNNNNNNNNNNNNNNNNNNNNNNNNNNNNNNNNNNNNNNNNNNNNNNNNNNNNNNNNNNNNNNNNNNNNNNNNNNNNNNNNNNNNNNNNNNNNNNNNNNNNNNNNNNNNNNNNNNNNNNNNNNNNNNNNNNNNNNNNNNNNNNNNNNNNNNNNNNNNNNNNNNNNNNNNNNNNNNNNNNNNNNNNNNNNNNNNNNNNNNNNNNNNNNNNNNNNNNNNNNNNNNNNNNNNNNNNNNNNNNNNNNNNNNNNNNNNNNNNNNNNNNNNNNNNNNNNNNNNNNNNNNNNNNNNNNNNNNNNNNNNNNNNNNNNNNNNNNNNNNNNNNNNNNNNNNNNNNNNNNNNNNNNNNNNNNNNNNNNNNNNNNNNNNNNNNNNNNNNNNNNNNNNNNNNNNNNNNNNNNNNNNNNNNNNNNNNNNNNNNNNNNNNNNNNNNNNNNNNNNNNNNNNNNNNNNNNNNNNNNNNNNNNNNNNNNNNNNNNNNNNNNNNNNNNNNNNNNNNNNNNNNNNNNNNNNNNNNNNNNNNNNNNNNNNNNNNNNNNNNNNNNNNNNNNNNNNNNNNNNNNNNNNNNNNNNNNNNNNNNNNNNNNNNNNNNNNNNNNNNNNNNNNNNNNNNNNNNNNNNNNNNNNNNNNNNNNNNNNNNNNNNNNNNNNNNNNNNNNNNNNNNNNNNNNNNNNNNNNNNNNNNNNNNNNNNNNNNNNNNNNNNNNNNNNNNNNNNNNNNNNNNNNNNNNNNNNNNNNNNNNNNNNNNNNNNNNNNNNNNNNNNNNNNNNNNNNNNNNNNNNNNNNNNNNNNNNNNNNNNNNNNNNNNNNNNNNNNNNNNNNNNNNNNNNNNNNNNNNNNNNNNNNNNNNNNNNNNNNNNNNNNNNNNNNNNNNNNNNNNNNNNNNNNNNNNNNNNNNNNNNNNNNNNNNNNNNNNNNNNNNNNNNNNNNNNNNNNNNNNNNNNNNNNNNNNNNNNNNNNNNNNNNNNNNNNNNNNNNNNNNNNNNNNNNNNNNNNNNNNNNNNNNNNNNNNNNNNNNNNNNNNNNNNNNNNNNNNNNNNNNNNNNNNNNNNNNNNNNNNNNNNNNNNNNNNNNNNNNNNNNNNNNNNNNNNNNNNNNNNNNNNNNNNNNNNNNNNNNNNNNNNNNNNNNNNNNNNNNNNNNNNNNNNNNNNNNNNNNNNNNNNNNNNNNNNNNNNNNNNNNNNNNNNNNNNNNNNNNNNNNNNNNNNNNNNNNNNNNNNNNNNNNNNNNNNNNNNNNNNNNNNNNNNNNNNNNNNNNNNNNNNNNNNNNNNNNNNNNNNNNNNNNNNNNNNNNNNNNNNNNNNNNNNNNNNNNNNNNNNNNNNNNNNNNNNNNNNNNNNNNNNNNNNNNNNNNNNNNNNNNNNNNNNNNNNNNNNNNNNNNNNNNNNNNNNNNNNNNNNNNNNNNNNNNNNNNNNNNNNNNNNNNNNNNNNNNNNNNNNNNNNNNNNNNNNNNNNNNNNNNNNNNNNNNNNNNNNNNNNNNNNNNNNNNNNNNNNNNNNNNNNNNNNNNNNNNNNNNNNNNNNNNNNNNNNNNNNNNNNNNNNNNNNNNNNNNNNNNNNNNNNNNNNNNNNNNNNNNNNNNNNNNNNNNNNNNNNNNNNNNNNNNNNNNNNNNNNNNNNNNNNNNNNNNNNNNNNNNNNNNNNNNNNNNNNNNNNNNNNNNNNNNNNNNNNNNNNNNNNNNNNNNNNNNNNNNNNNNNNNNNNNNNNNNNNNNNNNNNNNNNNNNNNNNNNNNNNNNNNNNNNNNNNNNNNNNNNNNNNNNNNNNNNNNNNNNNNNNNNNNNNNNNNNNNNNNNNNNNNNNNNNNNNNNNNNNNNNNNNNNNNNNNNNNNNNNNNNNNNNNNNNNNNNNNNNNNNNNNNNNNNNNNNNNNNNNNNNNNNNNNNNNNNNNNNNNNNNNNNNNNNNNNNNNNNNNNNNNNNNNNNNNNNNNNNNNNNNNNNNNNNNNNNNNNNNNNNNNNNNNNNNNNNNNNNNNNNNNNNNNNNNNNNNNNNNNNNNNNNNNNNNNNNNNNNNNNNNNNNNNNNNNNNNNNNNNNNNNNNNNNNNNNNNNNNNNNNNNNNNNNNNNNNNNNNNNNNNNNNNNNNNNNNNNNNNNNNNNNNNNNNNNNNNNNNNNNNNNNNNNNNNNNNNNNNNNNNNNNNNNNNNNNNNNNNNNNNNNNNNNNNNNNNNNNNNNNNNNNNNNNNNNNNNNNNNNNNNNNNNNNNNNNNNNNNNNNNNNNNNNNNNNNNNNNNNNNNNNNNNNNNNNNNNNNNNNNNNNNNNNNNNNNNNNNNNNNNNNNNNNNNNNNNNNNNNNNNNNNNNNNNNNNNNNNNNNNNNNNNNNNNNNNNNNNNNNNNNNNNNNNNNNNNNNNNNNNNNNNNNNNNNNNNNNNNNNNNNNNNNNNNNNNNNNNNNNNNNNNNNNNNNNNNNNNNNNNNNNNNNNNNNNNNNNNNNNNNNNNNNNNNNNNNNNNNNNNNNNNNNNNNNNNNNNNNNNNNNNNNNNNNNNNNNNNNNNNNNNNNNNNNNNNNNNNNNNNNNNNNNNNNNNNNNNNNNNNNNNNNNNNNNNNNNNNNNNNNNNNNNNNNNNNNNNNNNNNNNNNNNNNNNNNNNNNNNNNNNNNNNNNNNNNNNNNNNNNNNNNNNNNNNNNNNNNNNNNNNNNNNNNNNNNNNNNNNNNNNNNNNNNNNNNNNNNNNNNNNNNNNNNNNNNNNNNNNNNNNNNNNNNNNNNNNNNNNNNNNNNNNNNNNNNNNNNNNNNNNNNNNNNNNNNNNNNNNNNNNNNNNNNNNNNNNNNNNNNNNNNNNNNNNNNNNNNNNNNNNNNNNNNNNNNNNNNNNNNNNNNNNNNNNNNNNNNNNNNNNNNNNNNNNNNNNNNNNNNNNNNNNNNNNNNNNNNNNNNNNNNNNNNNNNNNNNNNNNNNNNNNNNNNNNNNNNNNNNNNNNNNNNNNNNNNNNNNNNNNNNNNNNNNNNNNNNNNNNNNNNNNNNNNNNNNNNNNNNNNNNNNNNNNNNNNNNNNNNNNNNNNNNNNNNNNNNNNNNNNNNNNNNNNNNNNNNNNNNNNNNNNNNNNNNNNNNNNNNNNNNNNNNNNNNNNNNNNNNNNNNNNNNNNNNNNNNNNNNNNNNNNNNNNNNNNNNNNNNNNNNNNNNNNNNNNNNNNNNNNNNNNNNNNNNNNNNNNNNNNNNNNNNNNNNNNNNNNNNNNNNNNNNNNNNNNNNNNNNNNNNNNNNNNNNNNNNNNNNNNNNNNNNNNNNNNNNNNNNNNNNNNNNNNNNNNNNNNNNNNNNNNNNNAAUAUAACAUGAGCUGAAGCAAGCAAAUUUCUCUACAAUAAGUAUGGCGAUAUAUCUUUUGCAACCUGCUCCAUCAGCUUAACUAGCUAAUACCCAUGUCUUGAACAAUUAUAAAGUCUGCUUAAUAGACUAUGUACAAUAAUCUUUUGUUGUGAGUUGCAUUCUGUAUAUAAAUUGUAUUCAAACACCCGCAUCGAUUAUGGAAAUUUUUGAAUAUACGACGAGCUCUAGAUAGGAUUCAGUAAGGGAUACAAGUAAUGAAAUGAAUCUGAAAAUCGAGUUGCAAACAGGAAAAAAAAAACCGCGGCAACGCGCGGGGAGUCUUGCUAGUAUAUAUAUAUAUAGCAGUUCCAUAAGGCCAUGACUUAAUACUAAUUACAUCCGAUGUUCCUUGUCAUAGACUGAUAGUAUGUUAUGAAUAAAGAAAACGUACGUACAUUUUUACUGCUCAUGCACUGGAGGACAAAACGUACAUGUUCGAUCUCUUAUUAAAUUCAAGGAACACACACACUUAAUUUGGAUAUUGGGUAACCACAAAUGCUAUUACGUAUCACUCUUGAGAGAAGUGGUAACAUUAUACUCAGCAGAAUUACUAGUUUCCAAUCUUCCUCCGCCGAAACCACCGAGCUGAUACUUUGGCUGUUUAUUAGGGUAGAAAACGCCAAAGUGUUUCUCCAGCUCUGGACUUUUCUGGUUUUCAUCAAACAAGGCAAACAAGUAAGUCUCUAUGGCUUUAUUAGGCCUCUUUGGGGUUCCACCUUUCACAUGCUGAAUCAAUUUGGAGUAAUAAGUCUGAGCAUUCUCAGGAGAUGUUCCAAAGCCACCUGCCGAUGGCCACCCGCUUUCGGACACAACAACCUCCAAAGAACCACCCCAGGCUCCCUCUAGAGCCGAGUACAAACCAUCCAGCAUCGCGUCGAACAGGUUUUGGUAUCCUUUAUCACCAUCCCAAGCAACAACCGAAGGCGAAGUGAACAAGGCAUAAGGAAGAGAGAUGUCUCUAGGGUUUCCAGCGUAACUAAAAUAUGUGUAGAUGUUAGCUAGUAAUGGUGCUUGAGCAUAAACCAAGUAGCCGAUAAUUGGGUCCAAAUAGCCUCUCACGUCACCGCGAAAUGCGCCUUGCGAUGGAGGGUACGAGACUCCUAUUAAGGUGGUGUCGAUGGCGGUAGAGACCUUGAUUAGGUCAUGUAGGUUGGCUGCUCUGACGGCCUGGUACACAUGCUGCAUGGCGGGGAGGAGGAACUGUGCCAGAGAUGUGUCUCCAUUGACGGGGCUUACUUCAUUUCCAACGGCAAUGUACUUGAUUCUGACGCUAGGGUAGAAGUUGAGGACAUUUGUUUGUACCCAAUUUUGGGCAUUGGAAGGGUUGGCGGCGAAGUCCUGAAGGAGUGAGUUUGGGACACCGAGGAUGAGUUCGAUGUUGGAGCCUCGGAGAGCUUCAAGAGCACCGUGGUUUGGUUCAUAGAGUCUCGUCCGAUCAAUAUUGUUUGAUUUGAGGAGAGAUAUGACUUCCGAGUGAGAAGGGAGGUUGUUGCCCAUCAUUCCAUAACAAACACCUACGGAUGAUUGUGCACCUGCAUCAUACAUAGAGUUAAAUUAGCCAGCUGAAUAUCUCAAAUAACUUUAAUUUCUACAAAUUUUAACUUAUAACUUCAACAUACAGGAGCCUUGAUGUACGUGUUUCAAUUAUACAUUUAGUUCUACUACUCGCUUAUAAUUCAUUGUUGGAUGUAUAUUAUAGAUGUAACUUAAACUGCUAAUUAAAAACAUAAGCUCAAUACAGAGAGAGAGAGAGAGAGAGAGAGAGAGAGAGAGAGAGAGAGAGAGAGAGAGAGAGAGAGAGAGAGAGAGANANNNNNNNNNNNNNNNNNNNNNNNNNNNNNNNNNNNNNNNNNNNNNNNNNNNNNNNNNNNNNNNNNNNNNNNNNNNNNNNNNNNNNNNNNNNNNNNNNNNNNNNNNNNNNNNNNNNNNNNNNNNNNNNNNNNNNNNNNNNNNNNNNNNNNNNNNNNNNNNNNNNNNNNNNNNNNNNNNNNNNNNNNNNNNNNNNNNNNNNNNNNNNNNNNNNNNNNNNNNNNNNNNNNNNNNNNNNNNNNNNNNNNNGAGAGAGAGAGAGUUUCACCUGGUAUAUAAAGGAUUCCGACCAGGAGUCCCAAAAGAAACAUGAUGCUAGUCGUGAAUGGAAGAGAUAUAGUAGCCAUGGCCAUAGAGAAGAAUAGCUAGCUAGCUGCUGGUUUGAUUUUUAUCAUGUUAUCAAAUUGGGUUCUAUUUAUAGACAUGUAGAUUGAUUAAGUUUCAAUGCAUGCAUGGCCUAUAAUGUGAAUAAUAAACUUAUAUUAAUCCAAGGCGGCCUAUAUGUAUAUUAAUCCACGGAUGAGGUCGCGCGAGGUAAAGCAAGAGUGUCAUUACAAAAAUUGAUAAUAAAAGGAAAAGCAAACAACUUUUUGGCCACCAAAUAUUGACAAUAUAUUUUGACAAUUAAGCAAUCAUUUUUUGGAGUUGAAUAUUGAUCGGGUGAGUUAGGCAGUAGUGUAUGUGAGGAAAUAUCAGAAUCCAGAAACAUGCAUCGAACUAGCUAGCUAGCUCCAAUUUGGAUUUAGCUAAUUAUAGUUUCGUAUCUAUUCUAAUCAAUCCAACUGACUUUAGCUAAUUAUCUAUAUACAUACCCGGCGGCUUUAGCUCUCCUCCAUUAAUUGAAUUACGAAAGAAACAUGCAUCAGACCAGAAAUCUGCAGUGGAAGUUUACCAAACUUGGUGAUAAAAGCUAAAUCAUAGUUCUUGACUCUUUUGACCAAGUAGUGUCCAUAAUUGAACGAGUGCAUGCGUAUAUAUGAAUAUGAUGGAUGAACUCGAUCGCAGCUAGCUAGGAUAUCUAUAUUAGACUUGUGCUAUGAUUAAUGCAUGUUUUGUUGAUAGAUUGAACCCGAAGUUACCAAGCCAUUUGCAUAUAUAAAACAUACAUACAUAGUGAUUGACGGCACUGCAACACCAAUUAAUUAGUGAUUACUAGUUUAGGAUCCUUGUAACAUUAUUUCUCAGCAGAACCAGUUACUACCUUGUAACAUUAUUCUUUAAGUCUUUGUUAGGGUAGGGAACCAUAGAGAAGAUUAUCCAUCUUUGGGUUCUCGUCAAACAUGGCAAACAAGCAAGAGGGCCGGUUGCCUAACGAGCUUCUUGUUUAUCCUUUAAAAAGAAAGAAGGAAAAAAAAAAAAAAAACCUCCCUAGUGCUUUGACAGUUUUGUUAAAUGAUAGGGCCCGAAUCAGCCAGAUUUAUGAGCGAAAGGGUGUUGGGCUAGGGAUCAUCAAAAAGCCCGCCCGGCCCGGUCUUACCCAAGCCCUACGGACUCGGGUCAGACCGGGUAGGGCCUCAAUCAUGUUUUUUUAAAUUUUAGGGCCUGGCCGGGCUGGGUUAUUCAAAAAAUAAAAACCCACGGGCCCCGGCCUUACGGGCUUAUUAGGGCUGGGCUGGGUAGUUAUUCAAAAAAAUCAAAGCCCACGGCCUCGGGCCUUAUGGGCUUAUUAGGGCCGGACCGGGUUUUUUAGAUGGGUCGGGUCGGGCCGGGCAUAUUAUAUACAUAUAUCUAAUAAAAUUUUGUCAAAUAAAAAACUAAUAAAAAAAAGUUAAGAUUUGUUAAUGAUUGAACUAAAUGUAAUAAAAAAUACAAAAUAAAAUAUGACUUGAUGCAUUAAUUAGUUCACACAUAUAUAUAUAUAUAUUUUGGAUUAAAUUAGUUCACAUAUUUAAUUAGUAACUCCAUAAAAAAUAUUUAUAAAACAAUUGAUAGGGUUUUAGGGAGGGCUUUUUAAGGCCGGGCUGGGGCUUUGAUGGACAUGUAACGGGCUGGCCAAGGCUUUGAACCCUUCGCCCUAGCCCGGCCUCAUGCCCUACGGGCCAGGCCGAGAUGGGCUUUCCUAUGGGCCAGGCCGGGCUUUGGCCCUUUGGGCUGACGGGCCUCUCACUGGCUUUUAGGCCCACGGGCCAAAUGAUGACCCCUAUGUUGGGCGAAGUAUGCUCUUGUUGGUCUUGGUGGCUGGACGAGUGGGGGAAUUUUGAGGUAGUAGUUGCAUGGUGCAUGUAGUCUAAAGCUAGUAUUUGCAUUAAAUCCCCCCUUAAGUAAUCGUGUAUUAUGAUAGGACUUUGAUGGUUGGGAGUCUGCUCUUGAGGUGUCUAAUUGUUUUGUCGACUAUGGUGGAGCACAAAAAGUUCGUGUUGGCGGUUCUGUAGGGGUGGAGGCAACUCCGAUGACGACAGGGGUUGUUAGAUUUAGGGUGCGGCGGCAUGAUCUAUGUUGACAUUGGUAUGAUAGGAAGAUACUGAUCGAUACUAUAUUUUCGGUCGUUGUCAACAACAUAUGGGGAGGUUCCCUGUACAUUCUGGAUCCUAGGCGCAUACAUGUUGCUAUGCCCACCUUGGGUAGCCAUAGCUAUUGAGGAUGAGCUCACAUUUGCGCCUGGGAUUCAAGGCCUUUGGUUCUUGUUUCUAGGUGUCGGUCUAACCAUGUUUGCAACAACCCUUUGAUUUGAAAGAGGUCAUAGCCUGCUUGGGAAGACACUCGCGUAGUGUCUUGUUAUGUUUUGAAUAAGCUUGGAGAGAUUUGGAUGUUUUAUUCCGGUUUAUCUUUUCUAGUAUUGCCAAGGAGCUAGUAUCUCUAUAUGUAUUUUCUUUACUUUUCAUUUUGAUGAAUUGUUUCGACAUAAGUGACAUUGUUUAGCUUGCAAUGUGGUUUUAUGCCAAUAUGGUUACCUAAGAAUGACUCAAUCUUGUCAUAACCAUCUUGGGGUGAGCUAUGUAGUUUGUAACGAUUUAAACUUUUAAUGGCUCGACACUCAACUCCCUUCAAAAAAAGAAUAUAUAUCAUAUAAUUAAGAAUGUCUUCAAAAUCCGAUUCAAUGUUGUUUCUGACUAUGCAAACAUAAAUCCUCUUGAGCCACUACUAGCAUAUGCCUCAUAGGGUACUUUCUUUUUUCUGUAUCUUUUGCUCUAGAAGAUAUGGAUAAGCGUAUCUAAAAGUUAUCAAGUAUGGUGCAGCCACGGAAUAAAAAAGGGUAUUCUCUGUUGCAGUCUCUACUGAACAAAAGCCACGCUUUUAGCUUUGGUGUCUCAGUUUUUCAAUUUAUUUUAAAUGUUCUAUUUAUUUAUUUUUCUCUCUCAUAAUUUUCUUUUAGUUUCUAUUUUAGUGGGGCCCACCUUAAUUAUCAUUUUCCUCUUUUAUAUUUUUCUUAUAUUUGUUUCAUUAUUUAAGAUUAAUUGUAUUAUUUCAGUCAAAAUAUAUUUAUUUAUUUUUGUAUAAUUUUAUUUUCGUUUGAACAAGCUGCCGGCACCGGAGUUCCGCCGUCUCUCUUUCUUCAUCCUUUCUCUUCUUCUUCUCUCUCUUCUUUAACCUCCAGACAGUUUAUGACCCUCCACCAGACAAUCUCCUCGGCCGAACGUACGUACCCAACCUACUUGGUUGACAUNNNNNNNNNNNNNNNNNNNNUCAAACCUUUAAUUAAUUACGAUUUACCAUCUUUAAUAAGUUUACAAUUAAUUGAAUAAAAAUCCUCAAUUUAAAUAAUUUCAAAUGUUAAAUGCAAAUAUUAAUUGCCUGCUAUGAUGAAUGGUGUUAAUUAAUGAUUUAAUAUUUAUAAAUAUUAUAUUUUUGUUCUAAUUCAAAAGAGUAGUCCAAAAUCAAAAGUUAUGGAAAAUAUGUUAAUUUUAUUUUUUCUUUCAAUAAAACGGAUAUCCAUAUGUAAAAUCUCAUAUUAUUGUUCUUUUUAGUUUUGAAAGAAAAUGAUGAAUAAAUUAUAAAUUUAAAAAGUUAAUAAAUUAUCAGAUAAUAUUACUUCACACCCUUAACCGUAUCUAUAUAAUAUACUUAUUUGAAUAUUUGGUAUAAAACAUAAAUUUGAAAUUCUUUUUAGCAAUGGAUACGGAUUUUUGUCUUUAAUAACUAUAUUAAAUUAUCUUAUUGACUAUUUUUUUUCUUUGGAUACGGUUAUCAGUUUCUAUAAUGUAAAGAAUACUGAAAAUUUAAAAGGGUGUCAUUUGCUCUACUCAAACGAUACAGUUAAAAAAGUGUAUCCAAAGAGGGUAGCUAAUUAGGAUAUAGCCUGUAUGUAAUUAAACUUAAUUUACAACGUACGUUUAUAUGUAAGAAGUUACCUAGGGCAUGUCUAUCUUUUCCUACAUGUAUGUAACCUGAAGGUAAGUGUAAGUACAUAUUAUAUCACCGAGUAACCGCCCCCAAGUUUGUUAAUGCAAUAAAUUAUUGUCUUAUAUACAAAUUUCCAUUAAUAUCAUAAGGGUAUACCGUAUACCUCUAUCAUCCAAUCACGACAUGUACUAUUCCAUUUUCACUACUAUUGCACGAUCCUACUAGCUAGUCUCAGUUAUACUUGCAACUCAAACCAAAUCAAAGAUUCACCUUUGGGCCUUUGGGCUCAAACACAUUUUUCACUAAUAAAAAUUUCAUGCAAACUCCAAAACAAAAGGCUAAACCAAGUGAGACUGAAUGUCAAUCAAGUUUUUUUUUUUGUUGGAAAGGACGUUGAGCUUGGUGAGAUGCCCUAAGUGCAGUCGUGCAUGGCUUAUACCAGUGAAAAAGUACGAAAAAUAAUCAUCCAUUAAGCUAAAAAAGUACAAACAAACCCAAAAAAAAAAAAAAAANNNNNNNNNNNNNNNNNNNNAAAAAAAAAAAAAACAACCCGAGAAAAAAUAAAAAGGGCCACCGAAACGACGUCGUUAGGUUGUAAUUUAACCCCAAAUUGUGGAUAGGUCCACUAAUCUAGGUCACCAAUACGGCACCGUUUGGCUGCUUCACAACUUAUUUUAUAGUUUCCUUGGAGCAAUCUACAGUAGAAGCAUAAAGGUUAAAAACGCAUCGUUCAACCUGCCCUGUAUCUUCUUUCUUUCUUCUCAGAGAGACAGAGAGAGAGAGAGAGACUAGAAAUCCCAAGCAGUAAAGAGAGCUCCCUCCUGACAAUCUCAAAGCGCGUGAGCCACACUCUCUAAUACCCUCUCUCCGUUUCUUGGAGAAUUUUUCUUUUUGUUUUUGGUUUUUUGGGUCUGAAUUCUGGUAUUGCAAGGAUCCCCACAAUGGCUUCUUGAAGGUACUAACAGAAAGCCAAUUCCUUUUUCAAAUUUGGGUUCUUGAAUUUUUAGAAUUUUGUUUGAAUUAGGGCUCUGCGUUUUGUUUUUUUUUUUGUUUAGGGAUUUGUGCCCAGAAUGGGUUUGAUGUGUUUGCCUGCUUGUGUGGAUUGGAUUGUGUUCUUAGUGCAAAUGGGAUUGGAUUUUUAGUGUUUUUUUUAGAGGAAUGCGUGAUGGAUUGUGGAAUGUAUGGGUUUGUUGAGUUUAGAGAGGAGUUUUGUGUAAUUCAGGGUUAAAGCAAGCAUAUGAAUCAUUGAACAUGUAAUUCAGGGUUGUUUGUUAUAAUGAGAUUCAAUUUAGAAGUGAUGAAUCGGUAUUGCAUAUUCUUAUGAUCUUAUUUAUCUAGUCUAGGUACUGCAUGAGUAGGAUGCUGUGUGUGUCGCAAUGGUUUAAGGAAGCAGGACUCACAUUGCGUUUUACAUUCUUGUUUAGUUUAGGGUUUUGGAGUUUGAGGCUUUAGAAGUGUGGUUAGGCCAGAGGCUCUUUGCUAUACUCUUAGGAAAACUUUUCACUGUUUACAGAAGGAGUAGAAUCGUGGGGUUGCUACUGAAAAUCGUAGGAGGGGUGUGUGGGAAAAGAGAACAUUUGGAGGUUAACGUUAUCAGCUUAUUCAGGUUCCAAGUUGUUGCACUAUGGCUAUACAGAUCACUCUAAACUGAGAAAUUGAAUUUGUGAUUCUGUGUGACAGAGAGUGAGGCAGGGGGUGUGUUGCUUCUAAUUUAUGAUCAAAUUAAGACUUGCAACUUUAUACCUUUACCAUCUUUCUUUUCUGCAUUUGUUUCUAACGUGGAUGAUUAUAAAGUCAGUUUCUGGCUCUUUUAUGCAGGUUUUACAGGAGCUAUGGCUCUUCAAAAGUUUCCUUGUGGCGAUGCUCCUUCUGUUAGCAUGAAACACUUGAACUUUCUCAGUAAAGUGCAUGAAAACACUCUACAUGAGGAUGUAGAGCCAAAUCAUGCCAGGGAACAAGAUGUGGAUGUUGACCUCAGAGAAGUGUAUUUCCUCAUUAUGCAUUUUCUUUCAGCUGGACCAUGUCGUAAAACUUGUGUACAGUUCUGGAACGAACUUCUUGAACAUCAACUUUUACCUAGAAGAUAUCACGCUUGGUAUUCAAGGAAAGGGUUGCAUAGUGGGGAUGAGAAUGAUGAUGGGCAAUCAUUCCCCUUGAAUUACAAUAUGUUGGUGCCAAGGUAUAUGCAUAUCUUUUCUUGCUUUGCAACAAGUCACCUUUAAUAAUGUAAUUUAGGUCAGCUUCUCUGACCUUUCUGCCACUUAAAAGACUUAAUAAUAAGUGGCAUCAAUUUAUUACUUCUUGAAAUAAGUGAUAACAUUUAUUGCGCUCCUUGGUGUGACAUGUAUAUGGGAGUUCUGGGCUUUUGUUACAGUUGUAUAGUGGUUUUCUGGUUCUUCGUUGUGUUUUUAUAAGCAUAUAGUACAGUCUGAAACACUAUUCCUCAUCGUAGCAUUUGAACUUUGGUGUUUGGAGGGAAAUAAAUUUGCACCUUUUGAUUUAGGGGGCCAAUUACUGAUAGAAUGUAAUGAAUCUUAAAUAAUGGUAAUUAUCUGAUAAUUUUUUGUUUAAAGACAAUAUUGAUAAGUUAUCCCUUAUCUUAUAUUAGUCAAAUAUGAACAAAGAAAUAAUGAGAGAAAGAUCAACCAUCUCUAUCAAUUUAGGUUUCAAUGGUCUUUUAUAUAGAAUUUAAAUAGGUUUUGAUGGUAUUUUAGAGAGAAUCUGAAUCAUCUUUGAUAAUUAGAAAACAUGUCCAGGUCUUGAAUAUAUUUGAAUGGUCAAGAAUUCUGUUUGUCCUCCAUCUUAUCAGAGCCGCUUGGUGAAACUAACUUGGUUAGCACGGAGAAAUACUACACCAACAAUUCAAAAUCACGAGUUGUUUCCUUUGAGCUAAUUACAUGCACAUACAUACAUAUCACCACUUAUUCUUCUUUGUUUUUAAUUGAAAUGUUUCUGAAAAAUAAGCUGUUGGUCUGCAUAGAAUGUUUAUGGGCAUGCAUGUGCUAUUUAAUUUACAGACUACCAAUCUAGGGCCACUCUCAAUUCACUACAUAUUGCACCCGCCAUGACCUUUGAGGAUCAUGAGAAUGCUAUCUCGUUAUUUUUUGUUUCAUCUCUCUUUCCAUGGAUGUCAGUUUCACUUCUUGGUCUUCUACUGCAGGCAAUUUAGUAUGCUUGUAAAUAAUUCUUAAGUUUUUGUUUUCUUAAAUACUUGUAAUUAAUUUUCUUUCAAUUUUACACUUGCUUAGGUAUCCUCACAUUGAGCAGGAUCACUUGGUAAAGCUUUUGAAGCAAAUGAUCCUGAGUAUAGCCCCACCAUCAAGGGGUAUGACUGGUGGAAAUGCCCCUAAUGCAGCUGAUGUACCUACUCUCUUGGGAACGGGCACAUUUUCACUUCUGAGCUGUAUGUGACAUUAAUUGAGUUUUGACCAUUUCAUUUUUAGGGUUGAAUCUAUGAUUUUGUCAAUUAUGAUUGUAUCUUAGAUUAUUUUUUUGAAGUUUGGAAAUAAUAAUCAUGCAUGCAUUGGACUUUGCAAGUGUUUCCGUUCUUUUUUUGAAGUUCCUUCCAGUUGUGUGUCUGUUAGUCGCUGUCAGCAUCAUUUUCAUUUUCUCUGUAUUUUAUUAGAACAUGUCUUCUCCUUUCAGAUGAUAGGGAUCAAGAAAACAACGAAAUGAACCGACCUGCUGCUUACAUGCGUUGGCCUCACAUUAAAGCUAAUCAGGUGCAUGGGUUAGGUUUGAGGGAAAUUGGGGGAGGUUUCACCAGACAUCACCGUGCACCGUCUGUUCGUGCUGCAUCUUAUGCCAUUGCAAAACCAUCAACCAUGUUUCAGAAGAUGAAAAAUACCAAGAGAAUAAGGGGCCAUCGAAACGCUGUCUAUUGUGGUAUGUUUCCAAUCCUGAGAGUUCACCAGCUAUUACAUAGGUCCAUAUGGAAGUUUAUUCCACAUAUUAUUACCAAUAUUUAAAAUGAAUGGAAUUACUUUGCUUAAUAAGUAACCAUAUUGAUACCCCCCUUUCUCUUUUAUAUAUCUGCAUCAUAGCUGUUGUUAUCAAGAUCAUGCUCUAGAUAGUUUGCAGUCUGUAGAUUAAGGAUUCAUGAUUAGAUAUUUAAGUGGCCGGAGAGAAUGAAAGAGAAUUUUGUAGUUUCUCUUUCAAGGGAACGUGGUUGUCCCUCCAACAGUGGAGAGAUUUGGAGGAUUUUAGGUAGUUCUACUUUUUUGUAUCCCAAAGAUUCCUAAGUGAUGGUUUCUUUCAAUUUCUAUACACUAUCAAACAAAAGUAAGUGCUGAAGUUCUGUGUCUCAUUUCGAAGUAUCUUGUGAAAUCAGAACAGGCUGGGCGGAUCUUGUAAAAAUGAAAAAAAAAAAUAUGACGUGCAAUAUAUCUUAGCUACAGUGGAGGGAUUGCGUGGUCAAACAUAAUAUCUGGUUAAUGAUUUUCUUUUCUCAGGAAUCACUUUUAAUUUCUUCUGCUCUUCUCUUCAUCUCAGUUCUAUCUCAUCUGUAAAACCUAGUUUUUUUUUUUUUUUUUUUUCUCACUCGGAUCGGGUGUUUGUCAUAAAGUGCCUGCUUUUAUUUUCUUCUGCUGUAAUAUGUUGCAAAUGCUGAAGCAUAGUAAGAUAUGGCUAUAUUCAUUUCAAAUUUGUGAACCCGCAUCACUAAGCUCUGAAUUUAGUGUUCAGUAUUCGUCUUCCACAUUAUUUUGGUUUUUUUGUCCCUGGGCCACAUCAUUUUCAGGUGUUUUUUUUGGGUACGAUUCAACCUAUGUACAUUCAUCUGAGCCCACAUAUUUUAAUGUUUUGAAUACAAUUCUUGUUUGACAUCAGUUGUCAAUUCUAUCUUCGUACAGCAUUUUGUUUUCCUACUUUUUUUCUUCCCUUUGGUGUAUUUUGAGUGUUUGUCUACUGUUUUUUCUUAUCAAGCUUGUAUAGCACACGAUGUGAUAAGUUCUCACAAUGGUUUAUUUCGACUUGAAUCAUGCAGCAACAUUUGAUCGCUCAGGUAGAUAUGUUAUCACUGGUUCAGAUGAUCGCCUGGUGAAGAUCUGGUUAAUAGAAACUGCAUUUUGUUUGGCCAGCUGCCGUGGACAUGAAGUAAGUUGUUAUGGCUCAUCAAAGACCUGCUUAUCCUUUUCUCCUCCUUACUUUCACUUAUUUUUUGCUUGAAGGGAGACAUCACUGAUUUAGCUGUGAGUUCCAACAAUACUUUGGUGGCAUCCGCAUCAAAUGAUUGUAUUAUACGAGUUGUAAGCAUUCUCUGUUGCCCAGUUACAAGUUGUGUCUCUUUUUUGCUUUAUUUUUUUUUUCGGGUAACAUAGUGCUAAUUUAAGAGAACUUUUGGUUUCCUUAGUGGCGCUUGCCAGAUGGGCUUCCAAUUUCAGUGUUGCGGGGACACACUGGAGCUGUGACUGCAAUUGCAUUUAAUCCCAGGCCUGGCUCUACAUACCACCUUCUAUCGUAAGGCCGAUUCUCUGUCACUGAAAUAAUUUUUCAUGUAAAGUCUUUUUGUUAGAAACUUAGAAUAAGUCACUCUUGACUCGACCAUUCCUAUUCUUAAGUGAUGUACUGCCGGUUUUUCUUUUUACCAACUUGCUUUGGUCAGAUAAUAUUUAGUUGAUGAUCGUAACUGAAGUCCUAAACUGGAGAAUGGCAUGGGUCACCGUUUUCUUUUCUUUUUCUCAGCUAUUGCCUAUAUUCUGUAGUCCUUUUGUUAUCAAUUUUUUAUGUUACUUUUUGUUUGUACCUUUUCAUCAAAUUUGUUUUUUUUUUUUUCUACCUUUUCAUCAAAUUUGUUUUGUAUCUUCUUCUUCUUCUUCAUCUUCUUUUUUCUUUUGUUCAAUAUCUAAUAAUGUAGGCCUGUCAAUGUAUUGCUAGAGAUAUUUUUGUCCCAAACUUUGAAGGAUUUAGUUUUGGUGGAUUUUUCUGGUAGGAGUGUACAACUAGUAUAUAACUUUUGGACAUGGGGUCGUGUAGGAAUAUGAAAUUUUACAAUAAGAUCAUAGGAAAUGGUAUGUACAGAUUAAGUUAAUUGGGCACGGAAAGAUGAGGAUGGCUGGUAUAUCAAAGGAAAUUAUAUUUUUAGACUGGUCCAUAGGGUCGCGUGGAAUAUGAAAUUUUAGGAUAAGAUUGUAGGAAAUGGUAUGUACAGAUUUAAGUUCAUUGGGGGCAGAAAGAUGAGGAAAUGGUAUGUACAGAUUUAAGUUCAUUGGGGGCAGAAAGAUGAGGAAAUGGUAUGUACAGAUUAAAUUAUUUGGGCACAUGGGGUCGUGUGGGAAUAUGAAAUUUUAUGAUAAGAUCAUAGGAAAUGGCAUGUACAGAUUAAUUUAUUUGGGCACAGAAAGAUGAGGAUGGCUGGUAUAUCAAAGGAAAAUAUAUUUUUAGACUGGUCCAUAGGGUGGUGAAGAUUAGGAGAAUGUAGUUUGCGAAUAAUAUGUGAUAAUGAUGUUAAAGAUGUGAUUCUUAUUGGAUGGAGAUUAUGUAUUUCAUUUUGGGCUGCUUUUGGUUGAGUGAUGAAAGUGGCAAUUUGUGGGUAGGCAUUUUAGCAGCCAUUUUUGUGCAGUUUGGAUGGUGAGGAAUAGGAGAACAUUUUACAACAAAUGUAGGAAGAAGGGGAUUUUGUUGUGGGAUAAUAUGAGGAUGUUUGCUUUUGGGCUUUACUAUCUACUGUUGUUUUUUUUUUUUUUUUUUUUGCAAUAUGCCACUUUCUCUAUUCAUGUAGAUUGAAGGGCUGCUCUAAGAUGUCCUUUUUUCUUUACCUAUUUAGAUGAUGGUAUAGAACUAUAGAUCACGUUCAGUUGUUCACCUCUCUCUCUCUCUUUCUCUCCCUCCCCUCCCCACCUCCCCCCCACACCCCCCUCUAUAUAUAAUUAAGUAUAUAUAAUUAAGCAAGCGAGUUUUAAUUUUGAUGCUGUUUUUCAAUGCAGAAUGCUGUUAAUUUUAAUUUUUUUAUUUUUUAUAAUUUUUGAUAUGCCGUUUUUUUUUGUGGACGAUCACUUUCUUAUGAUCUACCUUGUAUUGUUCUUUUGCCAUUGCAGUUCCUCUGAUGAUGGAACUUGUAGGAUAUGGGAUGCCAGGAAUUCUCAAGUGACUCCAAGGAUAUACAUUCCAAAACCUUCAGAUACUACAACUGGUCAGUUUCUUGUUCAGUGCAGCCAAGAUUAACCAACUUAUUAACAUGUGAAAAAACUUAGUGUUGUAUUAUAAUUGCCUGGAUGCAGGGAGAAACAGUGGUCCAUCCUCAAGCACUGUACAGAGCCAUCAGAUCUUCUGUUGUGCAUUUAAUGCUAAUGGAACAGUCUUUGUUACCGGUAGCUCAGACACUCUUGCGAGGGUAUAUUAUACUUUUGGGUCCCUAAUAUCAUUUCCACAACCUUUUUCUGUUUAGUUGUUAUCAUCGGUAUUUCAGUGAACUAGUAAAUAUAGUGCUUGCAAUGAGAAAUGGAUUGACAUAUCAAUUGUAUCACUGUGAUAAUCUAUAUCCGAAAUAAAUCUAUCUGUUUUUACUGAGAGAGAGCUAAUUGUAGGUGUGGAUUGCUUCCAAGCCAGGCUCAGAUGAGUCAGACCAACCGAAUCAUGAGAUAGAUGUGUUAUCUGGCCAUGAGAAUGAUGUCAAUUACGUACAAUUUAGGUAAAGUUGUUAUAGUAAUUUCCACAGGUACACACACGCAUAUGUAUCUAAUCUUUGCAUGAUGAUAUAUGUUUCUUCAUGCAAUGCAGUGGCUGUGCUGUAGUAUCUAGAUUUAUGGCAGCUGACACCUCAAAGGAAGAGAAUGUUCCUAAAUUUAAAAAUUCGUGGUUCGUUUCCUUUGCCUUUCUUUUUGACUCUGCUGUAAAGUUUGCUAUUAUCCUGUUGCUUUUAUUAUUUCUUCUCCCGGUGAUCUUUUAGCUGCCAUUUAAUAAUAUAUACAUUCCCCGGUGUUUCCUUCUCCCAGGUUCAAUCAUGACAAUAUAGUUACUUGCUCUCGCGAUGGGAGCGCAAUUAUCUGGAUUCCCAAAUCACGAAGAUCACAUGUAAAUUAUUUUUACUCUAAAUGAUAACUUUCAAGUUUUAACUUUCUAUUCUAUUUUAAGCUUAUCAACGGAAAAAGUUAUGCAGAAUAAAUAAGCUUUUUUCAUUUUUUAGGGAAAAUCUGGUCGUUGGACAAGAGCUUAUCAUCUGAAAGUUCCCCCUCCACCAAUGCCUCCUCAACCUUCACGUGGAGGCCCCCGCCAGAGAAUUCUUCCAACUCCUCGUGGUGUUAAUAUGAUUAUCUGGAGUCUUGACAAUCGCUUUGUUCUUGCUGCUAUCAUGGGUGAUUUGUUCAUUUCUCCUUUUGAUGUGUAUAUUAUAAGAGCUAGUGUCUUAAUACCUUUGCAUAAUAUAAAUUUAUUGGUGUGGAUGGUUUACGAACUUGAAUUGAGCAGAUUUGUUCUUGUCAAGGCCAUAAAUUCGGUAAUGUAACAAUUUGAUAUCUAUAUUUUAAUGCAGAUUGCAGAAUAUGCGUAUGGAAUGCUUCUGAUGGUAGCUUAGUGCAUUCUUUGACGGGUCACACUGAAUCUGUAAGUAGUUGAAUUUCUUCUCCAUGGAUCUGUUUCCUUUAGAAUUUUGUUAUUUGAUCUUGCAAAUAUGAUACUAAGCUCACUAGUGUGUGGGUGUAACAUUUGGAACAGAUACAUAUCUUUACUGAACACAUUUUCAAUAGGAUAUCCUUUUCAAUACCAUUUUAAUUUCUUUUGUUUACCUAGUAGUCUGUUAGUAUAGAAUGGGUUUUAGAAGAACCGACAUUCCUGGAAUCAUUUGACAUUUACAAUAUGUUUUAAUCAAUAUCCCCUGUAAUUUGUACUUGAAGUCCUUUCUUAUCUGCAUGUUUUAUUUUGUAUUUAAUAUAUAGUUUUGUGGGUACGUCGAUCCUUCUGUUGCUUUCUUGUCUGUCAUAUAGCACUUAAGUAGCUUCUUCUAGUGAGUUUUUAAUGUCCUGUGUCAUCUUUUCUCAGCUUGUGUUGCAUGCUUCUGUGUAGAUGAUUUUUAUCAUUAUAUGAAAAUACUUUAAUCCUGACCUGCAACUCCGAGGCUCCAUUGGUAACCAGUUUUGGUUACUUAAGCUGGAGGAGCAAAAGUUAAAUCACUGAUAAUAUUAAUUUGUGUUCUUGAUAGACAUAUGUUCUGGAUGUUCACCCUUUCAACCCCAGGUUGGCAAUGAGUGCUGGCUAUGACGGAAAAACAAUUGUCUGGGAUGUGAGUUUCCAGAUUCCUUAUUCUACUUGUAAUUUCUUCAAAAGAUCUCUCUUCUUGAAUGCCUUAGUUGACUUGCAAUUUCAGAUAUGGGAAGGCAUGCCUAUCUGUAUAUAUCAAACUUCACAGUUCAGAUUGGUUGACGGAAAGUUUUCGCCGUAAGUCGAGAAUAAGAAGCCUUAGUUUUGGAUUUUUUUUUUUCUUCGUAGUGGUUGUAUUGAAUUUUAAAAGUUCUGUUUUGUUUAUAAUCGUCAAUGUGAUAGUUUUCUCUUCAAAAUAUUACAUAAUUUUCUCCAGCUUUAUUUGGUACUUCAAUUUGGCCUUGUAGUACUAUGUAGGAUUCAUUGCAUACCUCUCUUGAAUCCCAACUCCCACAUUAUCAGUUGGCAAAUGACCCUAGUGGCUUUCAUGUACUUACAAAGUGUUCAUUCUCUCUACUUUAGGGACGGAACGUCGAUUAUACUAUCUGAUGAUGUUGGGCAACUCUACAUAUUGGACAGUGGCCAAGGGGAGUCCCACAAUGAUGCAAAAUAUGAUCAGGUAGAUUUUCCCCUUCUCUUUGUAUAGAAUAUAUCUUUACACUUCUGUUAACAACUGUACUUAACUUCCAUGCACUUAUCUUUCAGUUUUUUCUUGGUGAUUAUCGCCCAAUCAUUCAAGACAGCUUCGGGAAUGUUCUUGACCAGGUUAGUUGGUUUCGCUAUUAAUGAUGAGAUUUGUGGUUGAAUCCAUUCUCUUUGUCUUAAAUUUUACUGCUCAGAAUAUAAAAACAUUUUUGUAUAUUUUCAUUUGAUUUUUACUUUCUAUUAUUCUUUUCUCUCCCCAGUUCAAUUGCUGAAAUAUUUGAACAUUAGAACUUAAUGUUUGUCCUCAGUAACUGUUACACUUACAGGACCCAUUUUUAUGUUAUAUUUCCUGUGUUCUUAAAUUCACCUUCUACCCAUGCAUUCCCCUACAUGACCAAUGGACUUAUAAUUCGUUUAGUUUAUAUACUUUUAUUUCUGUUAGUUAUUUAUACCAUGGGGUCUCACUGGUGAUUUUGACUGAUUGAUAGCUGUUUGGCAUAGUGCGACCAAAAUUCAAUUUUCUUUUAGGAGUUGAGAUGUUAAAGUCAGAGCUAAAAUCCGAUGCCGUGCUAUAUUUAGCAUGAUGUUGCCCCUACCUUUUAGAAAUCAAUUAAUAGUAUGGAUGUGUAUGAUUUGACUUAGCACAAGUCAAUUCUAAUUAUAUCUCUGUGUGUAGUGCUUUUAUGCUGCGUUUGAUUCUUUGAUCCCUUAAGAUGUUAUCUGCAACAUUUGUUUCAGGAAACUCAGAUUCCAGCAUACCGACGGAAUAUGCAGGAUCUACUUUGUGAUUCAGGUUUCUCUCUAGUCCAUUUCCCUUAUGGAACUAUCCUUAUCUGGAUUUUCAAUUUUCUGAAGCACUGGUUAUUGUGAAAACACUAGGCAUGAUACCAUAUCCGGAACCCUACCAGAGUGCGUACCAGAAGAGACGAUUAGGAGCCCUGGGUUCUGAGUGGCGUCCUUCAUCGUUAAGACUUGCUGUUGGGCCUGACUUCAGUUUAGAUCCAGAUUUCCAAAUGCUACCUUUGGCAGACUUGGAUAUGUUAUUGACCGAGCCGCUACCAGAGUUUGUAGAUGCCAUGGAUUGGGAACCAGAAAAUGAAAUGCAAAGUGAUGAUGCUGAUUCAGAGUACAAUAUCACUGAAGAUUAUUCUACUGGAGGGGAGCAAGGAAGUUUAAGUUCAAACCCUUCUGUUGAUCCAGAGUGCAGUGAAGAAGAUAGUGACGAGGAUGCUCAACUGGAUGGACUACGAAGAUCAAGAAGGAAAAAACAAAAGGCUGAUGUGAGUUCCCUCUCAAUAACAAAUAACUUUUAGAAUCUUGUUAGAUGUUGCUUGACUGUGUUCCCUUUCUCUUUUCUUCAGAUUGAAGUCAUGACGUCUUCUGGAAGGUGUAUUAAAAGGAGGAACUUGGAUGACCGUGAUGAUCACUCAUUCAGAAGUAAUAGAAAAAGGAAAUCAAGGCAUGGCCGAAAAUCUUCAAAAAAGAAAUGCUCCACAUCGAAGUCACUGAGACCUCAAAGAGUUGCUGCACGCAAUGCCCUUACACUAUUUUCUAAGAUAACGGGACGACAUACAGACGGGGAAGAUGAAGAUGGAUCGGAAGGAGAAAUUUCAGGAAGUGAAUCAACGCUGCAAGAUUCAAAUGUUGAGAGUGAUGGAUCCGAUAGAGAAAAUCACCUAAGCAACCAUAUGAAAGGAAAACAGGUUUUACUCAAUGAAUCUGAGGACCCGGUCAAAUCUCAUGAACUUCCUGAACUUCAAAGGAACUCUGGGAACAGGAGGAGAUUAGUGCUAAAACUGCCAAGACGGCCGUCAAAUACAAAUACGAUUGUGGAUACAGAAAGCACAAUACAUAAGUGCGAAAAUCCGGCUUAUCUGGUUGACCAAUCUUGCAAUCACAAAGCCAGUGAAGCAAAUGAGAAUCACAUGAACUCUCAGGAUCUAAGGACCUCUCCUGGUCAGGAAAAUUGCAGCAUGUUUGAAAGAGCAGUGGGAGGGAAAUCAUACGAAGUUGAGAAUUAUUUGGACUUGACUGAGAAUUAUAAAGUUGGAAGUAUAAGAUGGGGAGGGUCCAGAGCUCGAACAUCAAAGCGGCUGAGAGUGGGAGAAGCCACAUCACUGGAUGCACUUGCCAGUACCAGUCUAGCUGUUGUUGGUCACGGUGGAAACACAGAAUCUGAAAAGGAUGGUCGAAACUUGUCCCCUCAAUUAGAAAGCCCAAGGAAUGGGGAUAUGAUGGAUGGAGUGGUUAUGACAAAUGAGAGAACUAUUGGGACUAGUACCUCUGAGGACCUUAAUGGUAAAGCUGAGGUUAAUGAGAACUCGGGUUUUAGUGAAUGCAAGGAUCAUGACCAAUCACCUAAGUCUGUUCACAUGGCUCAUUGGGAUGCAAGCACUUCCUCUGACCUCAACAAGGAUGGGAGUGUUUUCUCUUCUGAACAAAAUGAGAAGCUUACACCAGCCUCAACGAAAUUAAGGUUGCGGAAGAUUCCGAGGGGCCCUGAAUGUCCUAGUGAACAGGUUAUGAGCUCUGUAGUAGAGAAUUUGGAAAGAGGUAGAUGUAACACAUUGCCUGAAAGCCUUCCAACAAUAGAUCACGAUUCAAUUGUGCCAGAGGAUAAUGGCUCCAAAAAAUUUAACUCAGAUCAAAGAUGCAGCGGCUCACGAGAAUCAGACAUUCAAAUUGAAUCAGUCGAGUCCCAUGUAAAUAGAAACAAAAUGUUUAGUGCUGUUUAUAGGCGGGUGAAAUCACAUAGGGGUCGGAGUAAUUUGGAAGGUGAAAGUAGUGGGAAGGGAGAAGGCACUUCACAAAUUUCCAACACUAGCGACCAAAAUGUCAUUGCUGCAGUAGACUGCCGUGACGAUUCAAUUGAUGGAGCUCGUAGGACACGGUCAAUGGGGUUGAAGGCAUCUACACGUGAUCCAAGUAGUGUGGAUCAAGAUCACAAGUUAAGUCAAGGCCAUGAGCCUAGGUAUACAUUCAGAAGUGCCCAGAACAACACGGUGCACAAAUGUCAACUUCCGAAUGAAGAACGGGGAUCAAGUUCAAGGACAGCAGUUGGGUUGAGAUCAACUAGAAACAGAAGGAGUUAUUAUGAUCAUGAUGUGGAUCCAAUAGAUAACAGGAAGUCACAUCAAUCAAUGAGGAAAGGAACAUGGUUGAUGCUGUCGGCACAUGAGGAGAGCUCACGAUAUAUUCCCCAGUUAGGGGAUGAAGUUGUCUAUUUGAGACAGGUUUCUACUUUUAUUGCUCCUGCCUUUUUGUUCUUUUUACUUUUUUUAUUCUUGGGAUUCUUGGAAUGGGGUGUUUGGUUUUAUGAGCUACGAAGACAGCCUCCCUUUUUAUUGUUUUUGUUUGGAUUUUAGCAUAUGAAGGCCAUUGUUCACUAAACUUUUAUAAUUUUUUUAUUUCUCAGGGGCAUCAGGAGUAUUUUGAUCUUGGUAGGUUGAGAGAAGACCCGCCUUGGGCAUUUAUAAAGCAGAGAAUAAGAGCUGUGGAGUUUUGUAUAGUUCAAGACCUAGAAUAUUCUUUACUUCCAGGAUCUGGGGAUAGCUGCUGUAAAUUGACCCUUGAAUUUGUAGAUCCUUCAUCUGAUGUGUACUGCAAGUCUUUCAGAAUGACUCUGCCUGAAGUUACUGGUUUCCCUGAUUACAUUGUUGAAAAAACUCGCUAUGUUGCUGCAAUAGAGAAAAAAUGGUCAUGUAGGGAUAAGUGCAAAGUCUGGUGGAAAAAUGAUGGUGACGACGAUGGUAGUUGGUGGGAUGGUCGGGUUGUGCAAAUUCAGCCCAAAUCUCCUGAGUUUCCUGACAGUCCAUGGGAAAUGUGUAUGGUUAUGUACAAGUCUGUUCCUAAAGAGACACAGCUACAUAGUCCUUGGGAGCUUUUUGAUACCGCUACUGAAUGGGUGCAGCCCCAGAUUGAUGAUAAGAGCAAAAACAAGCUGCAUUCCGCCUUUGCCCAACUAGUGAAAUCAUCCCACAGUCGUCAGGUAGUAAGGCAAACCCUUUAUUGUUUUUUGUUUUACAAAAUGAAAUCUUGGUUAUAGCUGCAUUUCGGCAAAUUAGUUCAAGACUUGGUUUUUCAUAUGUUUGUACAUUUCAGGAUUCGUUAGGGAUUAAUAAAUUGAAGCAGCUUCAGGAGAAGCCGAAGUUCAGAAAUUGGUAUGUGUUCAUACCCUUGUACCUUACAUUGCACUCGAAUCUCUAUCAAGGAAAACUGAUAGAUAUCUUUGGUACCAUAUGGGGUUUUGAAAUGUAUUUGCCUUUUGGAAUUGUCUCAGGUGUGCGGUUCCAAUAUCUCUUGACUUGAUAGAGAGUAGGUUAGAAAACGACUAUUACCGAAGUUUGGAAGCACUGAAACAUGACUUUAAGGUAAUGCUGUUAAAUGCGCAAGCCUAUGUAGAAAGCCAUGCGGAGUCUUCAGGGAAAAUGAAACGGACAGCAGAUAAAGAAUUUCUAGAGAAACUGCAUUGUCUAUCUGGCUGGUUUACAGAGACAAUUUCGUCCUUGUAGCCGACCAUCUGGCUCUUCUAAUUUUUAUAUUUUUUUUAUUUUUGUAGAUAUUUUACCUUCAUAUGUUUAGAGGGUUUUCCUUAUGAUACCCUAGGUUCAUUUUUGGAAAUGGAUUAAUCCUUUGGAUAUCCUUAGAAGCAAGUGUAAAUUUUCCAGAGAAAUCAUUUUUGUACAGAUGAUAUUGUUAAUAACAACGAAGGAAAAACACCAUUUUCAUCUGACUUCCAAGCAUCUGGGCGCCAGGACGUUGAGAGAUUUUCAUACUCCCCCGUUUCACUCUUGAAGACUGUUUUUCAUCCUCCAUUUAUCUACUUUGAGAAAUUCUUCAACAACAGUAUAAUAGGAUAUCCAUUGUACCACCAAGGGAGCUGAACUUUCUAAACCCUCAGGACACUCGAUUAAGGUCGUUGUCAAAGCUACAUUUCUCCAUUUCCCUCUCGAAAAAAAAAAAAAAAAACACUUAUUUUGCCAGCCUCAAAAUUACAUCCUUGAGAGUUGAGAUCAAGAGACAAACUCUGGUUGGGAAGUCGGAAAGGCUUGCUCUAAUUCUUUUCUGUUUAUUUAUGCAGCCGGAGUUCUUAAAAGGUUUGGGAGAAGAACAAAAAUCAGAUCCAUUCUCACAUGCACUGAAUAUCUUCUUUUUGAAUAAUAGAUAUAAGGUAGAAUUAGAAGUUUGAAGAUAAAAACUUGAGAGCGGGGACUACAUUGAGAUAUUUGCUGGGUCUAUCUAUUUAAAGUCUCCCUGCUACAAACAUAAAUAGUUUUUGCUUCACACUGAACAAGAAGUCCACAGUCUAUUCCAUGGCUCCAAGCUAUAUAAACUUACAAACCAACAGAUUUUACAAAAUGGUUAAUGUUUCUAAAGAGACCUAAAGACCCUAAACCAACAAGCAUGACAUACAUGAAGUUCUGUGGUGACCUAACUAGGCAGACAAGCUAGUAGGUGCACCCGUUCCAUAUCAUCCGAGGGAGACAAGUUGCUAUGCUUAUAUGUGCAGAGCUAGCACCUUACAUUGAGACACAUUUUGGGGUGAAACCUCAAGAAUAAAACCGUAAGGGCCGGUGGGCCUUAAGCGGACAAUAUUUCAAUGGUAGAGACUGGGUUGUUAUAGAUGGUAUCACAGCCUGUCCCCGGCCGGAAGUGUGCCGACAUGGACGUUGGGCCCUAAAGGGGGGUGGAUUGUGGUGACCUAACUAGGCAGGCAAGUUAGUAGGUGCACCCGUCCCACAUCGCCUGGAGACAAGUUGCUAUGCUUAUAUGUGCAAAGCUAGCACCUUACAUUGAACGCGUUUUGGUUUGAAACUUCAAAAACAAAACCGUGAGGGCCGGUGGGCCCAAAGCGGACAAUAUCUCAAUGGUAAAAACUGGGCUAUUACAAGUAACUUCCUGAGGAGUCCAUAACGUCUUUACUGCCUGUCAAAGGAAGAAAAACAGUAAUAUACAUGGAAUCUCUGUAUGUUCCCUUGUUUACUGAUUUGUGUGUAUACACUCUUUUAUCUCUAUGACUAUAUAUAAAGGGAAGCAUGAAUCAAUCUAUACCAAUAUUUGAAAUGGCUAAUAAAACAUUAAAACUCAAAAUAUAAUCACCUGCCAGGGAUAUUAGGGUGACUAGCUCACAAGGAAACUUUCACAUCAUACCUCCCUUCACCAACAUUUUUAUAUAUAUGCAUCGCAGGAAUAUGAGGCUGGUACAUAUGUAAAAGGAAGAGAAAUUGACAAUAAUUGUUGGUUCUUACCGUUCAGCAGAUGGAUGCACCAACAGAGAUCUGAGUUCGUGCAACACUUUCUCCAAGUCAUACAAUGUAACCUGAUAUGAAAUGCAAUGGAAACUAUAUAAUCCGGAGAAUUCAAUUUUGUGCACAUUUGAUAUUUUAUCAUUUAAUAACAAAGGGAAAACACCAGUUUCAUCUCUCUUUCAAGCAUCUGGGCUGCAGGAUAGAGAUUUUCAUACUCCCUUCAUCAGUUUCACUCUUCUUUUUAACAUGAGAUCAUGUUUUUACAUUGGUAACGUUGAAGACUCUUGUUCAUUCUCCAUUCUAAAUACUUCGAGAAUUCUUCUGAUUUGUUGCCGUUUAUUCUCGAUCUUUGAUUUCAGAUCGAGCUGUUAGAUUUAUGCUCUUUAAUUAUUACCUCUCAUUGAUCAUCUUCAAACUAUCUCAGUUGAAGGUUAGCUCAUUCCCGAUUGUAUUGAUCUCACCAAAUUAUUUGUUCGGAAAAUAAGAAACGAACAAAGAACUACGUGGGAGCGAAAUAGAUUCUAACAAGCUAUGGCCCUAGAAGAUAAUAGCAGAGGGCAAGCAGGCAGGGAUUCUACAGGUCUGGCACUGGCAGUUAUAAGAAGUUCACAACUGAACUAUCAUAUUGACAAACCAAAUAGUUGGGAAAUCAGGAUACUGCUAUUCUGGCAAAAUGAAAGUGCCUGUUAAUGUCAAUUGAUGGUCCAUACACAUGAAAACCUACACUAGGGAUCAAAAUUCUGGUGUCUGAAAUGAAGGAGUAUCUCGGGGCUCAUACAGGACCGCUUAAAAGAGUCUGCUACACAAUUAAUAAACCUUAAUCCAAUUUCAUAAGUACACCAGAACUAAUUCUGAGCACAACUAGAUUUGAUUAGAUGAAACUUGAGCAUAUUAGUCCCUCCACCUGUAACCACAGUUUGGGUUGCAGCAAACAAAGAACAACGUCAUCCCUUCCUCUCCUCUAGCAGUUGCCUGCACAUAUAUAAGAACUUGCACAUUAGAAUUACCUCUUACAUUUUAAACAUCUUGAACAAGAAAAGAUGGUUUAAGAUAGCUAUGAACUUUAUAUAUAAUAACUCAAGGAGUGGAAUCAUGUGGAGUGAAAAGCUAUCUAAAAGUACAAUCUGACUAUUCGCUUAGAUGUUUAUACCAUAUUUCUGGACAUGAAAGGCUGGGAUACAAACCCAAAAAGAAGAAGAAUGAUAAACAGAUGUGACUUUCCUAUGUUAUAGUGGUGACAACUACAACUACUCAAAGAUGUUUCAAUGCCAAGUGAUCACAUAAACCACUGAUCCCUAACAUUCAGUUGAACCAAACAGGCAAAGUGAUAUGAUGUAUUGAAAAAGAACCAUAACUUUGUCAAAGAUAAGCUUUGAUGCAUUACUAAAUCAUGGAUUGCUUAAAGGUUAUACCUGUAAAAUGUCUUUCCAGAUGCAUUACUAAAAGAUACAUUGUUAACAGGUUAUAUCUAUUCUUUUCCAGAUGCAUUACAAAAGUAGCUAGAACGGCCCUCAUGUGGAAUACUUAGUAAUUGUAUAUCAUAUUCUAAGUUGCAUGGAAAUCCAUGGUAAAGACUUGAAGCAUCAAAGAGUUGGAAUUUCAACUGAAAGGCUUAGACAGAUGUCAUGUGUCUUAUUAACAGAAACUUGAACAUCCAGUCUCUUUGUAUUUAACCAAGAACUAAGUUAACUGAAAAGGCACAUGUAAAAGUACACAACUUCAUCCAAAGAAUGAGCAUUUCACCUGAAAGAAGACAGCUUCUCCGUGCUUGCACUGAGCACAGCGCACAGCUUUUGUGCGAGGUAGAGUUGGAUCUGCAGCUACAUCUUGCAAGAUUUGAGUGCGUUCCCCAACUGAGUGGUGUAUCUCAUUUCUGUAGACGCAGUUGUUAUCAGCAACCUCCUGCAAAACAACACGUACUCUAAUAAGAAAAUGUACAAAAUGGUUGAGCUAUAGACCUUUAAUCAGAAAUGAUAAAAUCCUUCAACGUAGAAAAUAGCGGGAGCAAAUAGUAACAAUAAGCUGAAAGCUGAAUUUAGAAGGUAACUCCAUAUGAGAGACAUCAAGCAUGUUCUUCAGGUGUUAACUGAAGUGACAAUUGAGCUUGUAAACUGAGCCUAGAAAUAUUUACAAAUUUUGCAAACCCCGUAAAGAAAAAAAAAAAUGAUUAGCAGCAAACUGAAGUGACCCUCUAAGAAAAAGUUUAACGUCCAAAGUAGUGCAGAUGAAGAAUUUCCAAGCAUAUCACCAAAAACAUGAAGAAAACCCUCUAUUGAAAGAACUCCAGUAAAAGCUAGAGCCUUGGGUUAUGUCAAGUAAUUAUGUCAAUCCAAAAAGAGUAACGCCAACUGAAACUAGCUUCUCAAAAGUAACUCUUCAACCAUCUUCCCGGUGGUGGCAAUCGAUCUUAUGAACUAAGCCAAGAAACCUAUUUGCAAAUUAUCAACAUGACCCAAAAAGCAGAAAAUGAUGGCAAGCAAACCCAAUGACCCUUCAGCAGAAUAUGGGCACAGAUAAAAAAAAAGGGUAAUUUUCAAUGCAAUUCACAAAAACCAUUCUUUGAGAAAACUUAGAGUCAAAGUUACAACCUUUAGUUCAUUCUAGAACUUAAUUCAAUAAUGGGAUUAGGGUUCUUGCAAUUCUCAACAAAAUAACACACACCAACCAAAAACUACCAAAAUCAAAAGAGCAAAUAGAGAGAAGGAGCGACCUGGUGAUCGCAAUUGCGGCACGCAUAGAGGAGAAUCUUGUCUUCCUUGUUCUCCUUUGGGUACAGAAUGUUGUUGCUGCAAAAAUGCGAAAACCCAUAUUUACAAAUUAGAAUUAAACUUCACAACUAAAGAUGAGGAAAGAGAAAGCGAAUGUGUUACUGACCAUUCGCGGCAAAACUUCAUGGUACUCAUCUUGGUAAAGCUUGGGUCUUUUGAGAAGCUCUGUUCUGGUUGGGACUAAAGCUCUCUCUGCUCUUGCUUCACUGCACACUCUCAAUAGUUUCCAGGGUUGAGACUCGCAAGAAUACAUUUUUGAAGGGCUUUCCCCAGGCCCUUAUUUGAUAAUUGUUGCAAUUUCAAGGGUAUUCCCCGAAAAUGUUAAUAUUUUGGUCAUGUAUUUAGGGCAAGUGCUGGACUACGCCAUAAAGUACGGUACGUUGAAGUGGGGUCAGCCAUGUGGCAUAAUAACGUCCACAAUUCUUGAAUUCCAAAGGCAACUAGGUAGUUUACAAUUUAACUUUCGUUAAUAGUAAAACAACCCCGUUAUGGUGAAAAUUUAAGAACAUUUAAGUCAACGGUAAUUCUAGCAUAUCGAUCUCUUUAAUGUUUGCUGGGUGGUGGUGCGAGCUCGAGAAACAUAGAGGUGAGAGAGCAAAAGAGUAAUAGGCCUAAUGUUUAAAGAGAAACCAUGGUCAUUACUCAUCAGCAUGAUCAACCGCCAUCAUCCUCUUCUUUAAAGAUUAGGAUGAGACGAUGUCGAUCGAUGGUGUGAAAAAACAAAAACCAGCGAGAGGUUCCCUAUUCUUCUCUGCUCCAUCUCCGCAGACCAUGUCGUCCCCGAUCGUGAUCUCCAAGGUCGACGAUCUGAUAAACUGGGUUCACCGCAGCUCCAUUUGGCCCAUGACCUUCAGCCUCGCUUGUUGCGCCGUCUAGAUGGUGCACACCGGAGCUGCUCGCUACGAUUUGAAGCGCGGUAUCAUUUUCCGGCACAGCCCACGCUAGCCGAUUGCCUGAUCGUCGUCACCGGUAUUCUCACCGAUUAGGUGUUGGUGAUGGGAGACAGUCACAUUACAGGAUGAUAUUGAGACGAUGAUUGGGAAAGCGAUAAGGAAGCAAAAGCCAGAAAGAAUUAGAGUUGAGCUCAUGGGACUUAUGGUUUGGGGUUGACAUAAACACCCUCAUUAUUUUUCUUUUACAAGUGAUUUUUACUGUUAAUGGAGUUAAAUCUGAAAUUUACUUAUAUACCCUUCGAAUUCCAAUUUUGUGGGCAGUAUUACACCAUGUGUCAUGUCUUUCUUCAGCGUACAGUAUGCUGACGUAAUCCAGCGCUUUCCUGUAAUUAGCAAAAGAUUUUGGUUAUUUCAGUAUUUUGCAUCGCUCAUUGGGCUUAUAUUCCGAACAAAAAAAAAAAACAUGUGUCUGAUCGAGUAUAAGUGUAGAGACAAAAAGAUUAGUAAAAGAAUAGAUAAUCAUUAUCUUAUUCAUUGAUAUAAGUCAUUUAUAUAGGGAAUUACAAAGUAUCAAUAUGGUAAUGAUAAUGAAUACAGUCAUAUUCCAACUACAUAUCCUGAUAGCAUAAGACCAAUGCACACAUAUGGAAUAUCCUAGAACACUCUCCCUUGUGCCGCGUGUCGGUAUGCCGGUGGUGCUGAUAUGUCGCCUCAUUAAAAACCUCGUCAAAAAACAAAAAUCCUGUGGGAGAAAAACUAAACCUUAAUCAUAUGAGAAAAAGAAUACAAUGCACCCUUCACAUUUGAUAGUGACAUGUAUGUAUGUGCUAGACUCCCCUUGAAGUUCGCACCUCCCUCUGAUCUUUACAUCAAUCAUAGGGCUCUUCCUGAUUUUUACUAAUCAUGGAAGUUUCAACAACUUAUCAUUAACAUGUCUUCAAAUGUGGCAUUGGGCAAUGAUUAACUAGAUCAUGUCGUAUAGUCCUCAAACAUGAUCUUUCACACUUAGAUCUUGAGGAGAAGGCCGUUUGUGAACUCAAAACAUAAGUUUGUGCACGAAAUCAGAUUUCAGCGCAGCAUGACCUUCAAUUACUAAAACAACUGUAACUUCCUCUAGGAAAUACGUAUGAACGAACCGUAAACGGUUUUGGAAACUAGACUCAUUUAGUUUUCCAACCAUAUAAUACACACAUUCUGGUUCGUCAGGAGCUGUUCACAAAGUCCUGUCAAAGUUGACUGUUUUGGCAAAAUCAGAUUCUCGGACAGAUUUGUCAUACUUUACGAAAAUUGCCAUAACUCACUCAAUAUGAUAGAUAUGAUCAAAUGGUUCAUGUCCCUGGAAAGUAGACACAUAGAUCUUUCCAAUGGUACCAAUUUCACCAUUUUUCGGUGAGUGAGAUUUCUUGUAGGUCCCGUGGAAUUUGACCUACGAAGCUUGAUAGAUUCUGAUUUUGCUUUUGAUGUGUCUUUCUUAUGUAGGGAUAGAAUAAGCCUCAACCUUUCAUACCAUUAAGUAUUGAAAAAAGAGUUACUGCCAUUAUAUUAGCAUUACGUGGAGGCAUAGCUACACUUAGCUUUACAACUUUUCAUAGCGAAUGAGAUGUCAAGUCUUUCGUAUUGUGUUGAGUACAUUGAUGCGUCUUAUUGUACUUAGAUAGGAACUCCAUCUCUUAACACAUAUUUGUCAUCUUGCUUUAGGCAAAAUAACGGAUCUUUCUUUAGAGUAAAGACUCUGACUAAUCAUGGGGUAUAUGUAGGCCUCACUAGUUAUAGAGCGUCUAAGCCAAUUGAUGAAAAAUCAUCAUCAAUACAGUCAUCGAGUGCCUUAUCGAGAUCGUGUCUUCCCAAGAUCUUGUUCAUUCUAAUUUCGGAUGUUGAUACAUAUUGGCAUCUCUUGAUCCAUCAAGAGUCCAUGUAAAUCCGGAAUGAACACGCAAAGGCAUAAUUCACCAUAUCCAUUCUAAAUCAAGUAGAGUCCAUGUGCGUUUCAAUACCCUUAGCAAACGCGUGCUCCUGUGGUCUGGAGCUACUUGAUUCGAAUUAAUGAAGUUCGUUUAAGACCUUCAUGUAUAUCCCUGAUCCCAUACAGAUGUUAUUAUGACCACAUUCAUAGGUUGCAUGUUCAGUUAUUCGGAAACUACCAAACUGACAAAGUAGUGAAGUUCAACGACAUCCAUUACAAGAGCAUAUCUCAUCGUAGUCGAUCACAGUGCGUGUUAGUGAGAGACCUUGCUCCAUAAGGUGAGUCUAAGCUCUUGUUCCCACUACGCUAUUUAACAAAGACAUAGUUGAUAGAGUUUAGCUUGUGGUGUCGGCAUCACCUGCCCAAGGACCUAUCUCUUUGUUAAUGUUGGAUCGCAUCUUUCCAUUAGGCCAAUCAACUAAGUUAAGUUGAUAUCCAUCAACGAAGGGUGGUUCGAUAGUAGACUCAUUAUCCCACAUCCUCAUGUACACUAAUGUAAUACUUGUAGAGAUCUCUAUAUGGAUUGGAUUUGACAUUGAGGCGUCUCCCAACGAUAAUCACAAUUCAGACUUCAUGAGAUAGAUUUGAGUAUCACUGAUUAAUGGAUUAGGUUGUGCCAAGCUCGCUUUCUUCCUAGUGCGAGAAAAUAUCAAACCUAAGGGCCUCCCUCCUUUUGGGGAGUCACACGGCCUUGUGACACUAAUUUUGCCACUAAAUGGUGUCACCAUAUCACCAUCCAUGGUGAUGGCGUCAAGACCAACUCAUUUUGGUCGCGCCAUGUCCUCUUGAUAGGACAUCAAUCUUUGCAGACAUAUUUGUAGCAUGCGAUCUCGUCACUUUAACACUUUAUGCAUUUGGGAUCAAGAUGAGACUUAGUGGGGACAAACCACGACAAUUCACGUCGUUCCACUUGAACACUUGUGUUCUUAUCUCCCCCUAACGGCGGGAAUAUUGUCUCAUCAAAGUGACAAUCCAUAAUUUAGUGGUGAAUAAGAUCGUCUGACAAAGUUUCUACAUAAGCAGAUUAUAGGUGGAGGUUCAUAUCCAACUUAAACUUAUUCAACUCAAAUGACCCAUCAUUGUGCGCAGUGGCAUUGUAAUUUGGCACCUAAAAAUAACAACUAGCCGAGCUCAAGGAUUGGAGAUCCAUUUCAAUCCUGCCGAGCUCAAGGAUUACAAUUUCGUGUCAAUCCUUGUACACAGUCACGAGCUGUAGUAUAAAAAUAUUCAAUGAUGGUGGGUCGUAGAUGAAUAGUAAAGUUGUAUGCAAGCAUGCAAAUAUUGUAUAGCCCCAAGAUGAAAUAGAAAGAUGAGUGCGCAUCAAUAAUGAGCGACAAGCUAAAGUUUCUUGGUCAUAGCCUCGGUGAGACCGUAUUGCGUGUGAACAUGGGGUACAUGACAUUUCAACUUAUAUCCCGAUAAACUUCUUUAAAGAAUAGGUAGUGAGCCUGUAGAAGUAUAAGCAACAUAAGCAGUAGAUAAUAAUGUAACACGUGACCAGUGUGUUAACACCUCAACCAACACCAUAAAGCAAAAAAAGGUGUUUGCAAGUUGGUUGUAUCUAUUUACAUAGUUUGAUGUAAGAAUGGAAUGUUCACUUUUGUGUCAUUUAGCGUAGGAGAGUAUCACUCCUAAUUUAGCUAAAGAAUAGGCUUUCAAAAAGAGCAAUGAGCAUUGCAAGGGACCAAUGAGACAUCGAGGGAAUGCCGGUGCACCUCAAUUGCUUGAGGAAUUGUCCGGACGACCUCCGGGAAGUUGGAGCCGUGUUCGGGUGACGUCAAUGUCCCUAGGGUGCCGCUAUUUACAACCAUGGCGUCACCAUCAUGCUUCAUGGAGAAACUAGAUCUUGAAUGUCUUCGUUUUGAGAGGAAGAAUGGAUAUCCAUGAGAAUUUCUCAAAAUUUGGACCAUUAUAUCUCUUCUAGGAUGACCGAUCUGGUCAAACCAAAGCCUAUAUGAGUCGGUGUCCCAAAUAUCAUGUUUGGCGACAACAUGUGAUUCGAUAUUCGAAUCAUAGUGACAUACAGUCCGCUAGAUUGACUCGUAAACUUCUCUAAGAUGCAUUUCAGUCUGCAUUCAUGAGAAAGUAUACACAAAAGAACUCUUGUUCAUUCUCACAAUGUGUUUUCAAAUGAAAACUAUUAGCAGGAAUGUCUUUAAAACGCAACAUGGUUCGGUUGCCUCUCAAUGCAUAGAGGGCAUCUGUGACAUUGAUUAUGGUGAUAUGAGGCAUCAAGAUUCAAACUAAACCGCGUCCCUAAAUUAUCAGUAUGAUUCAAGUAUUGUAGUCACAGAAAAUUUACAAGACACAAAAUCCAGAGAUAAUUGUCGGUUCCUUAGAAUGUUGUGGGUAAUUCCACUAUCUGCGAGACACUCAUUGUCUCUAUAAGACAUAUCUACAAAAAGGGUAGAUAGACGAGUAAAUAGUUUCACUUUAACCAUUUAGAAGAAUUGAAAGAAGCUACAAAAAGCUGCAAUCCCGAGAGUGUAUAAAAAUUUCCGAGCAGAAUGACCUUUGCGCACUAAAACAGCCAUAACUUCUUCGUUAAAAUAGAUAUGGACAAACCGUAAAAAUUUCUAAAAACUAGACUUGUAGAGCUUUCCAAUGAUAUAAUGCUCACUGUCUGGUUCGUCCGGAUCUGUUCACAAAGCUCAAAUAAAGUUGACUGUCCAGAAGGGACAGAUUGCUGUUUUUCGCAAAUUUGGCAUUGGCAAAGCUUUGAAACUUGCGGAUGGCAUGUGGGCAUAAGCCGAAGCCAAAAUAAUGUUUAUAUGAUCAAAAUCAAGUCCUUUUGGUCGUUCUAAGGUCGUAAACUCCAUGACUAGUUAGCAAAAGCUCCCUGACAUGAACAUAUAAUAACUCAGAGAACCUAGAGGAUUCGAUCAUGAUGAUGAUUGUCCGAUUUUGAUAAGUCUUUAACGUCUAUUGCAAGACCGAAAUUUAAUAGCGUAGGGGGAUCCAAAAUCAAAAGCUUUUAGUAACUCCAAGUUAGUAUGAUCAGUCAUGUCCGUGGAGGGUCGGUAGUGCGAGGCACACUUAAACCACUAUCUCUUUAAUUUCGGACAAUUAUAAGACAUCACACUGAGCUUGGAUAAGCCUAGUUGAACAGUUGAUGAUGGAAAAUCCAUUAUAGGAUAGAAGACUUAACUAGAAAACAUGUGGGCGAUCCUCCUUGAGGAUGCGGUGCCGUGAGUCACCUUCAAAGGAAAGGACCAAAAUCGGCACAAUAUGCCAUGUUUCUAAGGACGAUGUAAGAAUAUACAUCUUUUUUUGUAAAUAAAUACGAACCAUGAGAGGAGAAUAAUUUCAUAAUUUCGAAAAAAUUCUCAGGACAUUCAUUAUUGCUAAUGUGAGUGUAUAUCGAGGUCUCGAAUAAACAAAGGACAUCGAUACGACGUCUUAUUAUAUAUAGCUUGGAAAGAAAAUCAAUGUCUAGCCAAUGACGUCAAAGUCAUGGGUAGCUAGAGCAAGAUCCGAAUCUUUGAAAUCUGCGAUCAUGAGGAUGACGUUAUUGUCCUCAUAUUGAUUUUUCGUACCUUUUUUUGUAUGCAUUCACGAUUUGAGGAUGAACUUGAUAAUCUUGAACCAGUGAUCUAGAGAUCCACAACGGUUGCAUUGUCAUGAGUUGGCAUGAGUUGUUUUGAUAGAUUGGUGUCUAGACCGGGAGUGUCACCAUUAGGGCCGGCGACACCUCCCCCUCUUUUCUAGACAUCGACACGGCGUUUUCUGCUGUUGCCGUGACCCAUAUUGUUGUCCUCACAUUAGGGGACAAUCCUAAAUACGUUUAUCGUAUUAGCGUAUAUACAAUUCUCGUUUGUAAUUGUAUGAUCAAAAUCAAGUCUCGUUGGUAAUUCCAAACCAACUUGGAGGGCCUACAGAACUUGAUGAUGAUCGAAUCUGCUAAAGAUUAUGGAUCAGGAUGCCAUGGAAUAUCAUCGACGAUAUGUAGUCAAAUAAGGUGGUAAGCAAUCCACUUGACUUAAUAACUCAACAAGUUGAGUUAGAUGGACGUUUCAAGAAACAUUCCAUAAGUGCAUUCUACAGUACUAUGUGGUCAUUACUUUUUAUACAGAUUGUCGUUGAAGGCUUGUUGUUGCAUGUCGAUGUGGCGUCUCAAAACUUUGAGCUCGAGAGAUGUGAAAUCUUGGCAUCUAGGCUUGUUAGCCUGGGGGUCAAAACAUGUGAUUUAAUCCAUUCCAAUGAAUAGUUCCACAGAUACCUAGCGAAGAUUCGCCUUAGGCAUUGAGUAUGUCAAAACUCAAAUGAGCAGAAUGUUGUUUUGCUCUUGCAUACAAAACCAAGCAGUUAUGAGACUCGAUAUAGGUCAUAAAUGAUGCUUUUAAUGGUUUUUCAUACAGAUUGAUCACACACAAUCCUGAAAAAGCCACGAAUUAAUCAAACACAAUUCAGAAAAAGGCCUCGGAUUGAUCAAACACAAUCUGGAAAAAGAUCGGGGUUGAUCACACACAACCCGGACAAAGAAACAAGAGUAAUCAAAUACACAUUUGACCCGCGAAUAAAAUUUCGGGAUUUUUACCUGCACGCACAAAAUCCCAAGCAUAGAAUGGAAAUGAAGAAGGAGAAGGGAGGAAAUGAUUUUAUCCUCCCCAAGUUAUUGAACUUGGAAAAGUUUAGGGUUUCAAAACAUACCUUUCGAAACUUUAAACACUUGAAGAAGUCAAAAAUUGUAGUCGGAGGAAACCAAAAAUCGUCGGCGGGCGGCGGCCAAGGAAUUGGCAGCCGGUGAUGUCGGACGGUGGCCGGGAAAACGGGCAGCGGCGGUAGUCAGACAAAGGAGCCGAAAAACACUUUUUUUAGGGUUUUAGAAAACAAAUAGUGAGCUAUUAGUUCUAGGGUUAGAACAAAAUGCAUUAUAACAUGAUCGAAUAUAAAGUGUAGAGACAAAGAGAUCUAGUAAGAGAAUAGAGAAUCAUCAUCUUUUUCAUUGAUAGGAGCCUUUUAUAUAGGGAAUUACAAAAUAUCAAUAUUGUAAUGAUAAUGAAUACAUAAUCAUAUUCCAACUACAUAUCAUGAUGACAUAAGGCCAAGACACACAUAUAGAAUAUCCUAGAACAAUGUCUUGUAUGUGUAAUGUUGUGCUCAUUGAAACAUAAUUGAUAUGAUACCCAUUUUUCCGAUUUAUAAUGUGAAACUAAUCAAUAAACAUACCUAUAUGUUUAAUAACCUAAUCAUAUGGCCACAUUAUUAAAAGAAAAAAAAAGUGAAUAUAUAGAAAACAUGAGAUGUUAGAAAAAAUUAAAUAUGACAAAUGUAAACAGUAUGGAGUAUACAAUUUAGGGAAAAUGCCUAAAUGCACAAAAACAGGGAUUUUAAUGCCCACUUCAAUGUAAAUCUUUUCUCUUAGCUCAUUUCAAUGAUUCUUAUGCAAAAAACAUUAUUACCCUCUAUAGAAUUAAACCCACACAAAUCUCAUCUCUUUCUCUUUCUAUUCUCUCUCUCUCCUUCUCCUCUCGAUCUGCUCUCUCUCUCUCUCNNNNNNNNNNNNNNNNNNNNNNNNNNNNNNNNNNNNNNNNNNNNNNNNNNNNNNNNNNNNNNNNNNNNNNNNNNNNNNNNNNNNNNNNNNNNNNNNNNNNNNNNNNNNNNNNNNNNNNNNNNNNNNNNNNNNNNNNNNNNNNNNNNNNNNNNNNNNNNNNNNNNNNNNNGAGUCACCGAGACCGCGCUCGUCGUCGUGAUCCUCCUCAACGGCGACAUCGAUUCCGGCGGCACCUCCUGGAGAUGAUCCUCAUCUGCCAGAACCUUCCCAACAAUCUCUAGAGCCUUAACAAGCACAUCCGGGGCGUCACGCUCCAGUUCCUCUGCUGGUUGAGCAAGUCGGAGAUUGUCCAGCUGUUGAUUUCAUCAAUUCUGGCCAAUCUAGUCAGAGAUUGAGGUCUGCAAACAUGGAUAACGUUCUUCUUCUUCUUUUUUGAUCGGAGAUCAUCUUUUUGUUUUUAUUUUGGUCAGAGAGAUCUGGUUUUUUUCCUUUUUUUUUUCAAUAUAAUGGUUAUUAAAUGAUAAUAUCUUGAUUAUUGGAGUAAUUAGUCUAUUAUUGGGAGGUAAUAAGUAUUUAGCGGAGGUCAAUUAACAUUUAUUGCGGGUAGUAAACUUAUAUCAACAUUUAUUGACCCAAUAUUGCUUCUAUAAUUUUUUUUGAGAUGUAGGGAUUUGCCUUAGAGGUAAAAGCUUCCUUUCUAACUCGAUUACUAGGGAUCAGUAACUGAUUAUUGGGGUUCAGUAACUGAUUAUUUGGGGCCAGUAACUAAGUUAUUGGGGGUCAGUAAUUGAUUAUUAGGGGUCAGUAACUGAUUAUUAGGGUUCAGUAACUGAUUAUUGGGGGUCAAUGACUGAUUAUUGGGGGUCAGUAACCCAGUUAUUGGGAGUCAGUAACCGAGUUACUGGUGACCGGAAUCCGACGACCGGAAAAAAUCCGAGUUACUGGGGGUCAGUAACUGAGUUACCGGUGAUCGAAAUCCGGCCACUAGAGAAAAUAUGAGUUACUAGGGGUCAAUAAUGGCGACCGAAGAAAUUUCCGGCAUCCGGUGACCGGAGUCCGGCAGCGGGUGACCGGAGUCCGGUGAGGUUCCGGCUAAAUUAUUCUUUCUCUUCUAGUUUCUCUCUCUAUACAUGUUGAAGUGGUGAGGGUAAAAUUGUCUUAAAAAUAUAUAAAAAUUAUUUUUUAUUAUGACAUUAAUAAAGAUUUGUGUAUUUGAGCAUAAAAAAAGUUACCUUAUAUUGGAAUAGGCACAUGAAAAAGAUUAUCAUUAGAAUAGAGAAUGAGAUGUUAAAAUUAGUAUUAAAUGGGUAUUUUUCCUAUAAUAUUCUUCAUGCAACAAUUGAUAUUGGACGACCAAAUAUAUGAGUUGUUAAUUUAGGAAGUGUUAUAGUUAUGAGGAUUAGAACAGAUGUGUAUAUUAGUUUUGCUUUCAAAACAUGUGAUGUUGUUGCGCAUACUUGGUCUGCAUGAUACUCCUCCCAUCAUUGGUUGGAGAUAUUCAUCAUCUACAUUCUAGCUAUCCUUCUAAAUGUUCACUGUUAAGCGUGGAGCUAAUUUCCUCACUAAUGCUUUAACUAAAUACGGUCGUUCAUCUCAAACACAAAAUUGGAGUUAUACUCUUCCCCAUUCGGCUCGACAUGCUCAUUUGUUUGACUUUCUCAUCAAUUUUGGGUGUUAUAGAUGCUGCGUGUUGUAAUGUUUUCUUUUUUCCAAAAAGAAAUGUUGAUGUGCAUAGAUUAGAUAUUCUUGCCUUUGAAUACAAUUGUCAUGCCUGUUCAAAAAAAAAAGAAUACAAUUGCCAUGCAUUUUAGUUUAUGUUUUUUUAGUUAUUUAGACCUACAUUUGUUCGAUGAGUAAAGUUUUAUACACUACCAUGGAAAAAAAAUGUGAGGAGGUGUAAAUGUCAAGGAAAUCCUAAAAAAAAUAAGGGAAAGCCAAACCCUGUUCCUCCAAAAUCCCAAAUCUCUCUCUUCUCUUCAAGCUCCCGCACAUAAACCCAACCAAUAUCUCCAUCAUUCCCUUCCCUCAAAACCCCAAAUUGACGGGCCCUCUUCUUCGUCUUCAAGCUCCGGCACACAAACCCAACCAAGGUAUCUUCACUAUCCAUCAUUCUUUUCCUCAAUCAAUAAUUUCUGAGUAGAUCGGCCGCGCAAGAAGGCCCAUAUGAUUUUAAUUCCAUCGCUUUUAGGGUUAUCGAUUAUACGUGAAUUGAAAUCUUGGGUCUUUUGAUUUGGAUAUAUGUUCUUUAGCUUAAUUUUAGUUUCGAUUGAAACUAAUGCUGCACAGGGAACAAUUGAGUUGAAAGACAAGUUCUUGAUGUGCUAAAUUUGUUGUUAGUUUACUUUAGGUCGAUUUCAGCUUGAAAUUUUAAUACCCUGAAUGUGUAUGGUGGCAUGAUUCCUGUUUUUCGAACAAUACUAGCUUUAGUUUUAUGUUAGAGACUACGACAUGGUUUUGGUUCAUGCGGGUUGAGUUAGCAGUUUGAUACUUGUUCCGGCUGUUACUUCAACCUAAUUAAUUUGAAAUCUGCUACUCUUGUGCCUCUUUCUUCCUGAUUCAUUCUUGAUGAUCUUGUUAUGUUUGGUUUCAUGAUCUUAUUGGCCACAUAUGGUGAUAGUAGAUGAAUGUGGAUGAUCUAAUUACUGUUUAAAUGCAGGGUGUUAAGAACAUUUGGGGACUGUGUUCGGGGAUAGUUUCUCCGAAGUUGGGAUUGGUCUUCGAGGGGAAGGCAGUUCUGCUUGUUCUGAUUUGAACAUGUCGAGUAAGAAAGAAGAGAAGGCUCAGGCUGCAGCAGAAAGGAUCAAGGCUCAGGCCUUGAGUGCUGCAAAAGGUCUUAGUCGAGCUCAGGCUGAAAGGGCGGCUGCUGCUGCUGCACGAAAUGUUAACGCUUAUGGGCAGAAGGAAGAAGGACCCAGCAGAUGGCAGGAGAAAAGGGAAGCCAAGAGACAGAUGUAUUUGAUGAGUACUGAAAAAGCAGUGAGACUGGGUGAGAGGAAAGACCUGAAGGCAAAUAUAUCUACUGUUGGUAGUGCAGCUUCACAAUGCCAGAAGUGUUUCCAACCUGGGCAUUGGACAUAUGAAUGUAAGAAUGAACGUGUUUAUAUCUCAAGGCCAUCUAGGACUCAGCAACUGAAAAAUCCUAAACUGAAGAUGAAGGUGUCACUAUCCUAUGAUCUGGAUGUUGCGGAUCCAGAUACUAAAAAGGAAGAAAAGAGUGAAAAGUCAUCGAAGAAAAGCAAGAGGAAACAUAGGGGAGGUUCUGAUUCUGGCAGUGAUAGUGAAGCUUCAGUUUUUGAGACUGAUAGUGGGGAAUCAUCAGUUACAGGUUCUGAUUAUUCUUCUGAAGGGAGUAGUUCAGAUUACAGUUCAUCAUCUGAUUCUGAGGAGGAGAGAAGGCGCAGGAGGAAGAAGAAGAAGCAAAAGAUAAGGCGUAAAAGAUACUCCUCAUCAUCUGAGUCUUCUGAUUCAGGGUCUUCUGAAUCUGAUUCUGAUGAUAGGAGAAGCCGGAAGAAGAGCAAGAGGCACAGCAGAAAGCGUUAAACUAAGGUACUUGAGCAGAAGGAGAAUGUUGGUGGAUAGUUCAAGUCUGUCGUGUAUUACCAAUCAAUUGAUGAAUGCUUUUGUAUGUUAUCAAUUUGGGGCCAACACAUCCUCGUGGAUGUUUCCCUGACAUUUAUUUCUUUUCGACUGUGUUGCUUUAUUUGAAGUUGUACUGUAAUACUUCCCAUGGUUACUUUUAUGAAUUUGAGCUUUUCUUGGUAGAUUUCCAUUGGUUUCAGUUUGAAGAGCAGUGGUAGCGUUUGAAUAUUAGGCAUAUCAUAUUAAUUUUGUGGAGAGCGUAUUCAGCGCACCCGGGUGCGCGGCGCACCCGGGUGCGCUGUAUAAUUUUCAAAUUUUGUGAUGGCGAGUUGAAUCACCUCUAACAGUGGCAUCGCCUGUGAGGCUAUGACCGAUAUGGCGAUUAAACCAAACGUUGUAUUGGCUUAUGAUUUUCAGGAGUCAACGAUGUGAAAAGAAAAAGAAAUGUUUAGAAUUAUGGGAAGUUGAAAUCCACAUUCCCUACAAUCAGAGUGCUAGAGUUUGGUUGCUGAGUAGGUUCCCAAAUAGUGGGAAGUAUGUUCACCCUUGAACCUAAUUGUACGCAUUAGAAGGGUGCUAUAUAGGUUUGACAGUUAUGGUUUAGAGGGUUCACCUUUUGUACCCUAGCUAGGUGGAAAUGGAUUGAUCCUUUGUUUUUUAUUUUAUUUUUAUUUUUUAUCACAUAUUACAACUUCGUGAGUCGAACUCAUAACCUCUCACUUAUUAAAAGAAAACUAUGCCACUAAACCAAAUGGUAUUGGGCGAUUGAUCCUUCCUUAGAAUGAAGUGUAAAUUUUCAACCAGAUAAUUCAAUUUUGUACAGAUUUGAUAGUUUGCCAUUUAAUAACAAAGAGAAAACACCAUUUUCAUCUCACUUCCAAGCAUCUGGACUCCAUGAUAGAGAUUUUCAUACUCCCCUUCAUCAGUUUCACUCUUGCACUCUUCUUUUUAACAUGAGAUUAAAUAUUUACAUUGGUAAGACUCUUUUUCAUUCUCCAUUCAUCUAGUCGGAGAACUCUUCUAAUUUGUUACCGUUUAUUUUCGAUCUUUGAUGUUAGAUCGAGCUGUCAGAUUUAUGCUCUUUAUUACUUCUUACUGAUCAUCUUCUAACUAUCUCAGUUGAGGGUUAGCUCUUUGUCCAGAACCAUAUGAUUCAACAAAAUCACCAACAUAAAUUAAAAUCAAAGUUUUAAAGUUGAACUAGAAGUCUAGAACCGUAAAAUUUCAACAAAAUGACCAACAUAAAUCAAAAUUGAAGUUCUAAAAUUGAAAAGCAUCUAAUAUUAGGGGACAACAACAAAAUUGACAAUCAAAAUAGAACUCUACAAAGAACAAGAACAAUCGUCGAACUCUAUCUCAUGCUUCAAAAUCAUCAUCUCCAUCAACUUGAGAAUUAGAAUUCUCAUCGAAAACUAGAAGAUCACAAUCCAAAUUACCACCACGGACACCAUCACUACCAUAAUCACUAUCAUCACUACUUAAAUUAGGGGAAUUGUAUCUUCGUAUCAACAUAUGCAAUAUAUAUGAAGAUGUUGCACGGAAAUGGAAACGAGUUUCGGUUUUCGAUACGCGGAAACGUCAAAAUGAAAAUAUAGUCCGAUACGAAACGUGAAGGAAACGUCAAAAUUAAAAAAAUAUAUAAUUUUAUUAUAUAAAUAAUAUAAAAUAGGUAAAAGCAACAUGAUUACUAGGAGAGGCGGGUAAGCAAUUCAUCAUUUUAAUAUUUUAUUCUUUGUGUAAAACGGAGAGGGGGCUGAAAAACCUGGUUAACUUACAUAGGCAACUAGAGCUUAAAAGGCCUGUGGGGUAUAGAGAGUGACUGAGCCCACACUAAGUAGUAGUUAUCUAACAUCAACUACUGCACAAGAGGCUGAAGCUCUUCAAAGUUUCACCAAAAAAAAAAAAGAAGGAAAUUUUUCAAAUGGUGCCUUAAGUUAAAGUCAUUUAUCAUUUUGACAUCUCAAUUUUGAAAAUUAUGAUAAUAGUACCUCAACACUUCAACCCAAUCUAACAUUAGUUCUCUCCGUGAUUGACACCGUUAAGUUGGACUUUAUCCAUAGGCAAAAUUGUCUUUUCAUGUUUUUCCUCCUUAAAUCUUUUCCCUCCACAAACAUUUCCCUCCAGAAUAAUGUCUCUUUUCCCAUCAGUAUCCGAAUUUGUGGUGAGCCAUGUGUUGGCUGCAUACAAAAAUUAGAGACAUCUAGAAAUUAUAAUACAUCAUUGGCCAUUAAUAUCCAUCAUUAAAAGUAAUUUUUGCAAUCCACCGGUGAGAGAAAGAAUCAACAUUGAUUAAAAUAUAUUUUGUAUCAAGUACAGAAGUUCAUAAAACAUAUAUACUUAAUAGAACAAUCAAAGAUAACUAGAUAAUAGAACUCACAUUCAUAGUUGAUAUCUUCAGGUCGUGAAACUCUAAUUCAAUUAAUAAGAUUUAUGGAGGGAAAACAUGAAAAGACAAUUUUUCCCAUGGACAAAGUCCAACUUAACGGUGCCAAUCACGGAAGGAACUAAUGUUGGGUUGGGAUUAAGUGUUGAGGUACCAUUAUCAUAGUUUUCAAGAUUGAGAUGUCAAAAUGAUGAAUAGACUUAACUUAUGGCACCAUUUGAAAAAUUUCCUCAAAAAAGGAGAUGCGAGAGAGCAAUUAAUACACCAAAUCCUAUCCUUAUUGCAUCAGUCUUUUUUUUUUCCUUUUUAAUUCCUUGAACGACGCCGUUUGAGGCAAUCUACAACUCGUCUUCUUCUUCUCCCUACCUAGAUUUUUGCCCUUUUACUGCCAUUGUUGCCUCUAACGAAGCUAUAUAAUCUUUUUCUUCGAAAUCGGUGCUCAGAUUCGUUUAUAGAUCUAGAUCAGACAUGAGGCUGGUGAGCUCCGCCAUCAUCCACCAGCUCCAAAUCCUCCAAUCCCUAGUCCUUCACCAACAUCGUCAUUUGCACCCACGCCGACCCAUCUCACACCCAAACGACGUUGAGUCCUUCUGAUUUCUCUCUGAUCUCCUUCUUAAUCCUCGCAACCGCCAAAGUCGGCGGCAUUCACGCGGCUGACUACAAGAGGAAACGUGUUUCCCUCACGUUUCAAAAAACAUCUUUACAGAAACGCGUCGAAACGCGUUUCAGAGACGGAAACGUUUCUGAAACGGAAACGCUUGUCUUUUGACGUUUCUGUGCAACAUAGGUCUUCAUCAUGACGCAUUGCUUGUUCCUAUUUUACAAUCCACACUCUCACAUUUCCUUUUUGGGUAAAAUUUUCACAAAAAGAUGAUAAGUGCAUUUUAUGCAACGUUCUUAAUGUAUAUUCUUUUAGUUUGAUUGAUUGUUCACCAUAGCUUUUAAUGAACUUUAGAUGACUAGAACUCACUCUUGUUGACUUUUUCUCGAAACUUAUAAUCAUAAAACGCUCUGAUUUUGGAAAGGAUAAAUGAAAAUUUUUAGGAUGAUCACAAUUGCCAAACAAGCUUGUGUCCCUAUUUGUGUGCGUUGCACACCCCUUAGUUCAAACCCGGCCAUUUGAGCCUACGUUAAGCCUUUUCUUUCAUCACCCAUGCAAUUUUUACCUUGUGCUUAGCACAAUGAUAUUUCUACCCUUGUCCUUUGGGCCUAGUAGAGCAAUUGUGAUGUAUUGUAUGAAGUGAUGAUAUGAAACAAGUGUGGGGGAGUUGAAUGUCUAUAUAAAAGAAAAGAAAAUGCUGUGAAAAGCAGAAAAGAAAACAAAAUUUCAGCAGAAAGAAAAAAAAAUGGACAAUGUCUUUGUGUUGUGAAAUGGGAGUUUUGGUUGUAAAUGGAAGGCCCAAAAACAGAAUAUUUGGCCUUUGUUCUUUUUCACAAUGUUUGAAGGUGUUUAGAAUGACGAAGAGCCCAACAAGAUGACCUUUGGCCCUUGCUUUGGUGACAUAAGGCGUGUUUGAAUGCUCUGCUAAGUCCUUAGGAAUUUUUUUGCAAUACCUACUCUGAAAUUCAUACCCCUAGCCUAGCCCCAUUAAUACCUUAUAAAGUUCCUUUUGAUCUAAAAGAUGAGUAAACCUUGAUCUGUGGAGUUUGUUCCAAGAGUUGAGCCUAUGGUGUGGUUCAUUUGCGUGAAUAAUUGAUUCUUUCAUAAGGUUUAUAUUUGCUCUAUGUGCUUUUGUUCAUAUAAAUGCAAGCUUUUUGAUUCUAUCUUGCAUACUUAUUGAGUGAUUUAGCCAGAAAAUCUGAAUGAAAAAUGAGUGCAUGCCUUGUGAGAUUGAAUCAUACUUGUUUGAAACAUGCUGAUAUUAAAUAUCACAAUUAUUCUAUCAGGUCCUACAUGUAAAUAUGUGAUCUAUACAUGAUAAUUAGCUUCUGAAACUUCAUGGAAUGAUUCUUGAUUGAGUGCUAAUUUUGAUGCCAUGAGAUUAGAGAUUUUGAGACAAUAUGUUAUGGGCAAUAGAGUUGUUUGUGUGUUGAGUUUUGUAGUUGUGUAAUUUCUGGUUUGUGUGUAUUGAGUAUUUUGUUUGAUUUUGCUAAGGGACUAGCAAAAGCUAAAUAUGGGGGAAUUUGAUAAGUGCAUUUUAUGCAACGUUCUUAAUGUAUUUACGACCCUAUUUAGCUAUGUAAUUCCUUUAACAAUAUUUAUUUUCUUUUCAAAAAAAAAACAAUAUUUAUUUUAAGGGCCAAUUACAUAGAAGUCCACUUUGAGACAUUUUAUCCUAUAUAGGUCCACCCAAACAUUUUUACCCACAUAAGUCCACCCAAGCCUAAAUAGUGUCUUAUAUUUGGUAUUAAAGUUCAACUAAAUUACAGACUGCCAUCCAACCAAAAAAUUAGAUUUUCUCUCUUAUUUUUACAAAAAUGUCACUAAUGUAAAAAGUCAACAACCACAAAAAGUCUUCGGCUAACCUCCGGCGAGGUCUCCGGCCAACCUCCGACGAAUUUUCCGGCCUGACUCCGACGAACUUUCCGGUCGACCAUCCAUGAGAAUUCUGACGACCACAAAAACUACUACCUACGAUAACAAAAGAUACUACUGCCGGCAACAAAAGCUACUAUGACCAGUAAAGAAAACUACUACCACUGACAACAAAAGAUAUUACCGAUAACAAUAAAAGCUACUGCUACCAGCAAAGAAAACUACUACCACUGACAACAAAAGAUACUACCGACAACAAUAAAAGCUACUGCCACCAGCAAAGAAAACUACUACCACUGACAACAAAAGAUACUACUAUCAGUAACAAAAGCUACUACCGCCAGCAAAAAAAUAAAAAAUUUAUCACCAGCAACAAUAACUACUGUCACCCGCAACAAAAACUACUACGGUGAGAUUUCUAACAAUAUCCGGCAAGGUCACAAAAGAUACUAUCGCUAGCAACAAAAGUUACUACCAAGCAAAACAAAAACUACUACCUAGCAUCACAAAAACUACUAUUACCAGCAACAAUAGCUACUGUCACCCGCAACAAAAACUACUACGGUGAGAUUUCUGACAAUAUCCAGCAAGGUCACAAAAGAUACUAUCGCCAGCAACAAAAGUUACUACCAAGCAAAACAAAAACUACUACCUAGCAUCACAAAAACUACUAUUACCAGCAACAAAAGCUACUACCAAGCAGAAAAAAAAAACUACUACCAAGCAGAAGAAAAACUACUACCAAGUAGAACAAAAGUUAUGAAAGCUAUUAUUAGAGACCUACAAAACUAUGAAAUGUAAACGAUACGACUAAUAAAAAUGCUAAGCGAAUAUAAUAAAUUUCAUGGUACAAAAAGUAUGAAGCCUUCUACAUUGAUAUAGUCAAGUACAAAGAUUACAUAAAACUACUAUUGUAGUUCCAGAAGUCUACUACAAUAGUUUCAUAAAGCUACUAUCAGUUUUCUAUAGAUGAUGCUCAACACUCAUAGACAUAAUUUUUCCACCUUGAGCACGAUUUUCUUGGUUGGCCCAAUGAUCUCUAUGGAGGCUUGAAUAUCCAAACUCACAUGAUUUUCGUAAUCUAUUACAACUAUGCAAAGGGAAGAAUUCUGCAAGAACAAAAAUACAACAAAAUAUUAGUAUUAAAAUAGAAAUAGGAGCUUUUGACAUCAUGUUGAAAAGAUACUAGCAUAGAGUUAGAAUGCUACUAUCACUAUGGUUAAAAGAUACUAUCAUACAACGAAUAAGCGAUUGAUAUCAUAUCGAAAAGAUACUAACACAAAUAUAAAAAGAUACUACCAGUGUAUUGAAAAUAUACUAACACAUACAUAAAAAGAUACUAUUAGAGUGCCGAAAAGAUACCAACACAUCCAUAAAAAAGGCAACAUCAGUGUGUUGAAAUAAACUGACAUAAGAUACUAUCAGUGUGUCGAAAAGAUAUUAUCAUACAACGAGAAAGUUACUAACAUGAUGUUGAAAAUAUACUAACGUAAACAUAGAAAGAUACUAUGACUAUGUUGCAAAGAUGUUGUCCGCCAAGUGAAUUUUCUUAUAGUAUACCUACACAAUCGAGAAACAUGCCAAAAUUCACACAUAAAUUAUGCUUGCAGAAUGUUGGGAAUUGUAGACCUACCAAUCUACCAUACCAAAACAUGAACUAGUAAUUAAAGAUACUACCAUAAGCACAUAAAGAUACUGCCAUAGUAGCAGAAAGAUACGACAUCAAUUAUAAAAAGCUACUAUUCAGACAAUUAUAGUUGCUAAAAAAUUAUAGGUAAUGAACAACUAUAAACUGAACUUAUAUAUACAACUCAUAUAUACAAGCGUCAUCGAUCUAAACCAUGCAAUCAAACUGAACCAUUCACGACUCAACUAAAUUAAUUUCUAAUCCUAAAUUCUCCUCUUUCCACUUCGUUCUAUGUAUCACAGAGAAGGUUGAAACAGCUAUUCAAUUUCAAACAGAGCACCAACAGAAUCAAACAAAAUCUAAGAGCAUGUAGAAUGAGAAAAUUAAACUAACGAUUGGCAAAGGUUUAACAGAGUGUGAUCUAAGUGAAGUCUAUAGGUAGAGAAGAAGAGAAGUUAGAAGUAAUUGGCUUACGUACCAGUGGAUAUGGAUCGAUGCGAGGAGAGAGACAGGCUCCGGCGAUCUGAAAGGCAUCGUCGUCGUCGACAGAAUCAAAGAUACAAUCGAGCUCGAAGUCAUCGUCGUCGAGGCGUCGUCAACUGAAACUGAGAUGCAGUGGAGGUCGAGCCGGACGGUUGCCAGCGAUGGAUCAUCUGAGGGAGAGACCUUCGACGCAGGCAGAUCUGCGAUCGCAUUUAAGAGCCAGGUUGGUGACGACCUUGAGGGAGAUGCAGUCGAGGCCAAGAUCGUCGUGCAAGCGUCAUCGACGGUCGAUCUAGAAGUCAUUGUCGAGGCUAGGCGGCGGCAUCGUCGUCGUCGGAGAAGCAAUCGAGGUUCUGCCGGAAUUCGUCUCGAAGUGGCAGCAGCGUUAGAAUCGAAGGAGAGAGAGAGAGAGAGAGAGAGAGUNUGNGAGAGGAGGAGANAGAGUUACGGUUACGGACCAGAUCUNGUCUUACUUAACAAGUAAAGGUAAGUCGGUAUAUGUAGAAAGUAAAAUUAAGGUUAGGAAGUAACGAACGUAAAGGUACGUACUUAUGAGAAAAUUAAAAAGUUAGGNGUAUUGAGGAAGGAAGUAAAUUAAGUAAAGGUCGGUUUAUUUUAGGAAAGUUUUUAAACUUUUUACUUUAAUUUUUUAAACUUUUUUAAAACGGUUUUUUAGGUUUUUAGGUUUUUUAAGGGUUUUUUAACGGGUUCCGAAUAAAAAGUAACGACGGAGGGACACAAAACGAAAAAAGGAACGAAAACGAAAAAGGGAGGAAAGUAAACCGUUAAACGGUUAAAAAAAGGGGAAAAAAGGGUUAAACCUAACCUAAAGUUUAAGGUCGGGCCCGAAACGGAAAAAACGGGGAAAAAACGUAACGUAACGUAACGGAAAACGGGUAAACCGGUACCCGGGAAACCGGUAAAGGGUUUAAACGGUUCGGUAACGGUAACCGUUAACCGUUAAACCGUUAACCGGAAACGGAAGGGGUUAAAGGUUAGGUUUUAGGGUAAGUACCGUAACGGUAACGUACCGUAACCGUAACCGAACCGGUAACCGGUAACCGGUAACGGUAAACGGUAACCGGUACGUAACGGUUACCGGUACGGUAACCGGGUACGGUAACGGUACGGUAACGGUAACGGGUUAACCGGUUACCGGGUUACGUACCGGGGUACGGGUACCGGGUACGGUACGGUACGGUACGGUCGGUACGGUACGGUACGGUACCGUACGUACGGUAGACGGUACGUACGUACGUACGGUACGUACGUACGGACGGUUACGGUACGUAGAGAGAGAGAGAGUAGAGAGAGAGAGAGAGAGAGAGAGAGAGAGAGGAUUUGCGUGAGAGGGAGGAUAGAGACGUUUUGGGAACCACAAGUCUCUGAUCUUUAACAACAAGGGUAAAAUGGUCAUGAUGAAAUAAUUGGAGUAAGCAAAGUAGACUUAUCUGGAUAAAAAAAUUAAGGUGGACUUGUGAAGGAGAAAAUGUUAAAAAUGGGACUUUUGUGAAAUUUUCUAUUAUUUUAACUUAGUUUGUGUUUUUAGGUCGCAAAUAAAGCCGAGGAGCACAAAAGAAGCAAAAGAGGAGAAAUCUUAAAGGAAAAGGAAUCCAUAUGGCGCAAGGAAAGACAUCAGGAAAUCGGCCAGGAAUUGUCAGUCAACUUCGACAGAGGAUUGUGAUCAGCUCACAGCGAUCCAGGAGAUGAACUUUAUAUCAAUGGAAAGCUAGAAGAGUCUAGUUUCCAGAACUUUUUGUGGAUUAUCAAUAGCUAUUUUGGAGAAGAAGUUAUGACUGUUUGAGUGACCAAAGGUCAGUCUGCCCGAAUUUCUGAUUUGGACUGAAAGUUUAAUUUCAAGGCCCAGACCACAUAGGCAAGCCCAUGGACGAAAAUUAGGGUUUUCUAACCCUAAUAACAGCUGCUCAUACAUAUAGGAGAAGGGGCAGACGCAAAAGAUAUCUCUUCUUGUACAUAAAAUUCAGUCCUCUCUACCGUAGCUCUGCCUCUCCAAGGAUCUCUCCUAAUUCAGAAAAUCAUCCUCCUUGCCAUGCUCUAGGACUUCUCCAAAAGCAUAGUGUUACUCUUCUUUGUGCCGAGACUAUCUCUUGUUGUUCUCCAAGCGUUCUUGAGAUCAAAAAGUGUAAUCUAUGGUUCAAACUCUUGUUUUUAGGUUUUAUAUUUGUUAUUGUCGAAUUCCCUUAGAUGAUUUUAUGCAUUGGAGUUGGAUUUUUAUUGAGAUUUAGUUAUUGCAUGAAAUUUUCAGAUUUAUAUGAUUGAGUUAUUCAUGUGUUUAUGAUAUUUGUUUAACUUAGAUCAUGCUUACUAUUGUGUUAGAAAGUCUAUGAUUCCGGUUUAAUUCAAUAUGGUAAUUCGGCCAAGUUAGCAAAGUCAUAAUUUAUGCUAAGCCUCUUCCGGUAAGUGUAGAUUAACAAGUGGUAAAAAUUGGGAUUCAUGUGAUAUGGGUUUCGAUUAAGAACAUAGAUUGUAUGUUAGGUUGUUAAGCCUCUUCCGGUAAACAAAUCUAAUAUGUUCGAGUUCUUCUUUUAUGCUGAAUAAUUCAUGUAGUGUGUUGUAUGGAUGCAUUUUGUAUUAACAUGAUACAUUGUAUGGAAUAUUCUAUGUGUUAGGACUUUUCCAACGUAGGAGACUUGAGAAGAUUAUAUGGGCCGGGAUGCAUGACCUCUUUCGGCUUGUGUUUCGAAUUCGUUUCUUGCACUUAGUUGGCAUGGUUUUAGGUUUUAUGAAUUGAAAUAGCUUGGAUACUUGGUGGUAUGACUCUUGGUUGUGUUUGAAGUUGAUCACAUGUAUAUAGUAGCUUAGGUUUUUGUUUUUUUAUAGUUUAGGAUUUUCAUCACUCUUCUGUCCCCUAUUUUGUUUUGUUUUAUUUUCGUAUCAAAUGAUCUCCGAUCCCCCUGAAAUUUUGGACAAUAGUUCCUCUGUGUGUCUAGUAGGUCUCUGUAAAUUGUCAUAUUUUUCUGAGUAGUUUAGGUUAGGUUUUUAAUUAGGUUUUCGACUGCUGUUCGUUAGGAAUAAUGGUUACUUUUGUAAAUUGUUUAAAGGUUUUAUUACUUGUUAAUGUUAGUUGUGUUUUACUAACAUUUUGUUUUGCAAGGUACCCUCAAUCCCCGGCCCAAUACGAUACCCUACUUACUCAAUGCUGCUAACGAUAAGGGUUUAUUUGAUGCAGGUUUUGCACCCGUUAAAAGACAAAAUACAUGUCACUAAAGACAAGAAUUAAAUUACCAAAAGUGAAAAGUGGAAGUGUGGAUUGUAAAAUUAGGAGUGUAAAUUUCAGUUCCCUAAAAAAACCUACAAGAACAGAGACUUUUCUUCAUAACUUAGUUGAACUUAUCGUCUGACUGAAAAUUUAUUUUGUUUGCGCCUUUGGCCUCUUUGUACGACCGCUUUCACGCCUCAUCGUCUCUGCACCUAAACUCAGUCAAUCUAUGAACAAACUUUCCGCUUAUAGAUCCUUAGGAAGCACGCUUUUUGAGACAUUGCAUGGCAUACUCUUGUCUGAAUGGAAUACUCCCCCAUUUGUGAAUAGAACCAAGUUAUUUCCCAGUUACAAGUUGGCCCCAAGGCACUACUAACAAGUACACGAUGUAGAAAUAUUUGUUAAAGGGUAAAAUAUUGUAUAGUCCUCGUGGUUUGAAGUCGACAUCUGUUUAGUCCUUAUAAUUUUAUUUUAAUCUGUAUAGCCUUUAAAGUCAGGAUUUUUUAUCCAAAUAGUCCUUAUGGUUUUAUUUUAAUCUGAAUCGUCAUUAAAGUUAUGAUUUUUCAUCAAAAUAGUCCUUAUGGCCUUUAACUGAGAAAAUUCUUGGAAGUGUUGUGGGAGAAAUAAACUGAGAGAGAGAUUUGGGGAGAAUAAUCGUUCUUAUUUCAUUCAUAGAAUAAGCCUCUAUAUAUAGAGGAUACAAUACAUAAAAAAAGUACAUAUAUUCCUAUUACAACAUUGAUAUCGAAUCCUAUUCUGAUUCUACUUUGACGGCACACACAAUAAAUCAUAUUUUCUUAAACACUCCCCUUUGUGCCGUGUCAAACUGAUAUGAUACAUUAAGAUGCAUUCCUUGUUGCCUCGUUAAGAACCUUGUCAAGUAACAAUAAAACCUCAUGGGAAAAAUAACCUUGGUCAAAGGAACAAAAAGAGUACAACGCAUCAUUCACAUUUGAAAGUGACAUGUAUGUGCCAGACUCCCCCUGAUGUCUACACCUCCCCCUAAUUCUUACAAUCAUAAGAGCGUUAGAGAAAUUAAGCAUACCAAUGCUUUAGACAUGUUUUUCAACUGCGACCAUAGGCAGUGAUCUAAUAAAAAGAUAUGCCAUAUUAUCCUCAUAUCUAACUUGUUUCACUUUGAUCAUGAGGAAAACUCAUUCUUUGCUAAUCACGUACAUGAUAUAUACUUGGUGUUGUCGCUUUUGGUAAAACAUUGCUUCAUAUGUCGAAUGCAAGCAUCAUUAACCUCAUAAAAGUAUGUAGGUUCAUUUGUGGUAAACAUUAAACCAUUUGCUCUUAGAAUAUGUGUAAUUAUAGGCUUCAACCAUAUACACUCACGAACAAUUUCGUGUAGAGCAAUCAUCUAGACAUCAUUCAAAGAUGUAGCGACAAAACUCUGUUUAGUUCACCAAGAUAUCACGUUGUUUCCCAAUACAUAGCUCACAUGGAAACAACUUUUAUGUGGGUUAAAGAGAUACCCAAUAUCAGCAAAUCACACCAAAACAUCACAAAUAUUUCGUAGAAUGAGUAGAAGGCUGCCCCAGAACUCCAAAUAAGAAUAUGCGUCGAAAAUUAGAUUCACGCGUGGCAUGACCUUCGUAUACUAAAUCAGUCAUAACUUCCUGCUCAAAAUAUAUAUGGACGAACUGUAAAAAGUUCUGGAAACUACACAUCCGUAGCUUUCCAACCAUAUAUUACUCACCUGAGUUGAUCACAGAGCUCUGUCGAAGUUGACUGAUCUGUAAAAACAGAUUUUCUGAUUUCGCCUUUAAUGUGUUUUUCUUCACGCAUGGCUUGCAGCGAUGGCUAUGUGAUGCAAUCCAUCAUGUCAUAUACUCUCUUCUUUUUAUAGGGAUAGAAUAAGCCCAAAAGUAUCAUAAGUAUCCAAAGAUUAAUCUUAUGCCAAUCCAUAGGUAAUGCGUGGGCGCAUAGUUGCAUCUAGCUAACAAGUUCACAAUAUGGAUGAGAUGUCGUGUCUUGUAUAUCUUUGCUCGGUACAAUAAUGCGUUUAAUGUACUUAUAUUAGGCAUUCAGCCUUUAAAACGUGUUCGCCAUCAUCCCUUGGACGAAACAUAUCCCUUUAAGGGUCAAAACUUCGAACGAUCAUUGGAAUACUUAUAGGCCUCACUCUAUCAUCAUUAGAGUGCCUUAAUAUCUCAUAAUAUAAGCCGAUUGAUGGACAAUACCAUCAUUAUGGUGCUCGAGUUCCAAUUCGAGACAAAACCAUAUAUUCCCAAGAUCUUUAUCUCAAAAUUCGGAUUUCAAAUCCAUAGCGGUAUCUCUUAGUUCAUCAAGAGUCAAUUAAAAUUCAUAUCAUCGACAUAAACCGCAAUAAUGAAAAUCUGGAACUUGUCAUUUUUAAUAAACACGCAUGGGCAUAAUUCAUCAUAUCCCUUCCCAAUCAAGUUGUCACUUAGGGAACGUUUCAACCUUAUUGUAAAUGUGCUCUGUGGUCUAGAGCCACUUGAUUUGGGUAAAUGAAGUCAACCUUGGACAUUCAUGUAUAUCUCUUAACUUAGAUCCCUAUAGAGAUAUGUUGUGACCACUUUCAUAAGCUGCAUGUCAAGAGAGUGAAUGAACAAUGGAUGAACAUAAUUUUGUCAAUUUGGUUACUAUGGAUGACCACCUUCAUAAGCUUCAUAUGUUGUGACCACCUUCAGCCAAUUUGGUUAUCAUUAAGACACUCAAACUCGAUUAAACCAAUGGAUGAACAUAAUUCUGUCGAACUUGAACCGUUCAUGUUUAUAACAGAAAAACGUAGUUUUUAGUGCCUUAAUGACAACCAAAUUUGCUGAAAUUUUACAGAGAUGAUCUAUACAUUAGUAUCUAAAUACUAGACGGUGGAGAUGUGAAAAUUUGAUUGAAAAGUGAGUGUAAAGUGGAAAUCCGCACCGUAAGAAUAAAUGCGGACGUCCGCAACUGAGAAGCUCUGUAUAUAUAUAUAUAUACAUACACAAUCUGUUCCUAGUGCGGACGUCCGUACGGGUUUUCCGUAUGAAUUUCCGUCGUUUCUCCACCAUUCCAGCGCUGGCGACGCCGUUUUUUUCUCCCCGGCGUGAUCUCAGACCUCCCCCGACAGUGUUGGAAUGAAGAAGAAGUCCGGAGAGAUCGCGAUCGGAGCUCUAUGCAGCAAUCUCACUCAGAACUUCACAACCGAAGGCCGGAGAGAUCGCAAUCGGNNNNNNNNNNNNNNNNNNNNCCAGUUUUCCGGCGAGAAUGAUCUUGUUUGAAGUUUUGGGUGAUCUCGCCGAAAGCCUGGAAAAGAACGGACUCACCGAGGAGGAAAAGUAGUCGGAGACGCUAGCUGGAGUCUUACUGGGGUGGAGGCACUCCAUCGUCGGCGUCGGAGGGUGGAGAACGGACGGACGUCCGCAACUUUAAGCCGAGUGCAGACGUCCGUUUCUGAACAGCUCCGUAUAUNNNNNNNNNNNNNNNNNNNNNNNNNNNNNNNNNNNNNNNNNNNNNNNNNNNNNNNNNNNNNNNNNNNNNNNNNNNNNNNNNNNNNNNNNNNNNNNNNNNNNNNNNNNNNNNNNNNNNNNNNNNNNNNNNNNNNNNNNNNNNNNNNNNNNNNNNNNNNNNNNNNNNNNNNNNNNNNNNNNNNNNNNNNNNNNNNNNNNNNNNNNNNNNNNNNNNNNAUAUAUAUAUAUAUAUAUAUAUAUAUAUAUAUUAUUCUAUGAAAAUGGAAUAAGAGCCAACUCAACGCUCUUAUCCUAAAUUUAAAAAAAGAAAAGAAAAUACAAAGAAGGGGGACAAGACCAAAACCUUGCCUACAUAGAGUACAACCUAACAGGAACAAACAACAAUUUCAAGUUGAAAGAAUAGCACAACCAAUUUGAAUAGCAAAAAGAGAAAAUAAAUAACAAUCGAAAGGACUAGCCUCUACGAUAAGCAUAUCUAGAAGAAGCAUAAAAAUGAGUGACUCACGCAAGAAUCGAGGGGCAACAUCCCACCAAAAGUCUCGGUUGUUGUCCCCAUAAUUUGCCAAAAUAUCUGCAACAACGUUACCUUCACGAUAAAUGUAGACUAAUGGACUUUCAGUAAUGGACUUUCAGUAAUGGACUUACUAGGUGUAGCAAACACUACAAUGAGUCAAUGAUGUUAUUACAAUACGACAACGAAAAAUCAACAUUGAAAGUACUACUCCGGAAAAAUGCGUCUGAGUAACCGAUAUUGUUAGUUAAUAACCAAUUACUUGACAUAUUGCUAUGACUAGAUAUUUGGCUCAAUUCUAGAGCUCUCGUGUGUGAAGUUGUUUUUCAUUAACCAACCUAAAUAUGAGUAACUACCUUGUUACCUUCAUCAGGCUAUUAUCUUUGCCAACCUUUUUUAUUAGAGGAGGUUGAAAACAUAUAUUAAAAUAUAACUUAUAAGUAUAUAGAGCGAUACAAAAGCAUAAAAAAUCAAUAACAAUUGUAAUAUAACGUGAUAAGAUGCACAAAUACAACAUUGAUAGUGAAAGAGCAUUAGACUAGCUAGAUGCAUCACGACGCUCAAAUACAUCUUUUAAAUGAAAGGUGACCAUAGCGAAAGAGCAAUAAAUGAUAAUAAGACUCACAAGUACACCUAAAACCAUGAGACUUGAUGCAUAGCGACCUCAAUACGCUGCAUAUGUCACAAAAGUUGUAUUGAAGUGGUAAUAGCAACCGCAACGAGAAUUGUAACAGUAACCAACAAGAUAGCAGUAUACUGCUAGCAGAGUGAGAUGUCCGAGAAGCGAAAGCGUCGACCAAAUAAGGUGUAAAAAAACUCGGACAUUAGCUAUCGAGCUCCUAAGAACAAGAAUUUAUUUUUGCCAAUUAUGUUUGCUUAGACGAAUAAUCCAGGUAACAAGAUCUUAUCCAUCAAACGGAAUCUACAAAUUUCAUAAUAUCCAACACAUGAAUAGCUAGGCUGUUCAUGAACAAAAAACAAAACUAGUUCUAAAAUAAACGGAUCGUAUCCUUUUGACACCGCGAAGUCAUGGAUAACAAUAACAAAAAUUCGAAGGUUGAUCACGGCACUCCAAAAAAAACCAGUGUUGGAGAUGCCUUAUCAAAGGGGCACAUGCACACAUCAUAUAAAGGACGAAUGAGAUAUCAAGUUAAUGAAAUCAACCGGGCAAAACCUACAUAUUCUUCACACUCGUGGAAAUGUUAAUCAAAGAAGAAUAAACUUCAAAUAUCAACAGUGUUCUAACAA
rnacentral:lncRNA from 1 species